AGAUUUAAAAUUUUGACAUUAUUUUAAAAUUUUGAUGUAAAUUUUUAAUAUUUAAUAUUUAAUUUGAAUUUAAAUUAAUAUAUUAUAAAGAUAAUGUUAGUAUAUUAAUUUGAUUACGUUUUUAUAUCCAUCUGAACCAAACACCGACAAUGGGAAUGAUUUAUUCCAAUUCCGAUUCAGGUGAUGAACCAAACAGAAUUAGGUAAUGAGUCAUUCCGAUUCCGAUUCCAACUUAUUUUGAUUCCGAUUCCGAUUCCGACUCCGAUUUCGAACCAAACACGCCCUUAUUGAUGUGGGUUGGGAUAGGGUUUUGAGAGAGGAUAGAUUUUUUGUUUUUUUUUAUGAGAAAGGGGUGAAGAGAAGGAGGGUGAGAUAGUCACAUGGGUUUCAAGAACUUAGUGGGCUUCCGGAAUGAAAUCUCAAUCAGGGCUAGAAGGCCGGAAUCAAGUUGAAGGCUAAUGGGUCAUUCCCAAUCCAGUCCGGAAUAGGAAUCCCAAACCGAUUCAUGCGAACCAAACAAAAUUAACCGGAUUUGAUCAAACCGAUUCCCAUUCCAUACCCAAAAUGGAUGAACCAAACAAGUCUUGAGUGAGGGUGGAUAUCCUUAUAUUAAUGGAUUUGAGUAAUUAUAAUAUGUCUAAUCUCUUUUUUUCUUCUCACCCGCCGAUUAGUUGUUAUUAUUUUUCUUUACACUCUAACCUCAUGUCCCUCUCUAAACUUAUUUUUUUUUCUUUCUAAACUUCAACUCUUUUUCUCUCUCUAAAUUAAGCUAUUUUUCCCCAUCUUUUUCUAAAUCUCAACUCUCUCAUUCUCUCUAAUCUCGACUCUCUUUUUUUUUCUAUUUCUUUAAUUAUGCUCUCUCUUUCUAACCUAUAUUCUCUCUUUUUUUCUAAAAAGUUGUUGAAAUUUUUUAUGGUAUUAUUUAAAAUUAAUUUAAUUAAUUAAUUAAUUAAUUGUAUAUUUUUCGUAAUAUUAAAUAACAUGACCGUACGAACCGAACCAAAUACCGAAAUACUACAUUCUUAGUAAUAAGAUAAAUAGGAAUAAGAUUCUCGGAUAUCUUUUUAUCCCUAAUAAUAUUUCAUAGUGCGAACCAAACGCGCCCACAUUAUUUUUUUUUUGAGAGAUAAAUAGCAUGCUAUCCGUUUCGUUUAUUUCAUUUAGAAAUAAACUUAGCUGAAAAUGUGAAUCAAUUAGGAUUCGAACUUGGGUCUCAGGCACCAACUAUUAAACCUUUUACCACUUGCUCUAGAGACGAUCGGUAUGAUUUUUACAUUAUUACUGAAUAUCUUUACUUGCUUUUUCGGUCAACAAAUCUGUUAACUAAUAAAACAGAGGAUAAGGACGUGCCGUUCAUCUUUUUCUUGAAAAAAAAGACUAUUCGAAGGUUACAUACAGGAGCUCAUAUCUUUGAUCUCGUGCGUGCGUGAAUCUCUCUCACUAUCAGUUACCGAAUAAACAUUGGUUGUUAAAACGAAAAAAAACAGUAAAUUUAGGACUUAAAAAAUAUAGUUGUUGGUUACUUACAACUGCAUGUGAUUGUUUGUACAACUGUGAUUGUUUGAUGUCCCCAAAACAAACAUCAUAAAUAAAAGGAUUAUUAGGUCAUUGGUUUCGAUUAAACUUUUGUCCUUUUAUAAAAAGUCAUCUAAAUUAUAUAUUUUUUAUCUAAAUUUUUAAAUAUUUAUAAUUAAUUAUCUAAAUUUAUAGACUAUGGGUGAUAGAUAUUAACCAAAUGAUCAAAGAAAUAAUUAGAAAUCUACACUGGCAAUAUAUAUAGCAGAGAGUCUUGUUUGUCAUCAAAAUACAGUAUUAUCAAUUUUGUCCAAAAGAAUGUUCACCAUUGGUCCCCAACCUUUUUCCAAUUUUCAUUUCAGGUCCCAAUCUUUUUCUUCUUGCAAUGGGGUCCCUAAUCUUUUGUUUUUGUUUCAAUUAACUUUUUAUCAUUAAAAAUAUCAUUAAUUCUAACGGAAAUCACAACACUAAUAGAUAUUACUGGGUGUUAAGGUUUAUGCUGAUGUGACAUUAAUAUGACACCGACCAUCCCUAGAAUAAAUGGCAAAAGGCUUGGUGGUUGAUACCCGAGACCCAAGUUCGAAUCCUAGUUGAUUCACAUUUCUAGCUAAGUUUAUUUCUAAAUAAAAUAAACAAAACGGGUAGCGCGCUACCUAUCUCUCUCAAAAAAAAAAGAAAAAAAAAAAGACAUUAAUAUGGCACAUAUUGUUGGUGUUAUGUGCUAACAACACAGCCUUCGUUAAAGUUAGCAGUGUUAUUAACUACGAGACUUAAUUGAAGCAAAAACUAAAGGUUAGGGAUCUGAUUACCAAAAAAAAAAAGAUUGAGGAUCAAAAUGAAAAAUUGGAAAAAUUCUAGCCUGGAUGAGCUGUGCCGCAAGUGGCAAAGGGUUUGAUGGUUGGUAUCCGAGAUUUCAAGUUCAAAUUCUAUUUAAUUCGUAUUUCUAGCUAAAUUUAUUUUUUAAAAAAAUAAAUGUGAAGCGGGUAGCAUGCGACCUUUCUCUAAAAAAAUGAUUAAAAAAAAAAGGCAAACAACUUUAGAAACCUGAUUAAAAAAAAAAAAGGAAAACGAUGGGGAUCAAUGAUGGUGUAAUUAAAUCCCUUUUGAGGCUUCUCCAAAACUCAGGAUCACACCACAUUGGGCCCAAACCACCACAAACCCAACCCGGUGGGCCCCACCCGUUACAUAAAUCUCAACGGCUAUAUUCUACAAACCCUAAAACCCGUCCGUUAUAGCCGUUGCUCCGACCCCCUCUCCCCACCCGCGAAAACGCCGCUGAGUAAUUGGGAAUGCCGGCCCCUUCUCUGUCUCGAUCCCUAUUUAAAAAAAAAAAAAAAAACUAACUUUUGUUUUCUCUUUUUGUUUUUUUAAUUUUAAAUUUUUUUUUUUUCUCUUGUUGGAUAUUUCAUAGAAUAAAAGGAAUGAAGGGUAUCUUGUUCGAUUCAUCCGAGAGAGAUUUAAAAAAAAAAAAAAUUGUACAAAAAGCAUCUGGAUUUGAUUUGAGAGAGAGAGAGAGAGAGAGAGAGAGAGAGAGAGAAAUUAUAUGCAGAGAAUAUCCUCCUUCAAUUUCUCCUUACUUCUCUCAUUAGCUUAUAUAUAUUUUUUUCCCUUUCUAAGUUAAAUUCUUGUAUUAAUCAAUCAUGCAUGGCUAUAAAUUUGUAGAAUAAUUUCCUUGGUCUAAAUUUUAAUGAGAUCUCGAUUCGAAUUCGGUUUGCGAAUCGAUUCAGUGUGGAAGGGAUCAUGCCAAAGAAGCACAAGCCUAAACGCCUUUAUCAAGUUUGGAAAGGGAACAAUGUGAGUUUUUCUUUUUUCUUUUUUUUCCCUUCUCUAUUAAUUUCAUUGUGAAAUUCUUACUUAUUGGGAAAUUAAUUUUGUUAUUCGGCUCGAAAAUUAUGUAAAUUUUUUCUUAUUUUUUGAUUCAUAUCUAUAUGCGCUCUAUUUGCAUCCUUAUUUAUGUGAUUUUAUUUCCUGUGCCUCCAUAUACCGUUGUUUGGCUAAUUUUUAUGAUAUAUCACUUUUUUUUUUUUGUGAUUAAGUUUCUUAUCGUGAUCAAUGCUUUAAAUGAUGCAAUCACAACGACAAAAGAUGAAUCGUUAGUAAUAUGUAGAAGUUCGGGAUCUCAUGCACAUUAUCACAAUCACAAUUCAGGAUUAUCUGGCUCGCAACUGCUUUAAUACUAUACAUAAUAACCCAGUCAAGCAACUUGCUCAAAAUGCUUCAGCUCAGUUAUUGGUACUAUAUUUCUCAGUCGUUUAUAUACUUAAGUACAAUUAGAUAAGAAUAGUAUUAUAAUUCUAGUGAUAUACAUAUUUCGAAUUGAACUAGAAUGCUUCUAGAAGUACUAAACCCUUGAUAUUUCCACAUCAUUUUUUAAUGAUGGUGUCUCCGCAUCAAUGAUUACAACAUUAACAUUAUCUACGUCUCGUGAACUUCGUACAAACCAAAUUUUAUUAUUUUUCGAUGCUAUUUAUCUAUCUAGUAAUCAAGUGGUCUUAAAUGCACCUUAUGUAUGCGGUUGAAGUUUGUUAAUUUUGAGACCACUAGAACAAUAUAUCAAUAACAUUGAAAAAUCAUAAAAUUUAAUAUCUAGGAAGUUUAUGAGACAUAGAUGAUGUUCAAUAUUAUAACCGUUGAUUUAGAGAUGCCACCGCUGAAAAAAUUAUGUAGAAGUAUUAAGUGGUUUUGGUACUUCUAGAAAUGUUGGAGGUCAAUUCUAUCCAGCUGUUAGUUCCAUGAGCUAUAGUGGUACAUUUUGAUAUUAGAUUUAUUGUACAUUAUAAAGUACUACACACAUGAAUGAAUGCACUGUUACAGAAAAGAAUAGUAUGCAUAUAUAAUAUUGUUUUGAUUACAAGGAUGAGAAAUAGUCCUACAUUGGUAUAUACCUGCAGCAUCGCUAAUUAAUACUUGGAUUUUUUUUUAAUAAUUCUUGAUGCUAUUGCUUACUAUUAUAUCUGCGUAAUGAUAAUUAAAAUUAAAAAAAAUUGUCUUUGCUCAGCGCAAACAGAUUCAGUAAAUCUAUUCAAAUUUAGUCAGUAAAUAGCAACUAGAUUCAAUGAAUUUAUAUAUCAGUAUCAAAGUAAGCUCUGUUAAGAAUAUGAUCUCAUCUUAAUACCUUGUUUUGCUGUUCUUUCUUUAGAGGUUCUUUUGCAGUGGACGACUGAUAUUUGGUCCGGAUGUAGCCUCAUUGCUCAUAUCCACACUUCUAAUAGUUGUACCAACAAUCAUGUUUUGCUAUCAAAUAACUGCUAAAAUCCACAAUCGUGAUAAGUUGCACGACGAGGUAAAGAUCAAUGCUCAACACCCAGUACUCCAAUUUCCGGUGCUAAUCGUAACAAUCAUCGCAUUGAUAACGGUUAGUAGCAAGAAACUAUAAAAAAUGUACAAUUUGUAACUUAAGAUCGUAAAAUGGUACUUCUGAUCUUAAUAUAUUAUUUUACUACUAUGCAGGACUUGUAUUUUCUCUUUAUGACAUCUUCUCAAGACCCGGGAAUAGUACUGAGGAAUGCAAGGCCACCGGAAGUGGAUGAAGCAUCUGAUAUCCUGACUCCGUCGAUGGAAUGGAUUAAUGGGCAGACGCCAUGCAUGAGAGUACUAAGAGCAAAGGAUGUGAUAGUAAAUGGUUUUGCUAUAAAAGUGAAGUACUGCGACACGUGCAUGCUGUACCGCCCACCGCGUGCCUCUCACUGCUCGAUCUGCAACAAUUGUGUUCAGAAGUUCGAUCACCAUUGCCCGUGGGUCGGUCAGUGCAUUGGAUUAGUAAGUAAGAGUAUCUGAUAAAAAAAAUUUCGUGCCAAUGAUGAUUUAAUGUGUUGAUUUACAAGCAAAUUUCAAGCCAACCGCAUUAAUUACUUCUAUCUUUUUAUGUUUUUUUUGGCAAAUAUGUAGUUGAUAGACAUACAAUUUUGCCCUUUUUUUUUUUUACUUGGUCUAAGCCUUUGUUCUUUUUUCCAUUUUUGAUGUCCAGUUCAAAUUUAUGACAACUUAUUCCUAUUUUACUUCUCCAGAGAAACUAUAGGUAUUUCAUCUUAUUCAUAUCAACAUCAACUUUUCUCUACAUAUACAUCUUCUUGUUCUCGACGUUGAACAUUGUCGGAGAGAAGAAUAACUAUCCUGGUUCUAUUUGGAAUGUCAUGAAAAAAGAGGUUCUGUCGCUUGUACUUAUGAUUUACACUUUUGUAACAGUUUGGUUUAUCGGUGGGCUGACCGUGUUUCACCUCUACUUGAUCAGCACAAAUCAGGUACUUCCUUCCACUAUUCGUAGGAUAGCUUAUGUUUAUGAACUAGUUGGAUACAAUUCACAUGUCAAUUAAUCUAAUUACGAGGAUAAUGAACUUGUUGGAUAGUAAUCUAAAUUUUAUAAGCUAAAAGAAAAACUAUCUCGACAAUUGGUCUAUUUCAAUCAACCAUUUACUCCUUGUUUCAUUCAGCUUUUAUUAGUAUCACAAUCUAUGUAGAAAACUGACAAGCUGUUCAGAUAGUUUUUACUGUUGAAACUAUGGCCUACUGUUUGUAAAUUAACUAUGUUCUUCACAUUAAAGAGCCAUUUUUGAUAAGAAAAAUUAGAUACUUUUGAUGAAUUUACAUAGUGUUAUAUUAAUCGUAUGCCACUAAUGUCCUAUAAUCUUUUUUGUUUAAAAAGUAGUAUAUUCUAAUUUCUAUUGUUUAAUUGACACCACUUGUACACAGACAACCUACGAAAACUUCCGAUAUCGUUACAACAGAAAGGAAAAUCCGUAUAGCAAGGGUAUCUUAAGAAGCUUUACAGACUUAUUUUUUUCAAAAACCCCACCUUCGAUGGUUAAUUUUCGGUCCCGGAUCCCCGAGGAAGCGCCAGAAACUCGAUCUUAUUCUCCAAAUGCUGAGAUGAGUAUGAGCAGCGCAAAAGAGGAGAUUGAUAUAGAAAAUGGUAGCAAGGAAGCAUCAAAUGAACACAUUCCAGGCAUACUGCAGAACCUGGAAUACAGUUCUACUGAAGAUAAUAAUUAUAAUUCUGAUGAUGAAGAGACAAGAGAGGUUGAUCAUGUUUCUAUAGAAGCAGGUGAAGCUAUAUAUAGAAGUGCUUUUAUGGAAGAAGAUAGAAUGACUGCUGCUUAUGAAAGUGCUCUUGAGGAAAGUUACUCGAGCUCAACCUUGAUCAUCUCUGAUCAUAAUCUUCACAUAUCAAGGACAUGAGGUGAUAAUUUUUACCUUGUUAAUUAGCUUCCUUAUUUAUACUUUUCUAUAUAUUGCCCUUUUUUUUGGGCUAUUUUUUUCCGGUCGAGUUUAGUAAGUAGAAUAAUGUUGUUGAAUUGUUCUAUUUUUCCCCCUUCCUGUUUGUAUAUAUAUACAUAUUUCAAUAAAAAAAAAGUACGUAAUGCUGACAGGCAGGUCCCACGCUAUAAGGUAAGAAAAACUUGCCACGUGGAUGACUCAUAUGGGGAUUAAUAAAAGUACCACAACAUUCGAAACACGCGCGAAGUAGAUAAACCAUGUGAUUCAAAGGUCAGUUUUGAUUAAAGGUUACAUGCAAUGCACAGUAAUCUUGUUAAAUGUUAAUACCCUCCAAUUGAAGCUAACAUGACAAAAACUUUUGUGUCAGUAUAGAUUAAAUAUCGAACAUGAUAGGCCUGCAAAACCAAGUUAAAGAUAGCCUACGAAAACUCAACACUUGUUUUGAGUAAUUUUUCAUUUUCUUGAUAUAACACUACUGAGUACUUGCUAAAUGCCCACAUGCACACACUAACUAAAACACAUUGAUGACCCAAAAUUAUGUUUCAAAGACCAUAGCAAGCAUACCGACCGUCCCUAGAGCAAGCAGCAAAGGGUUUGGUGGUUGGUACCCGAGAUCCAAGUUCGAAUCCUAGUUGAUUCACAUUUCUAGCUAAGUUUAUUUCUAAAUGAAAUAAACGAAGUGGGUAGCGUCUCUCAAAAAAAAAAAAAAAUUAAUACGUGGAAUAUUAACCUCAUAGUGUGAUAUUUGAAAAUUUUGUACUGUUCUUAAAAUCUCUCAAACUUAAAUCAUUAUUCCUACACAUUAUGAUUCAGUUGUGGCUACAGAAGAAUAAAUGGUGCUUUGAAUGGUGCAAAACAAUUCAAUCCAUGUGACACCCCAAUAGUCCCACAUCGGAUGGGAAUGGAGUUGUCAUUGGGUUUAUAAAUGACUUAGACACUAAUAAUAAUAACUAGGCUUAAGCAUUUUGGGCUGUGGUUGGGCCCAACAAGUUAUUAUUGCUAGUUGGCUGGGUCGUUACAUUUGGUAUCAGAGCCGGUUCACCAGCUGGACAUGUGUGGCGAGUCUCGGCUGAGCCAGGGUCUGGAUGACGGGCUAGCGAGACGAGUCUCACAUCGCCUGGUAAUCUUGGGCUGUGUGUGUGAUUGGACUGACGAGGACGUCAGGGCCUUAACAGGGGGAGUCUGUGACACCCCAAUAGUCCCACAUCGGAUGGGAAUGGGGUUGUCAUUGGGUUUAUAAGUGACUUAGACACUAGUAAUAAUAACUAGGCUUAAGCAUUUUGGGCUGUGGUUGGGCCCAACAAGUUAUUAUUGCUAGUUGGCUGGGUCGUUACAAUCCACGCCAUAGAUCGAAAUCAGAUAUGAAUUAAAUUGGAUCUUAUCAAUUAUUUUCUCAGAUGUUUUCAUUAAAUAAGUUAAAAUGAUAUAAGAGAAAACAAGAAUUACACUUGAAAUUUCGUGGCGUUGCAAUUAUUGAAGCAGCAUAAUUACAGAAUGUUUGCAUCAGGUGGAAGAUUUUUUUUUUUGGGCCUUUUUGCAUAAAAAGUUCCACUAUUCUUAUGAUUUUGCAAAAUGGAGCCUUUGUUUUAGAUUUUACAAAUUUAGACAGAAUUUUUAACAAAGAGCUCAGAAUAAUAUUACCCUAUUCUUCUUUCUCUCUCUUUUAUCUCUUUUAUCUCUUUUUGGUCACGAUGAAAAAUUUGCCACCAUGGAGGAUGCUACCACUACACACCAAGGGGUUCAUCUGGGGGUUAUCCACCAAUAGUUGCGUCGGGAGCGGCCACGGCGGAGCUAUAGCGAACGAAGAGGCGGAGGCGUUGGCAUGACGGUGGUGCAAGAGCUGCGCUGUAUUUGACCAUAUGUCGCUUCUUCAUAGUGUGAAAAGUGAAAACAACAAUGAUAAAGUACAACAAGAAAAAUAAGAAGAUAAAAGGAAACAGAGAAAAAGAAAAGAAGACGAUAAGAAAAAACGCACUAUUUAAGAAUUAUUUGUACUAUAUGAAAAUGUAUUGUAAUAUUUAAUAAGUUGUUGCAUAUAUAUUUAGAAGAAUUAAUACUGCAUUAUUUGACAGUAUAUUAUAAUAUUGUACAGUUUAUUGUAUUUAUUAAAUAGUGCAACAUAUAUUCUAAUUUGCGCAACAAUUUUUAAUGUAGAAAUACAGUUUUAAAUUGUGCAAUAUUUUAAUUUAUUUAAUAGAAAAAGAAUAAUUCGGAAAAACAAUAAUAGAAAAAGAAUAACUAGAAAAAACAAGAGGGAGAAAAGGGUUUUUUUUGCAUUUAGUCCCCUCAAAAUAAUUUUUUUUUACAAAUAGUCUCAUCAAAUUUAUAAUUGCAAAUUUGACGCUAUCCCCGCCAUGCAGGCGCCACGUCAGCGUUAUGGUUUUAAAUUGAAUAUGGGAAAUCAUUCACCGUGUUCAAACACAGUAAUGGUUCACCGUGUUCCAUACCCCUCCUUCCCCCUUUUUAUUUUUCUUAUAUUUUUUCGGAAUACAUAUAUAUUAUACUUUUUCCAAACACAGUAAACUAUUCACCGUGUUUAGACACGGUGAAUGGUUCACCGUGUUCAACUUAAUAAAAUGGCCUUAGCCUGGCUCAGAUGGCGCUGACGUGGCGUCUGCGUGGCAGGACUAGGGUUAUUUUUGCAAAUAUAAAUUUACUGGGGCUAUUUUUAAAAUAAAUUUUUUUUAAGAGGCCAAAUGUAAAAAAAACUUGGGAGAAAAAGAAGAACAAGAAGAAAAAAGAAGAAGAGCAAUGCUCCUACGUACACACCAACAAGAAUAUUUUGAUUUUUUUUUAUAGUCUGUUGAGAAUAUUUGAUUCUUUUUUUAUAGUUUGUUACAGUCAUUCAUCUCUUUCUUUCCUCUUAAUUAAUAAUGCUAGGAGCCUAUCAUGACUUGAACUCAGAACCAUCUGCUCUGAUACCAUAUAAAAUAAUCGUUGUAUUCCAAAAGAUUAAACUGUCCGAGAACCAUAUUUAUAUAUUUUUAUAUAUAACCAGAUUAAAUGGGAGGAUAGAAACAAAGGAGAAAGAAGAGGGAGAGAAGAAGAAAUAAGCAUAAUUUGGUUUUUUUUCCAAGAUCCUACCUGAAUGUGCAUAAUCCAAAAGGAGGGCUUGAUUUGACAAAAUCGCAAAACCAGUUUAUUUUCAUUUGAAAAAGCCAAAACCUUUCUUGGAGAAUAAUUAUUGUUAUAAAAUUACAAUAAUAUAGAUUAUAAAUAUCAUUCUAUUAUUCUAGAAACACACUUGAAAACAUAUGAUCUUACUAGAAAGCUUGAAUCCCAAAAAAUAAAAAAAAAGAAAAAAAGAUCGAUGCUACAAAAAUGAAAACAUGUUCAUAUUAAACAAAAAUUAAAGUAAAAUAAAUUAACCUUUAUUACAAACAGGAGGAAAUUCAAUUAAUGGUAUUUCUAUUAAAUACUUCUUAUUCUUAACUAGUGUAGGAACCCGCGCAAUACAGUGAAUAUAAUCAUAUUUAAUUAAAUUUAAUAAUAUAAAAAUACUUGAAAAUUUUUAGAAUAUAAUUAUAAUUUAAUGAAAAACAACGAAAGAUAAAAAAUAAAAAUAAAAACUAUAGAAGAAAAAAAAAUUGAUUACAUAAAAAUCGGACCCUUUUGUACCCUCAUUUAGAGCAUUUUCUACUAACACCGAUGAUUUCAUAAAGUACCAUAGUGCCUUCAACCUCUUUUCGGCAAGUCUAUAUCUUUGCCGAUACUUCUCGUCUCCCGAGGGCAUUAGAGGAGAGGGAUACACACCUUUUGCAUAAUUAUACAGUACAAAUUUAAGUGGUCGAGAUUGAGGAAGGAGGGUUGUGUUGGAUCGUUGGUGCCAACCAUUAAUCCCAAAAACUCGAGCUGUUAGAAAUAUGCAACCAAUUCAUUUAAAGCGUACAGAUACAGCGCCCACGGAUCUGGAUUGUGAUUCGGCUCAACUAGCCUCACGUCACUUCAAACAUGACUCGGCCCAACUCAGCCUCGUGCCACUUCGAAUAUGACUCGGCCCACAUUGCCUCCUGCCAAAGGGCAUGAUACUAGCCCAUUUAAGCCAACAGGUUGGGGGCUAGGGUUAGAGUUUGACUCACCCGAUAUUGACAGCGAGGGCGAGGACGGCACGCUUGCGGGGCUUGAGGUCGGAGCGGAUGUAGUAGGUGAGGUCAUUAUCGAGGACGCCGUAUGCUAUGCCCACGGGUUUCUCGGGCAACGCCUCUUAGAAAAUAGAAACUAAUGAGGCAGAAAAUCGAAACAGCAACGUUACAGCGUAGGAAUUAAUGAGACGGGAAGCCGAAGAGGCAGACGUUACAGGGAAUGAAUUAAUAAAACGAAAAGCCGAAGAGGCAGACGUUAUGAGGAAGGCGAGCGGUCGCAAUGAUUGGAGAGUAUAAAUUUUGAAAAAUUUUUGAAAAGGAGAGAUUAUGGUGUUACCACAUGACAAAAGCUUAUGAGAAAUAAUGUAUGUGUAUAAAUUCUAAUAGUGUUGAAAUUUCUACAAUUGGGCCCAUACUUUACUUGUGCCCUAGUUGGGCCUAUGUUAGUACGUAUCUUCGAUUCUCUGCAAUUUGAGAUUUAAAAUUUAAAAUUUAAAUUUAAAAUUUAAAAUUUGAAAUCUAAUUUUCAAAAUUUAAAAUUUAAAGUUAAAAUUUAAAAAUUCAAAAAUAAAUCUGAAAAUUAAAAAUUAAAAUUAAAAUAAAAAUAAAAAUAAAAAUAACAAUUUAAAGUUUUAAUCCAAAAUCAGAGUUAGAUUUCAAAAAGCAGCUUUUUUCUGCUUCUGAUUUUGGGGCCUUCAAAAUAAGUUUUCUAAUUUUAAAAAGAAGAAUCAGGUUUUAAAAGUGAGUUGCCAAACGCUCUAUUGAACCGAAAAUUACUUUGUAGCCCAAAAAUACUUUUUAAAAGUUAGGCCAAACACCCCAAUAGUCAGAUUGCUAUACUAGAACCGACGAUAAAGUCAAACCAAACAAUGAACAACAUGGCCAUCAUGUUUUACUUGUCACUUCAUUUUUUAUCGUUUAUAAUACUUUUUUUUGUUUUUUGUGAAUUUUAUCUCUUUUGAAAUGUACGUGUAAAAAUUUCCGUGAUCAACUUGGCAAAUUUCCACCACCAUCCCUCUACUUUAAGUCAUUUGCAAAUGGGUCUUAUUCUGUCCCAUAAAAAAUCAAUUUGCUUCCAAAUUUGAUACCCAAGGUUAGUUUCAGUUCCUCUAAUCAUCAUUAUAAUUUUUAUUUUAAUUUUUAAAAAUAAAACUGCAAAUAAAUUAUAUUGUCAAAUAAAGCCUGUGGAGUUAAUUCGAAUUUCACUAAGUUUUGGAGUGUUGUAUUAAAGGACAGACAAUAGCACUUUUUACAAUUUUCCAUCAUUUUAUUUUUGGAAGCUUAAUUAAUUAAAAUUAUUAUUUCUUAAAAUUUAAUUUUGAUUAUGAUUUCAGUCCGACCUUCUAAAUUUAACUCUGAAGUUUAAUAAUUAUUUUUAAUUAAUCCAUUAUUUUGUUCGAGUGGUAUGGAAACAUCGUUUCUUAAUUUUUUUUUUUUUUUUAACCGCACAACUUUAGAGAAUUUAAAAAGUGGUUUAAUUUCCUCCAUAUAAGGUCUUAAAUUUGAUACCUUAGCUUAUUUUCGGUUCCAAAUCAUCAUCAUAAUUUUUAUUUUACCUUUUUGAGAAAAAAAAUUUCUGGAUGAAUAAUUUUCUCCAGCAAAGCCUGAGGACUAAAUUCAAAUUCAGGUCAUUUGCAGAUUAAAUUAAAAUAAAACUUCAGGACUACUACAGAAUAUUUUUUACAUCCAUCAUAAUUGCACGAAUUACACCCCAUCUAUCCAGUCGAUGGAAUGUUACCUCCAUCAUUUCAGUCAAUCAUAUUUCUAUAAUACUUUCUUUUUUUUUGGGGAGUUUCUAAGAAAGUCUUCUAUUUUGCUAAGUGAAUGGCACAGGUGUACUCGGCAAUCACCGCUACUGGUUUUGUACGUUGCUUUAAUGACAGUGACUCGGAGGAUUCUAAUGAAGUAAAACGCAAUCAUUUCUACUCGCUCCUGUUGUAUUCUUUUGCCUCUUUUUUUCAAAUGGCAAUUACAGGAGCUGUACAAGUUUGGAAGGCAAACUUGUCACAGUAUAAUUGGCUAGUAUUUCUGGUUGGUGUUUGUGUUGGGGCAAUUAUUCAGAUGACCGAAAGCUAGAUUUUGUGCUGUUACAAGAAUGUGGAGGUGGAACCAGGUGUUUAUUUUUUUGUUUGUCACUUUAUUUUGUUUUUAUUUGUGAUUGCCUGAUAUAUCUUAAAUGAUUUUUUAUAGAUGCAAUUGGUGGAUAGGACAUAAGGUGUCGAAAUUGAGGGGUAUUUCAGAGAAGGUUCGAGGAGCAUUUUUAGUUGUUUUUUCCUUUUCCUUUCUAUCUGAAAAUGCUCCUCGAACCUUUUCCGAAGAACCCCUCAAGUUCGACACCUUAUGUCCUAUCCACCAGUUGCAUCUAAAAAACCAUUUAAGAUAUAUCAGGCAAUCACAAAUAAAAACAAAAUGAAGUGACAAACAAAAAAAUAAACACCAGGUUCCACCUCCACAUUCUUGUGACAGCACAAAAUCCAGCUUUCAGUCAUCUGAAUAAUUGCCCCAACACAAACACCAACCAGAAAUACUAGCCAGUCAUACUGUGACAAGUUUGCCUUCCAAACUUGUACAGCUCCUCUAAUUGCCAUUUGAAGAAAAAGGCAACAGAAUACAACAGGAGCGAGUAGAAGUGAUUGCGCUUUACUGCAUUAGAAUCCUCUGGGUCACUGUCAUUAAAGCAACGUACAAAACCAGUAGCGGUGAUUGCCGAGCACACAUGUGCCAUUCACUCAGCAAAGUAGAAAACUUUCUCAGAAACCCCCAAGAAAAAUAAUCUAUAAAAAUAUGAUUGACUGAAAUGAUGGAAGUAACAAUUCACAACAGUAAUAGAUGGAUCUCGUUGUCAGACCAUAUGGCGGGAAUAUUUUCAUGCUGAAGCUAGAAAAAAAGGGACAACUCAAAUUGAUUCAAUAUUCAAACAAUAAAAUCCCAACAACCAAGAACUCUUACAACUACGACAAAAGCAUGGGUACCAAUGUAUUAAUAUAGGAAACUAUAAAAAAUCUAUAAGUCUCAGAUUGAUUUAAAAAUUAAUCUUGUAAUUGGUCUACUCCGAAUAUUUAUCCGCCAAACUGUUUAAAAUAGUGCAACAACCCAAACAUCUACACUACAUCCGCGCACACAAAAAAGCCACCGAAUGGUUGCCUACAUAGUAGGCCAUCCAAAUUCUGCAUGCUUUCUAUUCCAAUAAUAUAAAUGCAUCAAUAGAAAAUUCGUAAUCUAUUCACCAACAGACCAAUGCACACCAUGGUGUUGAUUCACCUUGCAAGGCAGAACUUAAAGUAAUAGUCUGCCAUACACAGCCACCAACCUAUUUUAUCAUAUCACAGACCGUCAAAUUCUUUUGUAUCAUCUUCUCCUUAUUAAAAAACGAAAGGUUUUUAAAAAAAAACAAAACAGAAUGAACAAAAUAGGAAUUUUAAAACCAUGAAAGGAGCAAAAAAGCCUAGGCAGGGAAGUACGAACUCGAACUUGCAAGCCAAUGCAGGAAAAACAUAAGCAAGAAAAGCAUAAACAGCCAAUAAAACAAUGAAAACAUACAAUACCAAAUACAAAAAUUCCUUAAUUUUUUGCACAAAAACUAUCCCCACCGCGUAGCUAGCAAAACAGUAAAGAGGAUAACAGAAAAAAGCAAAAGAAAUACUUCAAAAUAUUGAAUCAAAAGAAAGAAAGCAAAGAUGUUAGAGCAAACAUUAGCAACAACAUCUGCACUUAGAAAACAGAGAAUUCCAAAUAAAAAACAGCGAACAACAACUAAGGCAAAAGCAUGCGUAACAACGUAUUAAUAUAGGAAACUAUGAAAAAUCAGUAAGGCUCAAAUUAUUCAAAAAUUAAUCUUAUAAUUGGUCUACCCCGAAUAUUUAUCCGCCAAACUAUUUGAAAUACUAGCAGGGAGAUCCUAGAGAAGAAACCCUAACCCUAACCCUAAUUCCAACCCCGCUUAAAGUCAAAAGAGGAGUGAGAAAUGGAGGAGAAGAAGGAGGAGGAGCUCACCUGCUCCCCUCGGAUGCUCGCAUUGUUCGCCGGAUGAAUUAGAAGAAAAAAACCCUAACCCUAAUUCCAACCCCGUUCAAAGUCAAAAGGGGAGUGAGAAAUCAAGGAGAAGAAGAAUGAGGAGGAGCUCUCCUGCUUCCCUCGGAUGCUCGAGUUGUUCGCCGUAUGAAUCAGACUCCACAGUGGAGGCACAGCUCUCUGCGCGUCCAUGGCGGAAGCGAAACCCUAAUUCCUGAGGAGCGAAGAAGAAUGUAAAGGGAAACCCUAAAAUCUCUUUACGCGUCCAUGGCGGAAGUGAAACCCUAAUUCCUGAGGAGCGAAGAAGAAUGUAAAGGGAAACCCUAAAAUCUCUUUACGCGUCCAUGGCGGAAGUGAAACCCUAAUUCCUGAGGAGCGAAGAAAAAGCAGGUGAAAAGGACAAGUGAGGAGUUGUCGAACUCGGAAAAAGUAAAUGAAAGGGAGGAAGGUGUGAGAAGCAUGCCAAUCGAAGAUGGCCACGUGGCACCGUCGCUCCCAAUGCUACGGUUGAUAAAGGCGAAAAUAAAAUGCAUGAACCACCUUCAACAAUUAAAGGUGAAGGUAAAAUGCAUGACAUGAACCACCUUCAACAAUUAAUUUUUAGUAUUUGUCCAUCAUUAACUUCAUCUUUUAUUUAGGGAUUCCAAAAUCCUAUGGGGUGGCCGGGGCCCCCGAAUCCGCUGCGAGGAGGGCUAAGCCCGCAGCUGGCCGGGGUGGGCCCACGUGCCUACUGCGGGCGGGCCGAGCCCGAACGGCGGCAGCGGGGCUGGUCCUGCGCCCACCCGCCAUGCGCGGGUCCUUCCACGGCAGUCCCCUCCCCUCUUUUUUUAAAGAAGGAUAAACUUUAAAAAUUUAUAUCUUUUGAUUUAGAACUCCAAAUUUUACAAGAAAUAUAUCAAAAGAAAGUUUGUGAAGAGCUCUUCCAAACCAUGCAAGUUUCACAAUGGGAUAUGUAUUACACAUCAAACAAGCUACCGGCAAAAUUUCGAUUUAGGGUUUCGUUUUUCUCAUAAAAUACUAAACCAAACUAAAUCAAACUUUGUAGAUCUAAUCUACAACAUAGGUGUUACAAGAUGUGUAAAAACUACACAAAAAUAUCUACCCUAGAAAAAUCCACCAUUAACGCCACAAGCAUGCAAGAAAAAAAAUUUAAACGUUGGUAGAUUAAAAUCUAGACAUGCAACCUUGUCAAGAAAAUUUAGGGCACGAAAUCAAACUAAUAACACUCUGAUACCAAUGUGGAACACAGCUGAAGUAUUCGUUCGUACCUUUUAACGGAAGCGACUCACGUUAGAACGCGACAAGCCCGGAUCGUAGAGGUUGAUUCACGUGUCCUCGGAUCGUCCACGAAAGUCUUCUAUCGCUCCAAACUCACGGUGGAUCGAAUUACAAACGAGCAUGAUGUCUAAUCCACCGUUCAAGACCUUCUACAAUAAUAGGUUAAUGGAGGAUGCGGUUUCUACCUUUCUCUUGGUUUUCUUGUUGUCUUUCUUAUUGCAUCUUAUGUGAGAUUGCCUGUAUAUUUAUAAGGGAUUCUAAAAUCCUAAUAGGUACGUAAGAGAUAAGGCUAAGUCAGUUUAUAAUGGUUAUCCUAAUAUGGUUAGAAUUUAUCUCUACUUAGUUUUCCAAUUUAAAAGCGAGAUUAAUCCUAAUCCAAUUAAACAACGUAAUAACCGUCGGAUCGAGCCCGAUUAUGGGUGCGCCCGAUUCGAUUUAACCGAAUGCCAACACAAUUGAAGAUGGCCACGUGGCACCGUCGCUCCCAAUGCUACGGCUGAAAAAGGUGAAAGUAAAAUGCAUGACAGAACCACCUUCAACAAUUAAAGGUGAAGAUAAAAUGCAUGACAUGUACCACCUUCAACAAUUAAAGGUGAAGGUAAAAUGCAUGACAGGAACCACCUUCAACAAUUAAUUUUUAGAAUUUGUCCAUCAUUAACUUCAUCUUUUAUUUAGGGUAAAUUUUAAUUUUUUUUCUUCAUUAUUUAGCACACUUUUUUUUUCCCUCCUAUAUUACAAAAAGUUAUACAUAUACAUAAAUAUCUUGGUGAAGGUAAAAUGCAUGAGAGGUACCACCUUCAACAAUUAAAGGUGAAGGUAAAAUGCAUGACAAGAACACCUUCAACAAUUAAUUUUUAGAAUUUGUCCAUCAUUAACUUCAUCUUUUAUUUAGGGUAAAUUUUAAUUUUUUUUCUUCAUUAUUUAGCACACUUUUUUUUCCCCUCCUAUAUUACAAAAAGUUACACAUAUACAUAAAUAUCUUGUGUUUUAAUUUGUUUUUAUCUUACAAUUAAGUGAUUACAAAAAUUACACUUAACUAUUAUGUCGUUAUUAAAAAAAAUUAUUUUGCUGAUCUAUUUGAUAGUAAAUUUUUAUGAUAAAAAUAAAUAUAAAAUUAUAAAAUAGUGAAAUGUAAUUUUUUAUUUUGUUUCAUAUAGUGACAAAGUGAAAAUAAAUUAAACAGCACCAGAAUAAAUUGAAGUUUAUUCUUUUUUUGUAAUUUAUACUUCUCUAACUUUUAAUUUUUUAAAAUUAGAUUAUUUGGAAAAUUUAAUAUAUCUAAUAGCUUUAUUAGCUAUUAGCCAUUAGUUCUUUUGAUUUUAUUUGCUGAAAAAAUUAAAGCUAAUAAAUUAACAAAAUUAUUGAUAAAUUUGAUAAGGUUCAUAAAUUUGAAAAAAAUUGCUAAAUCUAAAAACAUAAAAAUUUAAGAUAGCCAUAAUAAAUAUAAGGCCAUCUUAUUUUGAAAUAAUAAUGCUAUUAAUCAGAUAUAAUAAAAAUUUUAACUAAAAUAACUAAUCUAAUUUUAAGAAAAAUGAUAGCUAGGUGUAAAUUUAAAAAAAUUUGAAGUUGAGGGGCAAAUUCAAACACCGUAUAGUUGAGAGGGAUUUCUAUGUGUUUUACCUUUUUUUUUUAGAGAUAAUAUUUGAUAAACCUUUCAAAAUUUUUUAAAAAUAUUUUAUUUACCCUAAAUGGCCAAAAUACUCUUAGUAAUUUCAAAAAAUUCCUUCAAACGUCCUCUUGUCCUGUAGUGUUUGCUAAUAAGAUUGGACUUAACAAGGGUACCAUUGAGUGAUAAAUUUAAAAUUUUGAAUAUUAAUAAAGGGCAUACAAAAAUAGUCUUGACCCUUAUAUUUUUUUGGACAGCUUCUGGAAUAGUAUUUCAAAAGAAACUAUGUUUUUCACUUUGCUUAAAAGACUGUUUGGUAUCACGUAAAAAUUGCGAAAACAAAUUUUCGAUGAAAAAAGUUUCCAGUGUAAAACGAGUUUUACGAUUCUAGCAUUUGAUUUGAAUAUUUAUUUAUUUUUUUGUUAAAAAUUUUCAUUUCCCACUUUUGUCAUGCAGAAGGCAAAAUGACAAAUCAUUAGAUCAUAUUAUUCCCUAAAAAACCACUAUCAUCCUAACCCUAUCCUAACCCUAUUAAUCUUCUUCCAUAUGCUUAAAACCUAUAAUCCAAAUACUUAAAACUUAGAAGCACUAAAGAGUUGCACUUUUAAAAGUAUAACAGCUCUCUCUCUCUCUGUAUAUAUAGAGUCCAGCCAUUGUAACUAACUUCGCUUUACCACCUCAAAAGUCAAUAGAACACGGCCAUGUUGCAGUACAGCUCAACACUACCACAGUAAUGCAGAUUAUUAUUCUGAAGUUUCAGGCAAAAGAAACAAUAUGUAAAUUUUCAGAUGAAACAGUUUGAUUAGCUUCAUGUCUAAAUUCCCCUUCAUUUUAGAAACUCCCUCUGUGAUAAGCAGUUUCAAUCAAGAAAAAGCUCUUCAGUGUCAACUAGUGGUGGUUUCUGGGUGCUGCAUAUUCUAAAGGGAAGAUAAACAAAAAAAAAAGCUGUCUUUGUUUACAAAUGGAAUUAACAAUAAAAACCAUAUGUCUUCACAUUUGAAACCUUCCCGUCAGCAAGGUUUGAGUAUAAAUCAUUUCUGCAAAUAUGGACUUAGCUGGAGCACAACUUGGAGUAUAGAAGGCUUCAUGGGCAACUUGACAAACUAACAGCUCUCUACCCAAAAUAGACCUCCAAAAAAUUGGUGCUAAAUUCAAAGACAAUUAGGGCAGAGAGAAGCCACCAUGAAACCUACAGGGCGACUGAGGUAGAGUCAUCUAACCUAGAGCUUGCAGUUCAAGCUUAUAAAUUCUAGAAAAAAAGCUUCAAAUUUUGCCUGGGCAUAAAAGGAGUCUAAAUGAAGGAGAAGAUCAUGACUUUGGUAGUAGAUUUUAAUCACAAAGGCGAAACCAAAUCGAAAUUAAAACACUCCAAUAUAUAUAUGAAUGCCCACGUGCUCACAAGUGCAAAGUGUUGUAGUAUACUUGAUAAGCAAAUAAGCAAAGUUUACGAUAUAAAAGAAAUAUUAUAACAUCAUGACACUGAUUCAACAUUUUGGAUUCUCUAGCUACUACCCAAAGUUUAGGUGAUCUGACACAAUUAGGACAAUAGGCCUUUUUUUAUUAACAUUUAACACUUGCUUUUGUUGUUGUUAUAAUUAUUCUUUGAUCAACUUUUUACUUCCAACAUUAUCUUUCCCAGUCUUUUUGUAGUCAAACUCGAUAAAGCCAAAUAUGCAGCAGAUGAACUAGAAAACCAUAAUAGGAACCAGUAAUGGGAAGAUAAACCAAUGUUCUCAAUUAUAGAUGCCCUUCUGAUCAUAGUUUCCAGGUCUAGGAAGAGAAGAAAAGUUUAUAGUUCAAGCUGCAAUAAGGAUGGACAAUUGGAAAGUUGAUCUAAGAGGAUAAUGAAGUUUAAAAAAAAAGACUACAUGAUUCAAUUUAUUUUUGGAAGGCCUGGUUACAAAGCAAUGUUAACAAAAGAUGCUAGCAUAUUUCCCCUUAGAUUAGCGUGAAUAAUAACUACAGUUUUGAAAAUUUAACUAGAGAAGUGUAAAAUGAUAAAGUCACCAAUGUCAAUGAAUCAAAAAUUUUGAGAACACUUUAAGGGUUGAAAAAUAAUAUUUAGGCAUAAUAUACAUCAACAAGAUAACUGCUUCAUUUCCUUUCAUUCCAAUAACAUUCAUGCAACAAAUGAAGAAUAGUAUCUAAUAAAGCUUAAUCUAAUUUUUGUAAUGCUAUUGAUGCAUCUAUUCUGUUUUCAGUUUCAGAAAAUUUACCUUCUGAUGCUGGCAAUUUGACUUCAUCACAUAUCCAGGUCAUUUCCAACUCAUAAGUCUUAUCCUUUGCUUCAUCAUGCUGCCCAAUAAUUAAAACAAGCAGAUAAAGGCCUAAACAGAAAGAAAGAAAAAAAAAAAAAAAAAACUUCUUUAUUUUAAAGAAUUAUUUGAUUGGAGACAGAUCCUACGUUCCCUUCUUUCUUUUCUAAUCUUCCCAGAGUUCCACCAAGAGAGAACCAUUUUUAUGCUCCAAAAAGAACUAGCCUCAUAGAUUAUGCAACAUAAAGAAGGAUAAUUUCAUCACCCAAACUACUCAAGCAUUAGGCGAUGCAUAAGUAUCCCAGCAAUAGAUAUAAUUACAUAAUUUUACAAAGUAUAUAUCUAAAUAACCAUGUAAAUCAUUAAGAUAUCAUCACACUGACAACAAAAAUCGCUUACAAGAGAUAAAACAUGAAAAUUUUAAAAUUUAAAACUGCUUUCUACCACAUUAGGCAGUCAUGUGUUAGGUGGUAAAUUUCUACUCGAGGUCAACAGGAUUUAUUUGGAAUAACAACCUACUAAUGCGGAUGUCACAAAUCCACCCUCGCCACAAAUUGUUAUCUUUGGGAAUAGAAUAGCGCUGUCCUGGGGAUAUUUUUAACCAGCCAAUUUCAGGCAGGGAUAUCAUCAAUUCAUGGUGGGAUAGAAGGGUAGAGACUGAUGAGACUAUAAGGUCAAAUUAAAUUCUUCCAACCUCAGAAAUUUAAAAAAUGACCAGAACAUAUGGGAGACAGUGAAAGCAACCACACAUUUUCUUUCCAAUGAUAAGCCUUGUCAAUCAAGCAAAUGUGAGAAAAUAUACGAGCCCUCAAGUUGCAGGCAUGUAGAACAAACUAAAGUCUAGCAAUUCAUUACGUGGUGCUUACCAAAUCAACAGACUGUCGCUUUCAAAUUUAAAAAGAUAUUUGUGCAUUCACUCAAAUAUUCAAGAAACAACAUGAUAAAAAGAAAGAAGGCCCUUCCAUAAUUUCUCUCACAUAUUUUUUUCUUCUGAAAAGCACAAACUAGUUUAUGAAUCAUUGGACACACCAUUCAAACUGUUAAAUCAUACAAAUUAUCAGAUGCAGAGAAACAACAUAACUCGCUAUAACUAUUUGUAGGUCAAAGUAAUCUCUGGCACCACAUUUGAGAUGGUAACAUCCAAGAAACUAAUACUUCAGAGUAAGGGAAUCAGCUAAACCUACUAACACACUAAGAAAAGCAUCUCCGUUAACUAAAACGAUCACAGUAGCUAGACAUGUAACUCAGAAUAUAUUUUCUGCGGUCCAAUCGGAGACAUAGUUAGUUAAUUUGCGAAUUAUUCAUGAAUUAUUCACAAACUUUUCAAAAAUCGAAUUAAACAGUAAUUUUCGUGUUUUUUCCCAAAAUUCGAAAGAAGGCGCUUUUUUUUUUUGAGUAAAAGUAAUUGUUGGCGAAUAGUUCGCCCCAAAAAACGGCGCUCGCGGUCGCUGCGACGCGGACUCGCGGAGACAAAAGAAACAAAAAUAAAAAAAAAAAACUUUUCAGAGCGGUUCGCCUAGCCAAAAAAAAAAAAAAAAAAAAAAAUCCCCUUUCUGAAGUGAUCGGCCCCCUCCCACCCCACCCUCCCAAAACCCUAACUUCUCACCCCUGCGGCCCUGCUUCCUCCCCCUCCCUCCCCCUCCCCUCCCCUCUUCCUUCCGGCCGCUCGCCGAACGCCAUCGGAAGCCCUCUCUCUUCAGAAAUCGAAGAUCGAAGAUCGAAGAUCGAAGAUCGGGUUCUUCACUCUUCAGAAAUCGAAACCCUCCUCGUCGCCUCCGCUUCCGCUUCCGCUAUCCAACGGUAGAUCAGUAAUCGGGUGGUUCUUUACAAACCAGGUGCGAUUUGAGUUUUCAUUCUUCAAAGCAAAAGUUGCAAGCUUUUAGUCCAUCUGAUGGAUACUCUUUUAUACACAAAUGGCUCGCGUGCUUAAAUUGAAUGUGUCCAUUCUCUGUUAUGCACAAAGAAGACCAAACAUAGUGCUAAAUAAUCUAAUUAACUUAGGGACCAGGAACCCUGUAAUUAUACCUAAUCAAUUUCAUGAUCUUGUCAACACUUGCAAAAGGAAAAUUGUUUGUGUCUUUCAUGGACCAUUGACUCAGUGGGUUUUUUCUAAACCACUUUAUGUAUCUUUUAUUUAUUUACUGUUUAGUCUUUAGAAUUUAGAUAUGCUAGUAUGCACUAUGCAAAGUGCUGGUUUCAUCUUGUAUUUAAUUUCUAACUAUACUUGUAUGUGAACCUUAAUUAUUUAUUAAAAGUUCGGCAUAAUAUAGUUUACUUUUUUUUUUUACUUAAUUAGUUUAAUUUUGUAGCUCUCUAUUCUUACAUUCUUAAAAAAUAUAAGUAUUUAUGCUAAUAGCAUAAAUUUUGAGAGAAAAAAAAACUUAAUUUAAUAGCCGAACUUUUGAUUCCGAAUUUUUAAUGGGUGAACGUAUAAUAUCUGUAUAAAUUACGUAUCCGAAUAAUUGGUGAAUCUAUUUUUUAGCUUUUUUUUUUCAAAAAAUGUAAAAAUUAGAAGGCGAAUUUUAUCCGAAUUAUACCUAUACCGAAUUUUUGCCGAAUCCGAAUUAACUAACUAUGAUCGUAGAACGCAGAAGCAUAACCCUAUAUACUUUUUUCUUAACUCCAUUUUAUCUAACAACGUCAGAUAGACCUCUUAACUCCAUUUUAUCUAACAACGUCAGAUAGACCUCAAUGCCAAACUAAGCCUUAGAUAAGGCUAGACUAAGAAUUUUUGUUAGAAAAAAAGUAAUUUGGGAAAAAAAUUAAAAUAAAAUUACCUAUAGCAUUAUUUUCUAAUUCAUCUAAAUGAGACAAUAUUAAGAAUAUUUUAAAAAAUAAGACUUUUUUAAAAAUUUACUUUUUAAAUAAGAUUAGGUAUUACAUUAUUUUCUAGUUCAUAUAAAUGAGGUUAGGUUAGGAGUUUGUUUUUUAAAAAAACUAGUUAUAGUGCACGUGCGAUGUCACAUUUAAUUAAAUUAAAUUUAUAUUUAUAUUUUAAAUUUAAAUAAUUAUUGGUGGUAUAAAUCUUUUUAUCAAUUAAUUUUUUUAACUUUAAUUUUUUUAAUGUGUAUCCAAAUUUUAAAAUUUUGAAAUAAUUCUAAAUUUUAAAUUUAUGAAUUCAGAUUUAAAUUUAUGAACAAAACUCAAAAUUUGAAGUUAAUUUUGAAUCCAUAAUUUGAAUCUAAAUAAUUAUUAGAGACAUUGAUUUAUUUAUCAUCCCAUCUAUUUUUCAAAUUUGAUAUAUUUUCAAAUUAAUUAAUUAUUUUCGAUUUGAAAUAUUGUUUACACACCCAAAUAUUGAAAUGUUAAUUAAUUUCAAAUUUUGAAUUAAAAUAUUAAUUCACAUUUGAAAUUAUGAACCAAAUUUAAAAUUUAAAGUUGAUUUGAUAAGCUUAUUUAAAUCAUUCUACUUUUUAAACCUAAAUUUUUUUUAGUUAGUUAAUUGAGAGAUAGUGGAUACUAAAUAUUUUCAAUGUGUAUUACGUAGAUAUUUUCGUUUUUUUUUUACGAGCAUGGAUAUUCUUUUAUGGGGCAUGAAAAAUAUUUUGUUUUUCGAUUGACAAAAAUUUGGAUAAGUAUGAAUUUUCUUUAUUAUCGCAAAUGAAAUGCAAUAUUUUUUCCUACUAAAAAAAGAUCUGUCAACAAUUAUUUCAAAUCAAUAUAAAUUUGUGAAUCACAUUUAUCUACAAAUUUAAAAUUUUAAAUUGUAAAUUCAUAUGGUAUAUUUUAUUAAAAAAUAUUUCAUAUUUUAAAUAUUAGUAUAUAAAAUUGAGAUAAUUUUUAUAUAUUCAUCUUUAAAAAAUAUAAUUAAAUAUUAUAUAUGCAGAAGGUAUUACCUAAUUGGAUAUUAUGUAGGUGAUGCAUAUUACGUGUGAGAAAGAAAAUAUUUAAGAAACGCAUAUAAAAAAUAAAAUUAUGAAAUAUUUAAGAAACGCAUAUAAAAAAUAAAAUUAUGAAAUUUGAUACGCACUGCACUACGUAAAAAAAGUGAUUUAUUAGUCAUGGGAUUAGAUCCAAUAAUUAAGAAUUAAUAUAUUUUAUGAUAAUUUAAAAAUAAAAUAAAAAUUAUACGACUGUGUUAAUUUUGGUAUGGCGUUAUUUUCUAUUUCAUCUAAAUAAGGUUAGAUAGGAAUUUUUUAAUAAAAUAAGGUUAUUUUUGGAAAAAAAAUAAAAAAAUAAAAAAGAUAAGAUAUGGUAUUAUUUUCUAAAUUCAUCUAAAUAAGACUAAAUUAUAUAAUGAAAAAAAAAAAAACGACUGUGAUUCAGUUCCAAUUUUUUUUGCAAACCUAUUAUAUAUCUGUUAGGAUUUUUAAAAUUUUCAUCAAUCCAUAUUCGGUUUUAAGAUAAUAGUUAAUUUUCAAAUUUAUUCGGAAUAUAAUACAAUUCUUUCGGUACAAAAGCAGCCUACGACUUCAAAAUCUCCUGGUCUCUCUCACGUCUUCCAUUUAUUUAUUUUUUUAAUUAUUUUUCAUUCGCAGGUUGUGUACAUGGAGACUCAAAAUAAGAGAGGAGGAGAUCAUGAAGAGUUCACAGCCGCGGAACGGAAAAUCAUGUUUAGGAGUUACAUGUAUAUGAAUGCUGUUAUCGCCUUCUUCUAUUGUGUCGGAUUGGUGGCGUUCGUCGUCUCCAAUUUUUGCCAUUUCCGUUGGGACAUGCCUCGAGUUAGAACAUUCGGCAUUGUCGAGAUGGCGGUGGCAGGCCUUUGUUUCAUCGUAUGGCACGUACUCGUAUGCGUGUUUUUUAUUUUAUCCUAUUUCAUGCAUAUUUAAUAUUUAAUAUGCAAAUUAUUUAUUGGAAUAGUAAUUCAAACUUAAUUAAGAUAUAAUUAGAGAUAAGUUUAAAUAUUUUAUUUAAUUACGAUUAGAAUAUGUAAUUAUUCAAAGUAAAAUUGAAUUUAUCUAUCUCUUAUGAUUUGAUAGUUAUAUAUAAUUAGGUAUGUGUUAAUUAGAUGAAUAAGUCAUAAUCAUAGUAGAUAUGGCUACAUGAGUGUUGCUCAGAAUGUAAUUAAUUAUUUUUUAUUAAUAAAGUAUUAGUUUAGUUAUUUUCUUUCUCUUAAAAUAUUUUUUCAUCAUAUUGUUUUGUUCUAUUUUAGAUUUUGGAUUAUAUAAUCAUUAUCAACACAAAUGUCGAUUCCAACAAGCAGUAUCAGAGCAAAUCACCCUUUCAAUAAGAUUCGAGAAAGAGAGAAAGAGAGAAAAAAAUUUAAUUUGUCGGAUACGAAAAUACCAAAAAAGAUUCGAGAAAGAGAGAAAGAGAGAAAAAAAUUUAAUUUGUCGGAUACGAAAAUACCAAAAAAGAUUCGAGAAAGAGAGAAAAAAAAAAAAAGUAUAAAAUAUUUACGUGAUUCGGUCACGGGCCUACAUCUACGAAGACGUAGCGGAGAUCUUUAUUAUAAUCAAAAUGCUGUACAAAAUAUGCCUAUCUCACAAAACUUUAAUUUUAAAAAAUAUACCGAUACUCUUAUCUGCCGUAUCAACAAUGGAAUAAAAGAUAUAUUUAUAAUAGUGAAUAAACCUAAUACAACUAAGAAUACAAAUCUACUAAAAUUUGGUAUAAUCUAAACUUAAUUUAAUAAAAUAAUUAAAACAGAAUAGAAUUCAAAAGAAUCUUACGAUUCUAGAAUCGGAGACAUACCUAAUAGAAAUUAAUAAGAAAGUUUCACAUCGGUGCACGUAAUUAAAAAUUACAAAAUUAGAUUGUGAGAAAAAUAUUAAUUCCUUCCGGUACAUACGUAACCAAAGUAGGAGUUUGUUAGCCUUUUCUUAAACAAAAAAAAACCACUUUGCUCAGGACAUUUGCUCUGACAUGAGGAAAAAAAAAAAAAAAAAAAAAAAAAAAAAAAAAACAUCUGAAACAAUAAAGCUCCCUUUGCACAUAUAUAGAGAAAUACAACGAAAACACAAUGAGCAGAGAAUUUUUAGUCACCAAAAUGCGCGAAAUAGCUAACACAAUGCAUUAAAGAGACCCGAGCAGGAUAAGAUAGUUUCAUUUUCCAUUACUCGACAUGAAUUGGAUAAGAAACAGCUACCGAUCAUGCAUGUUUUAGUCUUCAAAUUUUACUUGGAGAGGGGGGCGUUCGACCCGUAAUACGUCGCCGGCGGGGAGACGCCUAUCCUCGAGUCUUCACCAUUCGCUUUACCGGGAGUAACAUACGGCGGCGGGUCAGGCUGGUUCCGACACCCGUAGCCACCGUCUUCAAGACGAGAGAUCGUUUUUCUCGGAAUCGCUGGUAAAAAUUAGAAAAAUAUGAGAAGCAUGCUUGACAUUUUAAAAUCUGAAUUUUUUUAAAAAAAAUUCCAAACGGAAGAAAAAUUCUCUUUCACUCCGGAAACUGUUAUCACUAAAAACUAAAAACUAAAAACUAUUAUCUACAAUAUCUCUUCAGAAUAGAUGUGCAAGUUAAAAACAACGCACAUUAAGGCAGCCCACCAGCACUGGGAUAAACAUAAGAUGAAUGAUUAGUAGCUACGCACAGUAUCUAAUUAUGCCCUUCAAAACUUUAAAAAUAUCUAAUAUAUUCAUAGUGAACCAAAAUACAUUCAUUAAUUUACAAAAAUCCAUCAAAUAUAUUCUUAACCGAAGGGUUUACUGAUGGGAUUUAGAGUUUAAAAGAAUAUUUUAGAAAUAGAAGGUUAAAUUUAAAAUGUUUAAAUAAUAAUGAGAGACACAUAAGCAAAAGCCGCUAAUAGUUAAUCACACAAUUAGAAAAAAUUAAUAAGAGACUUAUUCUGGAGUGAUCUUCUGGAAAAUUUUCUAAUAGCUAAUCACACAAAUAGUUACUCCAGGAAGAAGCUAUAUAUUGUUCCAAGGAUUUUUGGCAAUACAGUUCACCAUUAUCAUUGGGUUAUUCUGGAAAUACGCUCAUAUAUUCAUCACAAAUCACAAAUUAAUUUUAAAAAAUAAACUCUGCUAAGAAACAGACAUUACAUGCUCUUAAGUGGAGAGCUUCAACCUCUGAAACAUGGAUGCGGCAAAAUCAUUCGCACGCCUGGGCCGUAUUUGUAUCGAACAACGUUUUUGCAUUGAUACAUUCAUCCAUUACAUGUUCAUAUUAAUAAAAAUAAAUAAAUCAAAUAAGACCAAACACAAUUUGAAACAAAAAGAAAUUAAAUUAUAUGCUAUUUCUAUUGAUAAAAUCAGCCAAAAGCUAGCACUGCUUUGUAGUUUUUAUACACAAAUGCAUCACGUGAUAGUUUGCAGAUAGAACACUACAUUACGAACAAAAGAGAAAAUUACAAUCUUCAUCAGCAUUGGACUUUUUGCGAGCUACUAUUGAGUUAUUCAUGACAAAAUUCCAAAAAUUUCACCUGCUAACUUCAGACACAUUGCCAAACCUUCACGGUUGGUAAACGUCCGGAAGCCGGAGGCCCACACUGGCGGCAGAUUUGUCCAAUAUCUUCUUCACCUCGUCCGACCGAUCCACGGCUAUGUUAUAUGAGAAUAGCAAUUCCUACAAAAGAUAAAAAGAAAAUUGUAAAUUUUUAAAGUUAGGUUCUAACUAAUGAGAUGGGAAGUGGUAAAUUCUACAACUAAGUAAUACGAGAGUUACGGAGUAUUAUGAACUAAUGGAGUAACAGCCAGUUCUAGAUCAAGAUUUAUCAAAACAAAUUUCCUUAAAACUUUAUAAGAACUAAUUUCUCAAAUAGAGAGUUAAUCAUUCAAUAUAAGAUCCAAAAAAUUCAUGAUAAGGCAAUGAUAUCCAAUAGAAAGUUAAAUGAAUUUUGUGCCAAAGGUGAUGACACCGAAAAAUCUACAUAUACAACAAUUUGUGGCUUAGUCUACAGAGAAAUUUAGAACCGAAUGAAUUGACUAACUUUUAUGCUAUGACAAAGUGGUCAUAAAAGAGUGACAAGAAUUACUGCAUGAUCUGCCAAAAAAAAAAAAAAAAAGCAAAAAUAACAAACGAAAAAAAAUAAUAAAGCCAUAUAGAUAGCUUGUAAUAUUAUCUCUAAUGUUAGGGUAACAGAUAAUGAACAAUCUGCAUAUCACCACCUAACUUUUUUUUUUUUCCUGAAAAUUCUAAAAGGGACUGAACGACACCCAGAAUGUGUAGAAAAAAACAGAGAAACCUCACAAAGAACACACAGAAUAACUUCCAAGUUAUUUUCAGAAUAAAAGUCGCCAUCUCAUUGAAUUACGAGUAUAAUGGAACUUCCUAGAUUCAUACUCCGACAUAUCAAUUUCAGUAAGCAUAUCAUGCAUUCCGACUGGUGGGUUUUCCAAUUACAGUACGAUAAUUUCCUGUAUGAGAUUUGUAAAUCAACUAACAGUGAGAAAUCAUCUGACAAUAGGUAGCUAUUCGUGCAUCUGAUUUAGGUAUUCUAAACUUGAAAACAAACAACCAAGAGAAAAUUCUAUAAUGUUCUUGACACAUGCUUGUACCUUCUGAUUCGCAACGCCCAAUUGGGUUGCACUUUUUUCCUGAUUUAACAAAUAUUUCUUAAGAAAGUAAGUGAACUGGAUGGUAGCAUUGGGCACAUGAGCUGCGAUGAACGGCAUAAAAACCCAUCUAUAUACCCUAUAAGGAGUUCCCUCAAUUAUUUCUACCACAAACAACCCGACACCUCUAGUCAGCAAUUAACAGUUCGACUUCCGAAAGAAUACAUGCUAGCAUAGCAUUUUUAUGUGCUAAAAAUCUUAUAACCAAAUAUCUGCUACAGUCAGCCAUUAGAAUGUUUGGCAUUCUAAAGAACUAUAAGAAGCAUCUCAAUCUAAUUUAGUAUAGGAAAGCAGGAAAGGGUGUUACGUAGAGGCUGGUCUGUUCGAAAUAAAACACCAGACAUUGUUGAUGAAUACAAAUCCCACUGUGCCAUGUCAUACAACCUUCACAUAGGGGGAGAAGUUCUACUCAUAGUCCUAUCAAUCAACAUGUAAUAUGAAAAUGCCAAGCCGUCUGUACAACAUUAACCUGAUCAUUGCUAUUUUGCUAUAUAUAACGUAAAUUUUUUGAAAUCUUGCAAAUUUGUUAACAAAGAUGCCAGUAUAAUAAUUCUAAUGAUCAACUAGUCCACUCUAAUAACUAAAUUUAUAGAUCCAGUUGUACUGAAGAACUCAAUGCUAGCAAGCACUACAUCCAAUAUGAUCCUAAUCAAAAGAAAUAAUAAAUUCUUCUAAAGUUCAGUAACUAUCAGAAAGCACAUUUGAUAUGCCACAGUUUGAAGUCAUCUUAAGUUCGUUUCAGCAGAUAGUUCCCAAUUGUCUAUGCAAAAGUUGCAAGUGUCAAUUUAAAUACUUAAGUGCCACCUAUCCAUCCACCAAAUGAAAUUCACGGUUGCAAUACAGAUUGUACAUAGCUCAGUAUAGCUCACCUAGAUGGAGCAAAUGGCCGGACAAUUUUGCAAGCCGGUCAUUUCACCCGAAAUAUCACUGAAAUGCAAUUACAUCACCUAAAUUUACAAAGAUGAAAUUCACCAACCGAACAAUGAUUCUGAUGCAAUCCACCAGAAAGCCCCCAUUUUCAUCAAUUUACUCAGAUGCCUGUUAGGAAAAUUUACUCUGCAGCAGAACACUUAACUUGGCAAGCAAGUCAUUUUCACGUGAAAUGUGAUUGAAGUGCAAGUACGUCACCUGACUUUGAAAAGUUGAAAUUUACCAAACUGAACAAUGAUUCUGCCACAAUCCACUGGAAAGCCCCAAUUUUCGGCAACUUAGUCAGAUAUCCAUUACGAAAAUUUACUACCUAGCCGAACACAUCAAUCGGCAAGCUAGCCAUUUCGCUCAAAACAUGAUCGAAGUGGGAUCACAUCACCGACUUCCGAAAGUUGAAAUUACCUAACUGAACGAGAACGCCCUAGUUUUUGUCAAUUUAGUCAGACAUCUGUUAGAAAAGUUUACCAUCUAGCCGGACACAUAACUUGGCAAGCGGGCCAUUUCACUCGAAAAAUAACUAAAGUGCCGACAAAAUAGUCAGUAAAGACGGCUUAGUGGCACUUGCAACAAUGAAGCUUUUUUUUAAAAAUUGGGGUUUUACUUAUUACUUACCCAUCAUUAGAAUUCAAUAUAGAGAUUCAUUUCUAAUGAGAGUAAUUAGAGGAUUAAAAAACAAAGAGGAACCUUGUGAUGAUGGACGCUGUUGAGGAGGAAAGCAUAGUCGUGCGCGAGCUUCAGCUUGUCACGGACCGCAGCUUCAUCGGAGAGCGCUUUGUUCUUCCGGAACUCAUCGAUCACGUACUCGCGAAAAUGGCCUUUCCCACCAUCUUUCCCUAUGUGCUUGUCCACAGCUUUUAGGAUUUGGCGAUACACGUUCAAAACCCUCGUCGCCUCCUUAGUAGAUCCCAUUGUUUUUUUUCUUUGUAAAUUUUAAAAAAGGAAAUAGAUAAAACAAUGAGAUGUUUCAGGAGGAGAUGAAGAGAAAUCCUGAAUCAAAAAGGCAAAAGAAAAAGUUAAGGCCUUUUUGGUAGCUGCAGGAAUUGAAAUAGAGUCCUAUAUUCCGUUAUAAUAGGUUGGUACCAAAUUAUCAUACGCACACAAAAAAUUAAACUAGGGUUUUUAUUUUUAGGCCAACACAUAAUUAAUUACGGCAUAGAAAAUAUAUAAAUUUUUCCCUAACAUUUCCAAAUCAGAUCCAGGAAAAGAGAGAUUAAAAAAAAAAAAAGGAGAUCCAAAACUAGAUUAAUAAGAAUCAAAAAUACCAAAAAGUGAUUGUUAAGCAUGUCCUGUAAAAAGAAAGAUUGCAACUUAAUGAGAAAAGACAUGGCUUCAGAUCUGACGAAGUUAGCAUAAGCACUCCUUAAAUCGACGAAAAAAAGGAAAAAAAAAAAAAACUUCGAAAACAAUGGGUUUUAGCGAGAGAGAAGAAGUGAUUAAAUAUGUAUGCGAAAAUGGCGAAUGGAGGGAAGGAGAUCGCGAAGAUUACCUCCCAUGCGAGAGAGACAGAGAGAGAGAUUUGGAAACGAUGCUGCUGAUAGGGUUUGGGGGAGAGAGCGGAAUGAGAAAGAGAAAAAAGAACAACGAAAAAGAAGACGAACGAAAAAAAAAAAAAAAAAAAACAGAGAACUUCAAAUACACACCCCUAUAGCUUCAUAUUUUAUUACUUUAAUACAAUGUAUUAAUUUAAUACCCUAUAAUUUUAUUUUUAUUUUUUUAUUAUUGAUUUCACUAAUUUUUUUUUUUUAAAUCAGUAACAAAAUUAAAACUAAAAGAUACUAAAAUGACCAUUCGAUAAAUCUUGGUGGGAGUAUAUAAAAUUUUUUAUAUAUAAUUUAACAAAAUAUUAACGAAAAAAAUGACGAAAAGAUAAAAAUAAAACCACGGAAUGCUAACUUGAUACAUUUUAAAACACGGGACACUAAAGUGAGAAAAUACGAAAUCAGAGCUGGUAUUUAAAAUUUAUCUAAAAAAUAAACAAAAAAAACAUUUUAAUCAGUUUACUAAAUAUCUAAACCUAAUCUGCUAUGAGAAAGAAGAGAGAGAAUAUAUAUAUAUAUAUAUAUAUAUAUAUAUAUAUAUAUAUAUAUAUUAAAUAUCUAAAAUAUAUCUAAAUCUAGUCUGCUAUACUAAAAAAAGUGACAUAUUUUUGCCAAACAGUAAUAUACCUACCAGUGAAGUUUUUAUGCAAAUUGGCCUUGUUUGAUUGCAUAUAAAAAUGACAGAGACAAACUGUAACUAGCCAUUUAGAUGGCAAAGGUGCUCAGACGCAGAGCAAUAAAUAAAUUCCAGAUUUGCUCCUAGAUGAAAUCCUGAGAAAUUAAAAGGCGUUGCGGAACAAAUCAACAGAGACAAGAAAAACAGGGCAACAUAUGCAGUAGCAAUUCAAUAAGGUGAAUAAUGAAGAACAGUAAGCAAUUAACAUAACGAAAAGGCAGUAAAUUUCAGCACCAAUUGCAACAGUAAUUUUCUUCCUCCGAGUUGUGAGCUAUCCCAAGCAUUUCAAGUACAAAGAAACCCUUUGCAGAGUUCCAAAUCAUUUCUCUUACAUGAAACUAUCUGUUCAACUAUCAAGAGAAAUACUCUAAAACAAAUUUCAUCAUGUCCCAGAUCAUGGGAGAUGUAAGAAAGGAACAAGUAUAAUUCAUGCGUUCUUAAUCAGCGUCCAUUUCCUCCAGUGCGGCUUUUGCUGCGGCUUUAGCUUCCUCCAAAAGAUUAUCUGGAACCUGUUAGCAGUGAAGUCAUUCCCACUGAUUAAGCAAACAUGUUUUCCCAUAUAAGAAUUCCAACGAAACAUUUUCACUCGAUUAUUGAUGUGCUUAAAAGACAAAAGUAGGAAAUAGCAAAUCAGAAAGCAUAUGAUCUAAAAUCGUACAAAUCAGUUUCUAAUUAACUUCCCUUGAUAACCUCAGAAGUUGAAUAGAUCAUGGCCCUGUUACAGAAAUCACCCACCUCAAACCUCUUAUGAUAGCAAUAUGGAGCUCAACACUACCAAAGUUAUGUCGAUUAGUAUUUUGAAGUUUUAGGCAAAAAAUAUAACAUAUAAGUUUUUUGACAAAGCCGAUGAUUAGUUUCAAAUUCAAAAUUCCCCUUUAUUCGAGGAACUCCCUCCAUGAUAAGCAGUUUCAGUCAAGAAAGCUCUUCAGUGUCAACUACUGGUGGUUUUUGGGUUCUGCACAUUCUAAGGAGAAGACACAAAAAAUAAAAAAAGAAAGAAAGAAAGAAAGAAAGAACACUGUUUGCAAAUGGAAUUUAAGUACAAACUAUAUGUCAUCACAAAUGUAACCUUUCCAUCAGAAAGGUUACAAAUAAUUUGUACAGUAAUAUGGGUUAGCUGGAGCACAACUUGGAGUAUAGAAGGCCUCACGGGCAAGUUGACAAACUUGCAACAUCUCUCUGUCCGAUAUAAACCGUCAACAACUAAAUUCAAAGAAAAUUAGGGCAGAGAGAAAAGUCACCAUUGAAACCUACAUGGCAACUGAGGUAGAGUCGUUUAACUUGACCCUUAAUGAUCAGGCUUAUAAAUUCUGAAAGCAAAGCUUCAAAGUUUGCCGGGUCAUAAAAGGAGUCUAAAUGAAGUUGAAGAUCAUGACUUCGGAAGUGGUUUUUAAUUGCUACAAAUUUAAAACAUGCAAUUUACCCUAUAUAUAUAUAUAUAUAUAUAUAUAUAUAUAUAUAUAUAUAUAUAUAUAUAUAUAUAUAUAUAUAUAUAUAUAUGUGCGUCUAAGUGCUCACAUUGAGCAAAGUGUUGUAGUAUACUUGAUAUGCAAAUAAGCAAAGUUUACUAUAUAAAAUAAAUAUUAUAACAUCGUGACACUAAUUCAAUAUAUAAAAAUGCUUGGUAUUGGUUUACCCAGCUACUUCUCAAAGUUUAGGUGAUCGCACACAAUUAGAAAUGUAGGACUUUUAAUUAACAUUUAACACUUGCUUUUGUUAUUGUUGUUGUUCAAUGAACUUUUCAGUUUUAACAUUCUCUUUCCCAGUCUUUUCUAGUCAAACUUGAUCAAGCCAAAUAUGCAACAAUGCAACAGACGAAGAAAACCAUAACAGGAACCAGUAAUGGGAAGCUAAAGGUACUCAAUCAUAGAUGCCUUUCUAAUCAUAGUCUCUAGGUCUGCGAAGAGAAGAAAGUUUAUACUUUAAGGGGCAAUAAGGUUGAACAAAAGAAAGUUGAUCUAAUAGAUAAUGAAUGGAAAAAAAAUGAUGUCAAUUUAUUUUUUGAAGGUCUGGUUAUAAAGCCAAUGUUAACAAAAGAUCCCAGCAUAUUUCCACUUAGAUUAUUGUCAAUAAUUAAAGUUUCGAAAAUUUAACUAGAGAAGUCUAAAAUGAUAAAGCCAUCUAUGUCAAUGAAUCAAAAUUUUUGAAUAGAUCAUUUUCAGAGUUAGAAAGUAAUAUUUACGCAUAAUAUAGAUCAACAAAACAACUAUUUCAUUUCCUUUGAUUCCAAAUACUAUGCAAAUAUGAAGAAUAGUAUCUAAUAAAGCUUAAUCUAAUUUUUGUAAUGCAAUUGAUGCAUCUAGUCUGUUUCCAGUGUUAGAAAAUUUACCUUCUGAUGCAGGCGAUUUGACUCAUCACAGACCCAGCUCAUUUCCAACUCAAAAGCCUUGUCUUUUGCUUCAUCAUGCAGCCCAUAAAUUCUGCAUUUUAGGAAAAAGCAAUAAAUAAAAUGGGCAGAUAAACACCUAAACAGAAAAAGGCAGCACUUCUUUAUUUUAAAGAAUUAUUUCAUUAGAGACAGAUCCUAUGUUCCCUUCUUUCUUUUCUAAUUUUCCAGAGUUCCACCAAGAGAGCACCAUUUUUAUGCUACAAAAAGAACUACCCUCAUAGGAUAGGUCCUCUCAAUAAAAAGCUUAUGCAACAUAAAAGAAGAAUACCUUCACCACCCAAACUACUCAAGCACUAGGUGAUGCAUAAGUAUCAAAGCAAAAGAUAAAAUUACAGAUUUUACAAAGGAUAUAUCUAAAUAAUCAUGUAAAUCACUAAGAUAUCAUCGUACUAACAGCAGAAAUCCCUUACAAGAGAUAAAACAUGAAAAUUUUAAAAUUUGAAACUGCGUUCUACCAUGUAAGGCAAUCAUCUGUUAGGUGGGUAAAUUUCUACUCGAGGUCAACGGGGUUCAUUUGGAAUAACAACCUACUCAUGCAUAUGUCACAAAUCCACCCUUUGCCAUAAAUUGUUAUCUUUGAGAAUAGGCGUGUUGUGGGGAUAUUUUAACUAACCGAUUUCAGCGAGGUAUAUCAUCGAUUCAUGGAGGGAUAGCAGGGUAUUUACAAAUAUCACCAGGUAAAGACUGAUGAGACUAAGGUCAAACUAACUUCUUCCAUCUCAUAAAGUUUUAAAAAAUGACCAGAACAUAUGCGAGCCAGUAAGAGCAACCCACAUAUUUUCUUUCUGAUGAUAAAGCAGUAAUCAACUGUCUUAUUCAAUCAAACAAAUGUGAGAAAAAUGUACGAGCCAUCAAGUUGCAGACAUGUAUAACAAAUUAAACUCCAGCAAUUCAUUACAAGGUGCUUACAAAAUCAACAAACUGUCGCUUUCAAAUUUCAAAAGAUAUUUGUGCAUUCAUUCAAAUUUUCAUGAAAUAACAUGAUAAAACAAAAGAAGGCCCUUCCAUAAUUUUCUCCCACAUUUUAUCAUCUACUUAAAAGCAAAAACUACUUUAUGGAUCAUUGCACAUACUAUUCAAACUGUUAAAUCAUACAAACUAGAUAUAGAGAAAUAACAUAGCUUGCUACAACUAUUAGUAGGUCAAAGUUAAUCUGGCACCACCUUUGAGAUAGUAACAUUAAAAAGAAAUAACAAUACAUCAGAAUGAGGGAGUAAGUUAAAUCUACUAGUACAUUAAACAAAGCAUGGUUUUUCCUCAGUUAACUAAAACGAGCACAAUAGCUAGAAAUAGAACUCAACGAAAAGGAAAAUAUUACCGAGUAUAUAUGGGGGAAAAAAAACUAAAGCACCAAGUUGUUUGAUUCGCAGACAGCAAGCACCAACUGAAUAUCAUUGCUGUUCCAGCUGCCUAAAACUGCUGCCACUGCUACUGUGGCUGCUUUAUGACAUUUAUUUUUGCUUCCAAUGCGUAUCAUCUUUCUCACUUCUUAGUUUCUUCCCUCCAUUGCUUUUCUUUACAAUAAAAGGCAUAAUUAUCUGCCUUCAUUGGUGUCUAUAAGUGUUUUCCCCCCCUUUUUUCUCUUUCUUUCAUUGUGGUCCCAGGGUGUUUUGGAGGCGACCAGUUGCUAACUAAGAUAUGACUAUUCGGCAUAUUCAAUGAAUGCAGCAAAUAAUGCAGCAAAUAAUGCAGCAAAAUUAAUCGUCUCUAGAUACAUACGGUGUUAAUUAUUAAGUCCAAAUUUACAACUUCAAACCACAAAAGAUGAGCAUUAACAGAAAAAAGUAAUCUCAUAUGUUGCAGUAGUUGCAAAAAUUAACAUGUAUGGUAAUAAUUAAAUAUUCAAAUCCUAAUAGUACAACUUAUUUUCAUGCUCGAUAGUUAAAAAUCCAUUCAGAUAACAAGCGAUAGAUGCUAUAGAUAAAAGUUAUAUUCUAAUCUCAAAACUGGAAAGAGAAUAUAUAUAUAUAUAUAUAUAUAUAUCAACAUGUGAUUUGAGGAAAAUAAGUCACGACUUCAAGAGGCACUCUAUUGUGUGGCAAUGAGAAAUAAUGAAGGAAAACUUACAUCUUAGCAACUUCAAUAACUCCUUCCCUGCAUGUUAGUUCAGAAAGCUUCAGCUUCUCUAUCUCUCUGCAAACACAAAUCACAGCCAUGUGACUAACAUAGGCACAAAGUCAUGAAGCUACAAAAUUCUCAACCACACUCAGUCACAGAAUGCAAAUAAACGUAUCGCAAAACAUACCAUUAGCAACACAAGAGCCCUAUUCAGUAAUAUAUCACAGAUCGAGAUUAGAAUUAUAUUACAAAAGCAUAAUCUCAGAACAAGUAUUAUUAAGACUGAGAUGCUAGAUAAACUACUUGCAAAGGAGAGCUCACCAUUCUAGUAACAAGAGAACAGUUCAAUUAACAAACGGAAAGCAAAAAAUCCAGCAAGAAAUGGAAAGGUGAUAAUGAACAUACGUUUUGGCCGCUUGCCUUCCCUUCCCCAUUGCAGCACCAAAGUACCUCUGUAACAUUUCCAUCAAGUGAAGAUGAUUAUGAACUCCCGGUAUGAAAAAAUUGAUUAAAUUAGCAUUUCUAGGUAGAAAUACAGUCAGUGCUGAUGUAGAUUUACAUAUAUUCGUACAAGCAGUAUACAACAUAUAUAAUAGUUUUGAUAGAAAAUAGGGGCCUUAAAGCCGAAGAAGAACAAUAAUAUUGAUUUCUUUCUUUGCACUUUAUGAUGCAAACUUACAUAAGAUACACCUGAAGGUUCAACCAUGUAAAGCUGUGGCCCGUCUCUGUCAUAACCUCCAAGAAGAACUCCACAACCAAAAGGUCUGAGCAAGAUUAAUCGCAUUAGGUACAAAGUCUGAACAAAAAGGAGAAUGAGCGUAUUCACCUCAACAGCAGACUCGCUAUGCAGUAGUAAGAGAGAACAUGAAAAGCAUUAUUUUACCUUAGCCACCAAUAUAGUGUGCAAAGAUGGACAUAACUAGCGACACGAUCUGCAAGUUCUUUUACAGGUAUUGGCUCUCCAUAUACUCUAUAAAAAGAACAAACCAACAAUUUGGUCACCUCAGAAAUGAGAGAAAUCUGCAUUUUCUGAGUCAUUUCUUCUUCUUUUUUCCUAUCCUUUUUCUUCAAGGGAAAAGGAAAGUAAGGAAAGAAAAGGGAAGAAGUACUGAAGGACACAAUUUUCAACGGUGUAGGGUGCUAACCUUUCGUAACUUGCCGCUUCUGAUUUUGCUCGUGCAACAAUUUGCCUCCCAUCUGCUGCUAAGCCUGCCACAGCCUAAAUAUAAUGGAGCGGAAUCAAUUUAGACACUUGAGAUUUAAUAAUGUUGCAUGGGCAAUACAUAAUAGAGAUCGACAACAACUGUUAAACUUAAAGUUUGUCAUGCAUAAAAAGCUUUACUCGCUUCAAUUAGAUUAGUAUUUCUGAAGCUUAUAUUUUCGCAUUUUCUGGAAAUGGUACCCCAACUGUUCAGACAAAUAUCAGGACACAUAAAAAGCUUUAAUUUAAGCUUACAAGCAGAUGGCACAAGAAACAUAAUUAACACCAUAUAUAUGUUAUAGAACCAGGCCCAAAUAAUUGUCAACCCACUAUUAAAUAUAUGUCAAAGAGAUAACAAAAAGCAUGAAAUCACAACUAUAUUUAUCCAGUAAAUAUGUAUUAUAUAAGACGUAAUCUACCCAUUUCAGUCCAUAUUACCCCUAUCGUUCAUUUCAAGAGUACUCCCUGAAUGGUACAAAGGAAACAUCUAAGCUUUCCAAAGAAAAAUUAAAAAAAGAAAGAAAUAAAGUUCGGCUUCAAUAUAUACAGUCAAAAAAUAACAAAGCCAACAACCUCAGUCCAUCCCACAAGAAAAGGCCAAGUCAAUACUAUAUCAACUCCAACCUCAAUUUUCCUAAUUUAAACUACAAAGCAUUAUCACUCUCCAGAAGUUACAUUAAAUUGAUGACUGAAUUGAUUGAACCUACAUACUCUUAAAAUCAUUAGCUGCAGUUACAACACCAACUGCUGCUUAGCUUCUACAUCUGCUGCAGCAGGAAGCAAUUGGUUAGAUCUUAACAACACUGUGUGAGUUCUUUUUUCAAUAGCUCUACUCAAGCAACAGGUUUGCAGGAGCUUUAGUUGGGCCAAACAAGACCUAAACAAUUGGAUGAAUAAGUUCCAUAAACCAGGUAAGAGCUGAAGAAAUUUGUAAAGCAUUGGUUUCCUUACAGUCUUGUCCCUACAGCAUAGUAAACACGAAACACAAACUAUUCUUUCAAAUCUAUUCAUAAAAUCAAUAAAACAGAUAUGAAAAAUUAUAUUUCCAUGAUAACCACUCAAUCCAAGGUAGUACUAAUUCAAUCUGAUUGCCUUCACAGACAAUGGAUUUUCUUUCUUCUAAAAAUUUUCCUGAAUUAAUAUUCUUCUCUAAGUAUCUCUUCUGUCUAUCCAGUAUUAUUCAUCACAAAAUUGCAUGCGACAAGUAUAUUGCAUCGAGAGAAGGCAAAUGGCAAUAUUGCAAUUGCAUAUUACAUUUCGGUUAGUUACGUGGUACAAGAGCAUGAAAGUAUUAGUCCUACUUAUAUUCUUACAUCAACAAUACAAGUAUUUAUAUCUCUUUAGUUUAUCCAGUAUUAUUCAUCACAAAAUUGCAAUUGAUAAGUAGAUUGCAUCAAGCAGGCAAAUGGCAAUGUUACAAUAGCAUAUUAAAUUUCAGUUUGCUAUGCGGUACGAGAGCAAUUACAAGCACUGUGUCCUACUUAUACUCUUACAUCAACAAUACAAGAAUUUAGAAGCAGUCUUACAAGCACAUUUGUACAGGAAAGCUACAAUGCAAUAAGUGAGAGCAACAUCUCAACAUGGAUAGCUUUGUUAAAUGCAGAUACUUUAUUCUCUGAGGAUUUCCAUAUGCAGGUCAGUAAAAUGCAAAAUUCAGAAAACAAAUCUAAUUUCCACAUCCAUUUCUAUCAUGAUGAACCACAAAAACAGUCGGGUGGGUCAAAUACACCGAGGAAACCCUAAACUACCAAUAAUCAAUUACAGAAAAGCUACGAAUAAUGUGCCAAUAAUCCACCUUGUCUUAUGUAUGGCAACAUCUACACAAGUCAUUACCAGCACAAAAUCAAUUCAAACGAUUUCCAAGAGAAUUAAGUGGCCAAAAAGCCCAAUACACUUCACUCUAAGCUAAUUGAUCGUCUACUACUCUACUGCAACUACCAGGCAAAUGAGUGGCAAAUGAUCAAAAACAAGUGAAAUAUCUAAAAAGUUCACCAAAAAAUUACCAUUCCAGAGUGCCGGUGAACCGAAUGGAUCCUCCGAUUCGACCCCUCCAGCAUCAUCUUCGAAGAGAUCAGCUUCUCCACGCCCUAAAACCCACCAAAAUAAAAACUUCAUCCAACAAAAAGGCGACACAACACUUCUCAGAGCCUAUAAUCCAUACCAAAACUACCCCAUCCUUGCAUUUGAUCCCAAUCACGGUCCUAACACAACAAACAUCAAAAGAUCCCAAAUUUAGCUCAAACAAGAACUAGGAACAGCCAACAAAAUCCCUAGAAAAAGCGUAACAGCGUCGAAUCGAGAGGAUCGGAGGAUCAGAGGAACGAACCCGCUGUUGUCGACGGCUUUGGCGGCGUACUCGAUCUGGAAGACGCGGCCAUCGGGGGAGAAGGUGGUGACGGAGAGGUCGUAGCCGGUGCCGAUGCUGCUCAUGGCUAUCGCCCUCUUCUUUCCUCUUCCUCUUCUUCUUCUUCUUCGCGGCGAUGGGAUCGGAUCGAAUCGAUUGUAGGAAAGAGAAAGCGCAGAGGUCGGGGUUUUUAACUUUUUAAUCGGAGGGUUUCUUUGGCGACAAGAAGGUGGAGAAGGAGAUCCCACUGUCGGGUCGGGUUGUAAUCACUGUAGCCCCUACAAUUUUUUUUCCUUUCUUUUUUUUUUGGGGGUUAGUAGGGGUGUAAUAUGGGCCAGCACGGCCACAUUAAUCCGGGCUGAAAUGGGCUAGGGGCUGGGUCGGCCCCGCCCGACAUCAAAUCCGAGAAAGGCUCUGCAGGGCCCAAGCUCCCUAGCCUACGGCCCAGCACGGCCCCUUGGCCCGGAAGGCAUGGGCCGUACGGGGCUGUGCCGUGCUCCGGGUUGCCCGUAUUUCUUUAAAUUUUUUAAAAAUAUAUAUAAAAUCUAAAAAUAUAAAUAAUAAAUUAUUUUUAUUUAAAUUGAUAUUUUGAUUAAAAAAUUUAAAAUUUAUAAAAAUAAUUAUAAAAUAAGAAAUAUUAAAAUUUAUUUAAUAUAUAUAUAUAUAUAGAGUGCGGCUAGGAUGUUUAUGGAAGCACGGAGGGCUCCGUGCUUCCACUUUGUUUUCGAUGUUCGGACUUUUAAAUCGACGAUCGGCUUCGUUAGACUUGAUCUAGAGUAUUUGAAGUAUCUAAAAAAUAAAUUUUGCUAUUUUUCGAUAUCAUUUGCCUAGUGAUCGAAGUGGCUCAAAAUCAAUGGCUGAAAAUAAAAAUCUUACAAAAUAUGAUGAUAUGACAUUAAAAUUUUAGAUCAAAGUUAUUGAUCUUGUAUAUUGGAUAAAGAAUUUUCUAUCAAAAUUUCACGUGAUUUGGAUAUUUCUACACCGUUAAACUUGCAACCAGCGCUCAUCACGGUCAUUAAAAUUAUUGAUUUUGAGCCCCUCGAUCACUAGGCAAAUAAUAUCGAAAAAUCACAAAUUUAUUUUCUAGGUACUCAAAUACUCUAGAUCAACUCUAACGGAGCUGAUCGUCGAUUCGAAAGUCCGAAUAUCGAAAACAACCUGGAAGCACGGAUGGCUCCGUGCUUCCAUAAGCAUACCAGCCACUCAUCUAUACUAUCUAUACUAUAUAUAAAAGCACGUAUAUUCAAAUUUGGGCUCUUCGACAGACCAUUUUCGGCGGAAAAUUAGCGCCAUUUUCCUCUUUUCGUACGAAAAAUUUUAAAUAUAAGAAUAAAAAUAGAAAUAGAAACAGCAAUGAAUACGUAAGUUUUCUAUAACAGAUUACUUGAUGUGAAAAUCCUAAAAUAUAAAAUUUCUAUUUAAUUUCAAAAGUAAAUUUUCUAUAACAGAUUAGCGUGUGAAAAUCCUAUAAAAAAUAUUUUCCUAUUUUAUUUUUAAAUAUCUUUUUUAGAUAUUAUCUAUUUAAUUUCAAAAUAUAUUUUCUUUUUAAGAUAACGGAUUUUUUUUCUAUUUAAUUUCAAAAAUUUAUUUCCUAACAGAUUUUAUUUUUCUACUUAAUUUUAAAGUAAUUUUUGCAUUAGAGAUUAUUGUUAAUUAUUUUAUCAUUUAAGCAUAUCUUUCUUAAUAGCGUGAUUUAUUAUUUUAAAUUUUUAGAUACAUAUUUGCAAUCAUAUAAAAUAUGGGCUAAAAAUUAAAAAUAAUUUUAAAAAAUUAUAACUUUUUUUAAUAAUUAUUACGUGCAUUUUGCAAGUACAUUUUACUGUAUAUAUAUAUAUAUAUAUAUAUAUUAUAUAUAUAUAUAUUAUAUAUAUAUAUAUCAUAUAACUCUCUAUUAAUCGCAAUGUUUAGAGGUACGUGGCAUAACCUCAAUUUUUGAUUUUUUUUUUUUGUAACCUCAUUUUUUAGGGUCUAUCUACUCUCUCUCUAUCACAGUAUAUAAAACUGUUGGACUCCUUAAACGGUCAACAGUUAUCUUUUAUAAAUUAAUUUUGCAAGUUCAAUGAGUUGGCAAUUACUCACUUAACUUCUUUUUUUUUUCUCAUAAAGUUAACAUGUCUUUUCAAAUUACAAAAUUUUUCCUCAUUAAAUUCUUCCUAAUUAAUUUUCAAUUUAAUUUAAUGCUAAACCUUAUUUAUAACUAUUAUUUAUGAGACCUCUCAUCUUCUUAAAAUUAUUGCACCUUAUCUAUGGUUUAUGAUUGAAUCUCAGAGGCAUUCUUAUCAUUUGGUAGAUCCAAGUCCAUGGCCUAUUUCGGGUUCACUCGGAGCUUUGGCAACCACUGUAGGAGGUGUGAUGUAUUUAUUCUCUACUUUUAAUUCAGUUGUUAAUUAGUAAUUAGUAAGACAAUUGUUAUUUUUUCCUUUUGAUUUUUCUUCUCUACUAAUUUUAUGUUAUGAGUUUAAUUAUAAAAUAUUUAUUUUAACUUUUGAAUUAUUUUUCUCUAAUUUAUUAUUGAUUUUUUUUAGGUUAAUUCCUAACGAAGCGAUCAUGAGGAUAAAAACAAAUAUAAGUGCAAAAAAAAAAAAUCUAUUUUUAUACUAUAUUUUUUAGUGCAUGUUAUAUUAUAUUUUUUCAAAGCAAUUUUACAAAGUAAAAAUAAAAAAUACUUAAAAGAAUUCUAAAAUUCAAUAAAAAAGUGAAAAACACUGUAAAAAUAGAGUUAAAGAAGUCCAAAUUAUUAGAGUUCCUAAAAAAAUAAGUUCAAGAAAUACCCCUCUAUUUUGUAACAAGUUUUUUAUAAAUAUGUUCAUUUGUAAAUUUUCUUCCAUAUAAAUUAUUGAUUUUUACAACUAAAAUUUAUUAGAUAAAAAAAAACAAUAACUUUGAAUAGGUUUUUGAUAAUCAAAAUUUUAAUUACAUACUUAUUGUAUUUAUAAGGAUAAUUUAAGUAGAAAGCUAUCAUAACCUUUUAAAAUAUUUAAUAAAAAUUUAAUUUAGAGAUAAUUAUUUUGUAUGUCUCUCUAAAAUUUUAAUUAUUUUAUUUGUCUCUCUAAAAUUUUAAUUAUUUUAUUUGGCUCUCUUAAAAUUUAUAAAAUUGUCAUUCUUUAUGAGUUGAGAUAUUAAUAUUAAUUUUUUCACUAUAUAUGAAUCUCUCUUCAUCUCCUCUUCUUUUUUGUUUUCGGAUUGGUAAGUGAUAAAAAAAAAAAAAUUUAUUUUUGCAUUGGUAAAUGAUAAUUUCUUUUAUGCACAUCUUAUAGUUUAAUUUUUUUAAAAAAAUUUUAUCCGCCGCAUCGCGCGGAAGUCUACGCUAGUAUAUAUAUAUAUUUGAAAAAAAAAGAAGAGAAUUGAGUAGCUUUUCGGUCUAAUGGACUAAAACAAUUUUGGCCCAUUGGACCAAAACCACUCCUAGGCAGACGUUGGAAGGAGAUCUCCUGGGAGGAGGGCAGCCUUCUUGUCUCCCUCCCCCGGAGAUCAGACCCCAGGCCUGGGGUUCCGGGCCAUGCUGGCCGGUUAAUACGGCCCAAGCAGACCGUGCCGGGCCACCGGCCUUUUCUCGGCACAGCACAGUCGAAAUCCAUUUCGGGUCGUGUCGUGCACCCUUAGGGAGAGGUGAUUGAUCAUCAUUGGUGAUACUUUUGUUUUACACUGCUCCUUACAUUUAUUAACUAGGGUCAAUUGCUUAUAUACUUUUUAAAAUUUCUCAACUGUCUGAUUUACCUUUUCUAGAAAGCUAAUAUUAAAAAUAUUUUUUUAACAUUCCAAAUUAUUUUAAAUAUACCCUAGAGUUAAAUUCUGGCAACCAUCAUUAUUUUUGUAAAAUUAUUAUUUUGCCCUUUCAAAUAUACUCUUCUGCAGUUCUACUAUCACCAACUUUUCUUAUUUGCCCUUAAGUUGUAGGCAAAAAAAGUAUUUUAAUUUUUUGUAUUUUCAAAUAUACUCUUCUACAAUCACCAACUUUUUAAGGGUAAAAGAGAUAUUUUGAUUUCUUUGGUCCAUUUGCAUAAAAAUUCAUAAGUUUUCAGCUUUUGCAAAUAAUUUUGCAUAUUCAAGCCAAAUUUUCAACAAACUAAUCAAAAUACCCUUAUUUCCUUCUCUCUCUUCUUUUUUUUUUUUUUUUUUUUCCUUUCGUUUUUUUUUUUUUCUCUCCAACCCUCCUCGCCUCCUCUACUGCAUCCACAGCCCUCUCCACCCCUCAUCGCCUCCUCUGCUGCCUUCGCGGCCCUCGGCGAUGGUAACGAGAACGGCGCCACAUCAUCUUCCUCCAUUUCCUCCUCCGCCGGUGUUGGCGGCCCUUGGCGACGGUAAUGAGGGUGGCGCCACCUUCUCCACCUCCGCCGGCACCGGAGAAGGAGAAGAAGAACUCGAAGUGUGUGAAGAUGCACACAUGAAACAUCCUUUUUCAUUUUGUUUGUGUUGAGGACUUCUUAAUGCUGUUGGAUAAAAAAAGUUGGGCAAAAAGCAUACAAAUAUCUUCCCAUGGACAACAAAAAUAAUAUUUUAACCAUACUAGUGCGAUUUGUACAAUAUGUUAUCAUUUCUACUGUAUUUUUUCUACUGUACUUUUUCUACAUGAAUUAUAUAUCUUAUCCGCAAUCUGAAACUCAAAUUGGAUAGCGAGAGAAUAAUAUAUCUUAUACGCAAACUCAAACUCAAUUGUUUCAAGCAAGGCAAAAAUGCUGGUGGGGAAGAAAACCACAAAGCAGGAUUUUCACAACAACAUUUGAGAGACAGAUCUAAUCCAAGCUAGCAAGUAAGAAGAUACAGAUGUUACAAGAAGGUGAAGGAAUGUGAUAUAAACAAAAACACAUACGGCAAAAACAAGUGAAGAGGAAAAAAAAUUCUGCAUGAGUAUAGCAUCAAAACAGGCCCAUCAAUCUUCUAUAACAAACUACCAUUCAACAAUCACUCAGAAAGAAAGAAAUUUGACUUCUCUAUUAGUCAAGACCAAAAAUGAGAAAUAAAAUAUUGCAUGCUUACAAGUAUAAUUUCAAUCUACUGAGCAUAGCUUUUCUUGAGCAUCAGAAAUACGGAGGAAAACAAAUUUAGUCCUUGAUUUCACUUCCAUGACACAAAAGUUUGUAAUAUUCAAAGAUGAAUAUACAAUUGAACAUCACAGAAAUAGAAUGAAAACUUUGUAAUCUAUGAUAACAAGGACAUGGUUAUCAGGUGCUUGAAGAACCUUGAUCAUGAUUUGUGCCUUGUAAACCUAAUUCCAAUGACAACUGAGGCUUUAGCUGAUAAAGUUCCUUGUGUUCACGAGAGUGGAUAAACUAUUACCUAUUUAUGGUGAAAAAAAGCAGUUACCCAACAAAAUAACUAAUUGCAAUAUAAUUUAGCUCACUAGCUCUUUGAUGUUUCAUAAAACAUAUGAUGUGAAAUUAACGGUACUACUAAUCAAGCCAAACUGCCAAACCCAGGUAUGGAUGCAUAAGUUAAACAAUACAAGAAAGCCAUUUUCUACACAGAAUGAGGUGUGCUUGAUGCCAACAUCCAAUUUGAGUAAUCAGUGAUCACGUUUGAGACAAAUUAAUUACGCCACAAAUGACAAAUCUAUCCACAAAAUCAUGAAAGUUUCCUCCCGAGACGAAACAAAUGAUUAAAUAAAAUUAAUCACAAGAACUGAUGUGAAUAUCCCAAAAGAUACCCCAUAAGGUUACAGUAUCUAAACAAGGAGCCCAAGCUAGGGCAAACGAUCUACCAAAGGAAGUACUUGGCUUCAUUUUAGUGCUGAUUAACGCAGUUCAGAACAUUCACCAAGUGAAACACAACUAUUUGUGAAAAGCCAUGAAUUGCCCAGAUUCUCGAAAUGCAAGUGAUUAGGGAGCUUCAUCAAAGAGGUCAUACAAUCCUCAUCUGCCUAGAAGAAUCUUGUUACGAAACCUUCCCCACGAACAGACUCCAAUAUUGAAAACUUGAAAGCUCAAAAAUCAACACUCCACAAGUUGCAUUACGAUGUAUUUGGAACCAGUAACAACAUUCCAAUGCCAGUCAGAACUUCAAAAACUCUGAGAUGUGAUAAAAUAUCUACAAAUGAUUAUCCAAAUCGACUGGAGUGGUUCUUCCAUAUAUUACCAAAAACACAAACUCCACCAAAUUAAUGCUCACAAGUAAGAUUCUAACUUGACGGAUCAAUUGCCUUGCCGUGAUCUUCAUUAAGUGUUCUUCUUAACCUUCUCAACCAUAUAUCAUAGUCCAUCGCAUACGGCGUCCCACAAAUGCUAUCAACAUAAUCAGCAAAGGCUUUAAGCACUGCAGAAACGUCGCCGAGCUUCUGCUGAAUAAUUCUUCUCGACCAGGACAUUUCCCUCCACUGAAGCGCCCCUUCGACGGAAUCUAAUUCCGGCGAAGUCCCACCACAAGAAAAAUACAACAGAUAUAUUAAACUUUCUGCAUCAGACGCCGCACAUAGUUUCCCUUCGUGAAGAACAUACGUAGAUGAGAAGAACAGAUUCAUCGACGGUCGGUCCCGUUCUUCAAGAAUAGCGUGGCCCCACCCAAUAAGUACAAAAUGGGGAUGCUUUGCACCAUUGGUUACAUAAAUUACAUUUUCCGGGCGAAUGUCACCAUGUCUAAUUCCGACUGACGAUGCGGCAGCAAGAGCAGACAAACAAUCGUGGCAGCACCUAAGUGCUUCUUCCGUGCCAAAUAAGCCGUUUCUUAUUAGAUUAGAUACGGUUUCACCAACUGGAGAGGUGACAAGAAUCGGAGUACCACACCAUGGAUGACCACAAGUCCCAUUAGAGGUAGGCUUGUUACACUGGCCAGGGUGAAUUAUACGCCCGGAUGCAACAACCCGUGGUAGGUAUUUGCUCGAUACACCUCUUUGCUUCAUAAGAGUUAACACUUUUGUUUGUCUUUGAACUUGGUACCACAGAUUCAUAUCCUCCCAUGCCGGUUCCAAAUGCAAAGGACUCGAUCCGACAUAUAAUAAAUAUUCUUUUGUGGGCUCUUCUACUGGACUGGCACUAUAUAUAGGAAAUUCGCUAUUAAUUAAAACUUGAUUUAUCUGGAAACCCUUUUGCCAAUUUGAGUCCUCCAUCCAUAAAACUGAUCCUAAUUCAAUCUCCAAAGUUUCUUCAGGUUCAAGCCUAACUGUCUCCUCCUGGACUUCAACAAUUUCAGGAGAAUGGCUCCGUUGCUGGAAACGAAACAAGCCAUUUCCAUUAACAUGCGUAUCUAAUAGCUGUCUUUCUGAUCUCCUGCUCUGCAGCCGUGAACUGUGUUCUGUAGCUAAAUCUUCAAGAGAAUACUUCGGCAUUCCACAAAACGUAACAAUAGAGUGGAAAGUCGCGAGCAGAACCUGGAGAGUCCCAACGUCUCCCCAAUUGGCAUUCCCUAGUUUGUUCCAGAUCCGGUCGAUGGGUGAAACAGAUAUUUUAGCAUGUUCUUUGAACCAUUGGGCUGCACAUUCGUAUACAUUGUUAAGAUCAAAGUCCAACUUUGUCACAUCGCCUUCAACUUUUACUACCCCUCCAUAUUGUGAAUCGAAAAGAAGUACAUAAAUACAGUUAGAGUUGCGAAGAACAGUAGAAGAUCUGCUAAGCCUUCGGGAGAGAAGAACACGAAGAGCAAAGAAAAGUGCUUCUCCUAAAACAGAGUUAGAAGGUUGCUGAUCAUUGGAAAGACUACCUAUAUCAGGCCUCAACAAAGCUAAUUCGAGAAUCUGGUCCCAUUUCCCAUGCGAAUGCCGGCUGUUUUUCAGCAAGAUGGCUGUUGCACAAAGCCCUUCGAGCUUUCCGCUGGCAAUAGCUUUCUCGGCAGGAUAGAAUUUGGAGCUCGUGCUGUGUAUACAUGCAACUGAAAAGGGCAUAGGCACUUCAUGACCCCAAAAUGUCUCCCAUAGGCCCUUAACACUUGCGUGUAGAAAAUCUUCAAUUGCUAUAUGGGCAGUAGCUUCGACGGGAUUGGAUGUUGACGCGUAAAGAGUGUUUGGCAUCCGAACCAGUUGUUGAAAAGAUAUGCCUUCGAGGGCAUAAUCGAAAUUUUGAAGUUCGGUGAGUUCGAAUGGCACGUCAAAGGUGGCCCUUGUGAAGCCCGGAUCUGAGGGGAUUGUGGAGAACCACUCUACAAGAUUUGAGGUCAGAAUCUCACAGUCGACAAAUUUGCGGAGGAAGUCCUUGUAGUUGGAGGACGACGAACCGUGCUGCCGGCCUCGGGAUGACACACUAGACCUUUUCAGCCUCAACCCACCUGACGUAGAGUCGGGGGAGCCACCUGUUAACAGUGAAGAUAUUACUGUGAUGCUCAUGCUUUAAGUUACCAAAAAAAUUGAAGAUGCUUCAAGGAAUAAGAAAUAAGCAAUCAAGAAGGAAGGUAAGAAAUCCUGCUGUAAUGAAUCUCACUUUCUUAAUUAAUUAAGUAACAUACAAAUAAAUAACAAAAACGAGGUACAACAUACUACUAAAAGUGUGCUAGUCCCAGGAAUAGAUGAAAAGAAAAAAAACACCAAUUCUAAUUUGUAGUUAAGUACAUUCAUGCAGAACAUAUGAUAUACCUAUAUUUAGUACAUAACAAGGGAGAAAAGCUCCUGAAACAUCUGAGACCACAACAUCAUCAGAUCAACUCCCGAUAGAACAAAUGCUCAUGAUCAAUUAGUCAUGAAGUAAAAAUUAACUCCAGUCAUCUUCGGAAACUCGGAAAGUCAAAAUUCUGUUGAGUUCAAACGACUAAACCCAGGACAAGAAUCUAGAAGAUUAAUCACUACAAUACUGAUAUAAUACGGAGCAUGGCCAGAAGUUGUGUCUAGCAGACCAAAAAUAUGAAGAGAAUCCUCCUAAUAUCCUCUGCGGAAGCAAGAUCGGUAGAAAAACAAUAUUAAAUGUUGGCUAUCGAUUAUUAGCACUGAACUCAUCACAACUGUAAAAGACAUGAUGGCUUUAAACUAUGAAAAAUAACUAAUUCCUGCUAUCACAGAGUGCCAUGCUUAGAUCAUGUGGGUAUUGAACUUCUAACCAAAACUUGCACAAGUUUGGGGUUGAGUAUCUAAUCUGUAUUUUGUAUGGUGAAGUGGAAGAAUUCCAACAGCCUCCUUCCGAAAAAAAAUAUGGAGAAGAAUAAAAUUCUAUGUAGCAACUCUUUGAUAUUUAAGGCGGUAUCUUCCAUACUUAAAACUGAAUAGUGAAGAAGAUCCUUAUGUGUGAAUAGCUAUACUAUAUGUAUGCUAACAACUUACAUGAGACAUUUUACCUAGCCAAAAAGAACCUCCAGAGUGAAGCAUGGGCAUGGCCUAGAUAUGCAGUUGAUAUGAAGUUCAUGGACUUACAACAACUGUUAUACAUUAGUCCAUGUAAAAGAAAUGAAGGCCUCACUAGAAUAGUGCAUGUGACUAGGGAGAAGCUUUUCCCUAUGAUAGAAAAGGGUGAUGGAAUUGACACUGUACCUCCCACAUCUUAAGAAAUUAAUAAACUGCAGGCAAAUAUUAUAUUAUUACCAACUUCUAAACGGAAUGCUCACAAAUAAGUGACAUUUUCCAUUUGCCAAAUCAUAUGAACAGGCAGCGUGAUGAUGACUGAAAAGCUACAUCGACAUGAACUGAACCUCUCUCAGCUACAGUGAGACCAAGACACAUGUAAGCAGUAUUCAAUUUUAAAGACAAACUCUAGAUAAUGUCCCGAUUCAAAGAGAGAGGAUGUGUUUUUAUCAAGUUAGUUUAGAAGCUGUAAGAUCUAAGAUUGCUGUCUUUUUCUCCUUAUACUUGCAUUCCAGGAAAAGACCCGCAGAAAUUCUUGGUGCUUUGAAGAUCAGAAAAGGCAAACAUAUAACUUCCUAUAUGCCCUUCUGAAAUAAAAUGUAGAGAUAGAUUUCAUGAAGCUGAUGAACAAUCCUUAGCACUAGAAUUUGAGAUAUAGACAUGAAUGUUUACCUUACCUUCCUUUAGCUUCCUAUGCUGUCCUGGAACUUACCCAAGUACAAUUACAUAACUAACAACCUUUAAUCUCAAGUGAUCCACCAGCUUACUAUGUCGAAUCACGACAAAUUGGAAUAAGGAAAGUUUGGCCUAUCUUGAAUCCACUUGUCUUCCAAUACCAAAUCAAGCCUUACAAAACUGUACAAUGGUACUCACAAACUCACCAACCUAAAUCAAUUCUGACCAAAGGAAUCAGAUCUCUAUUAUUAAAUGAGAAAAAAAGAAAAAGACAAAAAAAGAAAAUGCUACAGCGUGGCCGUGGCAUGAUUUAAGUGCCGUGGCACGGGGUCGUGCCGAAAACUUGCUAACACAGUACGGCACGGUGCGUAUUGAGCCGUGUCAAUGCGUGCCGGUUAAAAAAGUUCUUGUGUGCCGACACAUAAUAGCAUGAAAUACUUAUUUUCUUUAACAACAAAACAUUCUAACUAUUUAUUAUGUCUUUUUAUCACAUCUUUUGAACUUUAUUGAGAAAAUUACUUACUAAUUUAAAUAAUAGAGGGUUUUGAGCUGUGCCAUCGGCACGGGGUCUGUAUCGUGCCGGUAUCUUGUUGGCACGAUACGAUACGGUGGAUACGGCCCGUGCCGACGGGCACUUAAAACCUUGAUCCCAGAUGUGUUAAUUAGUUCCAGUUUUUGCUGCCAAGCAUGCAACUUGCCAAACUGUUUAUUAAUGGUAUCUUAUCUGACAAGUUAGAAGAUUUUGUUCAAUUCCUACCAAUCUAAGCUAGUAAAUUAGCCCAAGGUUUCUCAUCAUACAAGUGUCUUUGGAUAGUUUGAGAUAUAAACCCUGUAAAGAGAAUCAUGACAGGUAACAACAGGAGCAACAAAACAAGCAUACUCAGGGCAAUCCAUGACUUUCUUUAUACUCGUUUUUCGAUCAGCACAAAAUUGAGAAAUUUUCUACUAAUCAUCCUUUGUAGAUAGAAAAUUAAUACCCUAUGAAAUAAAUUCAGUUUUAAAAUUUUACUUCCACAUCUUGCAUAAAAUAAAAUGUCAUAUGAGUGUUCUUCCCUUAUAAGUAAUCAUAACACAUGACUUAAUUGUAUUGAGAGCUCUAUUCCUACCUCGGCUAAGAAUUUUCGCAGUGAAUCGCAAUUAGCAUUCUAAUUCCCUAUUAAUCCCAAUGCAAUACCCAAACUAAUUACCGAUUACGCACGAGUACAACUCCCCCUACAUCAAAUUCCCCAACCCAAACAACUUAUCCAAAGAGACAACAUAAAAUACUUGCCCAAUUCAACUUCCCCGCCCCGUGGCAGUAACUCCUCAACUCAAACCCUAGCUCCCAAUUCCAUCAAAAGCCCACAACCCACAUCCCAAUCCCCACCACGCUGCUCGUCCCCCACAUAAACCCCACUCCCCCAACCCCCCCGAAAAAAACCCCCCUCCUCAGAAAACCCUAAAACCACUAAAUUCCCAUCCCCAACCACAAAUCACCAUCCAAAAAACCACAAAAUCCACAGUAUUUCCAACAGAUCCGACACAAAAACUCAUUUCCAAGCACAAACAAAAAGAGAAAAAGAAAGGUUAUUACAACCCUUCCAACAAAGCAACCCAAUUUCCUCCUCUCACCUUCCAUCAAUCAGGUCGAGGGUUUCUUCUUCUUAUUGAGGAUAUAAACAGAUCUCCAUCAUCACCAUCAUCACCAUCGUCGUCGACGUCGUCGUCUUCUUCCCACGAUUUCUUCCCCGACGAAGAACAUCCGUCGUCGUCGUCGUCGUCGUCGCCGUCGUCGUCACCGGCCGAAGAACAACAAAAUAUUCUCUCUCUCUCUCUCGACCUGCUGCUGUUCACCCCUAUUCAGUAAACCACCUCUCUCUCUCUCUCUCUCUCUCUCUCUCUCUCUCUCUCUAUAGCUUUUGUUUUGUUUGUUUUUUUUCCUUGGAUUUAGGUUCCUCGUGACGGUUAUUUUAGUGCGGCGAGAUGAGACUAGGAGAGUGUGAUGAGAUGAGAUGAGGUGAGAUGAGAUAUUGUAAUAAGCGAAAUUUGGGUUCGGGUAGGGAUGCCAACGGGUUAAAUUCUGGACGAAUUUUUAAAAAUUUAAAUUUAAAAUUUAAAUUAGACGAAUUUUACAAAUACAUAUCCAAGCCCAAACCUAAACCUAAAAAUCUAAAAAAAUUAUUUCCAUUUACAAAUAUUACAUUAAAUAUAUAUUUUUUAAAAUACAAAUUCAAAUAUAAUAAUAUAUAUAAUAAUAAUAGAAAAUUAAUAUGGGUUCGGGUCAGGUACAAUCAAAAUCCACAUUCGAAUCCAAAUCCGUUCGGGUUUUUGUUUUUUAUAUACGUAUUCAAAACUAUCUUUGUUUAGUAUCGAAUAAAUUCGUUUCGUUUAAAUUCAAAUUCGGAUAAAAUUUGGGAUACAGAUAUAUAUAAGAUAACCGAAAUUUUAUAUAUAUAUAUAUAUAUAUAUAUAUAGAGAGAGAGAGAGAGAGAGAGAGAGAGAGAGAGAGAGAGAGAGUUUUGCUAGAAUACUAUCAGCUACCGAUUUAUUUUCGAUAAUAGAGCUUCCAAAUUGAUGAUCGGCACAAUUAAAUAUGAUCUAAACUAUUUAAACUAUCUGGAAAUCAAAUUUCACACAUUUUCGAUAUUAUUUUCUUGCCCAUCAAGUGAACAGAAAAAUGAAUGGCUGGAAAUGAAUAUCCUUCAAAAAGUGAUGAUAUAAUUUUUAUAUUUGAGAUCUAGAGUUUAGAUCUUAUUUUAAAUAGUUUAAAGAAUUUUUUAACAAAAAUUUAGUUAAUUUGAACUCUUCUAUACCAUUAAAUGAGCAAACGUACCGUAUCGGCCAUUAAAAUUAUAGAUUUUGUGACCCUUUGAUCGUUCAAUUAGUGAUAUCAAAAAAUCAUGAAAUUUGAUUUCUAGAUAAUUUAAAUGGUCUAGAUCAUGUUCAACGGUGCCGAUCGUCGAUUUGGAAGCUCUAUCAUCAAAAACAAAUCGGUAGUAAACCGAACAGUUUAUUACCGAUAGUAGCCCAGUCAAACUAUAUAUAUAUAUAUAUAUAUAUAUAUAUAGAGAGAGAGAGAGAGAGAGAGAGAGAGAGAGAGAGAGUUGAGCUAGAAUACUAUCGAUAGCAAACGGGCUCUGUUGCCACCCAUUUGUUUUCGAUGAUGAAGCCUCCAAAUCGACGAUCGGCACCGUUGAACUUGAUUUAUACCACUUGAAGUGUUUAGAAAUCAAAUUUCAAAUCUUUUCGACAUUAUUUGCCUAAUGAUCAAAGGGUUUCAAAAUUUGUAAUUUUAAUGGUCGAUAUGAGACGUUUUCUCGUUUAACGGCGUAAAGAUAUCCAAAUCAAUUGAAUUUUUGUUAGAAAAUUCUUUAAACUAUUUAAAACAAGAUCUAUACUUUUGAUCUUGAUUACAAAACUCCUAUCAUCAUUUUUUAAAGAAUAUUUAUUUUCAGCCGUUCAUUUUUGUGUCCACUCGAUGGAUAAAAGAACAAUAUCGAAAAUGUAUAAAAUUUGAUUUCUAAACAUUUCAAGUGAUGUAGAUCAUGUUCAACGGUGCCGAUCAUCGAUUUGAAGGCUUCAUCAUCAAAAAUAAAUGGGUGGCAACGGAGCCCGUUUGCUAUCGAUAGUAUUCUAGCUCAACUCUAACUAUAUAUAGAACUAGGCUGGAAUGCUAUUAAUAGCAUCAAGUUGUUGGUUUAUUAGGUUUGCGGCCCGGAUUGUAGAAUUCCUGAUUUUUGGGUUGCUUGUGGAACUCAGCAUCUGAGGCUUGGCAACACAUCUAGAGAGUGUCGGGACAAGUCGGAGUUGUUUUGGCGUGAAAUAGACGCAAAACGGACUCAGUGCGACGCGGGAGCAGAGUUUGACACUGAAAUCUGCAAAGUGCAGAUUUUUAGUAUUGAGUACCGGUACCAUGCAGGGGAGUAUCGGUACCCCAGUGUAUUCUCCAAACUGUUACUCUCGGGUUGCGAUAAUUGAUACUGAGUACCGGUACGGCAUCGGGCUGGUACCGGUACUCCAGCUGGGAUGUUGAGUAUGUGAGAGAAUGGUCUUUUUGGUUGGUGGAUAUGUACGCCACCUACUCCCUUUUUAUGUUUAUCAACUCAACUUGGUCAGCUUGGAUAAUUAUCAUUUUCCUCUCUCUCUCUAGUUUUGAUUGUGUGCUUGGUGGAGGCCACGGCUUGAGCUCGGAUCGACGUGAGCGCGUGGACGUCGCGGUUGCGCCGUUGGAGGACGGGCGAGCGCGUGUUUUCCCUUCUCUCUACUUCUCGCCAUAGUUGGACUAGCUUUUCGAGGUGGGUUGAAGUUUGUCGAAAUGGCCGGAUUACCUCCAAAGUUUUUAUAUCAUCAACAUGUAUCGUGUUUAUUUUCUUGCUAGUACUCAAAUUCCUGGAUUAGGUUUAAAAUAUGAAUUUGGAGUUAAACUAGUAGUAUAAUUUUAUAUGUUGGACUUUGAAUUGACUUAGUAGAAAACUAUUAAAUUCUACACUGUCACUUUUUGAAAACUACCAGAUUCAGCUUUAGGAGCUGUGGUUUGUUUGUAUCGCCGCAGUUUGUAUGCGGUAGAUACUCAGAGUAGUGUAGGAUGGGUUUACGCUCGUGCUGGGAUGCCGAGCUUAUUUUAUAGUAGUGUGUAGAUUGUUUCGGACUGUCGGGUGCCGUCGCGGUUGACGGUGGACCCAGAUUUCUGUAUUUGCAUCAGAUUGUGCCAAGGGCACGUGAGUUUUGGUUGUUAGACCCAUUUACUUUGGUUAUAGCCUGUGAGAGUCUGAUUGAGCUUAGCAGAGACACGCUUGAAUACUCGGUUGGGUAGCGCCCAUGAGUGCCACUCCAGAACCGGGCUUUGUGUUUUUGCGUUGUUGUCACAACAGUCCUGUUUGGACGGUGCUUUAGGACUGGCCACCUCAAUGGUGGUGUGCGGUAUAGCUCGAACGCAGGCGGGACGGAUCUAUUGGCAGUCCCUUGAUAGUAUAGUCGUUGUUGCAGGGGAUGCAUAUCUACAGAUAGCUAGAGUUAGCUAGUGAUAGUAUAGGAGCAUAUAGCUGUAGGGUUCCCGGCUUUCCUUACUAUCUCUUGCAUACCAUUCUGUAGACUUAGUGGCUGAGUCGUUGAGGUCGGUAACGGUACCCACUGAGUACUACUUCUUUUUGCAGUAGUUCUCACACCCCGUUGUUGAUUCCUUUUUGCAGAGCCUUCUUCUUCGGCUGCUGCUGUCGCUGAUACUGAUCGUGGAAAGGGAGUCGCGAAUUAGAUCCUUUCCCUGAUUGCAGUUCUAGAGGAGUACCAUCUACAGGUAGUUUUAGGUUUUGGUUCAUGUACAUACUUAUGCUGGUACUUGCUGGAGCGAGUGAUGUCUGUAUGACUGUAUCCUGAAGACUAUAUAUGUAUAGUGAACCUGGUGUUAUUUAUAUAUGUUUACAGUUCUGUUAGUAGCUCUAUACUACUAACUGUAGUUUUAUAUGAUUACAGAUACAGAUACAACUAUGGCUUCGUAUACAGAGAAAAUUUUUUUAUAUACGGCCGGUCUAUUGGCGUGCUCGAAAAAACGUUGUAAUUUGGGGCGUGACACGAAUUCUCUCUAUAUAUAGAGUCCGGUUGGGAUACUAUCAAUAGCACCAAGGUGCUACCAAGUUUUUUGCCGUUAGAUUUAACUCUAUAACUAUUUUCACCCGCCAUAUAUAUUGUAAGUUCGUUACUAUAUAUUUUUAAAAAAUAAAAAAAUACAUUUUGUAAAUUUUCACCCUAAUUCAGUUAGCUUAUCUAUAUCACGAGUUAAUUAUAAUAUUAUUUAUAAACUAACUUCCUAAUUUUGUUUUCUUUAUGUAUAUCAUAAUAAAUAAAUUAGUUAUAAUAUGCCCAUGAUCAAUUAGUCAUGAAGUUAUUUUACUAUCUUAAUAAAAAAAUAGGGAGACAUAUCUACCUAUAUAUUUACAUUACUAUAUUUUGCUUUUUGGAUGUUACUCAAUACCAAAUAAGCCCUUGGGUGAUCAGAAGGCAUUCCUCAUUAUUAAAUUAUAUUUGGAAUAUUCAAAGUAUUUAAGUGCCAAAUUUAAUCAUUUUUUUUUUCAAAAAUCAUUGAUUUAGUGAUUGAAAAACUUUGAAUCAUAAUUAUUGAUGGUCUUUAAUAGAUGUUUUUAUUUUUUGAAAAAAAUCUCUAAUAUACCCUUCAAAACUCUAAAAACAUCUAAUAUAUAUAUCUCUAGUGACCAAAAUAUUCUUAUUGAUUUUUAAANUGCCAAAUUUAAUCAUUUUUUUUUUCAAAAAUCAUUGAUUUAGUGAUUGAAAAACUUUGAAUCAUAAUUAUUGAUGGUCUUUAAUAGAUGUUUUUAUUUUUUGAAAAAAAUCUCUAAUAUACCCUUCAAAACUCUAAAAACAUCUAAUAUAUAUAUCUCUAGUGACCAAAAUAUUCUUAUUGAUUUUUAAAAAUUCUUUCAGGUAUCCCUAAACCCUCUAGGAUUUAGUAAUUGGAUUUGGAGUUUAGAAGAACAUUUUGAUAAUUUCAAAAUAAAUUUAAAAAAUUUUGAAUAGUAAUCAGAAGUAAAUAAGCAAAAGAUCUUUUAUUUCUAUAAGGUGUUUAGCUUUUACUAUUCAUUUUGCAACCUUUUGGUGCCGUAGAUAAUAAUUUGGAAAAAUAUAUAAAAUUUAGCUUCUAAACAUUUCAAAUGCUAUAGAUUAUUUUGAUGAUGUCGAUUUGAUAGGUUAAAAGAGUCUUUGUCCUCCUAAUAGUACAGUAGCUAAGUUCUUUAAUUUGAGUUUGAAAUUUUGGUAAUAAAUUAUAAUCAAAAUUGGAUCCAAUUUAAAAGUAAACGUUCGAAUCUAGACCCAAUUUAAACCUUCUGAAAAAAGCCUGUACCAAAUUAGAAUUUUAAUUCCAAAUUUAGGUAUUCACAAUCCAACUAUUAUGUUCUUCCAGGUACUAAAUUAAAUAAAUUAACAAUAAAACAUGCAAUUAAGCUUUAGUAUAUUGUAUUUUAGAACUAUUUUUUAUUUGUCGCACUACGUAGUUAUGUAUUUAGAAACAUCGCCAAACUAUUACAUUCUCUCGCCAAUUUAGAGCAAUGCUACUGACAUAGCCCAAAGUGUACGAAGAUUCAGCAACAAUAGGCCAUUUUGAGAUAGAGUCCUCAGCUUUUAUUAUUAUUAUUUUUUAAUGAGACUCUUCCAACACCUAAUUUUCAAAAAUGUAAUAAUUUUAAUAAAACAGAUAAAAUUUCUACAAAAUUUAUUAGUGAGUUUACUAAAUUUAAUAUUUUCAAUCAUAAUUUUUACGAGAUAUAAUUGGAUAAAUAAACGAUUAAUAACUAAUAUUUUUAAAUUUGAUAAACUUUUUAAAAUAACUAAAUAUAAACUCAAGUGAAAGUUUGAAAGCUAAGGAAUCAUGAUAAAAAACUAAAAUAAUACUAGAGAGAUCGAUGUCAAAAACACAAAUAGUUGACGUUAUUUAUAUACUUUUAUAUAAAAUAAUGAGAGAUACUAUAUGUACAUUUAAAAAGAGUGCAUUAGGGGUUUAAAAAAUUUGUUGAAUUUUUUGUAUUUAAAAGAAAUGAUAAGUUUAGAGCCAAUUUUUAAUAAAAUGUGAGAGUGACAGAUGACCAAUAAAAAUUUAUUGUCUACAUCAAUUUUUAGUCCCACUUUAAAAGUCUCUUAUUGGUCAAUUUUAUUAAGUAUUCAUUUCUCGAGGUUCGUUGGUUAAUGAAACAAUAUUAUCGUGAUCUCCAAAAAUGUCACGAUAAAUUGACUAGGUAUUGUUCAUGAGUGAUAUANAUAUAUAUAUAUAUAUAUGCACACAUCAUUUUUAUUCUCCAACUCUAUAUAUAUGCACACAUCAUUUUUAUUCUCCAACUCUAAUGUCCGUUGCAUUGAGCGUCAUCUAGCGUUAUUAUGUAAGAAAAAAUUAGAACAAUAUAAAAAACAUAUUUCUUUGAUUUUUGAUAGAAUUAUUUGAUUUUUGAUAGGACUAUAGAAAUAUAUCUAAGAUAGCUUAUGUUUUAUAUUUUUAACGGUAGUUUAGAAAUAUGUCUUAAGUAACUCGUUGUGCUUAUGUAAUAUUAAUUAUGAAAAUUAACAAACUAUUUUAUGGUAAUAAAUUAUUUUUCAAUUAUAUUUUUUCAUCACACAUAUUCUGACAGUCAGUAGCAAGAAUUAAAGUGUCCAUCGGUACGGAUUGUAUCCACCGUGCCAUAUUGUGCAAACAAGAUAUCGGCACGAUAAAGUCCUGUGCUAAUAACACAAUUCAAAAUUCUUUAUUUUUGAAAUUAAUAAGUAAUUUUCUCAAUAAAAUUCGAAAGAUUUGAUAAAAAUACAUGAUAAAUAAUUGACAUAUUUUAUUGCUAAAGAAAAUAAAUAUUUUUUACUAUUAUGUAUCGGCACACAUAUAUUUUUGUGACUGAUACGUAUUGGUACGGCCCGGCAUGCACCGUGUCAUACACCAUGUCGGCAAAUUUCCGGCAUGAUCCCAUAUCACGGCACUUAAAUUCUUGAAUCGUAGUGACUAUUUAGGACUCUUUGCAUACUAUUGAAUGUAAAGGAGCUAGCAAAAGUACGUGAAGAUAUGCUUUUCUGUUUUAUGAUAAAAUCACAAAAGUUAUAUUUUAAUCGACUUAUUACGGUAUACGCAAUAUAAUAUUUAUUACCAAAACAAAUAAACAAUUUGUACUUUUUUUAUUGCAAGUAAUGCAACCUUUUCAUGGUUCCAAAAGAGCAUAAAAUUUGGAAGAUAAGAUGGUAAUUUAAUUCCUCUGAAAAUCAUUGAAAAUUAUUUUUUUAAAAAAAUUUAUUUUUAAGAUAGAAGAUCUGGAAAGUAAAAAAAAAUGAUAAUUUUUUCACUAAAUUUUUUAAAAAAAUUUCAUGGAAAAACUAUUUUCUUUAGGAGUCAAAUGAAAGAAAAAUAUUUUUUCAAAUCAGAAAACUAUUUUCUGAAAUAUUUUAAGGGCCAAUUUACAUAAAAAGUCACUAGUUUUGCGAUUUUGCAAAAAUGGGUCAUUAUUUUGGAUUUUUCAUAUUCGGAUCAAAUUUUCAAAAACCUGACAAAAAUAUCCUUAUUCCACUCUCUCUCUCUCUCUCUCUCUUUCUCUCUCUCUCUCUCGUUCUUUUUUUUUUUCUUUUCGAAGAAGGCGGUGGAGGCAGAGGCGGAAAUGUCGUGUAAAUAUGAUUUCAAAUACUAUAAUUAUUAUCUCUGAAGAGGGCGGUGGAGGCGGAGACGGAGGCGGAGGCGGGGACGACCAGCCUCGCCCACACGCCCUCGCCCCAGCCUACCUCCGACCUCAUCGAGGCUGCGCUCGCCGUCGACCGCUGAGGCGGCCUGCCUCGCCUUUGCCCUACACGCUCUCACCUGCGCCCCCUCAACCCCUCGCCCUCCGAUUCUGCCGAGGCCGCGCCGUGACCUUUUUCUUUUUUUUUUUUUUUUUUUUUUUUUUUUUUUUUCCAACCCUUCUCCACUGUCUCCGUGGUCCUCCACGACGGUAACGAGGACGUCACCGCGUCCUCUUCCUCCGCCUUUGCCCUCCACCUCUACUGUAGCAAAUUUUUCGCUUAUCAAACCUACUUCUAGAAACUUGCCGUCAUUACCAUUGCUGCCGACGACGACGAGUAAGCGCUUCUUAGCGUCGAUAAGCUCGCCGGUAAAGGAAAGGGCAUGCGGGCCACCGUGGCGACGAGCGAGUAGAGACAGAGGAGAGCACGACAACAAGGUUGAAGGCGAGGAGGGCAGAGGGUGGAUGCGAGCAUUUCUGAUCGAGCACAUUUGUUUGCUUAAAAUAAAAAAAAAAUUAACUAAAGGCCAAAAACUAAAGAAUAAAGAGUAACAACUAGAGAAGAAAAAAAAAGAAGAUAAAAUUACACUGUUUUAGAAUUACAUUGCGUUGUUAUAAACGUAAAUUGUAUUUUUUAAUAUGUAAACUGCACCCUUUAAGAUAAAAGUUAUACUAUUUAUACGAAAGUUGCACUCUUUGAAAGAUAGUUAUACUUUGGGAAGAGGAGAAACAGUGUAAAUAUCUCCCAAAGAGUGCAGCUUUUAUCUUAAAGGAUACAAUUUACAUCUCAAAUGGUGCAACAUACGUUUUUUACAGUGCUACGUAUUUCUAAAAUAGUGCAAUUUCAUCUUCUUCUUCCUUUUUCUCUAGUUUUUUUUUUUUUCUUAUUCUCUAGUUUUUUAGCCUUUAGUUAAUUUUUUUUAUUUUAAAUAAACAAAAGUGCUCGACCAGAAAUGCUGCAGUGGAGGUAGAGGUGGAGAUGGAGGGCGAAAAGAAGUUGGGCGUAGAAGAAGUAUGAGGAAGUAGAGGGAAAGGAGGAGAAGGAGAAACAGUAUAACUAUCUCCCAAAGAGUGCAAUUUUUAUUUAAAGAGUGUAACUUCUAUCUUAAAGGGUACGAUUUACAUACCAAACAGUAGAAUUUACGAUUAUAAUAAUGCAACGUUCUUUUAAAACAGUGCAACUUCAUCCUUUUCUUUUUUAUUCUCUAAUUUUUGACGUUUAGUUAAUUUUUUUUUUAUUUUAAGCAAACAAAAAUGGUCGACCAGAGAUGAUCUCGUGCACUCCCCACCCUCAUCUCCUCCGACCCCGUCGUCGCGCUCUUCUCUAUCUCUAUCGCUCAUCGUCGCCCCGGGUGGGCACGGUGGGCCGCGUGCCCCUCCCUUGCCAAUGAGCUUCUCAACGUCGAGAAGCGCUUAUUCUUCAUCGUCGGUGGUGGUAGUGAGGACGACGGGUUUUCAAAAGUGGAUUUAGUGGGUGAAAAAUCUACUACAAUAGAGGUGGAGGGCGAAGGUGGGGGAAGAGGACGUGGUGUUGUUCUUGUUACCAUCGCGUAAGGCCGCGGAGGUCCUACGUUGUUCUAAGCGAUGGGGGUAUUAGGGACAUUCGUGCCCCCAAGCUCUGGGGCCUAAGGAUUCCCCUUAAAGUGAAAGUCUUUUGCUGGCUCAUACUUAAGAAGCGAACUCCCACUAAAGAUCUCUUAGCAAAAGAGGCUGGACGGGUAACGCCGACUAUGUGAUGUGUGGCGGAGAGGAGGAAACUGUCGAUCACCUUUUCUCUCGAUGUGUCUUUUCUAAAUUUCUCAUGGUAAUGACAUUAGAGGACGCCCAACUUCUAGACUUGGGGCAGGGUGUACUUUCGACGUGGGAUAGUCUGGCGGCAAGAUCAAAUGUGCACCCAAAGAGGGAUAGACUCAUCGAUUUGGUAGCUGGCUGGUGGGUUAUCUGGAAACCAGGAACGCAGUAAUCUUCCGGCAGGUUCAGCCGAACCCUACCCAAGUCGUUACCAAGAUUACUCAGCUAUUCAAACUAUGGGAGAGUUCCUUCGCUAUCGGUUAGUUAAUUCAGCUAGUCAAACAGUUUUUUUUUUUUUUCUUUCCAGCUCCACGAGGCCCUGUUGCCUCACCCAUGUAGCUUAAUUCACUUCUUCAAUGAAUGAAGCGGAUAGUGUGCUAUCCAUUCCUCCAAAAAAAAAAGACCGUGGAGGUAGUGGAGGAGCGCGGGUGAGGGCGCGUAAGGUGAAGGCGAGGUGGGCGGGGCGUCCCAGAGGUCAGCUGCGAGCGCAACCUCGACGGGGUCGGAGGCGAGAAAGGCAGGGAGUGCGCGGGUAGGGGCAAGGGCACACAGGGUAGAGGCAAAGCGGGUCGCCUCCGUCGCCCUCUUCGGAGAUAAUAAUAAUAAUAAAAAAGAAUGAAAGCAGAAAAAGGGAAAGAAAAAAAAGAAGUAAGGGUAUUUUGAUUAAUUUUUUAAAAUUCGAUCCGAAUCUGUAAAAUUCAAAAUAGUGGCAUACUUCUAUAAAAUUACAAAAUUAGUGAAUUUUUUAUGCAAAUUGGUCAGAAAAACCAAACACUCUCCCCUAAAGUUAAAAUAGAAAACUAUUAAAUUAAUCGGGCCAAAUACAUAACAAUUUAAUUUUUAAAAGAUUUUACUUUACUGUCUUACUAGUGUUUAUUUAAUUAAUUUGGGUCAUCUGGUCAUUCUAUCAUUACAAAUUUAAACGCAUGGUUAUUAAUGUUCUAAUCAAGCAUGUUAGAACCAUUAAUUAAUCAACUCUUCGGCCUGCGUAGAUGUAUAAUCAUUUGGUCCCCCAUAUAUCUUUUAAAAAACCUUUAUUUAUUGAAAAAAAGUAUAGCAAUUGAAAAACAUACAAGUAUAUGUUAACAACGACUGAGUAUUGUACUAAAUAUUUAAGAAUCUAAUGAAUAAUAGCUAAUUAAACUUUCUAUAAGGAACCAACACAAACUUUUAAAUAACUAUCAUAAAAGAAAAUUUUAAUAGACACUAAAUUAUUGCUGAAUUAUGUGUUCUUACAUUUAAGAUCUUUAAUUACUUGUUCUAACAUUAAUUCAAUCUUAAUUAUUCUUCAAGUUUUAUAAUAUAAGGGUGCGUUUGGUUCGCGCUAUCUUUUUAAGAUUCCUAGUAAUCCAAUAGGAAUAAAAAAAUAUGACGGUGUUUGGCUAACGCACUAAGUAUUUUUUUAAGAUUCCUAGUAAUCCAAUAGGAAUAAAAAAAUAUGACGGUGUUUGGCUAAACGCACUAAGUAAUCUAGUUAGUAAUACUAGAUUUACUUGGGAAUGAGAUGCAUCCCAAAGUACUAAUCUCAUUCCUUUGAGAGAGGGUGGGUAUCCUUAUAUUAAUAGAUUGGAGCAAUUAUAAUAUGUCUAAUCUCUUUUUUUCUUCCCACCCGCCGGCUAGUUGGUAUUAUUAUUUUUUACACUCUAACCUCAUAUCUCUCUCUAAACUUAUCUCUCUUUUUUUUUUCUAAAGUUCAACUCUUUUUCUCUCUCCAAAUAAAUUAAGCUAUUUCUCCCUCUCUUUUUCUAAAAUCUCAACCCUCUCAUUCUCUCUAACCUCGACUCUAUUUCUCUUUCUAUUUAUUUAAUUAUGCUCUCUCUUUCUAACCUAUAUUCUCUCUUUCUUUUUUCUAAAAAAAUGUUGAAAUUUUUUUAUAGUAUUAUUUAAAAUUAAUUAAUUAAUUAAUUGUGUAUUUUUCGUAAUUUUAAAUAAGAUGACUAUAUAAUAUGACCAUACGAACCAAACACGGAAAUACUACAUUCUUGGUAAUAGGAUGAAUAGGAAUAAGAUUCUCGGAUAUCUUUUAACUCUUAGUAAUCUUUCAUAGUGCGAACCAAACGCACCCUAAGAGUCAUUAAAUAACUCAACUCAUACAAGUUAGAAAAUAUGCAAAAAAUUUAUUAAGAUUGUUAAAAGUCAAAUAGUUCUAAGACUGACCACAAUUGAGGAUUAUACAUUGGCAAACCCAUCCAGAAAUUUUUUUUUUUUUUUUUUUUUUUUUUUUUUGAGAAACUUAAGUGUUUAGUGUAUUUUCAUUCUGUUAUUAUACGAUUGUGUCAUUAUUUCACCGUAAAUACCUGCCGUAAAAUAGAGCAUUAAAAUGUUAAAAUUUAUAACUCAAAAGGAUAGUUCUAUAAAACCUGCCGUAAAAUAGAGCAUUAAAAUGUUAAAAUUUAUAACUCAAAAGGAUAGUUCUAUAAAAAAUGUAGUAGGCUAGUAAAAUACAACACUUUACAACAUUGUGAUCCAUAAAAUAUGAUUCUGUAUUAUCUUAUGAUUUAUAAAUUUUAGCAUUUUAAUUUCACACUUGACUACGCUGACAAAGAAAGGAUGUCAGAGAGUAAAUUUUACAUUCCCUCGUCCAAUUUUUUUUUAUUAUACUAAAAGCCUUGAAAAGGUUUUUACAUUUUAGACGGAGCAUAAGAUGUACACUAAAAAAAAAGCCUUUUUUUUGCAAAUAGCUCCCUUACAAUUUUUUUUUUUUAAAUUAGCCCUAUCAAAAAUUUAUUUGCAAAAAUGGCCCUGGCCUCGCCACGCAAGCGCCACGUCAGCGCCACGCGAGCGGGGCUGGGCCAGAUGGUUAAGUUGAACACGGUGAACCAUUCACCGUGUUCAAUACAAAGUUUUUGUAUUGGACACGGUGAACCAUUCACCGUGUUCAAUACAAAGUUUUUGUAUUGGACACGGUGAAUGAUUCAUCGUGUCCAAUACAAAAUAGCCAAGAUCGAAAUAUUUGUAUUGGACACGGUGAAUCAUUUACCGUGUCCAAUACAAAUAAUUGGACACGGUGAAUGAUUCACCGUGUCCGAUACAAAUACCCCAACAAUGACUAAGUUGGAGGUAUUUGUAUUAGACACGGUGAACCAUUCACCGUGUCCAAUACAAUACAAAAAUUUUGUAUUGAACACGGUGAAUGGUUCACCGUAUUCAACUUAAACAUCUGGGCCCGUCCUGCCCGCGUGGCGCUGACGUGGCGCUGGCGCGGCAGGGACAGGGUCAUUUUUGCAAAUAAUUUUUGGUCGGGACUAUUUUUGCAAAUAAAAUUUGUCAGGGGGCUAUUUGCAAAAAAAGCCCCUAAAAAAAUAUUGUUCAAAUGGUUUAAACCUCAGUACUAAAGUAAAAAUACGGUAAAUCACAGGGGGCAAAUUGGAGUUUUCCCUUUAAAGUAAACUUCGAAUGGAGUGUGAAUAUCAGUUUAAACUAUAAUUAAGUGCAGUUUCAAAUUAAUGAGGGAGGAAGAUCACCAAAAACAUUUAUAGCACAACAGUAAUUUUCUACGGUUGAUCGAACCUCAUCAUUUUCACUCAUUAAUGCGACAUAAUUAUCGUUUUUAAUUAUCUCCUUUACUUUUCCCCCGUAGAAGUUACUCAAUUAUUAUCAUAAUAAUAAAUCAACAAAGCAAGAUCAAGAUCAAUAAUUUAGUACAUAAUAAAUACACGUUGUUUUUGCAAUGUUUUAAAAGUCAGGUCAAACUGUGAUAUAAAAAUAUUACUGGGUCAAUGAUCACUGAUUGAAUCAGUGGCAUCAGUACGACGUUAUAGAUUUUUGUUUAUUAUUUCUAAUUUUAUUAUAUGAAAAAUAUUUAUAUAUUAUUAUUCUAGUAACAUACUUAAUUAUAAAUAUUAAUUUCUAGGCCAAGUAGAUAUAACUUUUUAAGUUCCGCUUUUAGAAGACUAAUUUGUGCUAAUAGAAAAAAAAAAUAACUAAGUUGAUUUUAAGCUGUUAGAUUUUAAUAUAACUUAAUCAAAAAACUCGGCCGGUUUGAUUAAAAUCGGAACGGCGGUUCGAACAGUUCAAAAUAUUAAUAAUAAUUAAAUAAACCAACUAUUAUAUUAUACUUUCCUGUAUAUAUGUUUGCGGCAUUGCAUAGGUUGGACACUAGUGAAAGUGAUUUAAGAUAUAUCCAAUCCAAUAUGCUAUAAUUGAUACAAAGGAUUUUUUUUUUUUUUUUUUUUUUUUUUUUNUUUUUUUUUUUUUUUUUUUUUAGUUCUAUAUAGAAAACAUGCAUAUAUAGGGUUUACAGUUAAAAGUUCAUAUAUAAACAGUUCCAUAUUAAAUACUUAAUAAAAAAAGUAAAAAAUUAUUAUAUACGCAUAAACUUUUUAAGUUCAAGCAGAUGUAACUCUUCUAGAUAUAUCAUAUCCUUCUAACAAAUGGAGUUAUAUACGUCGGGAUCAGGUCAUAUGCUUUCUAACAAAUGGUAUGAGAGCUAAUAAUGUGACGCACGGGCUCAGUAAUUCAUGCAUUUAAAAAUAGUUGGACUCGGAAGAUUAUGUUUGUCUCUGGGUACUGGACCAAAAACUUCCAAAUAAAUAAAAAUAGACUUAGAUGACGUUUAUUAAUUUAAUAUUCUAUAAAUCGUAGUUAAUAAUCAAACCACUUCCUUUGUCAUCACUGGGAAUCAUGAUAUAGAGUGAUUCGUAAUACGUAAUUAUAUUGGAUUAGAUGAAUAAAUUAACAUCGCGUUUUCCACAAUAUUUGUUUAUUUAAUAAAUCACCUUCUCUCCCGUUUACAUUAACCCCGGAGUUUUUUUUUUUUUUUUUUUGAGAGAAAGGUAGCACGCUAUUCGCUUCGUUUAUUUCAUUUAAAAAUAAACUUAGCUGGAAAUGUGAAUCAACUAGGAUUCGAACUUGGGAUCUCGGGUACCAAUCACCAAGCCUUUUGCCACUUGCUCCAGGGACGGUCGGUUAACCCGUGGAGUUUACUUCUCAUUUCUAUAUAGCUUAAUUUUGUUUAGAAAAACAGUGAAGUUCUUAAUUUACCAUUUGACAAUGGAAAUUGACGGUUCCUGUGACGCCCAACUUCUCAGGGGGUUAUUCAUUUCAGGACUACUCUAAUUUUAGCAAGUUUAACUCUCUUAACUUUUUGGGUAUAACCACUAUCCAAAAUGUUAUAGCUGGGUUUACAGUUUUAGUCCUAUUACAGUUUAUAUAUAGGACUAUCCAAGGUUUCACAUUCUUUUCUCUUUUAAAUCCUGACGUUUCCGUCAAGCUCAGACUUACAAGUAUUAGACAAUGUGAGAAUUGUCUCGCUAAGCCUUAAUUAGGCAAUGUGAGAAUCGUCUCGCUAACCUUAAUUGACAUUAUGGGGGAGUAGCGCUCUACCCACAACAGUCAUCAAGUCAAAGUCUCGCUCUUCUUGCUGUAUAACUUGGCUCUGAUACCAACUGUGACACUCUACUUUUCAGGAGGGCACCAUCCUAAGACUACUCUAGUCCUAACACGCUUAACUCUCUUAACCUUUUGUACCUAACUACCGUCCAAAAUAUUAUAAUAAGAUUUAGAGUUUUUACUGUAUUAUAUCUUAUAUAUAGAAUUACCUGAGGCGUCACGGUUUCAUAACUUGUUUUGUUAUUGCUAGAGCGGAAUAAAUCAAAUUUUGAUGUAUUUUCACUCGCACUGCAUAAUAAGUUAGAAUAUGUUGAAAAUGACAAUUUUCUGGUGCUUCACUUUUAAUGAGAAUACACUAUCAUCAUCUUCCGAUGGUACUAGACCAAUUAAAAGACUUAAUUAUUGCGCCAUGUGAACUUCAGAAACUAGUUUCAUUUAUUUUUGAGAAAUCAAAUCUAAAUUGUUUAACCAGAACUUCAAAGCAGUAAAAAUUCAAGAUUGAAGUACGAGCAGGCAUAGUUAUCCUAAACUCUAUGCAUGCUACAAAAUCACGAAGAAUCGAAAAAGGGCUCGUCCUAUGCUUUCCAUGCCUUUUUGAGUAGUUAAUGUGGGUGAUUCCUCCUGAAGCUAAAAGACACCUGCGAAAACACCAAAUCAUACCAUGUUAUGUGUUUUCUUUUUUAUUUUUAAUUUUUUUUUUUACACAUGUAAAUCAUAUCAUGUCGUUGGGACCAUUAUUUGAUCUGAUCAGAGGGGCAUUUUAUUUUAUUUUAUUUUAUUUUUUUGUAAAUCAACUAAGAUUCGAAUUUGGGUCUCGGGUAUCAACCAUCAAGUCCUUUGCCAAUUGCUCUAGAGACGGUUGGUACCCAAACAGAAUUGUUAAGAUAGGAAGAUUAUAGUUCCCUUACAAGUGAUAAGGGGGAAUAAGCCUGAAAUAAGUUAUUUCAAUCCAAUUCUGACACAUGGGUGUACACAAACCACUAGCUUUGUCUUUCAAUCCAAUUCAAGUCCAAAUUUAAUCUCUACAUAUUCAUUAACAUAUAUAUAUAUAUAUAUAUAUAUAUAUAUAUAUAUAUAUAUAUCAACCUACUUUCCUACACGCCAAUCCUACUAUCACUAGGGGCCAAUUUAACUAUCACUAGGGGAUCCCAACUCACCUACCAACCAAAUUAUCAUAUUAGAUUGCCCAUCUUUACUAGUUUCCCAUCUAGAUUGCCAUCUGUUGAGUUAUCAUGGUUCCCGAACCAUGAUAGCUAUCAUAUCAUCGGCCUGAGAUAUAUAUAUAUAUAUCUCGUUCUGACGACACGAGAAUCCUCGUGCUUCCGGAGGUACGAGGACUCUCGUGUCGUCAGAACGAGAUAUAUAUAUAUAUAUCUCGUUCUGACGACACGAGAAUCCUCGUGCUUCCGGAGGUACGAGGACUCUCGUGUCGUCAGAACGAGAUAUAUAUAUAUAUAUCUCGUUCUGACGACACGAGAAUCCUCGUGCUUCCGGAGGUACGAGGACUCUCGUGUCGUCAGAACGAGAUAUAUAUAUAUAUAUCUCGUUCUGACGACACGAGAAUCCUCGUGCUUCCGGAGGUACGAGGACUCUCGUGUCGUCAGAACGAGAUAUAUAUAUAUAUAUCUCGUUCUGACGACACGAGAAUCCUCGUGCUUCCGGAGGUACGAGGACUCUCGUGUCGUCAGAACGAGAUAUAUAUAUAUAUAUCUCGUUCUGACGACACGAGAAUCCUCGUGCUUCCGGAGGUACGAGGACUCUCGUGUCGUCAGAACGAGAUAUAUAUAUAUAUAUCUCGUUCUGACGACACGAGAAUCCUCGUGCUUCCGGAGGUACGAGGACUCUCGUGUCGUCAGAACGAGAUAUAUAUAUAUAUAUCUCGUUCUGACGACACGAGAAUCCUCGUGCUUCCGGAGGUACGAGGACUCUCGUGUCGUCAGAACGAGAUAUAUAUAUAUAUAUCUCGUUCUGACGACACGAGAAUCCUCGUGCUUCCGGAGGUACGAGGACUCUCGUGUCGUCAGAACGAGAUAUAUAUAUAUAUAUCUCGUUCUGACGACACGAGAAUCCUCGUGCUUCCGGAGGUACGAGGACUCUCGUGUCGUCAGAACGAGAUAUAUAUAUAUAUAUCUCGUUCUGACGACACGAGAAUCCUCGUGCUUCCGGAGGUACGAGGACUCUCGUGUCGUCAGAACGAGAUAUAUAUAUAUAUAUCUCGUUCUGACGACACGAGAAUCCUCGUGCUUCCGGAGGUACGAGGACUCUCGUGUCGUCAGAACGAGAUAUAUAUAUAUAUAUCUCGUUCUGACGACACGAGAAUCCUCGUGCUUCCGGAGGUACGAGGACUCUCGUGUCGUCAGAACGAGAUAUAUAUAUAUAUAUCUCGUUCUGACGACACGAGAAUCCUCGUGCUUCCGGAGGUACGAGGACUCUCGUGUCGUCAGAACGAGAUAUAUAUAUAUAUAUCUCGUUCUGACGACACGAGAAUCCUCGUGCUUCCGGAGGUACGAGGACUCUCGUGUCGUCAGAACGAGAUAUAUAUAUAUAUAUCUCGUUCUGACGACACGAGAAUCCUCGUGCUUCCGGAGGUACGAGGACUCUCGUGUCGUCAGAACGAGAUAUAUAUAUAUAUAUCUCGUUCUGACGACACGAGAAUCCUCGUGCUUCCGGAGGUACGAGGACUCUCGUGUCGUCAGAACGAGAUAUAUAUAUAUAUAUCUCGUUCUGACGACACGAGAAUCCUCGUGCUUCCGGAGGUACGAGGACUCUCGUGUCGUCAGAACGAGAUAUAUAUAUAUAUAUCUCGUUCUGACGACACGAGAAUCCUCGUGCUUCCGGAGGUACGAGGACUCUCGUGUCGUCAGAACGAGAUAUAUAUAUAUAUAUCUCGUUCUGACGACACGAGAAUCCUCGUGCUUCCGGAGGUACGAGGACUCUCGUGUCGUCAGAACGAGAUAUAUAUAUAUAUAUCUCGUUCUGACGACACGAGAAUCCUCGUGCUUCCGGAGGUACGAGGACUCUCGUGUCGUCAGAACGAGAUAUAUAUAUAUAUAUCUCGUUCUGACGACACGAGAAUCCUCGUGCUUCCGGAGGUACGAGGACUCUCGUGUCGUCAGAACGAGAUAUAUAUAUAUAUAUCUCGUUCUGACGACACGAGAAUCCUCGUGCUUCCGGAGGUACGAGGACUCUCGUGUCGUCAGAACGAGAUAUAUAUAUAUAUAUCUCGUUCUGACGACACGAGAAUCCUCGUGCUUCCGGAGGUACGAGGACUCUCGUGUCGUCAGAACGAGAUAUAUAUAUAUAUAUCUCGUUCUGACGACACGAGAAUCCUCGUGCUUCCGGAGGUACGAGGACUCUCGUGUCGUCAGAACGAGAUAUAUAUAUAUAUAUCUCGUUCUGACGACACGAGAAUCCUCGUGCUUCCGGAGGUACGAGGACUCUCGUGUCGUCAGAACGAGAUAUAUAUAUAUAUAUCUCGUUCUGACGACACGAGAAUCCUCGUGCUUCCGGAGGUACGAGGACUCUCGUGUCGUCAGAACNUUUAUAUCAAAAUUUUAUCUGAUUUGAAUACUUCUACACCGUUAAACUUGAAAACGGCAGAUAUCAACCAUUAAAAAUUAUUGAUUUUGAAUCAUUUCGAUCACUAGGUAAAUGAUAUAAACAAAUCGCAAAAAUUAUUUUCUAGAAACUUCAAAUACGCUAGAUCAAGUCUAAUGAAGCCGAUUGUCGAUUCGAAAAUUCCAUCAUCGAAAACGGCUCAGGAGCACAGAGGCCUCCGUGCUCUUAAGAGCACAGCAGCCCUGCUAUGUAUAUAUAUAUAUGGCCAUGGCUACUAUACUAUUAUAAGUAUUGGAGCCCUCGUACUCAUAAGUUGUUUUCAAUGAUGGAGCUUCCGAAUCGACGAUNNNNNNNNNNNNNNNNNNNNNNNNNNNNNNNNNNNNNNNNNNNNNNNNNNNNNNNNNNNNNNNNNNNNNNNNNNNNNNNUAUAUAUAUAUAUAUAUAUAUAUAUAUAUAUAUAUAUAUUGUUGAACUAGAAUACGCUCAAAAGCACCAAGGGAGUGGUGCUUUUGAGUUUUUAGUCUGUUGAUGGAGAGAUGUAGGGUUGGGAUGAUAGUUGUAGGUGGUAGUAGGUGGUGGUAGGUGGAAUAUUGUUUGAUCUAAGGGCUAUAAGUAAUUAAGGAAUAGAUCCAAGGGGUAGAAACUUAGAAGCAUCAAGGGGUUGGUGCUUCUAAAAAUAUUCCAGCCUAGUUAUAUAUAUAUAUAUAUAUAUAGAGUAGGGCUACUAUACUCUUAUGAGUAUUGGGCCCUUCGUACUCAUAAGUUGUUUUCGAUGAUGGGACUUCCGAAUCGAUGAUCCACGAUCCACUCCGUUAAAUAUGAUCUAGAGUAUUUGAAAUUUUAAAAGAAUAAAUUUCGUACUUUUUCGAAAUCAUAAUAAAGUUUAUCAAACGGGCAUAAAAUAAACGGUAAAUAGAUGAUUGGAUCCUUCAAUUUAAGAUCGGAGUUAUUGAUCUUUAUCUAGGUAGUGAAUAGAAUUUUCUAUCAAAAAUUCAACCUAUUCCAAUUCUUUUACACCGUUAAACUAGCANAGAGAACUAGGCUGGAAUACUAUUAAUAGCACCAAUGACUUGGUGCUAUUAAGUUUUCUAUCCUUGGAUUAAAAAAUGUGUGGUUAGAAUGAUGUGGGCCCCUAGGGUUGAGUGGGUGGUUGGUUGAAUAGUAUAAUCGAACGGAUGAAAAUGAUAAAAAAGGUAAAUCUAACGGCAGAAAACUUGAUAAAACCAAAUGGUUUGUGCUAUCGGUAGUAUCCCAGCCGGACUCUAUAUAUAUAUAUAUAUAUAUAUAUAUAUAUAGAGUUGAGCUAGAAUACUAUCGAUAGUAAACGAGCCGUUUUACUACCUAUUUGUUUUCGAUGAUAGAGCUUCCAAAUUGACGAUCGGUUCCGUUGAACAUGAUCUAUACCACUUGAAGUGUUUAGAAAUCAAAUUUCAAAUCUUUUCGACAUCAUUUGCCUAAUGAUCAAAGGGUUUCAAAAUUUGUAAUUUUAAUAGUCGAUAAGAGACGUUUUCUCGUUUAACGGCGUAAAGAUAUCCAAAUCAAUUGAAUUUUUGUUAGAAAAUUCUUUAAACUAUUUAAAACAAGAUCUAUACUCUUGAUCUUGAUUACAAGACUCCUAUCAUCAUUUUUUAAAGAAUAUUCAUUUUCAGCCAUUCAUUUUUCUGUUCACUUGAUGGAUAAAAGAACAAUAUCGAAAGUGCGUGAAAUUUGAUUUCUAGCUAGUUUAAAUGCUUUAGAUCAUAUUUAACGGAGCCGAUCGUCAAUUUGGAAGCUUUAUCAUCGAAAACAAAUCGAUAGUGAAACGGCUUGUUUACUAUCGAUAGUAUUCUAGCUCAACUCUAUAUAUAUAUAUAAGCUGGGGCUACUAUACUCAUAUGAGUAUAGAGCCCUUUGUACUCAUAAUAUUUCGGUUGUUCAGAUGAAAAAUGUGCGGUUGGGAUGAGAUUGGUUACGGUUAGGUUGAUAGUAGGCUCUCUUGGGUUGAGUGGGUGGUUGGUUGAAUAGUAUAAUCUAAUGGAUGAAAAUGAUUAAAGGGUAAAUCAAACGGUAAAAAAUUUAUGAGUAUAAAAGGCUCUAUACUCAUAAGAGUAUAGUAGCUGGACUAUAUAUAUAUAUAUAUAUAUAUAUAUAUAUAUAUAGAGUUGAGCUAGAAUACUAUUGAUAGCAAACGGGCUCUGUUGCCACCUAUUUGUUUUCGAUGAUAGAGCCUCCACUAUCCUCAGAACAUUAGUUCUAGUUCUCAUAUCUAGAACAAAAUUUAUCAAAUUUCAAAUCUGCAUCAUUUGCAAUAAUCAAAGGGUUUCAAAAGAAUGGCGAUUAUGAGAUUCUCGUUUAACGGCGUUAAGAAUCAAAUCAUUGAUUUUGUAUAUGAAAUUCUAUUAAACUAUUUAAAACAGAUCUAUACUCUGAUCUGACAAGUGACUACCUAUCGUCAUUUUUAGGAAGGAAUAUCAUAUUUCAGGCCGUUACAUUUUUGUGUCGCUCGAAAGGAUAGAAAAAAAUAUCAACAUAUGGAAAUUUGGAUUUCUAAACAUUCAAGGGUAUAAGUAUUUAACGGUGCCGAUCGUGAUUUGUCCAUCAUCGACAGAAAUGGGUGGCAAUGGAGCCCGUUUGCAUCGAUAGCAUUCUAGCUACUAUUUAUAUAUAUAUAAUAUAUACUUAUAUAUAUACUAUAUAUAUAUAGAGUGAGGCUACUAUGGCUACGGAAGCACGGAGCCUUCCGUGCUUCCAGACUCGUUUUUCGAUGUUGCGACUUUCGAAAUCGGUCGUAGGCUCCGUUAAAUUGAUCUAGAGUAUUUGAAGUACCUAGAAAUAAAUUUUAUGAUUUAUACAUAUCAUUUGCUAAGCUGAACGAAGGGGCUCAAAAUCAACGGGCUUGAAAUAAAAUCUUACAAAAUGUAAUAAUAAUUGACAUUAAAAUAAUAUUAAAUCAAAGAUAUUGAUCUUCGUUUUAUAUAGUAUAAAGAAUUUUCUAUCAAAUUUCACGUGAAUUUGAAUAUUUCUACACCGUUAAACUUGCAAAACAGCACACUUACGGCCAUUGAAAUUGUUGAUUUUUGAGGCCCAUUCGAUCAGUAAGCAAUGGAUAUCCGAUAAAAUAAUAACAUUUAUUUUUCUCAGGUACUCCAAAUACUCAUAGAUCAAGUUGUUAACGGAGCCCCUAUCGACGAUUCGACAAGGUCGCAACACUCGAAAAGAGCUGGAAGCACGGGAAGGCGUACCACUCGAAGCCAUAGUCCUCUACUCUACUAUAUAAAUAUAUAUAUAAUAAUUUAUAAUAUUAUAUAUAUAUAUAUAUAUAUAUAUAUAUAUUAUAUAUAUAAUAUAUAUAUGUUAUAGUUCCGGCUUACUAUACUCAUUAUGGAGUACGAUCGCCCUCGUCUCCAUUAGUUGUUUUUCGAUGAUAGAGCUUUUGGAAUCAACGAUCCAUACCGUUAAACAUUAUCUAGAGCAUUUAAAACUUCUAGAAAUUAAAUUUUAUAAUUUUUCGGUAUCAUUUACCCUACGAUCAAAAGCUCACAAAAUUGACAAUUUUUAACGGCCGGUAUGGAAUGUUCGUUAGUUUAACAGUGUAAAAGAAUCGAAAUAGGUUGAAUUUUUGAUAGAAAAUUCUAUUCACUACCUUAAUAAAGAUCAAUAACUCCGAUUUUAAGUUGAAGGAUUUGAUCAUCCAUUUUUAGGAUGUCGUUCGAUUUUGACCGUUCAUUUUAUACCCGCUUGAUGGACUUUAUAAUGAUUUUGAAAAAUUAUGAAAUUUAUUUUCUAAAAGUUUCAAAUACUCUAGAUCAUGUUUAACGGUAUGGAUCGUCGAUUUGAAAACCUUAAUAUUGAAAACAACUUAUGAGUACGAAGAGCUCUAUACUUAUAAUAGUAUAGUAGCCCUACUCUAUAUAUAUAUAUAUAUAGAGUUGAGCUAGAAUACUCUGAAAAGCACCAAGGAGGUGGUGCUUUUGAGUUUUGAACCAUUGGAUGGAGAGAUGUAGGGUUGAGAUGAUGGUGAUAGGUGGUGGUAGUUUGAAUAGUGUUUGAUCCAAGGGUAUUAGUAAUUGGGAGUAGAUCCAAUGGCUAGAAACUUAGAAGCACCAAUAGAUUGGUGCUUCUAAAAGUAUUCUAGCUCAAUGGAUUGGUAUCAAUUACUGUGUACCGGUACCAAGGUAGAGUACCGGUACUUGCAUUAUUUUUGUUGUUGGAACUCUUGGAUUUUGUAGAACUUUGGUGGAUGUAUCGAUACAAGUGAGAGAGUAUUGGUACUCAAGUUCGACUACCGGUACUCACCUGUACUCAGGCUAUGUAUUGAGGGGAGUAUUGCUAUAACUAUAGAUCUCACUCUUUCUUUCUCUCUCUCUCUCUCUCUCAUUUAUCUUAGACACAAGAUAGAAUACUCUUUCCGUCUCCUCCAUCUUCUUCCUCCUCUCUCUCUCUCCAUUGCUUGUUCUCCUCCAAAGCCUUUACUUCUACUCUCUCUUCUUUCUUUGGAAGCUCAAUCUCAACCCAAGCUUGGAAUUGGAGUAGGAGAAGUGGAGGAAGAGUUCUUGAAGAGUUCAACCCUAUAUCCAAAAAUUGGAAUUUAGAAGUAGAGCUUGGAAGAGAUUAGUUCUUAUUCCCUACACGUUAAAUAGUGUGUUUUUGAAAAAUUUUGUAGAAUGUGAAAUUUUAAGGUUAGAUUUGGGGGGUUUUCAUUUUGAAGGCUUUUAUAUAGAAUUGAUGGGUUAGAUGUUGGAUUAUGUAAAGCCAUGUUUCGAGUUAAUAUGCAGAGGUUGACUCUAAUUGAAUCUAAUCUUGUUUCAAAAAAAAGGAAUAGUUCACAAUCACUUUAAAGAGAAUUCCUAAAAGGAUAUUGAUGGCUACAUAUGAAUCAUACUUGGAUGGAAGGCGAAAAUUGAUUUUCUAUUAGAAUUAGGAUUUUAAGGUUAUAUAAACUCUUUUAAUUAAUUUUUUAGAUAAUGAGUUUCAUUGAAAAUACCCUAGUUGAGAGAAAAAUGUGGAGAGCUCAUGAGAGAGAGUUUUUUGUAAUCCAAUAUACUCUUUUGUACUUUUGUGUUAUGGAUUAAUCGAAGAAAGCAUUGAGGUGGUCUUGCCCGUGGAUGUAGGUCGAUGCAAAGUUGGCCGAACCACGUAAAUCUUGUGUUCUUAUGAUUUUUUGUUUUCUUUAUUGCUUUGUUAUCCUCUUGCUUGUAUUUUUUUUUUUCUUGUAGAGCGAUCUCACAAGCAUCUUUAAUCAAGACUGCUUGCAAUCAUUAGUUUUCACAACGCAAAUUUCGUUCCAUCAAAUCGAGGAACCUCAUAAUUCGUCGCUAUAGCCUAGUUUUGUUAUAGUGAUUCUCGAUGAUCUUGCAUUCAGUUUGGUAACUUUUAGGUUUAUAUUUUGCAAUCACAUUUAAGGUCCUUCCAAUCGAAGAUAAUCGUACAUAACACCAUUAAACACAUGCCCUCCCUUGGCUUGAGUUAGAUAUAUCGUAUUCUCGCCCCUGCGAAGCAAUCUCCCUUCUAUCCUUACAUCGAAGCUCCACUGAAGGCCAUGUAUUCCAUGCCUCGCAAUCGCGUUGCCAUCCCCAAAUGCUACUGUCGUAAAAUGCGGUUCUCCAUUCGGGUUGUUCACUCGAACCUUGAUUUAGAAACAAAGUGAAUAAUGCGACUAAAGCGUGCGAAAGCUAAACGAAAGGGAAAUGAGCCAAACCUCUAAGCGAGCAUAAUGUGCAGCUGCGAUGGCCAAACGCAACGUAUACGUCCCGCUAGUUUCGACAAAGUUUAGCCUAAAUAUUAUCCUCCAUGUUGUUGGUUCAAAAGAGUUUCCUACUUUCCUGCAUGCAAUAAAACAUUGUUAUAAAAACUCGACCCCAUAGACCUAUAUCUUGCUAUAGCCACAGAAAAUCUUACAAAUUAACUAGAACGAAGUACUCGAAAAUGUGCUCGAGAUCGAUAAAUAACGAUAUGUGAAGAGAGAAAGAAUCUAAAAAAUAAUGUAUAUUACCUUGUAACAUGCGCGAAAAACCAAUCUCUUUUGUAGUCACUAACUCCAACCCUAUAAACAAGAUCUUCUUUCGGGUACAAAUCCGCGUACCUCUCCCAUAAACCAUACUGUCUAUACCUGUUCAAUAGAAGUAGAAAACAGUGUGUUGUAAAAUCCGAAACUGAUAAUAACUUAAAAAUAUUAUCACAUCAGGGUUGGUUCAAGUACCAGUUCUAGUUACUAGAUUGAACCAAUGACGUCAACAUGGCAUAGUAAUUAGUUUUAAUUGCGUUGCAUAAAAUGAAAUGUAUUUCAUAAUUAAUCCCGGUAUCCCAUAUGGUUAUAAUUAACAUACAUGAUUAAUGUUUUUUUCAGAAAUCAUAGAAUACAAGUUUUUAUUUGUUUUAGGCCGUAUAAAUGGCAUCAUUAAUUAAUCGAUUUGACUAGUUUUGACAAAAUUUAGAAUGAAGGUCACUGAGUUCACUUAUUAGAUAGUGUAACGAUCCGACCCGCUAAUCUAACUUGUUAGAUACUAAAUCACAAGCUCAAAAUAUUUAAACUCAGUUAUUAGCAUUAGUUUCCUAGUCACACAGAUAAACAAGAAUUACCUUGAGAGGAAGCGUAACACUUUGUUCCGCAUAACACUUAGAUCGCAUACUUUCUGAUAUUCGACUUUAAUACCAAAUGUAAUGAACCCUAACCAUUAACAAUAAUAAUUUAUUAUUCAACUUAAUUUGCUACUAAAUAUAACGAACUCAAGCCACUAACAAUAAUAACUCAUUAUUCAACUCUGAUGCCAAAUAUGAUGAUUCGAAACAUUAGCAAUAAUAAGUCGUUGAGCUCAUACCACUUCCAGCUAGUAUUCCGCUCUUAAAUCAAAUAUAACGAUCUGAGCCACUACCGCCCACUUCCAGUUGGUAUUCAACUUUUAUACCAACCAAAUGUAACAAUCCGAACCACUAGCAAUAAUUACUCAUUGGGCCUAAAUCACUAACAUAAAAUGUUUAACCUUAGUUAUUAUUACUAGAGUUUCUGAUCCCUUAUGUUUGCAAUUAUUUUUUCAUUCCCAUACAAUACACAACUAUUGGAGUAUGCUUAAGUCUGAUUAUUAUUAUUAGGGCCUCUGAUCCCUUAUAUUUGCAAUCAUAUUCCAUUUUCAAUCCAGUGCGAGGCUAUUGCAGUAUUAAAGACAGUUAAGUCAAUUGGUUUAGAGUGGGCUUUUCUUCAGGUCCGUCUUAUCGGUUGAAUUGAACAGUUCUAGACAUUGGAUCAUACUCCGACCGCUCUAACAGGCAUAUAAAAUUGAUUUAAAACACUAGAAGAAAAUUAAAACACCAACGAAAUUAAAACUAUAGGGGUAUAAGUAAAACACCACUAAUUCAUAAACAACUCAAUUAUAAUAUGCUUUAAUAGCAAGGUCUCUAGUUGUGAACUUACUUUUCAGGAUGGUUGAUGAAAAGCCUGUUGACGUACUCCGGCCUUGGAUCCGGAACGAAGAACUCGGCGGCCGAACGGUCCGGAACGCCGAUUUCCCACAGAGUGGGCCCACUUCUCGGAGGUUCAAAUACGAGCGUUCCGAGUUUGAUCCUUCCACCUAAUUAUUAUUAUCAAAAAAAUAGAGGGCAAAUUCCAUGUAUAUAUAGUCCUCAAAUUAGGGCAACACUUUGGUCCUAAAACUUUAAUAAUUGUUAUAAUUUCUCACUAGAAUUUGAGAAUUAUUGCAAUUAAGUCCCACGAUCCAAUUUAGUUAAAUACAUAUUGACGUAUAUAUCGCUGAUAUAAAAGUAAUAUAACAUCUUAAUUAUUGGCGCAUCAUUAAUUAUAAUAUUGUUAUAUUAUUUUUACGUUGGAGAUAUAUUAAAAGUUAGUCAACUAAACUAAGUUACAAUAUUGUUAUAUUAUUUUUGAGAGAAAAAUAUAACAUGCUACCCCCUUCGCUUAUUUUUUUCCAAACAAACUUAACUAGAAAUAUGAAGUAACUAGGUUUCAAACUUGGGAUUUUGGGUACCGACCAUCAAAUCUUUUACCACUUGCGCUGGGGACGGUUGGUUAAGCCAGUGUUAGAGGUUUUCUUAUUUAAUGCGUAAAAUAGCACCAUUAGUUCCUGAACUUAAUAAAUAAUCUAUCUUUGAGACUCUAAACUCUUAAAAUUAUUUCAUUUUAGUCUAAUUCUUGUUUAUGGAAAUAAAAAAAAAAUUGUCUAUUGAAUUAUAGUCUUUUUUUUAUUUUUUUAGAAAUUAAAUUAUUAAAUUGAAAAUCUAAGAUGACUAGAGUAAGAAUCAAUAGAUUCGUAGUUUAUGAACAUAGUACAGAUGAACCAGGUGCAGACCAGGCAAGGACUAAAAUGAUACUGUUCUAAAAGUUCAGAAUUUUGAAUAUUUGAACUUUAAAAAAGUUUAAGGACCAGAAUGAAACUACAGAAACCUGGAUUAAUAGUUAUUGUGGACUUGUGCAUGAAAUCAGCAAUAAAUCCAGGGACCCAUGCGUAAAGAUUGUAGCGUCCGGGUCGAAUGUUCUUGAUAACAAAAUCACCUCUGGGAUUACUUCUCGUCCAAAAUUGAUAUCCCUGUAAAUAUAACAAAAUAUAAGGUUGUUUUUUUUGGUAAAAUUGUAUAGGCCUUUCCUUCCUGGACUACAUGAAAUUUUUUUUAAAAAAAAUGUACAAAGACACCCUGAACUUUGACUAAUUUUCAAACAGAUGCCCAAACUUCUGAUUUCGCCAUUGGAUUAUAAACUUUAUUAAAUAGUUUAAUAAGCCACUCUCUCCGAUCAAAGUUACUAAUUGCACCGUAGUUUUGUUUGUAUAACUUGCAUACAAUCUGAUAAAAGCUUCAAAACAACCACCCCCCCAAAAAAAUCUAUUUUAACAUAUAAGAAUAGUAAUAAAAAACAAAGGUAUUGUUCCGAUUCUUCCAUACUCAUGCUUAACUGCCAAAUUUGAAAGAGAAAAAAUAAAUCUUUUAUAUUGUCAAAUCUUAUAAGAUUGUGUGCACCACAUGCAACUAAAAUGUCUAUGUAUUAGUGAUUUUGAUUGAAGAGAGGAGGCCUAUUAAAUUAUUUGAUGAAGUUUAGGAGCCUAAUUUUUAAAAUUGAAAGUUAGCACCUGUUCGCAAAAGAGCCGUAGUUCACGUGUUCUUUGUGGAUUUUUUUCCCCUCUAUUUACAACCCCUUUUAGGUGUUUUAAAAUAGAUACUUAAUAAAACUUUAACCGUUUGGUUCGGGAUUAAGAAAAAACUAGUUAUUUCAGGGAUAGGGUUAAGUUCAGGGUUAAGGUGGGGUUAGAGUAUUUUUUGCGUUUGGUUGGAAGUUGUAGUUAGUUAAGGAUUAAGAAAAAUAGUGUUUGGUUGGAGUAGGUGGGAGAAAAAGGAUAGUGGGUAAAAUAAUAUUUUGUUUGGUUGGAAUAGUGGGAUGGGGUGGAGUUAACUAAUCCCACCCUCCGGAUAGCCCAUUUGGAGUGGGGUUAGCUAACCCCACCCCUUAUUUGAGGUGUUUGAGAAUAAAUUGGGGGUUAAGGGGUUAUUCCACCCCUUAACCCCCAACCAAACACUAGAAAGUUUUGAUUUUACUUUCUUGUCCUAGGUUAGAUGUGAGACGCUUUUUACAGGAUAGUCCGUCAAAAUAUUACAAAAAUUGGGAAGAUAGGAUAGUAAAAUUAAAACUUUUAAAAUUUAGGUUUUUACUUCAAAAAUACUAUAGGAUUAGAUAGUAAAAUCAAAAUUUUUACUGUUUUUUUUAUAUACUUAAGAAACAUGAUAUAGUUCAGAUUACUUUUCUGCAUGCAUAUUUUUCUUUAUUUCCGAGGAUUAAAGUGUAAAUUGAACUGCAUUUUCUUUUUUCCUUUUACCUUGAUUUCUCUUUGCCAUGAUCCUGGUUCUCCUGGUAAUGCCAAGCCAAUAUAUGCCCUUUUUGCAGGUAUAUCAUAUUUGCUAAUGUGUCUGAAACAUUAAGUAAAUACCAUAUUUGCUUAGUAAUUAAUCUGUUUUAAAUUUGCAUGAACAAAUGCUUAAAUGGAUGGAAAUUUUACACAACUGAUCUUAAUAAAUAGUUAGUGCUAAAAGGUGUUGCUUAUAGUGUAGAGAUUGAAAAAAUUAAAAAAUAGUGAGUAGGCCUUUGAAAACAAAUAAUACAAUUAACUUGAGUUGAAUUGAAAUACUAUUGGUAGGAAAUAGGUUCCGUUGCCACCCAUUUGUUUUCGGUGAUGGAGCCUCUAAAACGACGAUCGGUACCGUUGAAUAUAAUCUAUACCGCAUGAAGCAUCUAGCAACUAAAUUUGUGCUUUUUCGAUAUUGUUCUCUUAUCCAUCAAGUGGACAUAAAAAUGAACGGUUGGAAAUGAAUAUUCUCUAAAAAAUGAUGAUAGAAAUCUUGUAAUCAAGAUCGAGAGUAUGGAUUUUGUUCUAAAUAGUUUUAAUUUCUAACCAAAAUUCAAUUCAUUUGAAUAUCUUUAUACCAUAAAUGAGAAAACGCCUCGUCUCAACCAUUAAAAUUAUAGAUUUUGAAACACCGUGAUCAUAAGGUCAAUGAUGUAGAAAAGAUUUGAAAUUUGGUUUCUAGAUACUUCAAAUGAUUGAUCAUAUUCAACGGUGUCGAUCGUCGAUUUGGAGGCUCCAUCAUCGAAAAUAAAUGAAUGGAAACGGAGCCCGUUUGUUACUGAUAGCAUUACAGCUCAAUUCCAAUUAACAUUUAUGUGAGUAGUGCCUUUUGAAAGUGGAGAAACUGAUAUAUAGUGAAUGUUUGGAAACAUUUGUCCCUAUAUAUUAAAUACAAUUAACUUUUGUGUGCUCCACUUCAAAUAAAGAAAUUGUGUGGUGGCGUGUGUAUCUGAGCUCCUGUGCUUUUAAAAGUAUAAGAGCAUUUGUGAUUGUGACUUUUCAGCUGUUGGAUCCCCUCAAGAUCCGUGCAACACUAUUAACAAUGUGUCCCAUUAAGUCUAUUUUAUUAGUGCUGCAUGGAUUUUCGGGCGAUCUAAUGGCUAAGAAAAUCAUAAGUAUGUUAAGCGUUCAAUUAUAUAUAUAUAUAGCUAGGCUCCUAUGCUUUUGAAAGUACGGAGGCCUCUGUGCUUGUAAGUUGUUUUCGAUAAUAGAGCAUCCAAUUCGGCGAUCGGCUCCAUUAGGUAUGAUUUAUGCUAUUGGAACUAUUUAGAAACCAACUUUCAUAAUUUUUUGUCUUCAUUUGCCUAGUAAACGAGUAGGCUCAAAAUGAACAGCUGAAAAUAAAAAUCUCAUAAAAAAUAGUGAUAAAAGACUCAAAUUUCAAAUCGGAAGUAUUGUUUUUGCUUUUGAUGUUAAGUAGAAUUUUCUAUUAAAGUUUCAUGUAAUUUGGAUUCUUCUACACCGUUGAACUUUAAAACAUGCCACAUCGGCCAUUAAAAUAGUUAUUUUUGAGACUCUUUGAUUACUUGGUAAAUGAUGUCAAAAAAUUAUAAAAUUUGGUUUCCAAAUAGUUCUAAUAGCGUAGAUCAUGUCUAACGGAGCCGAUCGCCGAAUCAGAUGUUCAAUCAUCAAAAAUAACUUAUAAGCACGAAAGCCUCCGUACUUUCGAAAGUAUAGGAGACGCUCUCUCUCUCUCUCUCUCUCUUUCUCUCUCUCUCUCUCUCUCUCUCUCUCUAUAUAUAUAUAUAUAUAUAUAGAGUUUGACUGGGCUAUUAUCGGUAGUAAACUGCUCGGUUUACUACUGAUUUAUUUUUGAUGAUAGAGCUUCCAAAUCGACGAUCGAUCGGCACCGUUGAACAUGAUCUAGACCAUUUAAAUUAUUUAGAAUCAAAUUUCCUGAUUUUUUGGCAUCACUAACUGAACGAUAAAGGGUCACAAAAUCUAUAAUUUUAAUGGCUGAUAUGCUGUAUUUGUUCGUUUAACGGUAUAGAAGAGUUCAAAUCAACUAAAUUUUUGUUAGAAAAUUCUUUAAACUAUUUAAAAUAAGAUCUAGGGCAUGUUUGGUUCGCUUCUUUUUCACCAUGGAAUCGGAAUCGGAAUGGGUGAAUCCGUUUGUGGGUGUUUGGUACACGGGAGUCCCAUUCCGAUUCCGAUUCCCGAGUGGAAUGGGAAUGCCCCAAUCACCCCUUUUUUCAAUCCGGCCUAGGAGGCCGGAUUGAAAGUUGAAUCCGGACGGAAUGGAUAUUUAUUCGGAUUAAAUUUAUUUUUUCAACUUUUUAAAUUAAAAUAUAAGUUAAAAUUUAAAAAUUAAAUAUAUAAUUUUAAAUUUUAAUUUGAACUUAAAUUAAAAAUUAAAAUUUAAUCAAGUAUUUUGAAUCUAACUUAUGAAUUUAAAUUUAAAUUAUAUUAUAAAAUAUAAAGUUUAUUCAAAUUUUAUUUCAAACUUAAAUUAAAUUUAUGGAUUCAAAUUAAAAUUUAAAUUGUAAUUUUAAGUUUGAAUUUGAAUAAAUAAAAAUUUAGUUUCAUAUUUUGAAUUAUCUACUCAACUUCAAAGAUUAAUUUAUUUUUUAAAAAAAUAGAUUUAAAAUUUUGACAUUAUUUAAAAAUUUUGAUAAUAAAUUUUUAAUAUUUAAUUUUUAAUUUGAAUUUAAAUUAAUAUAUUAUAAAGAUAACGUUCGUAUAUUAAUUUGAUUACGUUUUUUAUAUCCACCUGAACCAAGCACCAACAAUGGGAAUGAUUUAAUCCGAUAUUCCGAUUCCGAUUCAGGUGAUGAACCAAACGGAAUUAGGUAAUGAGUCAUUCCGAUUCCGAUUCCAGCUUAUUUUGAUUCCGAUUGCGAUUCCGACUCCAACUUCGAACCAAACACGCCCCUAGACUCUAGAUCUCAAAAAUAAAAAUUGUAUCAUCACUUUUUGAAGGAUAUUCAUUUCCAGCUAUUCAUUUUUUUGUUCACUUGAUGGACAAGAGAACAAUAUCUAAAAUGUGUGAAAUUUGAUUUUCAGAUAGUUUAAAUAGUUUAGAUCAUGUUUAACGGUGCCGAUUAUCAAUUUGGAAGCUCUAUCAUCAAAAACAAAUCGGUAGUAAACGGCUCGGUUUACUACAGAUAGUAUUCUAGCAAAACUCUCUCUUAUAUAUAUAUAUAUAUAUAUAUAUAUAUAUAUAUAUAUAUGAGCAGGGCUACUGUACUAUUAGGAGCAUAGCAGCCCUUGUGCUCCUAACUUUCUAACCACCUAUCAAGUUUGAUGGGUGGUUAGAAUGAGAGAGGAAGGAGAUAUUGGGGAGAAAUUGGGUGUUUCAAUUUCUCUUCUCCUUGAAUUUAUUUUUUAGAAGUUUCAAAUAUUAAUUUAGAUCAUAUUUAACGAACUGGAUCAUUAAUUCAGAAGCUAUAUCAUCAAAAACAACUUAUGAGUACGAAUGGCUGUAUUUUUAUAAGAGUAAUAAUUUAUGAUCAUCAUGUGAAAUUAUAAAAAUGCCUUUAAGAAAGUUUACUUUUUUUUUUUUUUUUUUUUUCUUUCUUUGAAGUUGAGUUAAAAAGCGUACCUAUCUCGAACCAUUAGUUUGCCAAAAGCCAAGCCUCUUUGGUUCAAUUUUGGAAAGUCCACUGAUGCAGGAAAAUCAUAGGGCCAUCUCUUUGUCUCAAUUUGCAUCUGAAAAUAUAAGAGAAAGAAAAUUAGCAAGAGUGAUUAACAACACCACAAGCUAAUUAAGGCCUUGUUUGACGUCGUUGCCCUUUUCUGUAUUUUGAAAUACUAAUUCUAUAUAAUUUGAUAUGUCGGUGGAGAAAUUUUUAUUUUGUUGUGACCAUCGAUUAGCCUGCACAAUAUACCCAGACCGAGUGAUGGAUGAGGACUUCUUUAAAACAAUCUUGGAAGCGCAAAAAAAAAAAAAAAAAAAAUGCUGCUUCCAAAUUUUUGAUUUUUUUUUAUUAAUGUUAAAAAUGUGCUUGGAUGUAAGAAUUGCAAGAGAUCCAAAUACUAUUUCAAAAGAGAGCAAUGGUGCCAAAUGAGACUUUACUAAUUUUGAAAUUGGUACAAUUUAUAAGAGCUUAGUCAGAGUGUUUAUGAAAAGUAUGAAUUCGAUGAUCGGCUCUAUUAGGUAUGAUUGACUCUAUUAAAAUAUCUGUAAAUUCACUAUUUUAUGACAUUAUUUAUUGGGAGAAUAAAUGGGCUCAAAAUAAACAGCUGAAAUAAAAAUAUUAUAAAAAAAGAUGAUACUGAAACUUAAAUUUCAAAUGAAAAAAAUUGAUCUUAUUCUAGAUAGCGAAAAAAAAAAAAAAUCGACUUCUUAGCAAUAAAAACUCAUUGGGCCCAAAUCACAAGCCCAAAAUACUCAAGCAUAGUUAUUAUUACUAGUAUGUCAUUACUUAUAAAACUAUCACACUCUUUAAUAUUAUUCAAUGUGGGUCCAUUGGGAUGUCUCAUACUCCUCUCAUUUAGACUCUGACGUUCGAUGUGGGACUAUUAGGAUGUCACAAACAUAGUUAGUUAAUUCGAAUUCGGCAAAAAUUCGCUACGGGUAUAAUACGCAUAAAAUUUAUUUUCUAAUUUUGUUAGUUAAUUCGGAUUUGGCAAAAAUUCGCUACGGGUAUAAUACGCAUAAAAUUUAUUUUCUAAUUUUUAAAUUCGUUGAAAAGUUCGGUUUAAAAAAGAAAUUCGGUAUAAAAAAUAAAAUAUAAGAUAUAAAAUAUAAGGUAAUCUAUAUUUAAACAUAAAAAUUAUAAGUUUUUUAUUUAGAUUUUAAAUUAUUCGGGAAUAAUUUGUGAAUAAUUUGCAAAUUAUUCGCGAAUUAUUCGGCUGGCCUAAAAAUUCGCGAAUAGUUCCCCUUCUUUGGAAAAAAUUUGCCGAUUUUCAAUAAUUCGCGAAUAAUUCACAAAUAAUUCGCGAAUUAACUAACAAAGGUGUCACGCCCCGGAUUACACUUUCCCCGGGCACGCCGACAAAUCCGCCGUAUACAAAGGAAUUUCCCCUGUAUACGAAGCGUUAGCUGUACCUGUAAAUCAAACACUACUACGAACAGUAGUAGAGAGCUGCNNNNNNNNNNNNNNNNNNNNNNNNNNNNNNNNNNNNNNNNNNNNNNNNNNNNNNNNNNNNNNNNNNNNNNNNNNNNNNNNNNNNNNNNNNNNNNNNNNNNCGUAUAAUAUCCGUAUAAAUCACGUAUCCGAAUAAUUGGCGAAUCCGUUUUUUAGCCGUUUUUUUCAACGAAUUUAAAAAUUAGAAGACGAAUUUUAUCCGAAUUAUACCCGUACCGAAUUUUUGCCGAAUCCGAAUUAACUAACUAUGCUCUGAACUUUACCCUCUUCGAGUUCUCGAGACAAUUUUAUAUUUUUUUCAGAUUCUGCGAAAUAUCUCGCAUCUUCAUAUCGUACCUCAUGCACUCCGAAUGGGCGUAUAUCACCAUCAACUCUGAAUUCCUCUCCAUCCUUAAUAUAUUUCAUACAUUGAUGAAGAGUAGAGGGGACAACAUUAUAUUCGUGCAACCAAGGCCGUCCCAAUAACGCUUUAUACGAGGUAUCUGCAUUUAUCACAUAAAAUUUUGCUUCGGUCCGUAAUGCUCCAAAUUUUAUAGGAAGAAUGAUCGACCCGAGAGCUUUUUGGCUAUGUUGAUUAAAGCCUUGGAUCACGAUUUUCUCCGAUGACAGAUGAUCGACAUUCAGAGCUAAACUUUUCAAAGUUCUUAAAGUCAAAAUAUUGAUUGAGGAUCCAGGAUCGAUUAAAAUGCGAUUAAUCUUAUCUCCAUCACUCGUCCCAGUCACAUAUAACGGCCUAUUGUGAUGAGCAGUUCCCAGCAACAUGUCUUCAUCAGUGAAGAUAACAUUGGCGACAUGUCUGGCGUAUAACGCCUCUUUCAUAUUCACCUCAGCAAAAUGAGCAUAAAAGGGCUCGGGAUUUUGUAAAGCAUAAAUGAGUACGUCCCGAAGUUCUUUGGAUAUCAUCAGAGCGUCAUAAACACUCAGCAAAGCAGGCACUUUUCUUAAAUGGGAAAGUAUGUUAUAGUCAGCCUUUGAUAAUCUCCCUUGACUUGAUGAAGUCGGUGCCUCUUCAUUUAUCCGAAUUUCUUUAUCUUUAAGAUUUUGAGGAUGUCCUUGUCUUUCUGGUAAUACUUUUCCGGAUUUCAGCGUGAUUUGCAAAGAAUCCUCAGCUUCUUUAUCUUGCUUAGUAUUAGAGUCAGUACCACAAGUUACAGUUUGGCAUGUUUCGACUCUAGUCUUUUCACGAGUAUUCAACUUGUUGAGGAUCUCUUUCAAUUGUUCCUUCAUGCUUUUUAUCGCCAUGGCCACACAAUGUAUGUUUGUUGCUAGAGAGCGUACAUCAAUCUGCACUCUCCUCAAAUCAUUGUCAAUCUCAAGAAGACGAUAUUCCAUUCUCCUUGCACCAUAAUCCCUGCUCGGGGUAUUGUAUGCUAGCCACGCGGUAUCAUCAUCUUCAUGUGCACCAGCAGAUUGCCUGACCCUAUUCUCUUGAUUUACAGAGUCGUCAGAUUGCUCUUCAGAGAUUGUUAUUACUCGACACGACUCUUUGAGCUGUGAUUUGUUUUUUCUAUAGUUUCGAAGUUUCACGCAUACAUCAUAAGCAUGACCUCUCGCUCCACACCAACAACAACGCGGUUUCAUAUCAUCGAAAGCAUCAUAACAUGCUUUUCUGAAUUCUUCCAGAGUAAUGGGUUGUUGUUUCUCAAAUCGUGGCAGAUGUCUCUUCCAUCGUUGACUUUUGGACCCAGCAACCGUCGAUUGAUCGACCUUUAGCUUCGCCUUGUCAACAGUUAGAUUCUGCAUCUUUUUCCAUUGGCGACAAUUUUCUAGGGUGUGCCCCCAUAUAUUGUGAUAGGAACAGAACUCUGUCGACAUAACUUUCUUUUUCCCUUCCUUAAUUAGAGGUUCAUUAUUCUGGCGAGCCUCUGACUGCUGGCUUAGAGUUGGUUUCUUCUUCUUUUUCAGCGAAGAUGACCCUGCAUUUCCUCUCACCGACAUUCUUUUAAUUUCUGGAGAAAUUAUGUGUGCUUCAUAGAAAUUUGCGUCGUAUUCGGCUUUUGUUGACUUUAAUUGCUCCGAAUCAACUUGCGCAGUUAUGACUCGGCAUGUCUCAACCCGACAUCUUUUUGAUGCUUCAGUAGCAUCUGUCUUGAGCAUAUCUAUUAUAGUUCUCAUUUGAAUAUCUAUGCCCUUUAUAUCGCCAGUUAUACUGUUCAUAUUCAUCUUUAUGAAGUUAAUAUCAUUGUGCAGCGUCCUCAUUUCUCCCUCCAUUCUGAUUAAGCGACACUCCAUUCUAUACAACUUCUUCAUUGGAUCAUUAUAAGUUGAAGUGUCGUAUAAUUCCAAAGGAUCAACAUAAGUAUCAUCGUUUGGUGUGGAGGUCUGUUGAUUUGCCCCCAGGGUCGGCGCAGGGCUUUCUGACACGUCAUCUGACACGUCAUCAGAUAUUGUAAUCACACGGCAUGACUCCAGUGUGUAAGGAAUAGUCUUGUGCUUAUUUUUCUUGUGGCUUGUGCUUCUGGUACUUUGCUUGAUAUUUGUCCUUUGAGAAAACUGCUUUCUUGAUUUUCUCAUAUAUUGAAAAGCGUAACAGUUUUCUAGGUUAUGUCCUUUCACUUCAUGAAAAGGACAAUACAUGGGUGUACUUUCGCCGUUAGAAUACUGAGAAUUCCCUCUUUCUGUCGGUGCCGUUCUCGGACAUUCCCCACCCAUGUUUUUAGUUUCUAUAAGAGGGGUUUUUCCUUUAUCACUUCGAGAAGUAUUGGGUGAAUGCUGAUUUGAAGAUCGAUUUGUAAGCCUUGGCAACGGCUCGAUCUCCCGUUCUCUGUGGUUUUGUGACUGAGUCUGAUGAGGGAGAGGAGUAAUUUUCAUUAAUUGUUCCACUCUGGCUUCGAUCCCAAUCAUCAUAGAGAACAUUACAUUCAAGCGUGCUUUCAUAUCCAAUAUAUUAUCAUUUACCCUGUGAAAGCUGCAGCGUGUCAUUUCUUUUAUCUCAGCCAAUUGGCUAUGAAUUUCUCUGAAAUUCCUUUCUUGUUCUCUAACGCGGCCAGAAGAAAAAGUUUCUUCAUCGUCGCGUCGCGUGGUGAUAACUCUGCAAACCUCUCCCCAAAAAGGCUCUUCUGUUUCUUUACACUCCUCAACAGGAGUUUCUCCUUCAUCAGAGUUUUUCUUUUUCUUAGCCUCUUCUAUUGCUUUGGAAAUAAAAUCAUGAAUCAGAAGAGGAUCCCUUUCAGCCUGUUUAUAUUCUUCCAUUGAGUCAAUAUGUUCCUCAAUAGGCCGUUUCUUGUGCUGUGGCUCAGCCGGCUCAACGAAUUUCUUAUUCUUUUUCGCCCGAGCUAUUCUACGCCUUGACUUGGCUGGAGUAUUAGAUUUUUUGACUGAAGGCAUGGGCUUAUCCUCAGACUGCACUUCCGGGUUUAAAGGGCCUCGCCACUUUAUCCCUGGAACCUCUUUUAAAUAUUUUAACAUUUUUCGAGUUUUCUUAGAUAAGAAUAUAUUCCAAAACUCGGGGAAAAAUGCAUUUUCAAUUCCUUCUAUAUUUUCCUCACCCACACCAAUCAUAUUGGUCUUUUCGACUGGCGUUUCUGAUAAUACCGACUGUGAAAGGGUAAUUGCGCCCGUUUUAUAUUAUUUUUCAAUCCAGUCUUUGAAAACCCAGCAAUCUUCAAUUGGAUGGCUAAUUAGCCUAUGAUAUGGGCAGUAUUUUGGAUUAUCAGUUUUCCCCACAUCCUCCGGCUUCCUUGGCUCGGGCAGUUGAAGACCAUUUUUAACAGCAUCGUUAAAUAUUUUCUUAACUUUCUCCCGUUUGAAAGGGUACACUUUAUUCCUUCGCUCUUCUAGAGAAAGUGCUUUUAGAUUAUUGCCCCCAAACAUAGGCUUUACAGGGGUCUGUUCAACUGCAGAGGUAAUUGUCCUUUUACCUUUUUCUAUCAUGUUCGUGCGGGCCGGUCUAGCCUGUGCCUGUCUAGCCUGUGCCAUCUGUGCCUCAACUCUUUUAUUAUCAUCCCUUUUUGUCUUUUGUACAUUUACUAAAACUUGGGGAUCAGUUCUCUCCAACCUAGAGACGUUUGAUAUUAAUUCAUGAAAGGUGGAACAACUAGAUGUGCACAAAAAUGGGGCCAUCCAAUUAUCAAUGUUGCCCAUAACAAGACCAACGGCCUGGGUCUGAUCUAGAGGUUGUUCACACCUUAUACUUAAGUUUCGCCACCGUGUGAUGUAAUCUAACAUCGUUUCAUCUUUCCUUCGUCUGGUGGCUACCAGAUCAGCGAUAGUAAUCUUAUCGCUAACAGUGGUGAAUUUUGCUUUGAAAGCUUCUUCCAUGUCGAGCCAAGUUUUAAUGGACUCAUCUUCGAGGGAGUAGUACCAUUCAAAGGCUAUACCCGAUAAGCUUUGUGGAAAUUGUCGUAAGAGUAGAGGCCCGUUACUCCCAGUAUUCCCACACAUGGCCUUAAAAUGUGCUAGGUGCUGAUCAGGGUUACCAAUACCAUAGAACAUUUUGAACUUAGGGACUUGAUACCCGUCUGGAAAAGGUAUAUUAUCAUAUUCUGAUAGAUAAGGAUGACCUUUCCCUUUUGGUUUCGAGUUUGCCCCCGCUACCGUCUCUUUAACUUGAGAAGUGAUAAAAUCAUGAAUCUCUUCUUUAGUCAAAGAGGUAGUCUCUUUACGAACAGUUAUUUUAGCCUGUUCAUUAAUGACUUGAGGUGCGGGUGCUUUUGUCCGAGCUGGAGUCUUGGUUUGAUGUCGUUGAUUCUCCAACUGCUUCUGUACAUUCAUCAUCAAACCCAUAACCUCCUCCAUUUUCUUAUAGAGACUUAUAAUAUCUCUAUCUUUUUCAUCAACUUUCUUUUUCAAGGAUGCGAUUAUAGCAUCCUUUGGAUCCCUCGGGAAGAAUACAACCUCUUCUUCCUCCCGUGGAUCAGAUAGAUCACCAGGUAAGUCAUCUUUAUUUCCGGUGUUUUGCGAAGAGCUUGUUUCUUUAGCUCUCGCAUUCUCUUCUGCUGCUUUUCUUGCAGCAACUCUGGUAAGCAUUUGUUAAAUUGUUUCUUCUUCGUUAACAGCCUCACUUGAGGGCACACGCCCUAUAACUCUCACAGUAUGAAUCUCCAAAUUUUUAGAUUUUUCUUCUUUGAUUUGAGUAAGAGUUUUGGACUUUCAUUCUGUUUUUCUCCCUUCAUGGGAUAGCGUCGACCUUCGCUGCCAUUUUGGCUUCUCAAUCUUCUUCUCUAUGUUUAUCCUUCCCUUUGCAGUCUUAAAGGCUUUAUAUAUCCGCUUGCAGACAGGGUUCUCGUUAUUGUUUCUCGAACGAGAACAUGCAGGGGAUGGCUUUAAGUGGGCCAUUUCUGACUCUGGGCGCAGAACGGCCGUAGGUGAGUUUUUUCUCACAAACCUCAGGGGUGCAUAUCGGUUACGGGCCAAAACGUCGGGCCCGACGACAAACCUAUUAUGUUGGGUUUGUUGGAACUUGUUUUCUUUGUUCAUCUCCUGUCGCUUCAAAGUACGACGAAGAUUUCUCUUGAAUGAAUUGGUCACAGUGUCUUUGGGGAACGUCAGCCUAUUGAAGACUGACGUUUUAGGCGCCAUAUCAAGUAGCGAUGUUCCGUCAAUUCGGUUUUGGAACACCAGUCUUUCUUGUAAUUCCAUCUUCUUUGAAGCGCUGAUAGGAGUCAUCCUCUCCUUCACAGGAACGCGAGGGGGGUUGGGAAUGACGACAUUCGGACGCCUCCCACGAGAGGGAAGGCGGGGAACCACAGUCUUAACGGUGUCGGUGCUGGUAGCAGCAGUGAAAGGGGCCAUAGCAGCAACCCUAGCCUCUUCCGGGAUGGUGCCGAAUUGGAUCGUAGCACCGGCAGCUCCGAAAGUGAGGAUGGAUGCUGGCAGGGAAACCUGACCCGCCUUGAUCGUCAUCGAGCCCGCAGCAGUGUUCUUAGGUGCCAUUUCUCCUACAAGGGAAUAACGAAUGUAGAUUAAAUAUUUACCGUCCAAUUCUAUUAGCAUAUCAUCGGUCUCAAAGAUGGAAGGAGAAGCCAAGUCCCACCGGGCGUGCCAUUUUGUCUGCGACCACGAAUGACGUACCUCGCACGGUUUAUCUUAUUUUGAUUUUCCCGUGGGGUAGUAUUCAUGAUUCAGAUUAAUACUUAAAUAUGUAUGGUUAUCAGGUAUUGUGGAUUCAUGGCUUCCAAUAAACGCAAGCGUCUAUUGUUAAUUACCCCUACAAAGUGUUAGGGCACCUUCGAUUAAGAGACCUCUGUAAUGCUGAAAUAGACUGAAAUAAAAGGUGAAUUCUAUAACAUAAUCCAUUGUAUAGUUACAUGGCUUAACCAAGGGCAUACCCCCAGUGUACAUGAAUGAAUAUGACGGUUGAUUGAACUUGAUUCUGAACCAAAGUAUAUGAUCAAAUUGAUUUGAUUGGGCUCUAUAUGUUUCAGUGCUCAACAAUAUUGUUCACCCUAAAGUGAAAGGUUGGUUAAAUUCCCUGUAUAUACACUGGGAUUUAAUCAGAUUCAAAUUAAACCCUAACUAAAUGGGUUAGAGUUUGAUUUAGUUAAUUGAACUUUAAAUAUAUGUGAUAAAGUCCAAUGGGAUUUGAUUCAAGCUUUCAUCCUAAAUGUAUGUAUUAGGAUUAGCUCAAAUAUUUUGGAUUAGGCUCUAAUUUUAUAUCUUAAAGUCUAGUAUAAUUAAGCUCUAUGCUUAUAUGUUUGAGCUUAAUUAAGUUCACCAUAAGGCCAAAUAUUAACUAAAUCCUAAUUAUAUGUAUUAGGAUUAGUUAAAAUUUGAUUUAAAUUAAACUCUAAGUGUAUGUAUUAGAGUCUAAUUUGGUUUCACAUGAACUAAAUCCUAAUUAUAUAUAUUAGGAUUAGUCAAAUAUUUUAAAUUAAACUCCAAAUGUAUAUAUUAGAGUCUAAUUUAAUUUCAUUUGGGUUCGCCAUAAGAUGAAUUUAUGUCCACCAUGUAGCGAGAUGCGGACCAAAUCCUAAUUAUAUGUGUUAGGAUUAGCCGAAAUUAAACUCUAAGUGUAUGUAUUAGAGUUUAAUUAAGAGAUGAAUUUGGGUUUACCAUAAGAUAAGAUAUCAACUAAAUCCUAAUUUUAUAAGUUAGGAUUAGUUAAAAUUAAACUCUAAGUGUAUGUAUUAGAGUUUAAUUUAAUUUCAUUUAUAUGAACUCUAAGUAGAUGUAUUAGAGCUCAAUUGAUUUGAUUAGAUGGUUUGAUCAAUUCUAAUCAAAUAUUUAGAAUUUGAUCGAGUUUUCAUAUGUCAAGGUUAGGCUCUAGUUUCAUAUGCUAGAGAAUCGGGUUUGAAAGAGGUUAGAUUGGAUUGUGCAUGAUUGAAAUUAGAUUUAGACUUUGAUUUGAUAUAGGUUUCAUGUAUGGCUUGAUUGGAAUUAAUUGGGUUGGGUUUGGGUUAUGUGUGUAGAUUGGCUAUUGAGUUUAGACUUGGGCUGAAAUCGGGCCUGUAAAGCUAUAUGUGAAUUAGAUAUAGGUUAUAUGAUAUGGAUUCGAGUGUGGGCUAAAUUCACUUUGGAUAUGGAUUAGGGUAUGGGCUAAAUCAUUUUGGAUAUGGAUUCGGGAUUCGGCCUCAAUAUGGGCCCGUAUGGUUUGUGUUAAAUUGAAAUCUAGGCUUGGAUUAUGUUUAUCUUCAUGAAUGGUCCAAAUUCAGAUUCAUAUAUGGGUCCCAGUUGAAACUUGAAUUACAUGUGGGCUCGGGCUCAAAAUGGGCUCUUAUGGUUUGAACUCAUCAAUUUUUUUUAAUCAAAUCAUGGGAUUGGGCCCAGAUUCGUGUUUGUAUUGGACUUGGGUUAUGUUUAACUUGGGUUUGAAGUGAACUUGUGAAAUGAAUAUGGGUUUGGUCCAUAUGAGAUUUGAGAUCAAAAUAUAUAGCUCAAAAUCAAAUUCAUCAAAAAUAUAUUCCGAACGCGUUUUAUUAUUUGUCAAAUUCUCAGCUAUAAAUCACAUACUGUGGAAUUAAAUAUCGAUUCGAUCUAUUUCGACCAAAUCGAAAGGUUCGAUUAAAGGGUUCGACUAUUUUCAAACACUAUUAAAAGUACAAUCAAAAGGAUAUUAAUCGGUAAUCCAACUAAUUUUCUUUCAUCUCUUCAUUGGAGAAGAAUUAAGAGAAUACAUUUUUUCUCUUUAUCUUCUUUAAAAAUAUAGUAUAACAGAGAUGAAUAAUUCCUUUUUAUCUCUUUUACAUUCGUGGGACAACUAAGGCGGGAUAAAUCCCUUCCUUGCCUCCCUAACAGUAACAAAGCUCCCUCUCUCUUUCAUAAUUAGCUCUUUUUCUCUUUUGAUAAUAUCUUUCUGCAAAAAAAAGAGCAUCGCUCUCUCUUUCUUUCGAUGAUGCUGUAUUUUAUAAAGAGAAGAGCACCGCUCUUUCUUUCUUUCUCUCUUUUGAUACUAUUUUUUUAUAAAGAGAAGAGCACCGCUCACUCUCUUUAUGUACAAAUCGGGUCCGACGUUAAAAGUACGUCUUAAGCAUUUUAUUAAAUAGUUGGCCGGCAUGAUUCGUUGGCGUGAACUCCGUCAGACCAAUAUCCUAGGCGGCUUUGUAGGCGACGAGGUUGAUACUGUUGCUGCCGAGUCUGCUGAAAUUGGUCUGUACAUUUGCGAGGGGCAAGCCGUCGACGUCCGGGAACUCGUCGAACGAGUCCUGGCAGGUGUCAACGAACGUGCCGACGGUCGAAAGCUUACUGUUGACGUCCACGAGCAGCCCGUCACCGCGCACCAAUCGUCGGCACAUUCUGCAGCGCGUCCGCCGCUUGCGCGUGCUUCGCCUUAAAGCGCCGCAGUCUGGACCGACGUUGCGGCUCGUUGUGGCCACAUAUCGAACACCUGGUGAGCGGUGACGAGUUGGUUCAGCGCAAGCUGGCACUCGGUCAUGCCGUUGUCGAUGAGCCUCUGAGGUUCGCGUAGGCGCUCAGCGGAGCUCGGAGGAGACGCGCGAGGGCGGUGUUGACGAACUUGGCGUCGCGGCCCGCCGAGUAGGUCGCAGGCGAAAGCGAUCUCGAACCCGGCGGUGACGGCGAAUCCGGCGAUGGCGCUGGCGAUGGGCUUGCGACACGCGGCCAUGGCGAUGACAGGAUCGGCGUUAGGGUUUUUUUGACGUCGCCUUUGAAGGUGUUCUCGUCGGCGGUGAGGUCGACGCCGGAGCAGCAGACGCGGCCGCGCUCGGCGAGGAUCACGGCGGAUCCAUAGGGUCGCUGCUCCACUUGAGCAUUUCAUCGAGCACCUUGUCGGAGGUCCCCGCGGCAAAGCGCGGGGAGAGAGCGCGGUUCGCGGCGUUGGAGUCGUCAAGGGCCUCGAGCUGCGCCUUGAUGGAGUGGGCGGUUUCAGCGGAUCGCGGCCAUCGCGGACGGCGCUGACGACGACGCACUCGGUGGCGGCGUAGUAAGCGACCUUCUCGAAGGUCGACACGGGGCGGUCGACGAGGACGAUGGGGUUGUAGCCGGGUCGGCCGAAGCGGGCGUUAAUGUAGCGGGUGAUGGAGCGGGCCUCGUCGGCCACCUCCUCGACGUCGCGGCCAUGACUAUACGCCGGGUUGGUGAUCUGGACGAGCAUGGCGCGGCCACGGAGCUCGGAGCACUCCUCGAGGAGCCACUCCAUGGCGAGGAAGCGAGCGGCCUCGGCAGCGGCGAAGAAGCGAGUGGUCUUGGCAGUGGCGAAGAAGCGAGCGGCCUCGGCAGCGCGGGGGUCGGCGAGGAGCGGGCGGCCUCGGGAACGCUCAGUCGAAGCGGCAGUCGCCUCCGAAGACCUCGGUGGUAGUGUAGUUGAUGCGGUUGUCGAGCUCGAGGAGGAGGUCGAGGUUCUGGAGCCCCACGUCGGCGUCGUCGUCGUCAGAGGCUCUCGUGGGUUUUGGCCAUGGUGGAUGCUUAUUUCAGAGAGAGAGAGAGAAAGAGAAAGAGAUUUUUUUUUGUUUUUUUUUUUUUUAAGCCGAGAGAGAGCUUUGUUUUCUCUUUUUUUUUUUUUAGCGAGAGAGAUAGAGAGAGCUUUUAUUAUUUUUUUUUUGAACGGGAGAAAGAGAUAAUAUAUAUAUUUUUUUACCUCUUUUUUUUUUUGCGAUCGAUGGAAUGGGGUGGAUAUUUUUUUUUUGAUUAGAUUUCGAAGAUUCAAAAAGCUCUCCUCUUUGAAUUUUUUCGAGAGGUAUUUAUGGGGUGGUUGCAACGGAUUUGAGGGAAACGUGGCAUAUGAUUGAGGAUUGAGGUGGUUGUAACAGGAUUUGAAGAAAACGUGCGUAUGGGUGCGGAGUUAUGGGAUCGUGGAUGGUUGAGGAUCGGUGGAUGAUGGGAUCGUGGGUAUAGGUUGUUACGAUAGUAUUAUGAAUUGUGGGAGAGAUUUUGGAUGGUUAGAUGGGAUUAUGAGAUAAUGGAUGGUUGCGAUGGGAUUGUGGGAAUAUUGCGAAUUGGUCCUUUCCUUUGCUCAUAUUACACUUAGUCAAUAUAUAAAAUAUUAUAUGAUUAAAGCGGGCAUUUUGUAAUACGUGAAAGGGAAAGGGCUAAUAUGCUAUUUUUAUACCCGUUCGUAUCUACAAGAACGUCCCACUUUUCGUAAUUUAUGCUCCGUGCAUGAGAAUAUUUUCAAAAUUUAAAUUUAUCCAUGCACCUGGUGCAUCGAUAAUCUCAUAAACCAUCUCUAUAUUUUUAUUUCUUUCUCUCCCUUUUUUUUUUUUUCUUUUUCCUCUUUUAUUCCUCUCUCUUUUUUUUAUGCUUCAAACAGCUCGAUUGAUUGGUCAGAUUUGACAUUUCCUACAGUUGGUUAGUGUAGAGUAUGAUAUGUGUAGUGAUCGAUAGCGGUAGAGUGUACUUCCUACUUUUCCUACUAUUGCUUGCUCCCUUCUGUAGACUUAGUGGGUGACCGAUGUUGUUUUGGGCGGUACCCACUGAGGACUACUUGUUUUUACAGUAGUUCUUACGCCCAGUUGUUACUCUUGUUUUGCAGAGCCACAGGUUUCGGCUGCUGCGCCUUCCGCGGAUCAAGAUCGAGACAAGGGCGUCGCGAGCUAGAACCCUACUCGACUGACAGAGCUAGAGGCACCCCUACUGCAGGUAGAUGUUUUGUCUGAGUUUAUGUACAUAGCUUACUUAACUCGCCAGUGCGGGUAACUCUGUAUUUUGGACUUGGACUAUGUAUAUGAAACUCAGUUGUUUAGCUUCUGUUUAUUGAGCAGCUCUAUACUACUGUUUGUAGUAUUGUAUAGCUACAGGUACUUUUGACGCUUCGUAUACAGGGAAAAGUCCUUUGUAUACGGCGGAUUUGUCGGCGUGCCCGGAGAACGAGACAUUCGGGGAGUGACAAUAUUUGUGUCAUGUGAUUUGAUCCGCAGCACUAAAAUACAGAAUAUUUUAUCCCAUUCUUUAAUUACUUGUAAAAACUUACAGAUAAGCAUUCUGCUCGUAGCUUGAUGUUAAAUUUUUUGACUAAGUUUUCGAAUGCUGCUUUUAUUUGAUUGUUGAUUUAUUCUAAUUAAAAUAACUGAUCUGAGUGAUUUUGAUUGAUUUUAUAAUUUAUACAUUAUAUAUGACUUUGUAAAAAAUCUUUAUAAAAAACCCGAAGUAUUCCCCUUUCUGAUAAAAAGGCCCAGCAUAGAUGCAAUGAGCAUUUUCCAGUCCAAUUUAGUAAACCUAGCACAGUCCAAAUACCGGAAAUGACUGUCCAACAAAAUACAGGUCCGGAGGUACAUAAUUUUAUAAAAUUUUAUAUUAUUUUUAUUUUAUAUUUAUAUAAAAAAGAUUUAAGUUCAAUAGUAAAAUAAAAAGUCGGUUACACGGAACCGUGGCUCUCCUCAGACAAUUAAGGGUCCCUUUGGCAUAGAUUUUACAAAAGUAAUUUCUGCAAAAUUAAUUUUAGUUUUAAAAAAUAAUUUUGGUUAAAAAUUGUAGCGCGUUUGAACUAGUUUAGAUAAAAAUAAUUUUUCUGAAAUGAUAUUGUAAAACUGUUUGACAAAAUUUUUUUGAUGUUUGCAUAUAUAUUUUUACUAAGUAUUAUUUUAAAAUAAUUUAAAAUGUAAAUUAAAAUUUAAAAUUUGUACAAAAUUUAAAAUUUGAGAUUUUAAUUUAAAAAUAAAUUUUAAAAUUAAAUUAAAAAUGAAAAUAAAAAUUGAAAAUUGAAAUUUUAAUUUUAAAGCUACAUAUAAAUUUUAAUUUGAAAUUGAAAUUUGAAAUUUGAAAUUCGAAAUUUGAAUUUGAAAUUUAAAAUUUAAAAUUUGAAUAAUGAAAUUUGAAAUACAAAUUUAAAAUUUAAAAUUAGAAAUGUGAAUUAAUUUGAAGUUUAAAAUUUUCAAAUUUAAAAUUUAAAUAUUUAAAAUUUUAAAAAUAAAUUAAAAAUUAAAAUUUGAAUAUUGAAAUUUAAAAAUUCAGAAUAAAUUCAAAAAUUGAAAUUAUAAAAUUUAAUUUAAAUGUAAACUUUGAAUCAAAAAUUAAAAUAAAAUUUGAAGUUUAAUAAUUCCAAAAUCAGAAUCAGAUUCAAGACACAUGUUUUAGCUGCUUUUAAUUUUGGACCUCGAAAAUUAGAAAAUUGAUUCUAAAACUCAAAUCGGAUAUUUGAAAACGAGAUUGCCAAACGUUUUAUUGAGUCAAAAUCACUUUUGAGUCGAAAAUCACUUUUGAGAAUAUGCAGGGUUACGAUCUUUUUUGGAUCAUCGUCACGCGAAUGCUUCAAUUGACACUAUCAACAAUUCAACACUGCGCUACUAAUGCUCCAAUGAGGCCACCAGAUGUACACAUCACUCAACGCAAGAUUUUGAAUCCGUGGAGAUGUUCAAAGCACGGAAGAAUAAGAGAAAAUGUUAAAUUUUUCUAUAUCUUGUCAUCUUUUUGUAUUUCAUUUUUUCUUGUAGUUAGAAAAUAUUUUAUGUAGUGUGUAUACUUGAGUACUUUUAUAACUAUUUUGAUAAUUUUUUAGAUUCUGCAGUUACUCAAAAAAGAGAAAGGGCGAGGUAAAAAUAAAUGUAGAAAGUUGCAAAGUUAAAAAGUGGUGAGAAGUUGGAAGUAACUUUCUACAACAAUCGUGCUACUGGAACGAAUCAUAAGACAUUUUCAAGACACUUAGGCAUGAUUGUGCGUGAUCGCAAUAUUUGCCCACUACGUAUUCAUUCAUGGAAAGAAAUUGGAGAAUCAGAGAAGAACCACAUGUGGGCAGCAGUCUGGUAAAAUAUUAUACCUUGACUCUUUAUGUUUACUACUUAAAUUUAUUAUUAUUAUUUUCUAAUAUUAUAUCAAUUAUAUAUAAAUUUAUGGACAAUGAUUUUUCUUCGUAGGACAAGUUUCAGAAUAAGGAUAUGGAGACUUAUCAAGAUGUAACUUUAGAACAUAUGAAUGAACUAUGGAACAAAUGGAGAGGAGACUUGUAUCGUAAAUUUAUAAAGCGUGCGAGAAUAUGCAGGAGCCUAAAGAUUGUUCCAGAAGGUGUACACCGAGAGGAUUGGGAGUGGCUUGUUAAAGAGCAUUUUUUUAGUGAAAAAUUUCUAGUAUGUUGUUUUGUUUCGUAAGAGCUAUUAGUUCCAUUUUUAGUAUGUUGUCUUUUUCACAAUAUUGGUUUUACACUUUAUAAUAUUUUUUAAAAUUUAGCAAUUGUGUUCUUGUACGCCCGGGUCCUUUGAGUUUAAAAGAUAGAGAAAAGCGUCAAAUUUUUUUUUUUUUUUUUUUGAAAACCUGACCCAGAGUAUGCCAGACCCCACAAUACAGGGAUUCCACUAUUUACACACGGACAGAGUCUUCUCCUAUUUUGCACGGCGUCGCACAGUACAACAGUACAAACAGGAUACAACCACAACUAAAUGAAUAUAGAAAUCACAUACAUUCAUACAUUCACCAUUCACAUCACAGAUAUUGCAUCAAUUCUAAACAUAAAUCCAUAGAAAUCUUUGAAAAUUGUUCCCUACACAGGAACCUUUAUUCUUUAAACGCUACCACGAGGGGUAGAAAACCUUUUAUUUUACAAAAUCCAGAAAUUCACAUUUUCAAAUGUAAAUAAAUACUGAACCACAUAAACCAACUAAACUAUACAUCGACCGAAAUAAGAAGGGUAAGAAACUAAACCGAACAACCUGGUCGGAAGCUCUAUCGACCACUACGAACGUACCUCACGUCUCGUCCCAUACACAUCGCCUGAUACACUGAAAAUAGUGGGAAGGUGAGAACAUGUAAACAUGUCUCCCUUCCAGGAGUGGUACCGCAAGCGCAAGAAGGCGAGGAGUACUCCACUAGUCCGGAGAACUAGAUAGAUAUAAGUGCUAGUAAGUAAGAUGCUGAUAAGUAGGGAGCUGACAAGUAUAGAUGCAGGUAAAUAAAACAGUAGACUACAUAAACAGUAAGGAUGUACUGGAAAUAAACACUACAGCUACUGUAUGCAUGUGUCGACUGCGAUAACCUCAAAAGUACCCAUCUCGCUGCUUAUGUUGGUCCGAAGACCUCAGGCCAAUGCCACACUGGCUCAACCUGUACCUGACCCUUGCAAUGAAGCCCUGGGUCAGAAGCAUAGUACCUGACCUCGCCAAUGAAGCCCUGGGUCAGAAGCAUAUACCCUCGCAAUAAAGCUCCUGGGCUCACGGUUGGCAAUCCAAACCACUUUUCCGGAAAAGAACACCCUCUUGCGGUGGAUCAGACGCUGGGUGUUCGUGAAAUGCGAUACCUGAGUGGCGAUCAAUGCAUAUGCUCAAGAAUCUUCCAUCAGCAACUAGCCGACAAUCCAGCCCCUCAGGGCACACCGACCGUAUAGGCCAUCAGCAACUAGUCAGCUACGUAUGUCAAGAUAGAACUGUAGCAACUCGACCGAUAGGUCAUAGAUAUCAAAAUAGGGGAACCGCCAACCAAAUCACAGAAUAUAGUGAACAGAUAAGUCGACUCUUACUUCUAAGCAUGAUAUUCAACAUGGAACCAUCGACCGCAUGGGUCAUCAUGUAACCAAUCGACCAACCGAGGUCACAAGUAUAGCGCUAUGAAACUCGACCAAUAGUCACAGUAUAGUAUAUGAACUCGACCAAUCAUGUUACAAGUAUAGGAUAUGAACUCGACCAAUCAUAUCACAAGUAUAUAAUCUAGAACUACCGUCGGCCACUAGCCGACAAUCGACCCUCAGGGUACACCGACCUCAACGGUCAUUCGGACAACAGAAGUAAAGGACCGACCAACCAGGUUACUGAUACGAGGUACAAGAAACCACUAACAGGUCACAAGUGUAGGAGAUGCAACGUCGACCAACUAGGUCAUGGGGAGAUUCACAUAGGAAUCAGACCAAUAUAUAAAUAUCAUAUACAGAUAAAGUCUACUCUACUCCUACACUGAUACUACACCUGGCAACAAUAAGUAGAGUAAUAAGGAAACGUCGCAUGGGUGCAAAGGCUCAACAUAUAUAUGGUAAAAGAUAUAAACAACAAGGGUAAAGAACGUCACGAGCGUGCACCAUGUACAACGUCGGAUCGAAGUACCCACCUGUACAACUGUCGCGCCUGGUCUCCUGACUGCAAAGAACGUCAACAGGACCUAAGGGAGGUCCACUGGUUAGUGUCUUAUACAACUAAGAAACCCUAAAGCAUAACCCACAAAAUAAACACGAGAAUCGAUUUCCCAAAACGAUUACCGAACAAACCGGAAGUCCCGAAAACCGCACCGGAACUUCACGUCGCCUUACCGUCGUUUCAAACCACGAAACAUGUGGGUGACCAGCCAACAAGGCUCAGCGAUGAAACAAUGAUCCCCAAGUACCGUCGGAAGAAUUCCAAAUCGAAAACGCGUUCUAUCGGCGGAUUUCGCCGAAAAACGCCCCGGAAAUGCAUUUUCGGUCUUCGCAAAGGUCCGGGGCCUUGGACAAUCAGUCCGGAGGUUAUCCUCAGCUACUUGCUGCAAAGCAGCCACGACGGACAAAGUUGCAUUAAAAGCCCUUCCGAAUACCCGAAAUCGCAUUAUUUCUCAUGCGAUUUCGGGCCUUUUAUGGUCCGUUUACGCAAACCAGAGGUCAAUCAGCCGAGUCAAUAAUCCACUGACAGGUUUCGAUGUGCCGGAGGCCCGUGCUCACCUUUCGGCAGCAAUAUUGGCCAUAGCGGAGAGCGCGGGAGUGCGCGAAAAUUCUGCGAACAGCGCGCGCAUAGCAUGAAAAACAUGUUUAUCUCGCUAACCAGGGCUCGCUGACCUAAUUGAGGUGACGACUGUGAUCAGGACUGACAGACUAUCACCGUGCUCACCCCCGGAGGCAUCGGAACAGCCUCGGGUCGCCGGAACAGUGAACAGAACUGGAGACUAUGCACAAAAGGCUGAAAUCAAGCUUACAAAGCUAGGCAGGGCUCGGGGUUGGCCGGCGGCGGCCGGACGGCGCAGGCGGCAGGGGAAGUGCUCCAGGUCAGAGGAGCGGGGCUCGCGUUAACAGGCGACGCGGAGCGGCGACGACGGCGGGCAUUGAUGCCUAGUUGUACAACCGAGGAGAGCAUGGCUCACCCGGUGAACAGGAGCUCCGCGGUGGGGGCGCCGGCGUGGAUGAGUGCGGCCGGCCAGCGGAGCCGGUGCUCACGCUGGACGGCGGCGGAAGACGGCGCGGCGGUGCUGGACCAACGAGCCCGCGCGGGUUCAUUGCGGGCUCCAGAGGUGGCGGUGCCCAUGGCGGCGGCGAGAAAGGUCGGGCUUCGGCGGCACCUCGCGGAGGUGGAGGAAGGGCAAAUCGGCGGCGGGAACGGACGCGCGCGCGGAGGCAGAAGCUGCCCAGCUCGGCCGCACUCGUCUGGGCGGCCGCAGAGAGGGGAGGCGGCGGCCGGGCGGCGAGGGCGGCCGGCGAUGGCGCGCGCGGGGGCAGGCAGAGGCCAUACGAGGCCGCGGGACGAGGGUGGGCUGUGGCGCGCGGGCCACAACUAGGGCUGCGCUCGGUCUCGGUCGGUCUGGCUGGCGCGGCAGAGCGAGGAGGGUGCGGGCGGCGCGGUGUACGACGGAGGCCGGCGGGAAUCGCGCGGAGGUAGCCUUCUGCCACAGGUGAAGGAUCUCGGGGUUCGCGCACUUCCCUGCGUACUCAGGCGAGAGGGUAGUGGAUCGGUUUAAGAGAAAGAUGGAGAGGUGGGCGGGUGGCUUUUUCCGGCGACGGGCUGCUCGCCGGCGGCGAGGCGUGCGGCGGGGUCGCGGGGAGGGGUGCAGGUGACGGCUGGGGCGCAGUUGGAGGAAGAGGGAGGCAACGUUAGGGUUUCCUCAUGAAACCCUAGUGCAACACUAUACACAUAGAUGCAUUUUGCAAUAGCUCUCCAGGGGUAAUAUUCUCAGUCAAGUCCUCACAGCGAGCGUAUUUUACAAUAUGCAUCUCCAUGUCCGAUCUCACGCAAUUCGGCACAUAAAUAUAGGGUCUCUUCGCGAUUUAUCCGUUUGCCACUUUGACCCUCAGCGAACAUCUCGCUUUUUUCGAAGAUCCGUCCGUUGGAUUCGAUCCGACAGUGCCAUCGAUUCAGCAUGACGAGGGUAAUAAAACUACAAUCUUGUUUCGUCAGAUUUGGUCACAGAUUCGCGACGGAACCCAUCCGCUCUCUAAUUAAUCCGUAUAACGCACAUAUACCAAAGUAUAAACCCUAAAUCUUAAUUCAAAUUCAAAUUUGAAUUCCUACCACCAGUAGUACCAGAAACAACUCUCACCUACCCCAGGUCACAAGCACAGAGCACGAGGAGUUUUAAAAUGCACGAAUGAGCAAAGAGCGGAAACCCUCUUUUUCUUAAAAACUCCUUUUUCUCAAAAACCGUGCAUCGGAUCUGAAAUUCGUGUGCCAUCGGUUCCAGAAUAGCUGACCGUUCGAAACGAGCUAUUGGAUCGCUGCAUGACAGAGUCUGAUACGCGCCAGAAGCCUAUUUAACGCAUUGGCCUCUUCGAAAAACCGGAGUUACUAUUCACUUAGUGAAUUUAAAAUCGCGUAACUUUCCAUUUUAGCUCAUUUUUCUCCUGAAACUUGCGAGUGCUUAUGUAAUUAAAUUACACACAUAAACAUUGUCAGCAGAGAGUUUAGUUGCACUGUAAAAAUCUCGUCCUUACAGUUCUAUUUGAUAAAUGCGCAGGCGGCCAAGUAGAGAAAACUAUGAAAAAUAGAGCCAAACUAUCAAUGCCCAUCGUAUGUUAGUAAGCCAUUCCACAAAUUAUUUAUUAAAAGGUAAUGUAAAUUGACAUAAUAAGCUUUUUAGAUUUUGUUGUAAUCAUUAAUUGAUAUGAACCAAUGUUUUGUGUAGGAGGCAAAGAUAGUAAUCCACAAGCUUAGCGACAAUUUUCUUUGAGACUCGAAAAAGAUGGACAACUUGAAGGAGUAAUGCAAACAAGAAAUAUGUUAAGUCUUUGCACUUACUUUUGUUAUAAUUGAUUCUAUUUGUGCAUUCUUUAUUAACUAAUUUUGUAUAUUAAAUUUUAUUUGAAGAAUAAAAUUCUUGAAGCCUCACAAUCACAACGGAACUAUCCAAUAUAGAGCUCAUUGAAAAUGCUUGGAACUCAAUGUCAUCAACAUGUUGUUUGCUAUGGGGGUGGUGUGAAGUCGACUGAUUUGAAACCUUCUUACUCUUUUAGAGCUGAACUUAAUGCCAACUCUGUGAAACUCAGAAGGAAAAUCAAUCACUUAGGAGUCGUAUGGAUGGAAUGGAGGCGGAACUACAAAAAUUAAGGAAAUGCUCCAGCAACAUCAUAAUAUUUUCUCCCCUUCUCCAUCUGAAGGUUUGUUUUAAUGUUUCUCUAGACUUUAAUAAACUUUGAUAGUCUUUAUAAUAUGCAUUCUUCACAUAAUAUCUUUUAUAUACUUCAUUUCAUAGACUUAGUUAAAGUUCCUCUUGUCUUUCACGAUAAUCAUAGUUAUAAGAUUUUAAUUGGAUAUUCAUAUUAUGAUUAUUCUCGUUGCAUCAGUCAAUACAUACCUUAUCUUAUUGUAAGUAAUUGAUGGUGAUAAGUUGAAGAAUUGAAAAUCUGAUCCAACGUUGAUUAGGCGUGCUGUCAAGUUUAUCAUUUUGGGUCUUCGUUUGAAAAACAAAACUCUCACAAUUUAUUCUAUUGAUUUUUCAUUUUUAAACUUUUAUGGUUUAGAAGUUGCUUAGUUUGUUGGUAUGAUUAGACUUGCAAUGGAUGGAUACAAUUCCAUACUUGUUAGUUUUAUUUUUUGAAAAUAUGGAUGAUGAAUAUUGAGUUCUUAAUUUAUCUCUAAUUAGUUUGGAAUUGUGCUAUUUCAUAUUUUUCACCCUCCGCAAGAUGAGCUUAAUAUAUUGCUCUUCUCUCUCCUUUAUGUGUGUGUUAUAUAUAUAUAUAUAUAAUAUAUAUAUAUAUAGCGACGGAUUGUUGUCGUUGUUGAAUCAUAAACUGUAAAUUCUAAAUAUUUUAUCGACGACAAUUUUCGCUCGUUAAAUGUUUAGUUUAUUAGCUGAAAAAAUAUUUUUUAGCGACAGUAUACGCCGUCGUUAUUUUAGUUUUAUCCGUCACUAACAUAAGAUUUUGCAUAUUUUUAUAUAAAAAACGACAAAUAAAUGUCGUUAUUACUAAUAAUAUUGGUCGUUAUUAUAUACAUUUACGACGGGAUUGUUCUCGUUAAAUACUUUUAGUGACGGAAAUUAAGCCUCGUAAUAGUUUUAGCGAAGGAAGAUUUAACGACGGAUGGCGACGGAAAUUUGUACGGUCAUUAAAAGUUAUUAGCGACAAAUAUACUAGUUAUAACGAUCAUUAUUCUCUUCGUUAAUAUCAUAUUUUCUUGUACUGAUUAUUUUUUAAAACCAGACUAAACGCCCUCCUGAUCAUAGUUAGUUAAUUCGCGAAUAAUUCGCGAAUUAUUCGCGAAUUUUUGAAGAAACGAAUUUAACAGCCGUUACGUAUUAUUCCAAAAAUUCGCCAAAAAUCGCGUUUUUCGUCAAAAGUACUUGUUCGCGAAUAAUUCACGAUUCGCGAAUUAUUCGUCGAAAAAAUCGGCCCUGUGGGCUUGCAGGUAGCGGGCUCGCGGACGGGUCGCGGACUCGUGCCGGGUCGCGGCGCUAAUGGGCUGGCCCAAAACAGAAAAACAAAAAAAAAAAAGAGAAAGAAGAGCGAAAAAGGGUUUUGCAAUUUGCCCUAACACUUCACCCGCUGGCCCUGCUGCCGACCCCAGCCCAUCCCUUCCCUCCUCCUUCCUUCCUUCCCUCUUCCCUUGAGCCAUCGGAAGCCCCCGCGUUGCCACAUCGAAGAUCGGGUUCUUCAUUCUUCAGAAUCAGAACCUCCUCGUCGCCUCUUCCUCUUCGCUUCCGCCUCGCUCUCCAACAUCGCAUCAGAUAAUUAGGUUGUUCUUUACAAGAAUUUUUAUGCUUUAGUUUCUCUCUCUCUUUCUUUCCUUUAUUUCAUCUUCUCUUAAUUACUAACUGUAUGGUUUUGAUCAGUAACAAGACCAUGACUACAACAUGUAGCAUCAUUGUAAACAUGCAUUUGUUAAGAUUCAUUACUUCCUUUUUAUCUUUAAUCUCUACAGUAUACAUGAAUAUGCCCAGCAUACAAGAAUAAUCAGCAAAUAAGGUUUUAAGAAUUAAGUCCUCAAAAGGUUUGAUAUGCUCAGCAGGUUUGAAAGUCACAAGCAUAUGCAUUGAUUAAAAACCAAGGGAGAUCUAGCAAACUUAACAAAGGUACAUGGGUGUUAAUUGGCAAUACUGGGAAUUUCCGAUAAAUUUGGAGAAAUAGCAAUAUGGAGAUACAGAUUUGAGUUUGCUAUUUGCUUAAUUAUAUAUUUAUUUUGGAACAUAAUACAGUUUGCUAAUUUUUUACUUAAUUAACUUAAUUUUAUAGCUCUUUAUUCUUAUAUUUUUAAGAAUUAUGAGUAUUUAUACUAAUUGCAUAAAACUUGAGAGAAAAAAAAAAACUUAAUUUAAUAGCCGAAUUUUUUAUCCCGAAUUUUUAAUUAGUGAACGUAUAAUAUCCGUAUAAAUCACGUAUCCGAAUAAUUGGCGAAUCCGUUUUUUUAACCGUAUUUUUCAACGAAUUUAAAAAUUAAUAGACGAAUUAUAUCCGAAUUAUAUCCGUACCGAAUUUUUGCCGAAUCCGAAUUAACUAACUAUGCUCCUGAUAAUGGCCAUAGGAAUGCAAUACUAUUCAACUUCAUUUAGUGCUAUUCAACUUCAUUUACCUAGUCCAUCCCAGACCAGUCGGUAGCAUAGUUGAUUUGGUCCCCGAAUACCCAAUAACUAUCUUCUCGAUGCAAUUAAUCAAAUAUAUAAAUAGACCCAUAAGAUCUAGCAAUAUCACUCAACUUUAUUAAGAUAGAAUUAUAUGUUUCCUCUUAUUUGUUUCUUCCGGUAUUCUCCAUUCCCUCCCGUUAAUUCUUUUAUUAUACUUUGUUAUAGCUGUUGCAGCUAAUCAUGACCUUCCUUACCAAUAUGACACAGCACACAGCAGCCACCGUUUUCACAGUUGGUAAGGAACUACCCACUUUUUUUCUCUUUUCUCUUUUUAACUUUUUGUUUUUCUCUUUUUGGCUUAAUCUUUGUGGUUUAACUCCCUUCCUUAAAUUUAUUGUCCAUAAAUUAUUGCUAAAUUUUUAAAAUAUAUUAUCAAGUACCAAUAGCUAUUGUUUGCUAUAUUUGAUCAUGGGAAAACCAAUAAGAGAAAGAACAGUUGCAAGUUAGUUAAAAGGAGGUCUGAAUAUCAAUAAAUUAAUUAAUUACCAUAUAUAACGUAGAGCAUGUAUUUGAAAUUAAUAUUUUUAGAAAUUUUUAAUAUUUUAAUAAGGAUAUAAAAUUAUAUAUGGAAGAAGACUAAGCCAUGAAAGAACAAGGGUUGAGGAGUUUUCUGCAGGUUUUUAGUACUGAGAGAGAAUAAAAUGCAAAAAGUAAUCUAUACAAAAGGUUUUCCUGCAAUUUACCUGCUUUUUUUUUUUUUUUUUCCUUUCAAAGAAACUAAUGAAUUAUAUACAUGGCCAGCUCUUUGGUAUUUCAACGCGCACUUAUAUAAUAUAUAUUAAUUCUUCUCUCUUUGUCAAAAUUCUCAUAUCCUACAAACCGUUGCUAUAAAUUCUGCAGUGUUCUUGGUAAUAUUCGGGACUACGAUACUUUCAGUAGCUAUUCGCUUAAUAAUUUAUGCCAAAAAAGUAUACUUGAGAAGAAAUGAGCAUACCACGAUCACCACAAAUCCAUCAACACCAACUAACAGAGCGGUUGCAAACGAGACUCUCGACACAAACUCCGUAGAGAAACUCCUCGAAGAGGUCGCUCCACUGCAGUUCUCGCCAGAGCAACUCACCGGAUUCACCACCAACUACGUGACCAAGCUGGGGUCUGGAGGGUUUGGUGCAGUCUACAAGGGUUGGCUCCCAAACAAAGUAAAGAUUGCGGUAAAGGUCCUAAGGGGAGAUAAUUUGGAUGAGAGAAUCAAGGAGCAGUUCAUGGCGGAGGUGGGAACGAUCGGGAGAACGCACCACAUCAAUCUCGUCAGGCUCUACGGCUUCUGCUUCGAACAGGAACUUAAGGCACUGGUGUUCGAAUAUAUGAAGAAUGGCUCGCUCGACCGUUAUUUGUUUGAUCACGAAAAACACCGCACGAACGUUGCAGCAUUGCAUGAGAUUGCAGUCGGUACGGCGAAAGGCAUCAAAUACUUACACGAGGAGUGCGAAAAUAGGAUAAUCCACUACGAUAUAAAGCCUGAAAAUAUCCUUCUUGAUGCGAAUUUUACUCCUAAGGUAGCCGACUUCGGCCUAGCGAGGCUUCUAAGUAGGGCGAACACUCAUAUCACCAUGACAGGGAUGAGAGGGACGCCGGGGUACGCCGCACCAGAGAUGUGGGUGCCCGGCGCUCCUAUCACGUACAAGUGUGACGUCUACAGUUUCGGCAUCAUGUUGUUCGAGAUAGUCAGAAGGCGGAGGAAUUUCGACGAGCGCGCUACCGAGAGCCAACAGUGGUUUCCGACAGAGGCGCUCAAGAGAUUCGUGGAGGGCCGGUUGGGGGAGGUGAUGGCGUCGCUGCACGGGGUUCAAGAAUGGGAGAGUAUGGAGAAGGCUGAGAGGAUGUGUAAGGUGGGGCUCCUGUGUGUGCAGUACCGCCCGCAGGCGAGGCCGGAGAUGAGUAUGGUGGUGAAGAUGUUGGAAGGGGAGAUGGAGGUUACGGCCCCUCCGACAAACGCAUUUCAGCACUUCAUGGGUGUAGAAAUAGAGGGAAGAAGUAGCAGCACGAAUCCGGUGACUUCUGGCUCCUCCACGAGAUAAAUGGCAGUACAGUCUUGAAAUCAUUGUAAAGUUUUGUUUACGUAACACUUUUACAAUUUUUUAUUUUUUUUAUUUUUUUGAAAAGUUCGUCAUAAUAUGAUUUUCUGCUUUCAGAACAAUGGCAUCGUUUGGUUGCUUGAAAAUAGUUAAAGUAAAAAAGUCACUUUUAUUACGAAAGAUAUUUAUACAAAAAUAAAUUUUGAAUUCGAUUGUUUUGUUGGCCGUAAAUUGAAAUACAGAAAAUACAACAAAAAUUAAUAAAUUUUAGUUAUACUUUUUAGUAGCAUUUAUGAAAAUUCGCUGGCAUUUUUUGUUAAGUGUCUAUAUUUGUAGCAUUUUUUUAUAAAAAGCUACUGAGUUUUGGUUAAAAAAAAAAAAAAAAAAAAACUAUCUCAUUCCCUUGUAUUUUUCCCUCAAUUGCUUCUAUAGCCAUCAAAAGACUAUUCUACCCUUAUUUCAAAUUGGAAGUAUAAUUUGACACAAUGGGUCUUUUGGUCCUUUCAAAAAUAAAAGAAAACCUGACAUCUGAAGAAUGCCCUCAUCAGAGUUCUCGUUGAGAUCGCCAGCGGUGAGCGCUCCACUUCAACGGUGGGCAGUGGGCUCUUCUCAUUUCAGAUCGUGGAUUUCAACAAAGACCUCAGUGAUUUCAAGUUGUGAUCGUUAAUUCCUUUUGCAAAGGUAUUAUUCAUGGUUUUUUUGUUUUGUGUGUGUGUGCGCGCGCGCGCGCGCGUUUGUUAUGAGAGUUUGGAAGUUAGUGUUCAAAUAUUAGAAUGUUAGUUUUCUACAAAAAUUUCUACUUGGUUUUAUACUUAAGAGAGACUUUAUGGUCACUUAGUUUUAAUUCAGAGCUCUAGGGUUUUUGUCCCCUUUUUUAUUCCUCUAUCAAGUUUUAUUUAAUUCCUCCAUUGUGUGAUUUUAUAAUUUUUUUUUUUAUGGAUAAUAUCUAAUAUAUCUUUCAAAAUUUUAAAAAGAUCUAAUAUGUCCUUGGCGGACCAAAUUAUUGAUUUUCAAAAAUUUCAUCAAAUAUGUACUCAUGAUCCUACAGUUUACUAACGAGAUUUGGAGUUUAGAAGGGUAUUUUGGGAAUAGAAAGGUAUAUUUAAAAUUUUUGGAUAGUAGUGAAAGGUAUAUAUAAGCAAAAGCUCUAAUUUUUUUACGUCUAUUCUCUGCAAUGGCAUGGUUAAGAGUGCAGUGAUUAGUUAAUUGAGAUUUUGAUUGUUUUGGAGUACUUUAUGGUUGCUUUUUAGAUAGGGAUAUGUUACAGUGAGUUCAUGUCUAAAAUACUUUCUAGGAAGAUUAUUAAUUAUUGAGUAAUGCUUCUAUACUUUUUUUUUUUUGGUUAUCGUUCAUUCACGCGUAUUCAACAGCUCAGAUUUAGUUUUUUUAAAAUUGUGACCUGCAAUAGUAGGUCACUUUGGGAGAGGUACCGGUUACCAGGUACCUCAAAAAAUGAUAUUUUUGUCUUUUAAUAUAUGAGCAAUAUAGUCAUUUUACAUCUACUAUAUUUUCAAAAUUUUUAUUUUUUCUUUGUUUCCUUUUUCUCUCUCUAUCUUUUUUUUCAUAAUUUGGCAUUUCAUAUAAGAAAAUUUUCAAAUGAUUUGGCAAUAUGAUCAUUGAAUUUAAACUUUAAAUAGUAAUGUGAAAUUCCUCUAAUUUGAAUUUCACUUUUAAAUUUAAAAUUUAAUAUUAUAUUCAAAUUUAUAUUUUAAAAAUUUAAGUUUCAUAUAAAUACUUUGAAAUAUGGUAAACAGAAAUAAUUGUUUGAAUUCUAGUCUUCUGGUUUAGGUUUGGUUUUGGGUUUCGAAAAAUUGGUCAGUUUUGAAUUUGGAUAUGGAUUUUUGAAAUCCGUCGAGUUCGGAAAUAAGUUUUGUGAUUGUUAGUCAGAUUCGAAUUCAAAUUCCUAACUAUUUUUUUUCUCACCAAUAAUUCUAAUCUUUUUAAUUUAUAUGUUUAAAAUUAUAUUUAAAAUAUUUAUUAGCUCUAACAGUUAAAUUAUCAUUCUGUUUAAAAUAUUUAUUAUCUUUACCGGUUCCAAAUUGUUCUUAAUGUUAUUCGGUUCAAUAGGUUAAAAUCAGAUUCUUGAUAGAAUAGGUCAAAGUCUGAUCAGUCAAAUCAAUCGGUUCAAUCUAGUUUUUAAAUCAUUGAAUUUAAAAUUUAAAUAGUAAUAUGAAAUUCCUCUAGAGAAAUCUAGUUGUAGAAAUCUUACUCUCUAAGUUUUUUAUGCAUUACGUUUUAAACUGGUGCGAAUAAACUGUAUUUUAAAUCUUGGUAGAAAUUUAGUUUUUAAAUAGUAAUAUGAAAUUCCUCUAAUUUAAAUUUCACUUUUAAAUUUUAAAUAUUUAAUUUUUAAAAUUUAAAUUCAUCGUAUUUAGAAAUAAAACUAUUUCUAAAAUUUCUAUAAUUUAAAUUAAUGCAUAAUUUGAGAAACACUAAAACAUUUAAAGUAGAUUCCUAAAUUAAUGCCUAAUAAUUGCAUAAAUUUGGUUAAUCAAUUAAUUUUCUAAAUUAGUGCUAAUUAAUGCAUAAAUUUAGGACCUCAAUUAAAAGUUUCUUUAAAUAUUGUAUUAUUUAAUUACCAAACUAACCUUGAAUAAAAUAAUUUUUUUACCUGCUAAGUAUUAAAGUUACAUUUUUACCCUCUGUUAAUCAACGGUUAAAAUCUUUUUUAUUUUUUUUUUAAAAAAGUACCGAAUCAUUUCUCUUAAUUAUUAAGGUUAAAUCAUAGUUCAUUAAGGUCAUCUUAUUUUUUCCUUCUUUUAUUGACUUUAAAGAAUUUAUUUUUAUUUACUUGUGGUAAGCUACUCCAAUAGCAUAUUAAAAGACAUCAUAACAUAGAAGGCAUAGUAUAUUCGAGAUAGAAUAAGAAUUUCACAAGAUUCUAAAGAACUAUUAGUGGUAGAAGAUUUGUUCAAUUUUUUUAAAAUAUAAAAAAGGUGUUAGAGGUGGUCCCUGAGUAUUAUGUUAUUGCAAACUUACCUACAGAGAGGAUUCCAAAAUGAGGCCUUGAACAUUUUGUUUUUCGAUUGUCACUUAGUCAAUUUUCAUUUGUUUCGUUUGAAUUACUACAGGUGAUGGUUUCUUAGGCUAUAAUUCAUUUAUUAUUCCGACUUGUUUGUUAAACAGUUAUUAAAAAAAUUAAAUUUGGUGAAUCAUAGAAUAAUUGUUGAAGCUUCUAACUUAUUUGGCAAAAAUAAUUCCAGUUUAAAAAUUAAACUUUAGGGAAUGCCAUUGAAUGAAACACAGAGAAAGUUGAGGAGCGGACAUUUCAAAAUGCCUGUAACUUUUCCUCUUUAGCUAUGUGUUACUCUAUUUAGUGUUUUUAUUUUUACUUUUUCUCUUGGUGGUUUCUUUAUUUUCAGCACUUGCUAUGUUAGAAAUACUAGCAAAAUCAGGACUGAUUUAGAAUAUCUACUGUCCAAUGACCCAUAAAAGAGUAUAAUACAAAGGCAAUAGUAUUAUAUUUAAUACUUAUAGCAUAUAUUUGUUUAUGUUGAGACCAAAUCUACUCUCAUUGAGUUCAAGUCUAUUAUAGCUAGCAAGUAACUUCUUGGUUUUAAUUUAUGAUUGUUCUAUUAUAUAAAAAAUUUGUGUGCUUAAAUAGCUCAUCUUGUGAUAUAGUUUUAUUGAUUACUUGCUUUUUUUUCUUUUUUCUUUUUUCUUUUUUCUUUUUCUUUUUGUAGAAGCUUGGAGAAGUUUAACCUUAAUUUUAGUUCUUGUAAGCUAUCACAUUUACAUAUGUUUUGAUUUUAAUUUCUUUUUCCCUGUGAAAUGCUAAUAAGUUCAUAUAGCAAUUUCUCAUAGAUCUGAUUUUGAUCUGUUUUGUUAAGGUUAAUCCUUGUAUUAGCUGCAACUAUUUGUAGAUCUAAACACUAUUAAAGAUUACUUGGAUUGGCCAAGAAGCAGCAUACAAUACUUGGUAGGUGUAAAUGAGUUUCUUGGUUUUGCAUUUUCGAAUCCAUCUAUUGCUAGCUAAUAAGAUUCGAUGCCGGUGUGUGAAGUGUGUUAAUUGAACAACUUUAAGUAGAGAAUGUAUCUAAAGUAUUUGAAACUUCUAAAAAAUAAAUUUCGUAACUUUUCGAAAUCAUAAUAAAAUCUAUUAAACAGGAAUAAAAUGAACAAUCAAAAUUGAACGACGUCCUAAAAAUGGAUGAUCAAAUUUUCAAUUUAAGAUCGGAGUUAUUGAUCUUUAUUUCGAUAGUGAAUAAAAUUUUUUAUCAAAAAUUCAACCUAUUCUAAUUCUUUUACACCAUUAAACUAGCAAGUAUUCCAUACCGGUCGUUAAAAAUUGUCCAUUUUGUGACCUUUUGAUCGCAAGGUAAAUAAUGUCAAAAAGUUAUGAAAUUUGAUUUUUAAAAAUUUUAAAUGCUCUAAACAAUGUUUAAAGGUAUAGAUCGUCGAUUUAGAAGCUCUAUUAUCGAAAACGACUUAUGAGUACAAGGGCGAUUGUACUCAUAAGAGUAUCGUAGCCAGGCUAUAUAUAUAUAUAUAUAUAUAUAUAUAUAUAUAGUUGGACUGGGCUACUAUUAAUAGCAAAAUUUUAUUGUUGCUACCAGUUUUUUAGCAUUUGGAUCAACUCUUUUCAUUAUUUCUAACAAUUGGAUUAAAUACUAUAACCCAAUGGGGACCACUCAACCCUAGGGGGACCACUCAAUUCUAACCGACUAAUAUCAUCCUGACCCUACAAUUUUUCAUCCAAGGGUUAAAAACUUGAUAGCAAAAAGAGUGUUUUACUAUUAAUAGUAUUCCAGCCUAAUUCAUAUAUAUAUAUAUUUAUUAUAUUAAUAUAUAGAGAGAGAGAGACGAGAGAGAGAGAGAGAGAGAGGGUGAGAGCCUGAAGAGGAGGACAGGGAGAGACGAAGAGGGGGGCUUUUAGAAUAUAUUGAUUAGACAAAAUACUUUUUAAUUUCAAGGUUGUUACCUUUGGAUCGAAAUUUUUCAGAGAAGGUGAAUAGGAUUGUAUUAGGUACUUUUAGGGUUGAGUGAGGAGUCCCCCUAGAGUCCAGGUCAGUGGAAUGUACCAAAUUAGGUACGGGUCAGUGGAUCCCCACUGAAGUUAUAAUAUUUAAAAAUGGCAUAAUAUUUAAAUCAAUGCAUGGUUAGGAAUUGAUUUGAAAAAUUAAUCCAACAAGCUGCUAAAAUUAAAUUAGCAAUAUAGAGCUUUGUGAUUAUGUAGCAUUCUAGCUGAACUAUAUUAUGUAGAUUAGAGAGUUAGGCUAAAGAAAAAAAAGAUUAAGAUCUAACGGACGGAAAUGAUAAUUAAAACUCUGUAUCCAAAUACUUUUCUAAAAUACUCAAUACGUCUAGAUAUUUAACGGAAGCCGUUGUUCGAGAUUUGGAAGCAUCCAUCUGUCGGGAAAACGGACCUUAGGAGCACGGAGAUUCAUGUCUAUAAACACAAGACUACAAAUAUCUAUAUUAUUAUAUAGUAUUAUUAAUUAUAUAUAUAUAUAUAUAAUAUAUUACAUAAUAUAUAUAAUAAUAUAUAGUGCGAUCUGGAUAAUACUUCUUGAACCGUGAGCGUUUCCAUACUUCCAAGUCGUUUUCGUUUAGGACUAUCGCAACCGACAGAUCGGAUCCCGUUAGACUUUGAUCUUAGAGUAUUUAACGUUAACCCCAGAAAAUAACUUUUAUGAUUUUUUAUAAACAAUUUUUUUAUAUCACUUGCUAGUGAUCAAGGGGCUACAAAUCAAAGGUAAAAUUAAAAAAAUUACCAAAAUAUAGUAUGAUGAAUAUGACGUUAAAUUAUUAGAUCAAAUUUAUUUGAAUCAUUCAUUUAAUAUUAGUCUAUUUAAAAGAAUCAUUUUUAUCAAGAAUGGUCAGUGAUUUGAAUAUUUUUACAACCUACGAUCUAUCAACUUGAACGGAUACCACGGCUCAUCCUCUGUGUUAAAUGAUUGAUUUUGCUGAGCCCUUCAAUCAACUAGCGAAAAUUGAUAUCGAAACAAAAAUCACAAAAUUUAUUUAUCUAGCGGUACUUCAAAUAUUCUAGAUCAAGUGUCACUGAUGAUACGGAGAUCGAUCGUCGAUUCAAAAGUCAACAUCUGAAACGACUUGGAAGCACGGAAGGGUAGUUGCCUGAGAGCAAUACGCCCCUAUAUAUAUAAUACCUAUAAUACCAUUAUCAUACUAAGUACUAUAUAGAGGUCGGUACUUAAUGCUAUUCAAUAGCUGAUAAACUUUGGAGGUGUACCAGUAUUCGCAUCGUUAGAUUAGAAUCCCUUCUUGGAUCAUUUUACCAAUUAGAAUACAGUACUAUUCAAGCAACCCACCAUCAACCCUUCGGCGGGCCACAUUUCAUCCUUAAACCACACUCUCUUAAUCCAAUGCCAAAAACUUAGGUAGCACACCUCUAUGACUCGAGUGACCUAAUUUAAUACGAUAUAUUAGCCUAGUGUUAUAUAUAGUAUAAUAAUAAUAUAGAAGAGAGAGGAAGUAGAAGAGGAGAGUAGAGAGAAGAAGCGAGACAGGAGGGGAGAAAGAGAGAGAGAGAGAGGAAUCUUGGUAUUUCUGGACAGCACGGGCCUACGUGACUUCCAAGUCGUUUUGAUAUGGACUUGGUUCGAAAUCGACGACAGGGCAUUCCAUGUUCGACGAUAUAGAGUAUUUUAAGUAUUAGGAAAUAUUUUGAAGAUUUUUUGAUAGCAUGCUAGUGAUCAAGUGGUCAAAAUCACACGGCUGAAAAAAUAAAAAUCUUAUAAAAAUUGAUGAUAUGAUAUAAAAAUUUUAGAUCAGAAAUAUUGAUCUUAUUUUAUAUAGUAUAAAAAAUUUUCUAUCAAAGUUUUACGUGAUUUGGAUAUUUCUACACCGUUAAACUUGUAAACGGCUCACCACGGUCAUUAAAAUUAUUCAUUUUGAGCCCCUUCGAUCACUAGGCAAAUGAUAUCGAAAAAUCACAAAAUUUAUUUUCUAGAUAUUUCAAAUACUCUAGAUCAAGUUUGAGAGAGAGAGAGAGAGAGAGAGAGAGAGAGAACUAGGCUGAUAUACUAUCGAUAGCCCGGAGGCCUCCGUGCUACCAAAUUGUUUUCAAUGUUGCGGUUUUCAAAUCGACGAUCGGUUCCAUUAGACUUGAUCUACAUUAUUGAAAGUAUCAGGAAACUAAAUUUCAUAACUUUUCGACAUCAUUUACCUAUCAAACAAGUAAUCUAAAAAUGAACGGCUGAAAAUAAAAAUCUCAUAAAAAAUGAUGAUAAAAGAUUUGAAUUUAAAAUCAGAAAUACUAAACUUACUCUAAAUAGUGAAAAAAAAAUUCAAUAAAAAUUUUAUCAGAUUUGGAUUAUUUUACACCGUUAAAUUCACAAACGCAUCACAUCUACUAUUAAAAUUGUUAAUUUUGAGACCCUUUAAUCACUAGCCAAAUGAUGUUGAAAAAUUAUGAAAUUUAAUUUUCAAAUACUUUUAAUGGUGUAAAUCAAGUCUAACAGAGCCGAUCGUCGAUUUGGAAGUCGCAUCAUUGAAAAAAACUUGGAAGCACGGAGGUCUUCGUGCUACCGAUAGUAUACCAGCCUAGCUCUCUCUCUCUCUCUCUCUCUCUCUAUAUAUAUAUAUAUGCAAUUAACACUAAUAUUAUUAUUCUAUUGGGACCACUCAAUCCUAAGUGGGAUCGCUAUCAUCCCGAUCCUAUAACUUUUAAUCCAACGGCCAAAAAGUCGGAAAUACCAAUUCCCUUUAUGAUUUUGAAAGUGAUUUUGAAAGCAUAAUAUCUCUACUAUAUAUACAUAUAUAUAUAUAUAUAUAUAUAUAGACACACACACACACACACACACAUCACUAUGCUUUCCAAAGUAUAAAGAAGUUUGUAUUUUCGACUUUUUGUCUUUUGGAUCAACUCUUUUGACAAUUUCUGAUUUUUGGAUUAAUAUUAUUAUCCUAGGAGGACCACUCCAUCCUAAGAGGGAACCACUAUCACCCCGAUCAUAUAAUUUUUGUCAAAAAGUCAGAAACACCAACUUACUUAUACUAUUGAUAGUAUAAUAGCUCUACAAUAUAUAUAUAUAUAUACAGUGCGUCUGGAAUGCCUCUGGAAGCACGGAGCACUCCGUUCUUCCAAGUUGUUUUCGAUAUUUGGACUUUCGAAUCAACGAUCGGCUCCAUUAGACUUGAUCUAGAGUAUUUAAAAUAUCUGGAAAAUAAAUUUUGCGAUUUUUCGAUAUCGUUUGCCUAGUGAUCGAAGUGGCUCAAAAUCAACGGCUGAAAAUAAAAAUCUUAGAAAAUAUGAUGAUAUGACAUUAAAAUUUUAGAUCAAAGUUAUUGAUCUUGUUUUAUAUGGUAUAAAGAAUUUUUUAUCAAAAUUUCAUGUGAUUUGGAUAUUUCUACACCGUUAAACUUGCAAACGGCUCACCACGGCUAUUAAAAUUAUUGAUUUUGAGCCCCUUCGAUAANNNNNNNNNNNNNNNNGGUUCAAAAUCAACGGCUGAAAAUAAAAAUCUCACAAAAAGUGGUGAUAUAGCAUUAAAAUUUUCGAUCAAAUAUAUUGAUCUUGCUGUAAAUAGUAUAAAUAAUUUUCUAUCAAAAUUUCAUCUGAUUUGAAUACUUCUAUAUUGUUAAACUUGCAAACGGUAUACAUCAACCAUUAAAAAUUGUUGAUUUUGAACCUUUUCGAUCGCUAGAAAAAUGAUACCAAAAAAUCACAAAAAUUAUUUUCUAGAUAGCUCAAAUAUGUUAGAUUAAGUCUAAGAAGCCGAUCGUCGAUUCUGAAGCUCUAUUAUCGAAAAUGGCUUAAGAGCACGGAGGGCUCCAUGAUCCUAAUAGCACACAAGACCUACUAUAUAUAUAUAUAGGCUACUAUACUAUCGGUAGUACGGAGGUCUUCGUGAUAGCAAGUUGUUUUCAAUGGUGCGGUUUUCAUAUCCACAAUCGGAUCUAUUAAACUUGAUAUGCACUAUUGAAAGUAUUUGAAAACUCAAUUUUAUAAUUUUUCGAUAUUAUUUGGCUAGUGAUCAAAAGGUCUCAAAAUUAAUAAUUUUAAUGAUCGACGGUAUAAAACAAUCCAAAUCUGAUGAAAUUUUUAUAAAAUUUUGUUUCACUAUUUAGAGUAAGAUCAAAACCUCUUAUCUUAAAUUCAAGUCUUUUAUCAUUUUUUAAUGAGAUUUUUAUUUUUAACCGUUUAUUUUUAGGCUAUUCGUUUGAUAUGUAAAUAAUGUCAAAAAUUAUAAAACUUAAUUUUCAAAUACUUUAAAUAGUAUAAAUCAAGUCUAAUAGAGCCUAUCGUCGAUUUGGAAGCUGCAUCAUUGAAAACAACUUAGUAGUAUGGAGACCUCCAUGCUACCGAUAGUAUAACAGCUGGACUCUAUGUAUGUACAUAUAGAGAGAGAGAGAGAGAGAGAGAGUAGGACUAUUGUACUAUUAGGAGCACGGAAACCUGUAUAUUCCUAAGUUCGUAAUCAUUUAUUAAUUUUGAUGGGUGGUUAGCGUGAGAAAGAGAAAAAAAAUGGAAAAAAAUUAGGUGUCUCAAUCUCUCUUUUCUUUGAAUUUUUUUUUUUUUUUCUCUCUCUCACCCUAACCACCCAUCAAAAUUGAUGAAUGGUUAGUAACUCAGGAGCACACAGGCUGCUGUGCUCCUAAUAGUACAGUAGCCGUACUUUAUAUAUUAUAUAUCAGAACAAAAUAUAAAUGAUUAAAAAAAAUCAUCGGACUCUAUCGUGGAAGUGCGCUGUAUUCAAAUGCUUUGUUUUGAUACAAACAAAAAAACAAAAUAACAAAAUAAAAAUAAAUAAAAAAGAAACAAGGAGAGAAAAAAUGUCACAAAAAUAGAUAUAAAUGUGGGUCAUUAGGAAUCGGACCUAUCGCCUACCUAUAAUGAUCCAAUUUUCUUUUCUCUUCUAAAAUUGAGAGAAAAAGCGAAAGUCAUCCUACUGGUUUCUUUUCCUUCGUCCAAAGAGUAUAAAAAUAAAUUACGUUUUCUCUUAUCAUUAUCUUUUUGGGAAAACUUCAAAUACCUCCCAUAUGGUUUCACUUUUUCUCACUUUACUACCCUGUGAUUUAAAGUGUACUCAACUUGAUACACUUUAAACCACAUGAUACUAAAAUAAAAAAGUACGUAACUACGGGGGGUUUUUGAAGUUUUCCCUUAUCUUUUUUAUAAAACAAAAGAUUUCUCACAUGUUCUCUUCAUCCAACUUAAACAUAAAUUAUUUUUAAAAGAGCAAUCCAAAGUUCACAACUCAAAAUAAGUGUAAACCUACAACACUCUCACCCAAAUAUAUAUAUAUAUAUAUAUAUAGUUUUUUACUACUCUUACCACUACUUUUCUUAACUAAAAUUUUAAAAAAAUUACCGACCGUCCCUAGAGCAAGUGGCAAAGGGUUUGAUAGUUUGUACUCGAGACCCAAGUUUGAAUUCUAAUUGAUUCACAUUUUCAGCUAAGUUUAUUUCUAAAUGAAAUAAAUGAAACGGUUAACGUGCUACUAUCUCUCAAAAAAAAAAAAAAUUAAAAAAGGUUCGAAAACUUAGAGGAAGGUUUGUUGAGAUUACAACUCCUGUAAAUUAAGAAUUUAUCUUUUUUUCUUUCAAAUUUGUCCAAAAUUUUAUAUUAAUGUUAAGCUACGUACUUUUUAUUUUCUACCACUUACGUCUACCACCAUUCGUCGCUGCUAGCGCUACUCUUACGCAUUAAUUACACCCGCCUUAAAUUCCCUCGGUGCUUUUGUUACCUCCCACCCACCCCACUCCCUCCCCUUCACUCCACCGCUUUCUCCUCGACACUUUCCUUCUCUCUCCCUCUCUGGUGCAAUGUCGUCGUCGGAUUCGUCGUGGGCGGCGUCGACGCUCCCAGACUCCCCGGCGCCUGCGGCAGCGGCGGCGGCGGCGGCGGCGGCGGCGGGCGUUGGGCUCGGCUACGGCAUCGCCAUCGCCGUCGGCAUCCUCGUCCUCGUCUCCACCAUCAUGCUCGCCUCCUACCUCUGCGUCCGCGCCAAGGGCACCUCAUCAUCCUCCCCCUCCCCGCCCCUCCCCACUCACCACCACCGCCACCACCACCACCACCCCCGUUCACCCACCACAUCCGAAAUGGCGGUGGCGGUGGGGCUCGACGACGCCGCCAUCGACGCCUUCUACCCGAAAUUCGCAUGCGGCGCGGGGAAGGAAGAGCCGGCGGCGGUGGUGGGGACGUGCGCGAUAUGUCUGGGGGAGUGCGAGGCCGGGGAGGCGGUGCGGCGGGGGACGGAGUGCGGGCACGGCUUCCACGCGGGAUGCGCCGAGCGGUGGCUGCGGGUGAGCGCCGCCUGCCCGCUCUGCCGCAGCUCCUCGCCCUCCCCGGCCGCCACCAGCCCGCAGCCACCCCGCUCUCCGAGCUCAUCCCCUCGCCCUCCACGCCAAUGAAAUUGGAUCUCGCGCCGCUACCUGUCGGUGCGGGUUCUAAAAAAAGUUUUUUUUUUUUUUUUUUUUUGCUUCCCUUCAUUUCGAUGUACUAUUAUUAUUUAAUUUAUUAUUGAUUUUGAUUUAAUAUACUUGGUUUUGCUUACUUGCUUACUUGAUUAAUUAAUUAGUGUUUUGUGGGUCAAAGGGCCUAAGUUGAAAUCGUGGUGUCUAAGAUCACUCACUUCCAUGCAAAAUUCAGAAAUGGUGAAGACUGUAGAGUAUAGAAGCGAAUGUUUUAGUAUCAAGAUCCCAAAUCACGUCUUACAAAAAGUAUUGACAGUCCAGAAAUUGAGCUAGAAUACUUUUAGAAGUACCAAUCCCUUACUGCUUCUAAGUUUUUAGGCUUCUAGCCCUUGGAUCUAUUUCUUGAUUACUAAUAGUCUUUGGAUCAAACACUAUUCCACCUAUUAUCACCUACUACCAUCAUCUCAACCUCAUAUCUAUCCAUCCAAUGGCUUAAAACUCGAAAACACCACAUUCUUGGUACUUUUGAAAGUAUUCGAGUCCAACUCGACAGUCCAGUCCCUAUAUGGGUCUAAAAAAUUUCAUUUUGUCGGAGAGGUUUUUGUUUGAGAAUGUGACCUACCCAGUUAAACUCAUUCAAAAUUAGACCCACCAUGCAGUUUGGGUCUAUUCGAUCGCCUACAGCAACCUUAAUUAUAAUCUAGUGAUUUCUAUUUCACAUCUCGUAAUUUCUAUUUUAUGUAAACUAUUCUAGUAAGUAAAUUCUAUCUUUUACAUAUGAAUCGGCCACCUCUUCUUAACUCCAAUCCUUCCACUCUUCAAGCAUUUUCGGCCACUCUUAUCUGAGUCUUGCCUUUUAGAGUGCGUCAAGCUAUCAGCAUAUAUAUAUAUAUAUAUAAUAUUUAUAACAAUAGCCAAAUAAAUUAACGCAUCAAAUCGGUUGGAUCAGUAGCUUAAGAUUAUCGAAUUGUUGAAUCUAAUGUUAACUAUUAGAAAGAUCUAAUCCAGUUUAAGCCCACAUAAUAUCAAAAUAUGGCAUAGUCUAAUUUGGUGUUCGCCGGCGCUCUACGUUUCCAAAUUUUAGCAUACACAUUGUUUUCACGUAUAAAGUCGUAACACAUUUUAUCCCUUGUAAAAUGAGUCAUCUAUUUUAGUUCAAUCCAAAUUAGAUUUUAAAAAAAUAUUUUUUAUAAACAUGUUGUUUAUUGACAAAUUUUGACUCAAAAACUUGAGUAUAUUAGGCUUGAAUUCAUUAGUAUAUAUCGAUCAUUUAUUCUUUACUUAUAAAUGAAAUGAUCAUUAUAUUUUUAAUUAUUGAGAAUUAAUACAAUGUAUAUAAAAGUUCAGAAACUAAAUUCAUGUUUCGUUCGCCGAAAGUGUAACAUCGAAAGUGGUACUUUUAGAAAGUGAUGUAUUAUCGGUUAUUUAUUUUACGAAAGUGAAUACGAAAGUCAUUUUACAAAAAUAGACUAAUAAAGUGAGUUAUAAUUAAAUCCCACUUUCUUAACCUUGGCUCAAAAAAUUCAGAAGUCACCGAAAGUAGAGAUCGAGCUAAGCUAAGAGGUUAUAUUUGGUCUUAACUUUAAUAUUUAAAUUUAUUUUUAAAGUUCAAUUUCACUUUAAAUUUGAAUUAAAAUUAUGAUCACAUUUUGAAUUUUAUUUGUAAAUUAAAAUUCAACAUAAAAUUUUAAAUUCAAAUUUAUGACUUUAUAUUUAAAUUUAAAAUUUAAAAUUUAUUUUUAUUUAAAUUUGAAUUCUAGAAUUUAAAUUUAAAUUUUAAAUUUUAAAUUUUAAUCAAAUUAUUUUUAGUUAAGAUCUUCGAUUUGAAAUUUGAAUUCAAAUUGUUCAAACUAUAAAUUCAAAUUAUUGACUGAAAUUUGAAUUUAAAAUUUAAAUUUUUAAGUUCAAAUUCAAAUUCAAAUUUAAAUUUGCUAUUUACAUUUAAUUUCAAUAAUGAAUUCCAGUCUGAAUUUGAAUUCGACUUAUGAAUUCAAAUGUUCGAUUCGAAUUGUGAUUUAAACUCAUAUUUUAAUUUUAAUUUAAAUAUUAAUUUAAAUUGUGAAUUCAUAUUUGAAUUCAGAAUUUAAGAUCAAACAGUAAAUUAAUAUAUAAUUCAAAUUAUAAAUUCAAAUUUGAUUAAAUGUUCUAAUUUUUGUGUUGAACUUUUAUUUUAAAAUUUAAUUUCAGUUAUAACUUAUAACUUAAAUUUUAAAUUCAAAUUGUAAAUUAAAUUUAUGUCUUAAAUUUUAAUUAUAAAUUCAACUCAGAUUUAAAUUUAAAUUUAAAUUUAAAUUUUUAAUUUAAAUUGCAAGUAUAAGUCGUUUGUUUAUAUUUUCACCUUUUUAUAUAUAAUUUAAAGAUAAAUUGUAUUGUUACCCCUUGAACUUUUGGCAAAGUUUCAUUUUAGCCAUCGAACUCCUAAAAUGGACAUCUAACACUCUAAACUCUAAUAUUUCAUUCAUGUUACCUAUUCCGUCAGUUUUCCGUCAAGCUUAGUUAACCGGAAACUGAUGGAAGGCGUAAAAUGAAUGAAAUAUUAGAGUUUAGGGUGUAAGAUAUCUAUUUUAGGAAUUUGGGGGGUUAAGUGAAACUCGCUAAAAGUUCAGGAGGUAGCAGUGCAAUUUACCCUAAUUUGUUACUUAUGGAUUGACUACUAACCCUCAAGUUAGUGACCAUACUUGAUUUUGAAUUUAUAUAUAUUUUUUAUCCUAAAAUAAAUCAUACCAUAAUUUAUCCUACAUUUUAUUGUAAUAAAAUAAAAGCGAAAGAAAUGAAUUAGAGUGACUUAAAGAUAAGAAAAGAGCGAUACUAACUACCUACGAUGCUCGAGCACUCUAUUGUCCUACUGUACUCGCUAAUAUGGUUGAUUUACAAUAGAUGCUCUCGCUCGGAUGUAGAGAUUUUAAUUCUCGGUUAAUUUUCUGUAGCACUCGUUUGUCCCUUUUAUCUUUAGAAGUAUUGUUCUAGAAAAUGCACUUAUUUUCUAUGAAACUAUGCAAUGUAAUUUUAUUGUAGCCUAAAAUAAAAUUUUUGUACUUCAUUUCAGCCAAUUAAAAAUUUUUAAUAUAAAAAUAUAAAAUAAUAUUUUAUAAUACUUUAGAACAAAACUUCUAAAGAUAAAAGAGACAAAUGAGUACUACAAAAAAUUAACUGAGAAUUAAAAUCUCUAUAUCCCAGUGAGAACACCUAUUAUAAAUCAACCAUAUUAACGAGUGCAUCAGGACAAUAUAGUGUUCGAGUAUCGUAGCUGGUUAGUAUCGCUUUUUUCUUAUCUUUAAGCCACUCUAAUUCACUUCUUUCGCUUUUAUUUUAUUACAAUAAAAUAUAGAAUAAAUUAUGGUAUAAUUUAUUUUAGGAUGAUAAAUUCAAAAUCAAGUAUGAUCACUAACUUGAGAGUUAGUAGUCAAUCCAUAAAUAAUAUAUUAUAAUAAAAUAAUUUAUAGUCAAUAGUCCUACAGGGUAAAUUGCACUACUACUUUCUGAACUUUUGGUGAGUUUUACUUAACCCCCAAAACUCUUAAAAUAGAUAUUUAAGACUCUAAACUCUAAUAUUUCAUUCGUUUCAUCCCUUCCGUUAGUUUUCAGUUAACGGAGCUUGACGGAAAACUGACAGAAAGGGUAACAUAAAUGAAAUAUUAGAGUUUAGGAUGUUAGAUAUCCAUUUUAGGAGUUCGAGUGAUAAAGUAAAAUUUCGCCAAAUGUUCAGGAGAUAAUAAUGCAAUUUAUCCUAUAAUUUAAUCAUAAAAAAUUAUAAAAUUAUAGUUUUAAUUUUUACUUUAUAGCAACCAAACAAUUGAACUGAAAAAUCACUUUAGUAGAAAUUACUUUUAUAAAAGUGACUUUUUCCACUUCACCGACUUUCGAGCAAUCAAACAUGCCCCAAGUGAAAACUGCAUAAUCAAGCCACAACAGUGUAUAUUGGUUGGUAUCCCUACAUAUUAUUCUUUAUUUUAACUGAUCUGAAUGGAAAUGCUAGCUAGGAUUGGAUGAGUUCACUUCCUUUUUUGACUUCAUGAAGUACCAUACCUAUACAAAAUUGAUGAAUAAUUAGAAAAUAGGAGAAAGGACCAACUUUACUUUACCAUAUUAGUUUACUUUGUUAAAUUACUUUAUUUAGGGCGGUGUGACAUAUUAAACAGUCAAUGUUAGAAAAACGAACAUAAUGGAUCCUCGGGUGGGAGUGACUCCCCACCUUCCACCCGUUUUUUUUUUCGCGAGCUGGGAUAGAUUCGUAACAUAAUUAGUAUUAAAAAAAAAAAUUAAAGAAAUUUGACAACGAUACCAAACAGACCUAAACAUAAACUUAAAGAGCUCUAGGCAAAUAUUAUAUUUGUAGAAGGUUUUAUUUAUUUAUUUAUUUAUUUACAAAAAGAUAGCUUGCUACCCGCUUCAUUCAUUAAAAAUAUGAACUAAGCUACUAUUUGUUUUUUCUUUUUUGAGAGAGAUAGGUAGCACGCUACCCACUUCAUUUAUUUCUAUUAUAUUUGGUUUAGAUUUGUAGUUAUCUAAACUGGAGUUAAAUCCUAAUUUAAUUGGGAUUGGAUUUAAUUUGGCAUAUACGAAUUAUAAUUAGGAGUGUAAUUCUUAUUGAAUUAGAAUUAAACUCUAGUUAGGAGACAUGUAUUAUAUAUACAUGCUACGAUCAAAUUAAUGAUGCCGCGACUCAAAUUAAGGCCAUGCAAAUUAAUUAAAUUGUUAGUGCCCCAUCAGUAUGGUGGGAGCAAUUCUAGCCCGUAUUGCUCUAAUUAGAGGCAAGCUCUAAUGACGCCGCAUCUCUAAUUAGACCUAUGCUAAUUCCGUACGGCGUUGGAUCUUGGGAGGAGCCGUAUGCACUAAUUAGUGCUAAUUUGUGGUCCGUACGGAUUGAGAGAGAAGCCACUUUGGAGUUGCUUGUUGCGGCGUUUUAGAUCUAAUUAAGUUUUGGUUCUUUUGAGAGAUUUUCUUUGUACUCCGCCUUUUCGACAUUAAUAAAAUAUUUGCUCCGUCUUCAUCCGUGGACGUAGGCCGUUGGCCGAACCACGUAAAUAUCGAUGUGCUCUUUCCUUAUCUUUUAUUUUUCUACAUUAAGUUAUUUUCUGGUUCUAUUUUUCGCUAUUCCGAUUUUAACAAACUGGUAUCAGAGCCUUUCUAUUUCCUUUGAGGAUUAAGAUGACGACGAAGUUCGAGAUUCAAAAAUUUGACAGUACCAACAGUUUCGUAUUAUGGCAAGUCAAUAUGCGUGCUGUAUUAACGCAACAAGGAUUGCAGAAGGCACUGUUGGGAAAAAAAAAGAUGUCCAAUUCUUUAACGGCGGAGCAGAAGGAGGAGAUUGAUGACAAAGCUCUGACGGCAAUACAAUUAUAUUUAUCUGAUGAGGUAUAGUGCGAGGUCUUGGAUGAAAAUACCGCUGCAGGGCUUUGGCUUAAAUUGGAGUCUCUCUAUAUGACGAAGUCUCUCACCAACAAGUUAUAUUUGAAGCAACGUCUCUUUAUGUUACACAUGGCAGAAGGUACCUCUAUUAAGUCGCAUUUAGAUGAAUUUAAUUCUAUUAUUAUGGAUCUCCGCUCGAUAGAUGUCAAAAUCGAGGAGGAAGAUGAAGCCCUUUUAUUAUUAUGUUCUCUACCGCCCUCUUGUAAGAAUUUUCGUGAGACCUUGUUUGGACGAGAUACUCUAUGUCUCGAUGAUGUUAAAUCCUCUUUACUUUCAAAAGAGAGAAUUGACAUGCAGAUAAGCAACGAGAUAGGUGGAGCUUCAGGACAAGGUUUGUCGCUAGAGGGAGGUCUCAGGAGAAGGGUUCUGGUAAUAUAGGUACAUCUAGAUCAAAGUCAAAGUACAGGAAUCUGAUUUGUGGUUAUUGUAAGAAGAAGGGUUACAUAAAAGCUGAUUGUUUCAAGUUGAAAAAUAAAGAGCAGCGAAAAAAUAACGAUGAUAAGAAUUAAGGUAAAAAAAAUACCAAUACUGAAGCAGAAGCAAAUAUUGCAGCAGAAGAAUCAGAUAAAAAUGAUAUCGUCUUCACAGUUACAGAUAAGACACGCAGACAGGAUGAGUGGCUUAUGGACUCCGCAUGUUCCUUCCAUAUCUACACGCAUAAAAAAUGGUUCUCGACGUACAAGCCUAUUGAAGGUGGAGAUGUAUUGAUGGGAAAUCACUCUAAGUGCACAGUUAUUGGAAUUGGCACUAUUCGGGUACGGAUGUUCGAUUGAGUAGUGAGAACUAUAUCUGAGGUUCGGGAUGUUCCGGAUAUGAGAAAAAAAUCUGAUCUCAUUGGGUACCCUUAAUACUAAAGGCUUUAAGUAUUCUUCAGCUGACGGAUUAAUGAAGGUCGCUAAAGGAAAUCUUGUAGUGAUGAAGGCCAAGUUGUCCGACAAGUUAUAUAUUCUACAGGGUUCCAUUGUGACAGGUUCAGCAGCGGUGAUUUCUUCUUCUAUGUCAGAUUCGGAUAGCACCAGAUUAUGGCAUAUGCGACUAGGCCAUAUGAGCGAAUAUGGUAUGAUGAAGUUGGGCGAGAAAUGUCUAUUUGGUAGUCAAAGUUUAGAAAAGUUGGACUUCUACGAGCAUUGUGUUGUUGGUAAACAAAAUAGAGUCAACUUUAAGGCUGCAGUUCAUCGAACAAAAGGUACUCUGGACUACAUCCAUUCUGAUCUUUGGGGACCUUCUCGUACUCCUACUCAUGGUGGUGCUAGAUAUAUGUUGACUUUUAUUGACGACUAUUCUCGUAAAGUGUGGGCGUUCUUUCUGAAAAGUAAGGAUGAGGUGUUCAAUUAUUUCAAGCAGUGGAAGGUCAUGAUUGAGAAGCAAACUGAAAAGAAGAUCAAGAGAUUAAGGACCGACAACGGUUUGGAAUUCUGUUCGUCAGAGUUUGAAGAAUUCUGCAAGAAGGAAGGGAUCGUUCGACAUAAGACCGUUAGGCAUACUCCACAGCAGAACGGGGUGGCCGAACGGAUGAAUAGAACUCUUUUGGAGAGGGCCCGUUAUAUGCUCUCUAAUGCUGGCUUAGCGAAGAGUUUCUGGGCAGAGGCAAUCUCUACGGCAUGCUAUUUAGUGAAUCGAUCUCCACAUCCAGCACUUAACUGCAAAACUCUGAAGGAGGUAUGGUCUGGCAGCUCUUCUGAUUAUUCUAAUUUGCGAAUAUUUGGUUGUCCUGCUUAUGUUCAUGUUAAUGAAGGCAAGUUGGAACCUAGGGCUAAAAAGUGCAUUUUUAUUGGUUAUGCAUCGAGGGUUAAGGGAUAUAGAUUGUGGUAUCCUAAAUCGUAUAAAUUAAUUAUUAGUAGGAAUGUCACAUUUGAUGAAUCUGCUAUGUUAUAUCCUAACCGUAAUUCUUCUGAUGAGACCCCGAGUGCUAGCAAGCAGGUGGAGGUAGAGACCAAUGGUAUAGUUCAGUCGCAGGAUUCUUCUCAGUCAGAACAAGUUCAGUCGGCAGACACCUCAGUAACUGAAACCCCACAAGUUGAGAAGCAGAGCAUUACUACAGGCAGAGCGAGGAGACAGAUCAAACCACCGCAGAGAUAUGGUUAUGAAGAUAUGGUUGCGUACGCUCUUUCAGUAGCACAAGACACAGAAGAAGGUGAGCCUUCCACAUAUAAUCAAGCUAUUUCUGGUACCAGUUCUGCAGAGUGGUUGAUGGCGAUGAAUGAGGAGAUGGAGUCUCUCCAUAAGAAUCACACAUGGGAGUUGGUAAAAUUGCUUACAGGCAAGAAAAUUGUCGGCUGUAAAUGGGUCUUCAAGAAAAAGGACGAAAUCCCCGGCAUAGAAGAUACAAGGUAUAAAGCUCGUUUAGUUGCUAAGGGCUACAGUCGGGUAGAAGGUGUUGACUUUAAUGAUAUUUUCUUACCCGUCGUAAAGCAUACUUCUAUUCAUAUUCUUUUAUCGUUAGUAGCCAUGAAUGACUUGUAUCUUGAGCAGCUUGAUGUUAAGACAGCUUUUUUGCAUGGAGAACUUGAGGAGCAAAUUUAUAUGAAACAGCUGGAAGGAUUCAUUGUUGAAGGGAAGGAAGACCAUGUUUGCCUGUUAAAGAAAUCGCUUUAUGGCUUAAAGCAGUCUCAUCGACAAUAGUAUAAACGGGUCGACUCUUUCAUGACAGGUCACGGAUAUUCCAGAAGCAAGCGUGACAGUUGCGUGUAUUUCAGAAAGCUUGAUAAGGGAUCUUUCAUAUAUUUAUUACUCUAUAUCGAUGAUAUGUUAAUUACUUCUAGCGACAUAGUUGAGAUAAAUAAAUUGAAGGCUUUACUUAAGGGUGAGUUUGAGAUGAAAGAUCUAGAUGCUGCUAAGAAAAUCCUUAGUAUGAAAAUUAGGAGGGACAACAAGUCAGGACUACUGCAUUUGACACAAGAGAAAUAUAUAGAGAAGAUUUUAAAGUGUUUCGGGAUGACAGUUGCAAAACCGGUGAGCACUCCUUUUGCGGCGCAUUUCAGACUUUCUGUCGAGGCAUCACAGCAGUCCGAUGAUGAGCGGGAGUACAUGUCACAUGUUCCCUAUUCUAGUGCUGUCGGGAGCAUCAUGUACGCCAUGGUUUGCACGCGACCGGACAUCUCCUACGCAGUAAGCAUGGUUAGCAGAUAUAUGACCAAUCCUGGUAAGGCUCAUUGGCAAGCUGUUUUGUUGAUUUUGAGAUACUUACGACGUACCACUAACACUUAUUUGGAGUUUGGGAGAUGUAAGGAUAGUGUGGUUGAAUAUGUUGAUUCGAAUUUUGCAGGUGGUUUGGACAGGAGGAGAUCACUUUCAGGUUAUGUAUUUUCUAUUGGCGGAUGUGCAGUUAGUUGGAAAGCUUCACUACAACCUAUUAUCGCCUUGUCUACGACGGAGGCAGAAUAUAUUACUAUGACAGAGGGUGUGAAGGAAGCUAUGUGGCUAAGAGGCUUAUUUGGAGAGCUUACUUCUUGUUGGAAUCCGACGAUUGUUUAUUCAGACAGUCAAAGUGUUAUUCAUUUGUCGAAAGACCAGAUGUUUCAUGAGAGGACAAAACACAUCGAUGUAAAGUUUCACUUUGUUCGGGAUGUGAUUGGGAAAUGCACGGUGACUAUUAAGAAAAUUGGUAUUGAGGACAAUCCGGCGGAUAUGCUUACUAAGUUCCUUACUAUUGCCAAGUUCAAGUAUUGUUUAGACUUGGUGUCAGUUGGCAGUAUUUGAGGCCCUAUGGAACGUUUGGGGAAGACGGAGCACGGAGCGUUAAGGAGCAUUGAGACGAAUUAAAUUCAAGGUGGAGUUUUGUGGCGAUCUCGACAUAGCGGCUAAACUAUAAAUUAAACCAAAGUGGAGAUUGUUAUAUUUAGUUUAAAUUUGUAGUUAUCUAAAUUAGAGUUAAAUUCUAAUUUAAUUGGGAUUGGAUUUAAUUUGGCAUAUACGGAUUAUAAUUAGGAGUGUAAUUCUAAUUGAAUUAGAAUUAAACUCUAGCUAGGAGACAUGUAUUAUAUAUACAUACUACGGUCAAGUUAAUGAUGCAGCGACUCAAAUUAAGGCCAUGCAAAUUAAUUAAAUCACUGGUGGUCCGUCGGUACGGUGGGAGCAAUUCAAGCCGAUGCGCAUUGCUCUAAUUAGAGGCAAGCUCUAAUGACGCCGCGCCGCAUCUCUAAUUAGACCUAUACUAAUUCCGUACGGCUUUGGAUCUCGGGAGGAGAGCCGUAUGCACUAAUUAGUGCUAAUUUGUGGUCCGUACGGACUGAGAGAGAAGCCACUUUGGAGUUGCUUGUUUGCGGCGUUUCGGAUCUAAUUAAGCUUUGGUUCUUUUGAGAUAUUUCUUUGUAAUCCGUCUUUUCGAUAUUAAUAAAGUAUUUGCUCCGUCUUCGCCCGUGGACGUAGGCCGUUGGCCGAACCACGUAAAUAUCGGUGUGCUCUUUUCUUAUCUUUUUUUUUCCUGCAUUAAGUUAUUUUCUGGAUCUAUUUUUCGCCGUUCCGAUUUUAACAAUUUCAUUUAGAAAUAAACUUAACUAGAAAUAUGAAUCAACUAGGAUUCGAAUUUGAGAUCUCGGGUAUCAACAACCAAACCAUUUGCCACUUGUUUUAGGGACGGUCGGUCUAAGUUACAAUUUGCAGAAGGUAUUGUUAGGCCAAAGCAAGUCUCAAGUGCAUUAUUGUGUGCAAAAGUCAGUGUGUGAUUUCAGUAGUAGGUUGUACACAGUGACCAUCUUCACUAUUUCUCUACCUGCUGGUAGCAACGGCCAACUACCCUAGAUGACCUGACCAUUUUUUGUCUAUUAAAGAGCUAAUUAAAUAUGUUUAAACUAACUUUGGAAAAGUACACAUUGAGAAAUACUGGGAUCUCUAUAAUGUUGGUUUUUCACAUUGUUGAUGCCUUGGUACCUUUCACAUCAGUCUUUUUUUUUUUUUUUUUUUUUUUUUUUUNAAGGAUACUAAAGUGAAAAAGCGCUAAACCACAGGGAGGAUAUUUGAAGUUUUUUUUUUUUUUUUUUUUGCGUUAUCCUCUCUGUUAACUCUCCAUUAUCGAUAACAACAAAAAGUUAUUUUUUAAAAUUUAGUUCUCGAACAAAACGCAGGAUUUAGGUUUUUUUUUUUUUUUUUUUUUUUUGUAUUGCUUUGGUGAUCUGAGUUUACCAUUCUGGCUCUAUUAUCAUCUUUUCGAUUUUUUAUCAAAACUAUUAAGAAUUUGCAUUUUGGGUUUUGAGUUUUAUUUUAGCGUUGAUUUUGAUUAAAAAAAAUUACAUGAAAUCAAUUAAAUGAGAAUGUUUUUUUUCAUGUUAGGUAGCAUGGUGAGUGACACAUUUUAGAAUUGAUGAUAAGCGACACCGAUAGAGGAAAGAAGAAUGAUUGAUUGAUUGCCUAAUAUCAAAAAUGAAAGCCUUCGUAUCAAGAAAAAUGAUUGAUUGCCUAAUAUUAAAAGUAAAAGAAUAUUUGAAGAGUCUUCGCUGCUAGUAGCAUGCACGAAAACCUUCAUACUAUCAAGUUAUUUUUAAUAAUGUUGCUUUCAAAUAAACAAUCAGCUCCGUUGGACUUGAUAUACACUAUUGAAAGUAUUCGAAAACUAAGUUUCAUAAUUUUUCGACAUCAUUUAGCUGUCUAACGAAUAGUCCAAAAAUGAACGACUGAAAAUAAAAAUUUCAUGAAAAAUAAUGAUAAAAAACUUAAAUUUAAGAUCAGAGAUAUUGAUGUUAUUCUAAAUAGUGAAAAAAAAAAAAAUCUAUACAAAUUUCAUCAAAUUUUAAUUGUUUUACACCGUUAGAUUUCCAAACGCAUCACAUUAACUAUUAAAAUUGUCAAUUUGAGACCUUUUAAUUACGAGCCAAAUAAUGUCGAAAAAUUAUGAUAUUUAGUUUCUAAAUACUUUCAAUAAUGUAGAUCAAGUUUAAUGGAACCGAUCGUCAAUUUAAAAACUGCAUCAUUGAAAACAAUUUAGUAACACGGAAACCUCCGUGUUGUCGAUAGCAUAGCAGUCUAGCUCAUAUUUGAACCAAAAUAGUGCAGCAUAAACAUUUCUUCAACUGAUGUGCCAACUAGAAACCACACUAGUAUUUUAGGCGGGAUCUGCAUGUUUUCACAGGUUAAAAACUCAACUGAUCAGUAAUUGCUGAAUCAAAUCUUCAAAGCUGACAGCGCUCGUCUUACUUUCUAGUUUGAGCUUUUCUUAGUACCAUAAAAUGGAAUUCAAAAGGAGAUUCCUAACAGGAAUCUAGUUUUGACUGAUAAGAUCAAGGAUCCCCUCUCCACCCCCAGACACAAAACUCUUAACCAAAAUUGCAAUGCGCAGAAUUCUCAACAUAAUUGCUAUGUCAUUUUGUUUUUCCUUCAAUAGUGCUCGGAAUGUUGCUUAGCAGUUGUUGACUAUGUUAACAAGCUUCAGGUACUCAAAUAGUUCUAAGAACAAACGUUCCAUAAUUUAACACAUUUUCGCUUUUCCACUAGCUUGGAAAGUUCAGCUUUAACCUCCUCCUGAUUUUAUUUUUAUUUCACUAUUAAGUACCUGUCGUUAAAUACAUUUACAAACCAUGGGAUCAUUAAGUCUAAUUUACAGGUGGGACUUCAUAGAAAAGAAAAAUAAAUAAAAAAAAAAAAAGAGAUAGCAGAGUAAAACUUUUUAAAUAGCAAAGUGGCAAAGUAAAAAUACUCUAAAUCAUUGGGGGCCAAAUUAAAGUUUCCCACAGUUCUAAGCGUUAAACUGUAGCAUAAACCUGGUGUAAUGUGCUUUAUGGACCUCUAUCCGACAUGCGCAAGAUUUGUUUUACUUUUCAAAGUUCAUGCCGUUGCAAUUUUUAAUUUUUUUUUUAAAAAAAAAUUAAUCACUAACGGAUGCAUGCACUAUAAUAACGAAUGAAGAAUAUUCUAGGCCUCCAAGGAACAUGUAACAUUACCUUCGUCUAAUUUCAACCUACAGAAUGAGUUGUAAGCCUCUUCCCUCUCAAAACUUUUCAAAAGUCUUUUUUACAACUAACGCAUGCCUUUUUGCUGACCAGGAACUAAUCAUGUAAAACUAAACAUCUUUCAAAAGCUUCGAUUGCAUUAUUGCAUACCAAGUUCUCCUCCAAAGGCUUCUCCCUCUGACAUAACACCAGCACUAAAUGCUUCAUUCUUUGAUCCUUUGUGAGAUUGUUUUCCUCUUUUUGUUGAAAUAUUGCUGAUACAGCACCACUGACACUCCUAGCUCAAAAUCAAUCAAGCAACAUCUGUUGAAAUGGCCUCAACCCAUUAAUGGCUCCCUAGACAACAAGGUUGAAGAAUGAGCUUUCCCUCUUGGCUCUGCAAAUCCUUCUUAGAUGGAUUUAACACCAGAAAAUUGUUCUUAUGCAGGACUCAGACCACCAACCAAAUCUAUGGUGAUUAGACUGCACGAUAACAGCUUAGCGAUGCCACGGCAAAUGGCCCCUUCUAACAUAUUUCAGUGCCGUAAAUGAACAGCAAACCUAGUUAUCAUACUCAAUAAAACAACAACUUGAUGCACCACGAUGUCCAACACCCAGAGAGAGGUAGCAGACUCCAAUCCCUUAAGAACGUAGGUCUCAUCAUCCUCCGAGCAAAUGAAGUUGAUCAAGGCUAUUUGCUUUUCUUUAGCAUUCCCCUGAAGGGGCUUCUACAGGCAACAACUAAGCCGCAAGAACCAAAAUCUGAAUGUAAGCCAAUCCCAAAGGUGUAAGUUUCACCCAGCUAUCACAACAAAAUCUCUUUUCCAAUCCAAAACAGAACAAACAAGUGAAAAUUUUCAAGCUCAAAAUUCUAGUUAAAUUCAAGAAGCCAAAGUGCUUUGGGGAGCACAUCCUUACACCAUACUAAGCAGUUACAUGAUCCAUGUGAUAGUGUAUUUUUGUUGCAGAAUCUGUCACCAACAAAAGAGAGAAAAAUCGUAGUAAAUUCUCAAAUAGUAUCUCUAUGCCAAUGUGCCCCACCAAGUUCUCCAUCAGAUCAAAAUGUAUGCUCCUCUCCAUAUCCAAAAUUUUGUUCUCAAAUAAUUCUUUCUUACAGUAAACAACUGCCUCGUUGGCACUGCUUUUUUAUCUUUUUAUGCCAGACUCUUACCAUAACAAGGAUAGAGAAAUCCAUCGCCUCGCAUAUUAAAUUGCAUAUAAUUUGACUUGAAGAUACAGAAGCGGCAAAUGAGGGCUAAGCGUGUCCGUCUGACGAAGGCCAACGAUGAAUUCAUUGCAUGCCCUCUUCACCUUCAGUCAGUUUGGACUAGAAACAUGUAAUGGUCCAUAGGAUGCAAUCACUGAAGCCUCAUUAUCCGAAGUCCCCAUUAGAGAAUUGAAAGGACUGCUGAUUUUGAGACGAUAUUUCUUGUUAUCAGGUACAUGUUCUUAGGAUGCAAUUAUUCAAGUCUCGAUAUCCUAAGUCCCCAUUAGAGGAUUGAAAGGACUGCUGCUUUUGAGAUGGUAUCUAUUUUUAUCAGGCACCCCAACUUUUUUUUUGCUUUCUUCUGCCGCCUCUGAGCACAGAACUUUAUGGGAACUUUGGUUAAAUUCAACUGUUGCAUUAACCUGCACAAGAGAGAAAAAGAUUAUUUAGAAAAGGACUACUGGAAGCAACAAUUUUUCCCUCAGCAGAAAAAACAGGAAACAAGCAUUACUCACACUAACAACUGAUAGAAGUGCAAAAAACAAACAGAAUACAAGCACAGCAAAUGCAACAAUGCUAAUCAUGUGGAGUGAAAACAAGAAGAUGUUAAGAUAAAAGCGAAAGUCGUAUCAUGCAAGGUGUUUUAGAGCUUUUCUCCAAAUAAAGACAUCACCCACAGCUUACAGAAGUCAGUAAAUGAUGACACUUAAUUACACAGCUCUCAGCAAAAAAUCUUUAAAAAAAAAAAAUCUCAUUCACAAAAGUAAAUUUUCUUUUCAUUCCCUUUCAACAUUUUAUGGCUCAGCUAUUGAUAUUCCAUACAGACAUAAAAACAUUAAGCAGCAAUCUCAUCAACAAAUCUUUCUUUAAUCAAAUACUACAAGCUUACCUACCAACCAAAGCAAAUCAUUUACUAGAGGUAUCUCUCUCAGUAACAGAUUACAAGUAGCGACUGCUAAUAUCCUUAUAAAAGAACAAACAGAGCAGCAAAAUCAUGCGAAAAUCUAUAUUUCCCACUAUGCCAGAAGCAGAAGCAUUUAACAAAAGCUGGAUGAAAAUCAGUCAUUCUCUUACCCAGUAUUGACCCCCAUGACCAGCAAUAUAAUGAUAUACUUAUGACUAUCAAUUCAAUCAAAUAAAUCCUACCCGCAAAUUCGACAUUCACACUUUACAACAAUAACAUGUUUAUAGUGCAGGGACAAUAUUUGCCAUGUUUAGUAGACAUGUAAAUCAUCUUCAGCUUCUUAACGGGAUACUCUAGAACAAUACAGCUAUCCAUAUGCAAUGUAAAAGAUCAUUAAAAGUAAAUCUGUUGAGCCAAAUCCCAAGCACACGGAGUAGGCACGCUCACUUCUCCAACAUCCACACUAAACAAAGCAUGCAAAAUAAUGGAUGGUAAUCUACAAUAAAGAUAUUUGCCCUCCUAAUCUGACUAGAGCAGGAUUUUUUGGAACUGAUCAACUUCCAUGUAAUGCCAUCCUCGUGAUAUUUGACUGGACUUUCUGGUCUUGCAAGGGUAAACCACUUAAAAGGCUGAAUACAAAUUGAAUAAUUAAAAAGCAACAUAGUUCUCUUCAGUGCACACCUUAUGGAAUCACCUUAAAAAUACAUUCCUAUAGCCAGCCAGCAAAUUAACUUCCCAUCAUCAAAAUCAAUAAUAUGAAAACCCACAAGAAGUAAAAUAUCACGGCCGCCAUCAUAACUACUAGAAAGCGUUGUCCAUAUUUGUUAAUUCACUACACUGCCUAAAAAUUCAUCACCAAAAGCUCCACUAUCAGCAUAUAGGGAAAUAUCAAAUAGAUAAACUGAUUAUUCUUGCCCAACUAAAUCUAGAUAGAAGCUGCAUCUUAUUGAAAUAUGAUGCACCCAAAAUAAUUAGCACCAAAGAAGCUUCCACCUCUCCUUUUUCCCUUUUCUGUUCUUUCCUUUCUAAUAAAAGGGUUAUAGAAAAGCCCCAUUAGACACUAUCUUCAUCAAUCUUAUUGAAAUAUGUCGCUCUAAUUCAAUUCAUAUGACAGAGCAACAGUUGUGUAAUUUUCAGAUUGAUGAAACCAUGGUCAGAUCCCUGAUUCACUGAAGAUCAGUCUUUGUAUGUGGCCCAUAAAAAUGUCACAAAAUGCACUCAAACUGACAUAUCAUCUACCAAACUCCUUAGAGGAAGAUUUAAUUGUUACCACAGAUGCAUGAACAAGAAAGAAACAGGAUCAUGAUGACUAAAGCUAACGUGUCAAUAUCAGCCUAGAUCAAGUGACAGUAAGAAAAGAGGCCACGAAUUGAUGUUUUAUGGUUGAUUGAACUUGAAUUUAAGGCCAUUAAUACGUAAGAUCCUAUUGCUCCUAUAACAGGAAUAUCCUAUUCUUAUUUAUUAGGACAAGGAAUCUAUGUAUGGACUACUACUGGACCGCCAGCUUUCUUGUUAAAAGAUGUUUGUAGAUCCUAAUCCUAUAUCGAAAAGUAAUCCAUAAGCACACAUACAGAGCACUCAUAUGUAAACACAAAAGGGGACAACAUCUAAUAUGAUUAUCUUGAACAAUGGAAGGAAAAUACUUGCCUUUUGGUACAAGCCAUCUCCACAUGAUCCGCAUCACUUGAAUAUCCCUGGACGAACUCUAACAAUGGUUCAGCAGACUGUAUAUCAUAGGGCAGGGUACAACGCAGCAUGUAGCUAUCACAAAUUGGUGCAAUACAAGCCUAAGAUGCUAAGAAUAUUCUCUCCAAAGAGAAAUAAUAGUCAUCAGCACUUAACGGCGGUUCCAUCAUAUUAUGAAAUACUAAAUACCACAUGCUAUACGAGAAAUCCAAGAGCUGCAAUUUCUGGCAGCUGCUACCACUGCAUAAGAGUUCACCAAAUUCAACUCGUCCAACAGGUGGCAACAAAGUUCAUCCAGGUAUAACAAAAAGGGCAUAAACUUCACAAAACCUGCUUUUUCAUGUAUACUGAUGCCUACCGUAAAAUGUAUAACCACUUGAAAGUCAGAAGUCCCUUUUAGGGACAAAAUCACCAAAUAUAUCAACGUCCUCCAACUAAUACUAUCAUCUAUGCUAUACCUAGUGACACCAUCCCCGUCAAAUAAAUAAGCCAAUCUUGUAUGCGUCCAGCUGAAGGACAGUGAAGCAAUAAUAUUAGCUCAUAGCGAAAGCACAGCAUGAAGUCUGCAAUCUUAACAUCACGACAAAACAAGUCCUGACUUGUCAAUUCUAGUCGUGCACACUGCAACUAAGUAACAAACCCAUAAAACUAACCUAAGGUUUCUGAAUUGUCAAUGACACAAGCAUCAAAGCCAAUGUAGCUAAGCAAGUAAAAUACCUACUCUAUCACUUUAUCUACAGCCACCAAAAAAUAUUCAUCGCUAAAUAAUAGCAUCAAGCCCAAUAGAUGGAUAUCUACAAAUAAUGCCUCAAAUAUCAGAUAUGCUCAUAUCGGUCAGCACAAUAUCCCAAAUGAAAUUUUAUAGCCAAUGCCAUCUUGAGGAACAAUUUCAAGUGUGCAAACGUAACAUCUUAUACUUCAACAUGUCACUAUCUUCAUUAUUCCCUCGCGACAAGGAAUAUGCCCAGUAUCCUCAACACGUCCACUUAUCCACCAUCUUAUUCCACUUGAAGAUAUAAUAUACAUAAGUAUAUAUGCCAAGCACUAAGAGAUUCCUUCACCAUAUUUGGAGCAACUAGAGCUCUAAAAUAACACAGAAAUGGCAAGAGAUCUAUACAACUUAAAACCAACUUAAUGCAACUCUGAACUUUCCUCUAUUUUAAGUAGUUAAAACGACACCACCUUGCCAUCUGCUAUUAAGACAGAGAGCCAUGCAUUACAGUUGAAAGAGCUUAAAUUUGAUAUGCUGCAUUACCAGCCCAUCGCCUAAAUAGAUUGUGCAUCCCAGGACCCAAACUCAAAUAAAGCUAACAUAGACAGAUUACAAGAGGGAAACAAGAAAGAUACAGACAAACAGGAUAACCCACUAUUAGUUGAUGCAAAUUAUAAUAAUAUCUUGUCUAAUUACUCACCAAGGUUUAGAUACGGAUCAAACUACCAUAGAUAUCACUGUUAGAUGGUUGAGAAAGAUAGGAAAAGAACAAAGAACUUACUCCAAAAAGUUAGGCCUAUACAGAAUGUACCAAUUUAAAAGAAACCUACAAUAAUUUUUCAUCACCAUUUCUAUGACAUACUCUACCAAAGACUUGCUAGCUUCAUCAAAAUAGGAUAAAAGUACAUCAAGCAAGCAAACCAUAAACUUCUAAUGGGAAAUCUUCAUUCAAUCACGUCUCAGAAGCUAUCUUACAUCGUAGAAAGCAAAUUUUCAGACUAACUUGUAAGUGUCAAAGAUCAAGUACCUACUUUAAGCACCAAGCAAAGUAUAAGGUUUGCAAGAACAUUUCUGACAUCAUCAUAUGCUAUUAACUAAGAUGAUAAAGCUGAAAAGAAGCAAUAGUUAAUUACAGUAUUAGUCUGAUAAUAAGUUUGCAAAUGAUAUGCUGCUCUUCAUUCAUGAUGACUGAAAGCAUCCUACCAAGUCGAAUCUGAUAGGCCGUGCGCCAGUAAAGAAGCUAUAUAGUCUUAACCUUAUAGAAAGACAGUCAGUAACAUAAAAGCCAUCCAAUUGCAUCACGAUGGACAAAUGCAACUGAAACCUCAACGACGUGCGAGGUGAGACUUGUCAAAUGCUCCCCAUGGACCAGGACCCGGACCAUACAUAGGAGCUUUCUCAGCAACACCCUAAUUGUCAAAAACCGAACCAUAAGUAGAGCAUAAAACUAAAAAUGACUUCAAUUCAUGACCUACAAAAACUGCUUAGAAGGAUACAUACUUGGUGAAGACUGUAACUAGCCCCAUAUGAAGAAGGAAAGGCACCUUCAGGGCUACCAAAGUUCAUCCCAUAUGGUCCACCUUAAACAGAAAGCAACAAGAAUAAUAUUAAAGUACCAGUCUGUAUUAUCAUAUAGCCAAAUGCCAUUGUGAAUGAACAUAUUAUGCCAAUAAGUAUGGGAGGGAGAAAAAAAAACAGAAAAAGAAAAAGGAAAAGAAAAGGACGUGCAUUGUACCAUAUUUCAUUCAACUGGACAAAUUUACAUAAAUAUGCAAAUGUAUUAAGAAAGAAAAGUAGAAAAAGCCAAAUGCAAAACCACUACUUGUGGUUUCAGUAGAGCUUUGAAUACCAAAACUCCAUUAUAUUGUAGACAAUCAGAGCAAUUUUGUUUUACAAAUGCAAGAUAGAUGAAUAAGUCUCAGGUACUCAUUUGCCAAACACAUGUGACAUUGCUCAACAGCUUCUACUACCCAACCAUCACAGCAAAAACAAAUGAUAUAUCAUGGUGUAACAUCUGCACUGCCUUCUCCGACCACAACAAUAUUAAAAACAGCAAUAACAGAGAAAAAGGGAAACAACUUGGAAGACAGGCAUAAUUAAAAUGAAGUAAGACACAAGGCAAACUAGGGAGAAAGGACCCCGAAGCCUAGGUAGAAAUAAUAGCACGCACCGGACAAAAGGAAGCACACAUUUUACAUAAUUUCCAGAAAAACAAAAUAUUCAUUAAAGACCUAUAUUAUCACUAUAAAUAAAUUACAAAUUCUGAAAUAUAACCAAGCUUUAAAGUGAAUUAUCACAACAAACUGUAGUUUAAAACUGAAUUACCACAAAUUUUAAAAAAUCAAUCCAAUAACGAGAGUUGAUUAGUGAAAAAUGUUAAAACCAUAGAUGGCACAAUUCGGCAUCUUCGCUAUAUAUGUUUAAAUAUCAAAAGCCCACAUUAAGGAUUUCAAAACUUUUUACUAAAUAAUCUGAUGGUCCAAAUGGAAAGAAUUUGCAUAAGCUAAGGCAAAUAUUAGAUUCUAGAUUAAUAGCAAGGUUUAAAGUGCCCAAGAAGGUGGCAUGGUACGGGGGGGAUCUCGGACCCCCCUCUGUGCCGUGGCACCGACCUGCGUAUCGCGUGAGACAGAGCAAUACACAAGUCCGUGCCACAGCACUAGUCCGUGCCUCGGCACUGUAUUUGUUUUUUUGUUUUUUGCCUUUUUUUUCUUUUUGUUUUGUUAUUUGGGAUACCACGAAGCAUCCCACACCCUCCAAGGAUAUUGCAAAUCAAAAGAUAUACUCGUUAGGUAAGUUUAAAAAAUUAUAAUUUAACUUUUUUAUUUAUCAAUAUACGGGCAAAUUUUUAAUUUACAUAUCCAAUCCAUACCGCAACGGGCGAAGCCCCCCGCACCCCCAUUAUCGGUCUGAGCCCUCCGCUUCCACCACAGACAUCCAUUUUUUUUCAUAAAUUAUUUUAUCAAAAUUUGUCACACCACAAAACUUUUGACGAAUUAAGGAAACAAAAUCGAACUCAAUAAACAAAGCUUAAUUUUUUUGAUAGAUCUAAUAAUUUUUUGAAAAAAUUAAUUAAAAAAUAUUUUUUAAAAUACUUUUUAAAAUAAUUUUUUCAAAUAAUUUUUAAAAUUAUUUUAAAAAUUAUAUUUUUAUAUUUUGUAAAACAAAAAAUAUAAUAUGGUCAAAAAAAAGAAAGAAAGAUACCUUUGCAUUUUUAAAAUUCUAACCUGUAAAAAUUUUUAUUCUGUAUCAGAUAUAGUUGUACUUUACAUAUAAAAAAACUUACAAAUAUGUUAAUUAAUAAGUAUAGUAAAUUAUACAUAGCAAAUAUUUAUAAUUAUUUGAUUAAAUCUUUCAAAAUAACAUUAUAAGGGCUUAUUGGAAGUAAAAACUAAAAUAAGUUCGUACCAAAGCGUGCCAGUAGAAGGUCAUACGUAUCCAUCGGCACGUAAGCAUACCAUGUGUCGGCACGCAAGUGUGCCGGUGCCGUACCGUGCCAGGCAGACAGCGGCACAUCCCCAUGCCACGGCACUUUAAACCUUGAUUAAUAGUACAUAAAUUUAGACAAAUGGUCCAAAUGGAAGCGUUAGACAUAGCAAUUACCUGCAGCCCAUGGUCUCCCUUCAGAAUUUGCUAACUCAGCCCGCAGCUUUUCAAUUUCACGAGCCAUAGAAACCAAAUUUUUCUCCAUUGCUUGCCUUUGAUCCAUCAGCUCAAAGUUUCCUUUUUUCUCAUACUCAACAGCAGUUCUGCCAAGAAACAACUAUAGGAUUAAGAGUUUGUAUGCUUUUGCACCACUCUGCACAGGCAAGAGAGGUCUUUCAAACAAAAGAACUAGAAAGGAAGUAUUUGUUUGGCAUGUAAAAAUUUCAAUCUGAAUACAGGGUAGAGCGUAACCUAGCACGCAUAAGCUCUUCACGAAGCCCAUCAAUUUCACCCCUCAAAAUAGAUAUUUGCUGAUUAUCAGCUUGUGCCCUGGUCAAUUCUUGAGUGAGAGUCUGAAUCUUCACGUUAAGUUCUUGUUUCAUAGCAAUCUGCUUCUCAAUUUCUGCACGAAGAUGUACUACCUCAUUCCUUAAAGGUUCAGUUGCUCUAAGAUCAGCUUCAAGCUUCAAGCCUUUCUCGAUCAACUCUCGGAUAUGAGAUUCCUUCUCAGCACGAAAGUCUGCCAUAAUCAUGUUCAGGCGAUGAAUCUCCUCUUUGCCAGCUGCAAUCUCCCUUUGCAAAGCUAAACGAUCUUCAACUAGAGCAUGGUGGUCGGCCAUAAGUCUCCGGAUCUCAAUCUGCUGUAACUCAAACUCUUCCUCUAGAAGAGCAGGGUGAGGUCUGGGGGGAGGACCACGAAAGUAAGGACCUUCCUGAAAGUCAGGAUAAGGUCGCCGUCCAUCGGCAAUGUGACGAGGUACACGGCCUCUCCCUGACAUCUUUCUUUAUGCUGAAAAAAUUUGAUCAUUUUAAGCAUCGUUUGUAGAGUCAAGAUAGACUGAAAGAUUUACAUGUAAAUAUAACUUAACAGGUUGUAGAUGAAAGACUGCAUACGUUACCAUCUGCAAACUUCCGAAAACAAAAAUAAUAAACACUACGCAAGGUUGAUAGUUGCUGUGUUGCAAGAUGGAGUAAUGCAUUAGCUGAAAGAAGUAAGGAAAUACCAUUGAUAGAAGUAAUCAAUGGUAAAUCCUCUUUAACAAUAAUUAACUAUACCCUGUUAUAAGGAUAAUAUUACAGCUUUCUCUCUAAUGAUAAGACAACUUACUUCGAAGCAACAGUUUACAAACAUCAUAAGCUUAUUUAUUACAAUCUCCUGUUUAUCAUAAAUUAUAAAAUUGUAGGUGAUAUGGUAACUUAUUACUUUGACAUGAUUAACUCAACAGCUAUGUUCCAUUGCCGACCACAAGGUACAGCUACUCCUAUGUAUCCAACUCUUAUGUAUUAGGCUAUUAUCAGAAUUUGAGAGCCGAUGGCUAAAAUUAAAUAUUUAUGCAUCAUAACCCUGGAGAAAAUCAAAGAGAUGUCAUAGUGAUGUGAUACAACUAGCCAUUAAGAUAAUAGUGGGAAUGAAAAUAGUAAGAUGGGACAUUAAGACCAUAUGCAACAAGAUACAGGAAUUACAAUAUUUAACCUUUGUAUUCUGAAAAAGUGGCUAAUAUAAUUGUAUUAAAACACAUCAAGUUGUAAAACUUACAUUUUUCAGAGUAUACUUCGUGCAAUGCUAAACGUUGACUCUGAUUUGGAUUUAUAACUUCUUAGUGACAGUUAUGUUACCUGGAUUAUUGCAUCCCUAUUUCUUAUACUAUUUAUUAAAAAAAAAAAAACUAUUUAUUGAGUGGCGACUGUUUUAUUUCUACCUGAACUUUUAUACAUAUUUCUUUAAACUCAAAUUACUUGAACUAGAAUCUUGAAACUUGGUAUAUCUUGAAGAUCUUGGCACCGCCAAAUAUCAUUAAUUUGGAAGUUGAAAUUGUAAAUUUUCAUAAAAUAAAGAUAUAUGUUACCUGUGUAUAUUGUGUAUGGGAAGGGACCAGUUGCAAGUCACUUGCAUGAAGAGUUAAUUUAUGCUGCUGUUACUAGAAUUUUGCCCAUUACAGUUCUCUUUUCUGGUAGAAAAAGAGCAUGAAGUUUAUUUCAGUAAUAUUUAUCAUUCUACUGAAUACCAAGCAGGUUAUGGAUAAGUUUUCCCAAAUAAAAAUUUCAUUUCAUUUGAAAUAUGUGACAAUUACCCUUCUCUUCCUUCUCUUUCUCUAUCGUUUUCCAACUACAACCAUCAAUUUUCUUCUAAAAUGCGGAAGGCAAUCUUCACGGGGUAAACCCGCCAUAGCAAUUUGCAAAUGUGCAAAAUGCGAAUGCGCAUCUGUUUAACUAUCUGAAAACAUAUAUAAUUAUAAAAAAUAUAUAUAUAUAUUAAUAUGCAUGUUAAAAUGAAGUACAAAGAAACACAAUAACAAAUACCCAUCAAUAGAUUGUAAAACUGCAAUACAGAAAUUACAAUAACACUAUCAAUAAAUAACCAAAUCAACUCAUGCAAAGAGUCAAACAACUCAUUAACAGUCAACUACUAUAUAAAAAAAAAUACAUAUGGCUUUCCAUAAUUAACAGCCCAACUAUUGAAAUUUCACACAAUCAAGACUUAAUAAACUUACUAACAGCCAAAACCCAUCCUCACAAAAAAAGAAAAGGGAAAAAAAUCCAGUAAAGAACAAUCGUUAAACUAGUAACAUAAUCAACAUCUAAUUAGCAUGAUGGUGGUAAUGGUGGUGGUGGUGGAGAGAGGGGGAGAGAGAGAGAGAGAGAGAGAGAGAGAGAGAGAGAGAGAGAAAGAGGGGGGCGUACAUGUCGCACCUGCAACCGGUCGCCGGAACACUCCGCCGCUCACCGGAAUCCUCCGCCGCCGCCGAGGCCGAUCAAUCGCCGCGUGUAGUCGCCGAGCACAAGGAGGGAUGGAGAGAUCGGGGAGAGGAACUGCGUCCGAGUAGGGUUGCGGGAGAGCUUAGGGCUUCUGAUUUUCGGGUUUUAUUCCACUAGUACCUCAACCCGUUUCAUUAUUGUUUUUUAUUGUCCGCAUCCCGCUCCAUGAUCCGUCGACAUCUGCAUCGGACCCGAAAUUGCAGACCCAUUGUGCAUAUACUAGUAUAGGAUAGGAUCCAUACUAUGCGACGGAUAUGUAGUAUUUUAAAUAAUUAUAUUAGUUAUUAAAAUUUUAAAAUUAAAAAGUUAUAAUUAAAAAAAUAUUAUAAAAUUAUAAAAUAGUUUUCUGAACAUUAUAAAAAAAUUAUUUUCUUUAUUAAUAUUUUCUUAACUUUCAACAUUCAUAAAGUUAAAUUAUACUAAUAAUUUUAUUAAAAUUUAAUCAAAUUUUUAGUUUUGAUAGUUAUUUUAUAAAUAAAUUUUUUAAAUAAAAAAUUAAAGUGGGAGGACUUUUUUCAAAUUAAAGAAUAAGUGAGGGUUUUCUUUGCCAUGUUAAAAUUGAUGGGAUAAAGAGAAACUAUUAUAUACACCUAGUGUAUAUUAAUAUUCUAUAUACCACAACUUAUAUCAAAUUAUUAAUAUUCUAAUAUAAAAAUUUAAUUAAAUAUAUACGAUUCUACAAAGUUUAAUAAUUUAAAUUAUGUUUGUUAAAUUAAUUUUAAAAUCUCUAGUAAAGGAUUUUAGGCAUGUGGUGCAUGUAUAAAUAUACACUUAGUGUAGAGAAUAUUUAAUAAGGCGCACUCAUAAUUCCAGGAGAGGCGAAAUUUUUGUUUUCUCCUGAUACGUACCAAUGCUCCAUACACCGCACAUAAUACUAGAUGAUUAACAAAAUAUUUGAUAAUUAAUAUUAUAAAAUAAAAUAAAAUAAAAUAUAUGUAAUAUAAAAUAUUUAAAUAAUUUAAUAUACUGUAGAAAUUUAUCUUUAAUGCAUAUUUUAAAGCCGGUCUACAGUGCAAUGGACGAGUCCAAAAUUUUUAUUGGGUAUGUUGCAACCUCCCAUUUGUUUAUUCCUCAAAUAGCUACGUGACUCUCUAACGAACUAUUAUCUUGAUAUGACCGAACCAUCAAAUAGUAUUUAUAUAUAUAUAGAUAGAUAAAUAAAUUGAGUUACAUUAUGUGGCUAUGCGGCCUAUCUGCACAAUACACGUGAUUAUAAGAAAAAUCGAUAAUAUUUGUAUCUACGACCAUAUCAAUGCUAUACAUAAAAAUAUUGUUUUAAAUUUGCAUUUAUCAACAGACUCAUUUUUUGAUAAUUUUUUUUUAAAAUUUCUUUCUUUUUUUCAUGCAAAAUAAAUAAUAAAACGACAUAAGCUUUAAAUUCUCAUUUUUCUCUAAUGAAUAGGCUUUUUCUUUUUUAUUAUAUAUUUCUAUAUCAUUCCAUAUAUUUUCUUUUACAAUGAAUAUUUUCAUAUUUUCUCAAUAUUAUCUACUAAUGUUUACUUUUUAUAUUAACUUUUUAUUGAUUGUCGAAUUUGAAUUUAAUGUCAAAUAUAUAUUUAAAUUUUAAUCUUAUAUAAUUUAAAAUUAAAUUUUAAAUUUUUAAAUUAAAAUUAAAAAUUGAGUUUAAAUCAUGAAUUAAAAUUUAUUUUAGAUAUCAAAUUUGAAUUAACAAUUGAAAAAAGUAUAAUUAAAGUAUAUCAAAAUUAAAUUUUAGUUUUUGAAUUAAAUGUGAAUUAAAAUUUUUGAUACUUUUAGUUUAAAAUACAUACUUAAAUUUUAGAUUUGUUAGAAUUCAAAAAAUAUACAAAUAUAUUCAAUAUAUAUUUAAAAAACAAGUAGAACUAUAGAAUGUGGCAAGUAUUUUUUAAUAAAAUAUAGCAAGAUAAAUUUUUUUUUAUAAUUUAAAUUUUUGUUAUAAAUUUUUGGAUAAAUAGGCUACACAAACAAAUAUUGAUUUGAGAUAACUAGUGUGUGUGUGUGUGGUUUUUCAAUUUUUUAUAUGUUGAAAUAUCUUGAAAGAAAUACUAUAUUCGAAUAAAUGCGACAAAAUAUACUAUUUAACCAUAUUACAUAUGCCAAUAUCUCUCAAAGAGUAAAAUCAACUUCCAUGGUUGUAGUUACAAAAAAAAUCCUCACUAACAUAUCUAUUAUAAUUAUAUAACAUAUUCUAAUGUCCAAACAUGACCAUAAUAUUUUGGAGAUUUGUAUGAUCAAAAAAUAAGUCUAGAUUUCGACCGUAUCUAGCGUAACUGGCUAAGGAUUUGAUAAUUGAUGCCUGAGAUUUCAAGUUCAAGACUUUAUUAAUUCAUAUUUCUAUCGAAGUUCAUUUAUCUCUCUCUAUCUCUCUCUCUCUCCUCCCCCCUCUUAUUAUAAUAUUACCAAGUUUUAUUUCUAUUCUUCUACUAGUGAAGAACUGCACGUUGCGGCAGGAUGAUUUCGUAAAAAGAAAUAAGUAAAUAAAUAAAUAAAAUAAAGAAAGUAAAAGAAAGAGUCAAAGAAUUAUAUAAAAAAAGAAGCAACUGAAGAAUAAGAAACUAUUGCUGCAACAAAAAUAUCUAAAAAAAAUAAGAACAAAAACCAUACGAAUUUGCUAUCCUGACUAUUAAAAAAUAGUAUUGAUCUAUGCAAUAAAAUUGUAUAUUUAUUUGUUAUAUUGACUAUUAAAAAAUAGAAUUGAUCCAUACAAUAAAAUUUUACAUUUGAUGUAGGCAAAAAAUUUUAAAAAAAAUAUUAAGAAAAAAUAUAAAAAAAGAAAGUAAGAGAGAAAGGGAGAGAGAGGGAGAGUGUUGAGAGAAAAAAAAAAAAAAAACAAAAGAAAAAAANCGGUUUCUUCUGAGGCCCUGGCUACCUCACCUGUGUAGCCUAGUUCAUCCAUCCAAUGAAUGAAACUGGUAGCACGCUACCUAUUCAAAAAAAAAAAAGGUGGGCCCCCCCCCUCUCCCCAAACACGGGGAGAGUCUCUUUAGGCUCUCCUUUCAUUAGUGUUAUAGAUUAUCUCUCCCUAUCUCUCUGUCUCUAUUUCUCUAUGUUUGUGUAAUGUACUAAACUUUCGAAAAUAGAAGAGUUCUAAUAAGAAUAGCAAUGGAGACUAUUUAGAUAGCUCCAAUAGUGUUUGGGGAGUAUUACAGUGUUUUCGGUAAGAAAAAAAUUUUGGAGUGUCAAAUCUGCAAAACUGCAGAUUUUCACUUGGUAUCAAUACUGGAAUGGAGUAUCGGUACCCAGCUAUGUGGAGUUUGGAAAAACUUUCGAGUUUUGCGAAAUUCUCCUUAAGUAGCGACACUAAUUUGUGGAAUAUUGGUACUAAUUCGGGCGAGUAACGGUGCAUAAUAGAAAACAGAGAAAAUAAAUAUUUGAAUUCUACGAAACUAGCCUGGAGUAUCGAAACUUUUGAGUUGCAUACCGAUACUGGAACCUGAGUACCAGUAUUCAACUUUGCGAACAGCAGGUUAUGGAUGGUUGUUAUUAUGGUUGAUUGGAAGGUUUUUUUGCAAUUGCAGUGCCUCUACAUAAACCCAUAUUACAGCCAAAAUUUCUAAUUUUCAAUUUUCCUCUCUCUCACUCCCCUUCUCUUCUUUCUCCCUCUAAAAGAGGAGAAACCUUAGCUUGUCCAUUUGUUGGAGCUCCUUAAUCUAUCACAUUGGAGGCUUAUAGGAGAACUAGGGCACCAAAGGGAAGCUUUGUGAGGGAGAACGCAAUCAUCUCUACCCAUUAUUUUUUCUCAUUUGGAAGAAGAGGAGAGGAGUUGAUGUUUUUAGAUCUUAUUUAAGGGUUUUUCUCACAAAUGAGAGAUUUUUUAGGUUUAACUUUAUUAGAACUAUUUUUAGGAUUUUCUUGAUGUUUUAAGAAGAUCAAGACCGUCUCUUUAAAGGAGAUCCAAAACAAGGUAGAGAAUAUCAUCGAUAUGGAUUCGAUUUACUCUUUGUCUAAAGGUUUUUUUUUUUCUAUUAGCAUAUAUUAUAGGUAACAAGUAAUCUAAUUGUACUUUAGUUACAUGCUAGGAGAUCUAGUGGAUCAAGAUGAUAUAUGAAGAUUUGAACUAGGGCAAAAGAGUAUUUUGAGCCCUUUAUAUAUUAAGAGGUAAUAAUCUAUCUUCUAUUCCUUAUCAUUAUUUCUUUUAAACUUACCUCGUGGCAGCAUACCCUUUCUUUGCUAGAACCGAACAGGAUUUAUUGAGUGUAGGCAUCAACCCGAACCGGCUCAAGUCCUUUACAUGUUUCUAUAUUUUUUUUCCUUAAACUAAACCGGAUUGUUUAGUGUGGGUGCCAACCCGAACUAGCUCAAAUCCUCUUAUGUAUUUCUAUCUUUCUUUCUUUUCAUUAUUUCUCUUAAACUUGCCACGUGGCAGUAUAUUCUUUCUUUGCUUGAACCAAACCAGAUUUGUUGAGUGUGGGCACCAACCCGAACCGGCUCAAGUCCUUUACAUGUUUCUAUCUUUUUUUUUCUUAAACCGAACCGGAUUAUUUAGUGGGUGCCAACCCGAACCGGCUCAAGCCCUCUAUGUAUUUUUAUCUUUCUUUGAUUGAACUAGGUUAAUGUGCCCGAACCAACUCAAGUUUUUCUCUUUUUUUGUUUGAACCAAACAAGGUUCCCUCUUCUUUGCUUGGAUCGAACUAGGUUCCCUCUUUCUUAUUUUUGAGCCAAACCGGGUGAACCUGCUCGAACCGGCCCAAUAUUUGUUUUCUUUGCUUGAACCUACCCUGGUUCACUCUUUCCUUGCAUGAACCAAACCGGGUCAAACCUUUCCUCUUCCUUGGGCUAUUACGUUCCAGCCGAACCAUCCCUCUUCCUCUUUCUUAGGCACGAUGGAUUCUUUUCAUUGCCGCCACUUCUUCUAUCGUCAUUUCUUCUUCCGUUCUAGCUAUUUGUGGUGCCGGAAUCAAACGAUAGAUUUCUCCCUUUACCACUGCUUCUUCCAUCGUCUUUUCAUCUUCCUUCGUCGCCGUUUUCUAUUUUGGAUUAAUCCACCAUGGGUGGAGCGUUUCGCAGCAGCGCUUCCUAUACCCUAACACCUGUCCAUUCAGCUAUACAAUAACACAUCUAACAUCUAUUUUUUCCUGAACCCCAUCCUUUUUCUCUUGUAAGCUAUAAAAUUUUUAUACUAUUUCUAUUUUUUAAUUUUAUCUACCCGUAAUCCUAGCUGACAUUGUAACGACCCAGCCAUAUGUAAGAGAAAGAAUAUAUGUAUAUGCAUAUUGGGUAUUAUCAGAACCUUGUUGUAUAGGUGAAACAAGUGGCAUUUAACCUAGGUUGGAACCUAAAGUGUGAAACAUAGUAAUAUAUAAACUCUAGGUGAAACUCGAGUUAGAUAACAAGUGUAUGCGCAAUGGACAUUGAGGAUAACCUAGAAAUUAUGUGAACUUAGGGUGUAACCUUCACAUAGGACGUGACAUUCCGAAAGUGUUAAACUGGGAGAUGUCGAUUACCUUCAACUUCUACCACACUUGGUGAUGCCAAUAGUCUUUCGACGUCAAGUGCUUAUGGAAUAAAGGGAUGUCGAUGAUCUCUUGACUCUCCAUAAGGUACCAAUUGGAGGGAUACUGACAAUUUCGACUCUCCAUGAGGUGUUUUGUAAAAAAGGACUAAGCUAAAGGUUAGUAUAAAACAAGAGAUCUUGGAGUAAAUUUGUAACCAAUGACAUGGUAGCAUGGUGGUUGUAUUUUCACUACUUGCAUUUCUAUUGUAAAAAAUAGAUAUUUUGUCAUGCUUCGGGGUUUUUUUGGAAAGUCCUUUUUAGGAAAACUAGUAGAAAACGUGUAAAUUUUUAAAAAAAAACACCUUUGAGAAUACCCCUCAAACGUACACAGACCCGCCGUACAUGAACAAAAGAAUAUUUCCUGUACAAACAGACAGAGUCUCCCCUGUACAUGCAUGGCAUAGCACCAUAGUACAAGAUCAAGUACACAUACAACCUUACAACACAACAUCUAAUGCUCAUUAAACAAUAAUAAUCACAUCUAUCCAUUAAUAUAAAUACAUUAACAGGUGAGAACUAAACUAAUCCAAUAGACAUGAAAAGCUAAACCAAAAAUUAAAAAAAAGGGUUAGUGAGGACCAAACAGGAACUCGGCUAUCUAGUAUUGUCCUCAUGCACCGUCCCAACUCUUAUUGCCCGCGUCACCUGAAAAAUGGUGGGGUGAGAACAUGUAAACAUGUAAGGACUGAGAUUUUUGACAGUGCAACUAAACUCUCUGUUGAUGAUGUUUAUGUGUGUAAUUUAAUUACAUAAGCACUCGUCAAGUUUCAGGAGAAACUGAGCUAAAAUGGAGAAGAUACGCGAUUUUUAGUUUUCACUUAAGUGAAUAGUAACUCCGGUUUUCCGGAGAAGCCACGGAGUAGAGUUGGCUUCUGGUGCGUAUCGGACUCCGUUCAUAUCAGUCCAAUAGCUCGUUUCGACCGGUUCAGCUGUUCUGGAACUAGUGGCGCUGAUGGAUUUUGAGUUUGACGCACGGAUUUCGAGAAAAUCCAAAAAUACAUGUUUUAUAUGUAUUUGUGUGUGUGUUUCCUUCUAUUGGAAGAAGGUUGGAUUUUGUUGUGAAUCCGUGGUCGAUCGAGAUGAAUCGAAAGUGUAGCUUUGUUGUCUCCGAGGUGCUGAUCGCACUGGUGCAAUCCGUUCGCAAAUCUGACGGACGGAUCUGCGGAGAUCGCGCGUUGAUCGAGGAGAGGUCGGUGAUGGCAAAACGGUAAUUUCGCAAAAGUUGCGACAUUUUAUGUACCGUUUCGCGUGAAAUCGCACGUGGAGGGGUUUAUGCACGUUUUAUUCGUGCGGUGAGGGACUAAGAUUAAAUGGUUGAGUCUUGGAGGACUUUUCGGCAAAAUUACACUUACAUUUAUAAGUUGAUGUUAGAUUUUUUUGCUUGGAAACCCUAACCCUAGGUCGUUCCUGCUAGCCCUAGUCCACCAGCCGCCUCAGCCAUCUCCUGCCCUCCCCGUGCGCAUGCUCCGGCCGCCGGCGAGCUCCUCCGGCCGCCGGAAAUCCCUGCAUCACCUCUCUCUCUCUCCCUUUUGGCCAACCCCUUCACCGCAUUGUGGUUUGCGGACCCUGGUAGCCACCUAGCUCGAGCACCUUUGUCCCCUGGCCGUGGCCCAGCCUUCGGCGACUCCCCUCGUCGCCGCCGUCGUCCCUGCGCACGGCGCCGGAGCCGCCCCAGCUCUCUGCGGCCACAUGCAUGCACCCAGGCCGAGCUUGGGUCAUCUUUGCAUUCGCGCGCCGCCACCGCUCCCUAUCGGCCGCGCCGCCCUCUGGCGACCUCCGGCGACCUCGCGCGCGCCUCCCCGCUGUCCCCGCACACCGCCGACCGCCACCCGAGCUCUCUGCGGUCGUCCCGAGCGCGUGCGGGCCCUGCUUGGACCAGUACGGCCUUCGAGGGCCGCCGCCGCCCACCGUCAGGAGCACCACCUCCUCCUCGACCUNGAGCCCAAGACCUCGAAGGGACUCGUGUCGUUGCUCUUCCACUGUUCAACCUCGGCUUCACCUCUCGGCUCCCCUCCAGUCCCACCGAAAAGGCCGCCGCCCUCGUCGCGCGGCAGCCGGCCCCGCACGCGUGCUCUACCCGUCCCCCUUCGAUCACUACCGAUCCCAACCACCCAUCGACCCACCUGAGCCCAAUCCCAAAGGAAACACUUUGGGAUCGUGAAUACAUACAUAUAUAUAUCCACUUUUUAGCGUUCUUCCAGGAGGGUCUCGAAUUAUAUGAAUCGAUUCAGGGACGGUUACACACGCAAAGCGCGUAUACAUGGAGGUACAAGCUUAAGUGCGUUAAGCUAUGUAUUUUAUAAUCCAGAAAACACUUUUAUAGUAAAACGCUAGUGGCUGGAGAGGAGCUUGUUGCGCACUAAAAGCGUCUAGGCAGGCAUUCUAAACGCUUGCCUAACGUGGUCACGCUAGUCGUGCUGCCUCUGUUGUUUAGAUGCUAAAACCAAGUGGAGCUAGCUGGUGCCUAAGCGCUGCUUUAGGUUGGAAAGUAAGGUUGUCUUACUUAUUGUGUAUUUAUGUAUAUUUUGUACAUAAAAACCUAAAAGAGUUUUAGGCACGUAGUUUGAGUUUUAGGCAGUCGCGGUCAUCAAGGUCUUAUCGACUUGGCCAGCUUUGCUCGAUAACCUAGCGAUACUUGCCUCAGGCUAUGCGCAUCUCUCGGUUGAGAUGAGGCACCGAAGUGGCUUUUUGGCCUCAAUCAUAAGUGAAUUCACUUUUGAUUAUUAGCGCAUUGAAGAGGCAAAAUCGAGUAAAAGAGGACUUUGAACUGCUCACGAAUAUAUCAAUUUAAUGUGUGUAUUUAUAGUAGUUGUCUCUCAAAUCAUCGUGACAUUUUUAGAGUCAGGAAUGUUAUUGAAAAAUAAAAAAAAAUGAUAAUGAUGAUAAAAAAAAGAAGAAGAAAGAAGGGUUAAAAAACCCCAAAAAAACAUCACCGGCUCCGUGUUUUACUUGAAGGAUCCAAUUUUUUUAUAUACAAAAAAGAAUAUAAAAAUAAAAAAAAUAAGAAAGAAGAAUAUAAAUAGGUGACUAUCGUAAUGAAAAGUGCUGGCGUGGGGGAAGGAUCGGGAGACGGGGGUGGCGAGGACGGAAACGUAGCUACGCGAGAGGGAGGAACAAUAGGGGUUUAGGACGCCGUGAGAAGAACACCGGCAGCGGCAGGUGUAGACGCAAGAGAAAACAUCGGAAUGGAGGUCUUAAACACGGUUCAGGAUCGGUCGCAGUGACGGUGGCCGCACCUACCUCCACACGUUCGCCACCCUCUCUCCUCGUACUGUAGCUGCACCCCCGGCGUCACCUCCUCCUCCUCCUCCCUCUCUUUCGCCUUCUUUUUUUUUCCUUUUUUUUUGAUGCUCCUCUUUCCUCUGCUUCUCCUGCCUCUUUUUUCUUACUCUCUCUUUCCUCUUUCUUUCUCCUUAUGCUCAUCAAGCUAGUUCUCAUAAAACCAGUCAAAUGAUUUUUAAGUUUAGAUUAUAAGUUUUAAGUUUUUUCACCAGACUAAAACGUUUUUACGAUUUCAUCACUUAAAAAAAAAAAAUACGUUUAAUCGGUUAGAAAAAACUCUAAAAUUAUAAUUUUAUUCAAUUAUUCUGACAUGACUAUCAGAAACUUACUCAUUACACAUUCUAAAUAUAGUAUAUUAUCGAUAUAACUACCGUAGUGAGUUCGCUCUUGUUAGUCAUUUGGUUUUCCCCUCAAUGAAACACGCAUAUUUUAUCCAUAAUGAUAAUGUAUAGAUGGCAUUUCACCUUUUGAUAGAUUAUUACUCUAAUCAAUUUACUACUCUUUUUUUUUAGGUUUGUAAAAGAGAAAAUCUAAUAAGUACCUAAAAAACGUUUAUUUAGUGAAGUUUAACGAUUUAAUAUACAAAUGAGGUGAUUUAUAUAUGAUCAUAUUUUACAGGAAUAUCGUAGUCAUUUGUUUAAACAUAUGAAUACGGAAUCUACAAGGAUUCAUCUACGAGCCCGAAACCAUGUUUAAUCCUGUUCAUCGACUACAAAAAACAAAACUCUAAUCCCGUUUAAUUCAAUAGGUAACGUCAAGAGAUAACGUUAUGUUGAGGACCGGUGACCUACGUAUCAGACUCUAUUUACCGAUCUUUGGUACAGAAAACACUUUUUUUUUGGAUUAAUUUGCGACAAAUAAAAUAACAUUUACCUCCCUUAACAACAUUGUUUUCAAUAAAAUAUCUUCAGUGAUUAAUAUAGUAAGAGUAAACGAACAAACAAACAAAGGUCCAGUGAUGUUUCUUUAGGAUUUAAAUGAAUGGUGUCAAUUAGGAAGAUUAUAAUGUAAUUAAUCAAAUAGAACUAAUAUUAAGUUGAAUUCACUGACGUUUCAAUAACUCCCACUUCAAUGAAUACGGACUGAUUACCUACUUCUUAGUAACUUGAAAUUUUCGUACGUUCCUAUUUUCGUGUCAUUUGACGUGACAAUCGGGGAUUUGAUAAAAAAACUCAAAACCCAAAAUUCAUUACUUUACGGAACAAAUUAUCUAAUUCAUGACCAAGAUUAAAUCAGGAUUAAACUUAAACUUAAUACCUGUAUCGUAAGACCUGAACUAGUUAAAAGUGAAAGGAGAUUUUCAAAGUUAAAACAACGUAAUUUACCGAAUCUGAAAAUUUGGCAGAGUUAAAAUCUAAGCGAUAGUUACGUAGUAGGUAUCGCCACUUUUAAAUUUCGCCGUAUAGUUCACCGAUAAGGAUUCAAACUAUUAAUACGCGUACAUUCGUCUUUUUAAAGAUGGUAUUUUCGGUAUUUUACAUUCUUACCGUUUGAAAUGGCAAAAACUUAAAGAUGUUAUUAUCAGAAAUGUGGAUCACUCUUCAGAUCCUUAUGACUAAACCAUCGUUUGAAAGUAGAAGCACCAACUGCUUUCAACUACUACCCCGAUGAUAACUUUUUAAAAUAUUAAAGUUCUAGAUAUUACAUUGGCGAUCUACACGAACUUUAAACCAAUAGCUUAAGCUGAACUACGAGAACUGAGCGGCUGUCGAAACAACAAAAAAAAAAAGGGAUGUUUUUUAAAAAGUGCAUUUAAGAACUCAAGAUAAAAAAAAAAAAAAAAAAAAAAAAAAAAAAAAAAAAAAAAAAAAAAAAAAAAAAAAAAAAAAAAAAAAAAAAAAAAAAAAAAAAAAAAAAAAAAAAAAAAAAAAAAAAAAAAAAAAAAAAAAAAAAAAAAAAAAAAAAAAAAAAAAAAAAAAAAAAAAAAAAAAAAAAAAAAAAAAAAAAAAAAAAAAAAAAAAAAAAAAAAAAAAAAAAAAAAAAAAAAAAAAAAAAAAAAAAAAAAAAAAAAAAAAAAAAAAAAAAAAAAAAAAAAAAAAAAAAAAAAAAAAAAAAAAAAAAAAAAAAAAAAAAAAAAAAAAAAAAAAAAAAAAAAAAAAAAAAAAAAAAAAAAAAAAAAAAAAAAAAAAAAAAAAAAAAAAAAAAAAAAAAAAAAAAAAAAAAAAAAAUGAUAAAACACCAAAUAAAUGAAACACUAGUAGUACAAAAAAUAAAAACAAAUACGUGAGCAGCAUUAUCAUUGACAACCGUAAGCCAAUUUAGCUUAGUCCAUGCGGGUAUUCCCCAAGCUAGGCUGCCUAUAAUACAAUAGAUUAACCUAAUCCUAAUUAGAGCGAAAGUUUAACCUUUCGAUUAAUCUCUAUUUAGAUUAGUAUAAUCCUAUUGUUUAUUAUUAGCUAAACCGGAAUAGAGAUUGCGAUAAUCCUAAAACCUUAAAGAAUAUUUAUCUGCCCGCUAGGGUGUACUUUGCUACAUGUUUUUUUCUUGCCUUUUUUUCUCUCUUAUUCUUUUGUUUUCCUCUAUAUGGUGUAGGAGGUAAUUGGAUAAUAAGAUUCUCCCUGAACUUGCCACCUAAACACUAGCACGGGCAAACAUCAAGCUAGGUGGCGCUCAAACCUCGCAAAUCUUCUGGAUGUUCCUGCUAGGUUCCUGUGCACUUCACCAUCCCCUGGCCGAGACCCAUCUCCGGCAUCUUCCCUACCGACUCCGGCCAUCCCCAUGCCCUGCCGAAGCCCCACGAGUCCCCUGCGGCCAUCUGCGGUCAGCCCAGGCCGAGCUUGGGUGACCUCGGUCUAGGCGCGCCACCGUUGCUCCCCAUCGGCCGCGCCGCCUUCCGGUGACCCCCGACAACCUCCCGCUUGCCGUCCCGCCGUCCCUGCACGCUGCCGGCCGCCGCUAGAACCUCCUGCGGCCGCCCAGACCCAUGCGGGCCGAGGUCGGGCCCGCUCGGCUCCCAAGCGCCGCCACUGCCCACCGAGGGGUGCACCAUCUUCCCCUCGGUCUCCGGCACCGGAUCCUUGCCGCCCCGACCCCCUCCGACCGUCGCCGCGCCGCCGGGAAGCUCGAACCCGAGAGGAACUCGGCGGCUUUGAGCUGCGCUGCCGCUCCACCGGCCACCUCCCGCCGCCGGCCAGCAGGUGCCCCGAACCCCACCGACCGGCCACACCCUUCCCUGGCCGGGCCGCCCGCCUCCCGGUCUCCCGGUCGCCGGCGACCAACCCUAGCCCUCCUCGGAUCCGGUAAGGCCGUUUUGUGUUCCAGCACAGUAGUUUAGCUUUCCGGCCACCCUUCCGAUGAUCCAAUGACUCCCCGACAUCCCGGGAAGUGAGCACGAUGAUCUAGGGUUCGUGCUGAACAUCGUGCUUACCUCCGACAGCGGCAAUGAUGCCCUGGUUAGCGAGUUAAUCGCAAUCUUUGCGCUGUGCGCGCAGUCUCGCAGAGUUUCGCAUUGCUCGUGCGCUUCCCUCUGUGGCCGGAAUUGCUCCGAAAGGUGAGCACGGUUUCCGGCACGCCGAGACCUGUCAGCGGGUGUCUCGGCUUCGCUGUUUCACUUCUGGUUUGUGCAGACGGACUAUAAAAGCGCCGAAAUCGCAUGAAAUAAUGCGAUUUCGGGUAUUCGGACGGGCUUUUAUGCAACUUUAUUCGUCGUGGCUGCUGUUGGCAGCAAAUAUGGGCCGAGGAUAACCUCUGGAGUGAUCGUCCAAGGCCCCAAGCCUUUGCGGGAAUCAAAAAAGUGAUUUUCAGUGCGUUUCUCGGUGAAAUCCGCCGACGAAACGCUGGUUCGGUUCGGAAUUGUUCCGACGGUGCUUCGUGAGCUAUUGUGUAGUCGCUGAGCCUUGUUGGUUGGUCACCCGCAUCGUUUCGAGGGUUCGAAAAUGACGGGUGAGCGACAGUGGGUUUCGGUGUCGAAUUAGACACUUCCGGGAAACCGGAUCGAAACGACUAUCCAACGAUAAUUGUUUCGACGUGAGGAGUUGUGUUCGCUGCCAUGAUGCACGAUUAUUUAUGUUUAGUGGCAGCGGGUGACUCGUAGCUCGAGUCGGUAUGUUCCUGGAUAGUUCGUGGUUCCCGGCGGAGUCCUCGUGCGAUUACGGGACUUCCGGCAUAUUACGGCGAUCGGUUUGGGAAACCGAUCUCCGUGGGUUUGUUUGUGGGUUGUGGAUUUAGUGGUUAUUAGUUGUGGGUUAGACACUAACCCGGUGAACCUUCCUUAGGUCCGGUUGACUUUCUUUCGCAGUCAGGAGACAGGCGCGACAUUCGUACAAGUGGGUACUUCGAUCCGAAGUCGGUACAGUGGUGCACGCUCGGUGAGGUUUCUUCUACACUCAUUGUUAUUUGGUUAUUAUCUUAUUAUAUGUUGAGCCUACACCCAUGUUGUUUUGGUUAUACUCUACUCAGAUGUUUCCAUACUUAGUACCAUGUGUAGGAGUAGAGUAGUUUACUUGUAUGUGAUAUCAGUGACCUGGUUGGUCGGUUCUCGUACUUCAUAUCAGUGAUCUGGUUGGUCGGUUCUCGUACUUCGUUCAGUGACCUGAUUGGUCGGUUCCUCGUACAUCGUUCGAUGACCCUUGAGUGUCGGUAUACCCUAAGGGGUGGGAUUUCGGUUAGCACCGACGGAUGAUUAUAGUUUACUCAGUUCCACUGUUUGUAUGUUUUGACCUAGUCCGUCAGCUUCAUGAGUCCGUCGUCGAUGACCUUUGAGGUGCGUGUACCCUGAGGGUAGGAUUGUCGCUGGUGCUGACGGUAGUUCUGGACAUAUCCAAUAACUCCUGUGACCUAUCGGUCGGUUCUUGCGUUCGUACUUUUAGUUGACAUCGAGCAGUAUUACAUACUAUCUUUAUUUACUCUGCCUGGUUGUUCUAUGUGUAGUAUCCUGUAUAGGGGUAGAGUAGAUGGCAUUCGUAUAUACUAUACUUUGACCGUGGUGUCGGUUCUCCUGUUUGCAUCGGUGACUGUUUGUCGUUCGUUACUGUUCCGUAUAUGACCUAUCUUGGUCGGUUCACGUUGUUACUUGAUGACCUACACGGUCGGUUAGCCCGAGGGGCGUGAUUGUCGGCUGAUUGCGGACGUUGCAUAUUGAUCAUAUCUGCAUUGAUCGCACAGCUCGAGUGCAUUUCACGUACACCAGCGGGUUGAUCCCCCGCAGGAGGGUGUCUUUUCCGGAAAAAGUUGGUCGUACAUCCGACCCGUGAGCCCAGCGGUGUUCUCUCUGUCUAGGGUUACAUGCCAGGUUGAGCAGGUAGUGGCUUUUGCCUGAGGUCCUUAGACGACACGGCGGUUUAGAUUGGGUACUUUUGGACUACUUGUCCGGUUGACGCAUAUAGUUAUAGUAGCGGUUGUUGCAUGUAUACUUGAGUUCCUUCUUUACACUUGUCUUGCUACUAUAGUUUUGAUAUCCCUGUAUGUAUGCUUUUCAUUCUAUUUACAGUAGCGAGUUGUUCUCUCAUAUCUAUAUCUCAUUCGUCAUAUCGUUGCUACUGUAUUUCACUUACCCAUAUACUAUUGUUUAUCUUCCUGAUCCGGUGAGUACUCCUCGCCCUCGUCGGCUUGCGGUACCCACUGGGAUGGGAGACAUGUUUACAUGUUCUCACCUCCCCCACCAUUUUUUAGGUAUUGCAGGCGUUGGAGUUUUGGGACGAGAACGUGAGGUACGUUCGUAGCGGUCGAUAGAGCUUCGACCCAGGUUAUCGGUUUAGUUUUAUCCACUAUUCUGUUGUUAUAGCUUAGUCAGUUUAUAUGGUUCAGUUUUUAUUACAUUGGAAUAUGUGGACUUUCAUGAAUGUAAUAUAAAAGGAUUUCUGGAUUUGGUAAAAUAAAAGGUUUUCUACCCCUCGUGGUAGCUUUUAUAAAAGAUAAAAGUUUUCGCGUAUGGAACAGUUUUCAAAAGAUUUUUCGUGGACUUUUGUUUAAACAUCGAAUGUAAAACUACGGUGUGAAUGGUGAAUGUAUGAAUGUAUAGCUAUCUGUAUAUUCAUUUAGUUGUGGUUGUAUACUGUUUGUACUUUUGUACUUGUGUGACGCCGUGUAAAUACAGGGGAGACUCUGUCCGUGUGAACAGUGGAUUCCCUGUAUUUGUGGCGGAUCUGGCAUACUCUGGGGUCAGGUUUUCAAAAAAAAAAAAUUUAAACGCUUUUCCGCUGUGUUUCAAACUAAAAGGGAAUCCCGGGGCGUGACAAAACAUGUCUCCCCUCUCAGUGGGUACCACAAGCUGACGAAGACGAGGCAUACUCACCGGUAAGAGAAAAAAUAACCAAAGUAAUAAACAGAUAUCUUAAGGUCAGUAGCAAUGAGAUAAUAACAGAUAAUAAAUAUGAAAAUACCACUACUGAGCAGAAAAUAACAAAUAGGCAUAAUCAAUAGGUAUACUAGAAUAAUAGCAAUAAUGGCUAGGGAGGCACUACAACUUCCCAACAGUAUAUAAGUAUAUACUACUAUAACUAACCAUAGAACGUACCAAUGCAUCAACAUGGUGAACGAAACCAACAACCAAAACCACUAUCGUAUUGGUCGAAAGACCUAAAGCUAAACCACAACCUGUUUGCCGACCGAGUAUAUAUAAUCCUAACAUGCACAUUGUACGGCUCACGGGUCAGAGGUACGACCACUUUUGAAAAGAACACCCACUUGCAAUGGAUCAAACCGCUGGUGUACGUGAAGAUGCUCACGUGCUGUAGCAAUCGAUGUAAUAUGCUCAAUAGCCUACAACGGCAACGAAAGAGUAAUCCACAAUGUCUGACCGAAUCAGGUUCACUGUUCACGAAGGAAAUGUCACCAUGUCACUAACCUAUAAGAUCUAUAUAACCAACUCAUCAUGUCAUUUACCUAUAAGGUCUAUAUAACCAACUCACCAUAUCACUGACCUAUAAGGCCUAUAUAACCAACUCACCAUGUCACUAACCUAUAAUAUUACUAUGUAACUAAUACAAAUGUCACCAAUCACCACAAUCAAAUCAUGACAAAUAAUCAUAAUCAAUACUACUCUACAACUAGAUCAUGACACCAUAGAUAAGAAUACCGUAGAGUAGACAAAUGAAAAUCAAAUGAUAUCUAAAAGCUAAGUAAGUAAACAUAGAUAUACUAUGCAAUUACAAAAGAGAUCAAGAAAAGGAAGAAGUCACUUAGCAGGCACCGCUGAACCAACUUUGGAUCGAAAUACCUACCUCUACCGAAGAAUAUAACCGAGUCGUCGACACCCGUCAAUGUCUCCUGCCACACUCUGGACAUAUGCAAAGUCCCAAAAAAAAUGUAAUUAGCUCAAACCCGCUAAUUACAAAACCUAUGGUUUCAAGUGAAACCGACAGGCGAGCAAUCAGGUUUCUGGAUCCCAACCCUCGAUCACCAAAAAAUCGGCCGAUUGUCGCACCGACUCAUCGGUUUGUCACUCCAACCCACAGGACAUUCCAAAGCAAGUCCCAUAAAAAGCCUACCUCAUUCGCUGUCCUAAUACAUCAAUUUAAUGCCAAUGGGAUAGCCUCGCAAAUAGUGCGUCAAAACGGAAAGCCGUGAUCCCAGAAUUCACCGGUUUGGCUUCCAAGGUGCCCCUUUUGGCACCGGAGCCACCCGUAGCCAUCGUGCUGCGACAAGAGGUGUCAAACCUCACACUAAGACUAGCCAAUAAGGCUCAACUCUACUGUGAAUAGCAGCAACCAGCGCGAUACAAAACUGCUCCCGAAAUUGCUCGAUCUUUGCAUUUCGGGGUUCUAUUAAGCACAAAAGUGUUUUGAGAUACUCCAAAGGUCAUGCAACCAUCCCAACUGUUCCAAAACACUCACUUUUGGAUGUUAGGAUAGCCGCACACUAAAUGGUGCGAUCCAAAAGUGAAAUUCUCAAAAUCCAUCGUGCCGGGUUUUCGAAAAUCGUCAUUUUCAGCUUCGGAAUCCACCUAGGGCUCAUCGCUUGUCCGAGAUUCACACCAACAACUUCCCAGCCAACCAACAAGGCUUCUAUACUGCUGCAACCAGCAACCAAGACCGCUCCACAAAGACGGAGUUGAAAACACCUACACAACGCACCAAACUCGCCGUUUUAAGUGUCGAUCGCCACGAAAUCCCAAUUGAAGGACUUUUUGGACCUCGAACAUCAAGUCCGACCCAACAUGCACGAUCCCCAUGCUGUUUGAGACAACAAUGAUGCGAAAAGGGGCACUUCGGCAUUUCAUCAAACACUCGGCGCGCGAUAAUAUGAAUAAAAAAGCGAUGUUUAGGGAUAUACCAUUGAUUUCGCGGCUUCGAAAUCCGAGCGAGGGUAUAGACCGGAAGUUCUCGAUGCUCUGGACACUAUGCUUGCUAUCCGAAGUGAAUCCGACGAUCAGAAGAAGGCGAAAAUAUGGAAAAACCCUCCAAAUGCUUGAUCCUGGAAGCGACUGAGUUUGUCGCACUCAUCGGAACCUUACUGAUUGCAGCGAAGGUGAGCAACAGUACUCCACAGAACCCUAGAAGUGUGGUGUUCACGCUUCGGGAGCUCACCGAAGUCUCUAGUGGCCAGAAAACCAAGACUACCAAACAAUCAGCCUAGUGGGAUCUAGCCCACUAGGCUAGGACACCUCGAAUUCGGUGGCCAACGACACGACAGGGAAGGAUCCAGCCAAGGUAGGGUCGCCCCAUCUAGGGAAGGUGAUUGGCGGCCCUGGUCGGCGGCGGGAGGCAGUGGCGGCGCGGCACGGUUGCGGAACUCCCAACCGGAUCAGCAGCUAAGGCAUCACCAUUCGCCGUAGCGGCGGUUCGGGAUGGCCAGGGGCGGCACCGGUGGACUCCUUGGGAUAGCCAUCGACAACUUGAGGUGGCAAAGUGCGGCAGGCCGGGUGAAGCCUUGCAGCCACACAAGAUCUAUGGGGAUCCCCUUGGCCACAGCAGCUUCCGGGGGCAUGGCGACGUCAGGGAAGCCUCGGGGAGGGUCGCUGGGGGGUCUCCUUUUAUGCCCAUCAAAUAUCUUAAUGCAAUCCAGAUCAGAAUUCUAUCAAACUUCAUCCAAGCAACUCAAAAUUCAGUUAGGCAAUUUAGAUUCCAAGUAGGCAAUGUAGAAUUCAGCUAGGCAAUUCAGAAUUCAGCUGGCCAAUUCAGGAUUCCAUGAAGAAUUCAGAAUUCAGCUAAAAAAAAGCAAAUCUGCGUAAGAGUAAGAGUAAGUCAAAAAGUGCCUGACUACUCCCAGCACAAAUGAGAGCCACCGGUUGCCCGCUAAGCAGGUCAGCCAUAGUGCUUUCAUGUCCAAUUAAUUACCGAAACCAUCCGACAUUUAAGGGGGAACAUGAUCAUACCAUCACAACCAUCGAUUUCAAAUUCGGCAAGAUUAUUCUUUAUUAGACGCAAGAUUAUUCUUUAUUAGCUCGCAAGCUUACUUUCAUUGUUUUGCAUAUUGUAUUUGCAUUUCCUGCUUUACUAUAGGGGCUGUUUGGUUUGACGUAAAAUUGGGAAAAAAAAUUUCGGUGAAAAAAAAAUUUUCAGUGAAAAAAAAGUUUUACGUAGUUGGUGUUUGGUUUGUAGGAAACGAAAAUUAGUUUUCAGUUAUACUUGUUUGGUUGAAUGAUUGAAAGAAAAAAGUUUAUUUUAUUAUUAUUAUUAUUAUGUAUUAUAUAUAUUAUUUAUUUAUAAUUUAUGUUAAUUAUUAGGCUAUAUAUAUUAUUAUUAUAAUUUAUAUUUAUGAAUUAAAUAUAUUAAAAUUAUAUAAUAUAAUAAAUUGAUAAGUAUUUAAUAUAAUAUAUGUAAUAGUCUGUAUAUAAUACUAUAUAAAAAUAUAUAAUUUUUAUAAAUAAAAAUAUAAAAUUAGUUUUUCUUUAUAGUUUUGUUUGUGUGAAAAAAAAUUAUAAAUAAAAAAAUUAUAUAUAUAUUUUUUCUUAUAUAUAUAUAUUAUUAUAUAAAAUAAUUAAUUAUCAUAUUAUAUAUAUAUAAGUAUAUAAUUAUAUAUUUAUAAACAAAAUAUAUUUAAAAUUAUUUAUACAUUAAUUAAUAUGUAAUAUAAUAUAUAAUAGAAUAUAUUUAAUACUAUAAAUAAAUUAUUAUGUAUUUAUAAAUUAUAUUUAUAUUAUAAAAAUUAUAUAAUAAAGUAUUAUUUAUAUUAAAAUAAAAUACUUUCUUUAAAAUAUAUAUAAAUAUAUAUAUUAUUAUAUAUAUUCUAUAUAAAAGAAAAAAAAUGGGGAGAGAGAGAGGUCCACUGUGGACCUCUCUCUCGCGGUCCAUGAGGCACUCGUGGACCGCGCGCAUGCUGUCCCCUUCCCCUCCCAAACGCCACGAUUUUGGGCGAAAGUUUUCGUUUUCCGCUCGUUUCGAGCGGAAAACGAAAACGCCCCAUUUCCACACAAUUCGGGAAAAAAAAAUUUCCAACAAAAUUUUUUUACGGCCAAACAAACGCCGGAAUUUUAGUUUUCCACCGAAAAAUUAUUUUCAAGCUGAUUUUAGGACGAAACAAACACACCCUUAACUUGCUCUUAUUUUCACACGCUUUAAUAUUGAUGGUUUUGAUAAUUAAUUGGACAUGAAAGCACUAUGGAUGGCCUACUUAGCGGGCAACCGGUGGCUCUCAUUUGUACUGUAUAAAUUAAUGUAGUUCUUAUUCCAACUUCAUUUUAUUGAUGUAAUACUAUUUUUUUAGGGCAUUUGAUACAUAUCGUUUCAUAUCCUCUAGUUUCUUUUCACAUUAUUUUGUUUAUUAUACUAUUCAAAAUAUUUUAGAAUUUAUAUAAAUUUCCCGCCGCGUAGUGCGGGCCUUCACUAGUUCUCAAUGAAAGUGGUUUGACAUCAAACGGAUAGAUUCUGGAGUAGACGUAAGAAAUAUAUUCAUAUUGGAAGGAUUGUUUAUAUACAUCCUGCUGCGGAAGAGUUAUAUUAUAUGUGAAUGCUACUUAAUAUAAUAAAAUGUCAUACAAAAUUCAUAGAUAUUAAAACUGUUGGUGGUGUAUAUACCGGACAUUUAAAGAAGCAUGUAAUGCACUUAGAUUAUUAGGUGAAAAUUCAAAUAGCAUCAAGCAAUGGAAGAGGCAUCACAAUGGUCCUUACCUACUCAACUAAGGCAGCUCUUUGUUACAAUUAUAGUGUAUUGUGAAAUAAUAAUUUUGAACAAUUCUACGAGAAAGUCUGGGAACAUGCUUUGAUGAUAUCACGUAUAAGUUAAAAAAAAAAAAGUUCUAGGUGCAUGCGGGCACUAAAGGACAGGUAAGUAAAAUCCAAAGCGCAUGCCAUAUUUUAAACUAAGAACUAAGAAUACAUUCCAUAUUUUACAACACUAAAGGACAUACAGCUGACCUAAGAAGAAAGUGGAGUUCAGAGUACAUGUCAUAUUUGGUAAAGCAAAGCAACAACAAAAUAUAUUAAGCUAUGAGUAGCAGCUCUGCAGUACGAAAAUGAGCUAAUAAACCAUUGCAACGCUCAAGGACAAAAUGAAGAAAAGCAGCAGGAGAAGGUGGGCGAGAGCUUGGAGGACAGUAGGAAUCCCGAGGAAAAAGUGCAGCACUAAGAAGCAGACCCUGCUUCAGAGCGGUCAGAAGUUGUGGCAAGUCGAUCCGCACGUAGACGAUUGAUGGUCACAUGACAUUCGUCGAUUGUACAGUCAUUUUUACUUUUUCAUCUAUAUAUUCCACCCUUUCGGCGACAGCAGAAGCGUAACAAUUAAUCUUUUAGAAGAUUAUAUUCCCGCUUUGGUUUUUUGAACUGACCAAGCAGUUCAGUAUGCUGGACUGUAACAUUAUCAUAUAAACUUUUGUACAACAUAAAAUCAUCAUAAUUUGUAUCUUUUAUAUGCAAACCGAGCUCGCCCUUAAUCCUUUGAAUAGCCACACGGGCUGCAUCAUCCUUUGCUAGUAUGAAAUUAGGGGACGGAGCAACCCAACAACGUGCAAUUUCAAUAACUGUCUCGCUGCGUGCAAUUGGAAGGUCUAUGUAUGCCAGCAAUGACAGUUACAACGCACUCAAGGGUUGCAACACCCAGCUUCUCAGUUAUUUCCUUAAGUAACUUACUGUGUGAAAGUUGAAUAAUUGACAUUUCGACCACUAUGGUAAAAAACGGAAAUUAGAGAACGAAAAAUUAAACUCAUAAAAGAUCACCUAUCUUUUUAAGUAACAAAGAAAUUGCUAAUCUUCUCUGUUUAAAAUUUUCUAAACCCAAUCAAAAAGGGAGGCCAAUGCGAAAUGAUUUACAACCAAUUCUAGUACGAAAUGAUAUAGAAUCAAUUUUAAUGCCCCUACUUGUGGGAAUGCUAAAAACAUAAAUAAUAGCUAAGAGAAUAUACAACGCAAAACGACGAUUUUGGAAAUUAUAUACAGGGAAAACUUAGUCAUCAUAUGUCGGACAUAGUUCGUAUUAAGUGAGAGUAAUAGAGCAGGCCUUUACUCCCCUUGUCCUAUUUUUUAUAAAAAUUUAUCAAAUAUAAGCGUAUGAGAAGUCAGUUUUAUAAAACCGCAGAAUCGAUAGGGCCAAAAGAGAAAAGUGUAUCUCAUAAUUUAGACCAAGCAGGCCAGUGCACGACUCAACGAAAGGAGCAGCAGAAGACAACCUAGAAGGGAUCCAAAAACAGAAACAUCAGGCCCCACACAUUUACCCUAAGAAGGGAAAAAGUCAGUUUCUCGAAGCAAACCUUGGGAACGGAGAAAAACCACCUUACAGUAUAUGAAGUACCACAGGAGGGCCUACCAGAAAAGGGGAAACACAGGGCUCAGCUCCUUCAUAUUUAUUAAAAGAAUGUAAGAACACACCUUCUUUGUAUACAAAACCUCGCACAAACCUUCUAAAUGGAAGGAGCUCCAACAAAGCUCGCAAUCCCGAGCAAACAGAAGAGUAAAAUAACAGGAGUGAGCACCCAAAGAACAGGAGCUAAUCCCUUCUUAUCUACAAAAGGUAUGUACGAAAACCGGCUUUUUGAAUAGGAAGCACAAUCUGGAACAAAACUCGCAAAAGCAAGGCGAGCGACUUGACGCAUUUGUGCAUAAACAUAGGCAUAUUUAUAGGCCGCCGCUGCGGCCGUGGAGAUAAAGGUUAAUAGGUAUGAGGGGAGUAGGGUAGGUUGCCUUGAUGGCCAUCCUGUACCACCACGGGAUGAGAGAGUGAGGAGGAGAGAGCACAGUGAUGCAACGGAGAGAGGGAGAGGGGAGAAUAAGUUGCAAUGAUUAAGAGCCACGAACACUAUGGGUACCAGCCAACCCACUUUCGGCGGCGCCGGGGAGGACGGCGAGGAACACAGCGAGAGGAUGAAGCACGGGAAGGGGCACGAUGCCGACCUCAAAGGGGGGGGGGCGGGGGCGCCCACCAACAUACCUGCGCAAUGAUGCCAAACUGUUGUCAAUCCCAUCGGUAUUAGGCAACCCACAUCUGGCGACAACGGGGAGGGUGGUGAGUAAAGGAAGAAGAUGCUGAAGCAUGGAAAGGAGCAUGAUGCCUAUUGCGAACAGAGGGCUGGGCGUACGCCCGCCGCCACCGUACGACGAUUUGCUGACACACCGCGCGAUUGCACAAACGGAUACUGCGACAAAUCUCCGAGCCCUGCAGGUUGUGCGGAGCCACAGGGGACAGGGAUCGGGGGUGAGAGAGAGGGAAUUGUGGGUGGGAGAGAGGGAAGGUAUCGCAGAUGCGCGAUAGGAUACCGAAGAGAAGGGGCGGACGACACGUCAACCAUCGGGAGAGAAAAGGGAUCGAAGGGGCGCGAGAGGAACGGCAGAGACGGGGCACUGAGAAGCCGACACGUCAUGUACAGUAAAACCCAAGAUUUAAUGUAUCUAUUGAUUCUACAGACUAAUUGAUGAGCAUCUUCACAUAUUGAGUUGGUUUGCUAUCAUUCACUUAAUAUUAUUUUUCCAAUGGAAAUCAUUUCAAACAUCUUCAUUCAAUGAAUUUGAUGAUACUAAAAAUUUAGAAAGUAUUUUAUGUAGUAUCAUCAAAUUCAUUGAAUGAAGAUGUGUUAAUAUUUGUUCAACUAAUAGUUUUUUGAAAUGAAUAUCAAAAUUAGAACAAAAUGCCACAUAGCUUCAUACGCAGACAAAAUUAGAACAAAUUACAUAUAUUUUUUAUUUCAUCAGUCUCUCAUUUUUUUCUUUUCAGUUGAAGAUUCCCUAAAUGAUGAAUUCGCUUCUAAAAUAGCAUGAGUUCUAUCAAGCUACUUUGUAAUAUAUUUGGAUAAAUAUUUUGUAAGUCUUCCUUUAGUACACCACUCAAUAUUUAUAUGUGCUUGAUAUUUGAUAAAGAGAUCCAAAUUGUAAGGUACGGCAUGCCUAUUAUCAACCUUAAUAUUAUUUUUCAAUAUAAAUAUCUAAUUCUCUUUUCUCUAUUAAAAAAAAAAAGAUAAUAAUAAUAACAACGGCGACAACAAAUAUACAAAAGGCGAGAUGUUCCAUAGUAUAAUGCCGCCUGAAACCAGGCAACACGACCAAAUAUUGUAUAUUAUUAUUGCAUGCAAAAAUCAAGCAUUACGGUUUAUUACAUGGAGAAAGCAAAAAUACUAUGAUAACAAUAACAGAAUAGUCUUGGAUCCGGAAUUUCAAUCUAUAAAAAAACCGGUCAGGUAUCAAACGGGAUAGCAAUUCUUGAGGUCUUUUCUCUCCUCAGGCAUAGCUUGCAACAACAACAACAACAGUGUGGCUAAAUCUUCACCACACAGCACGAUGUGCUGACAUAUUUAAUUAAGAAACAAAUCUCAGCGUCGAUCGGAGGGAUAAACAUUUUAAGACUUCUAAGACUGCAAAAAGCUGGCAUAUUUGGCACCAAGGAAGAGUCUCUGCACGCAAACGAGGGCAUUCUUUCUUACUUCAGCAUUUUCGUGAUUCAUAAGCUUCAUUACCCGCUCUUUUGCCUUGAGGUCAUUCGCAACAAUACGCCCAGCUGGAUGGAACUGAAUGAAUUGGGACAAGUCAUAGCAAGCAACGGCAAGUGCUGUUGGGUCGGUCGAUGUGUCAAGAAUUGUGACAAGGACGCGCAGAAUCUGCAGCACAACACGUAGCAAUUUCUAAUCAAAUAUUUGAAGAAAGAUAUUUUGGUCUUAAACCAUAGGCCAAUGCUAAAAGAACAACUGAGAAUGAAAGACCAUUUGUUAAUUGGUUGUUGAGAUUCAUGAAAGAGCCGUCUACGAGUAAGGAAAAAUAAGGAAUCCCAAGGAUAAAAUUUAUGAACUCAAAGGAAAAACGCAAUAUCUUGAAAAAUUCAUGAUUGUUCGGAACUGAGAGAGUCAAGACUCUUACAUAGGGAGCAAAGAAAACCUCCAUCAAAAGCAAGUUAUCCUGCUACAAGAUGUAUUGCAUGGGGUUCCGUAUGGUAAAAUUACCGUAGAUUCCAUGUUCUUUUGAAAACUAGCUAUAGAAAUGGGACAAGGAUAAGGGCAAAUAAACUUACACCAGAACUUUGUAACAUUAUGCUUUCCGAGUGCCUUCAUCAUAUGUUUAAUUAUAUGUAGGGAGAAUCCGCUGAAAGACAAUUUGUACUAAUUUCACAGAUGAAAAUGACAAAAAUGUUUUAGACUGAGCAGUCUAACAAAAGCAGAUUUUCACAGUUCAAAAGCAUUCCAUCAACACAUAUUCCAGCUCAAUGGGAUUAAAAGCAAAGAAAGAGAAUCUUGAAUUAAGUUCACAGGAAUGCCCAGGGAAGCUCACUAGUACUAAAAAUUAGGAAUAAGGCUGACAGGAAAAGGAUCAUUACAGCGUUACUAAAUCAAAAGAGUUUAUACAUCCAAAUGUUACCUAAACCAGGGACUUACAAUUAUAUUUAUAAAAGCCAACUACUACCCAACUACUAGACUUCAAGUUAUAGGCAAUAACAUUCUAUAAACCAGUUACUAGGCUUUAAAUUGCAAAUGUCCUAGCUGCAACCUAUGGUUUCAAAUGUUGUGAAGGACCACAGGAGCUUGAAAGUCUUCCCAUAGCUUCAGAUGUUUAAAAUGGCCAUAAGAGCAUGCUAAACAGUUUGUAUUUGAAAGCCUUCCCGAGGCUUCAAAUGUUUAAAAUGGCCAUAAGAGAAUGCUAAAUGGUUUGUAUUUGACUUCGAAAAGAUGGUCAGGUUAAACAAAAACCUGGAAAUCGUUCUCUUCAAAGUUUGUAAUAUUCUCACGCCAGAAUCCAGGGUCCUUGUGCAUGGGAGACCAGUCAAGAUUACCCAGAAGGACUUCUUGCUUAUAUUUCUCAAAAGAACUCAACCUUUUAAUGUUAUCUCUGAGCCCUUCUUCUAGCUGAUUCAGGGCUCCCAAUAAAUCCUGCAUUCCAUCAAGAAACAAUUGAAAGCAUUCAUAGAGAAGUUUUUCGCAAAUACAAUAUAUAUGAAAACUCAACAGUUGGUUCGUUAGAUUAUAAAGUUCCUAGAAUAGAUUCAACUUAAAUAUCACAGCUAUCACAUAUUGUGCAUUUAUUAUGGUAAGAGGUUACCGACAGCAGUUUGGAAUAACUACAUGAAAAACACACUUCCACAAUCAAAUGAUUUCCCAAAUCUAGCUAUAUUUGAACCAAGGAGCUACACAAUAUAAAACCAAAAAUAUGAUAAAAGAGCUCAAUCAAAGAGCUCCAAACUAAGAGAAUCUGAGGGUUAAUAUCCUACUUUGCUCAGUACCUCCUCCCUCACAUGCUCCCUCCCUCCUCCACUCACCAAUAUACACACAGAAAUCCAUUUCGUACACAUGUGAGACAGCUUACUUCAAUGCACUUGGGUUUUAUUUGAUUAAGAUAUUAUUUUGAAAAUUGGAUGAUAUAUUGCCAGACAAAAAUAUCCUUUAUACCCAUAUGGUAUAUCCAAUAUAGAUGUGGACAUUCCUAAAGCAUUUAAAGCAUCUAUGCACAAGAAGAGACCAAUUUCAUGCCCUCUGUUAUCAUUAAUGUCAUUACUGUGAAAAGAAGUCAAAAACUCACCUCAUCGCUCCAUGCCUGAGCUUUUAAACUUUGGACUAUUUGUGGCAAUCCAAGAUCAAUCAUUUGAGCCCCAAAAGCACCCUUUGAUAGCAAAUUGCGAAAGGUCAAUAUGAUGACUCUAACAACCUUCAAUAUGUACAAACCAUUAAUAAUGUUAGAUACUCUUUUGAGUGUAGAACAUUAGAAUAAACAUAAAAAUGUAAACAAACUCACCUUCUCUUUAGUAGAUCCUUUUACAACCUCUACAAGUCUUGGCAGGACCCUAGUAGUGGCCAUGUAUUCGACUGCCUUAUCAUAAUAUGACAAGAGCCAAACACAGAGACACGUUUCAUAGAGGAGCUGCCAAAGGACAAUAAAGUUGGUAUGCAAACACCAGGUCAUGAUACACGUGCAUGAAAUUGAAAGCAAUUACAUUCAAAACAUAACAGGUGAAGGACUCUGCAUGUUAAUGCUAUUGACCAUUAAGUAAAAUAAUAGGAUGAAGCAAAUACAAAGUGAAAUUAAUGACCUGAAUAGACUGCUGAGUGGAUGCUGGAGAAAUUAAAGGAACAAGCAAUUUUAUGCCGUCAGCUUGGACAAAUGAAACUCGAACACUGGAUUCUCUAAGCAAUGUUGCUAAGCUAUUUAUAGCUGUCGGAACAGAACUACUGGGGUGAGAUGGAUUCUUCACCUGCAAAAUAAGGUGAUUUUAUCAGGAAUGGAGGAUGAGAUUUAACUUAUAGUACUACUAUCUUCAAUUGAUUGCAAACUUGACAAUUUCAUUCCACUCUUGCAAGAUCAUCAGUGGCUGUUUAUGUCCACCUUCAAGGGUAAACGGGGACAAAAACAAUUCACCUCAGAUAUACCCAGAAUCAUCCAUCACAUAGAAAAUGGAAAAUAAAUUAAAGCUGAUUUAAGUAGCAAUUACAAUGGAUAGCUGCCAAUCGGAAAAAAAAAAAAACCAAACCCAACUAAUAAUAGAGGGUUGGCACUGUUUACCAUACAAACUUGCAAAAUAAUAGAAAAAUAUACUAGAAUCAUAUUAGGAGUUGAGAUGAAUUUCUUCAAAAUUAGAAGAUUCUCCGUGCAUUGCCCACCAAAUUCUAAGUUUUAUAGUGUCAGAUGGAUUGAUAAAAGCCAAGACUCAACAAUCAUUAUUAAAAAAAUGGUUUUCCAUUGCACAUGCUUUAAUAAGAGUUUUACUUGCAUUUUAUAAUCAUGAUGUUAAAUCACAUUAGAACACUUAGAGCUUCAUCUGGUUAAUAUGCAGCAAUAGCAACUAAACCUUUGAGGAGAAGCACACAAUACAAAAUCCAUUACAGAUGGCUGCCGAGCCAUACAGGUGCAAAAUCUAAGGCCAGGCCAGGCCAUGUGUCAAACGCAAUAAAUUUGUAAGUUUGUAGGAUAAUAUAUUGCACAACAAUUUGAGCCAAGCUAAAUUAGAGUUGAGAUAAGGUUGGCCUGAUUCAGGCUCACAGUGAUUUUGGAUCAUAAAUAUUUACGCGACACAUUCCAAUGGGCUGGAAAGAAUUAACCCAAUUCUUGUCAUUUUCCAGUUCAUCAGUGGGCCAGAUGGGCUGACUCAACCUAUUUGCAAGCUUCUGGUGGCAAUUAUGCUAUGAUGGAAAUUUAAGUACCUAGCAUAUUAUUUUCUCAAAGUAGAAAUAGAGAAAAGAGCUCAGUUUUUAUCUUCAAAAUAAAAACAAGUCGAACUUUUUAUAGAGCUCUCUGAGCAUACUGCCACUGAUAAUAUUCACACUAUUGACAACUUAGGUUCCAUGCAUGUGAGAAACACACAAAGUCAAAGUUCCAACCUGAAAGCAGAGCCAUUUGGCCAGGCUGUUUAACACUUCAUUAAUAUUUGUAAACUUGCUUGUUGAAUCAGACGAUUCUCCAUUUGGAAUCAUGCCAUUAUGAACUUUGGGUCGAACACUGAAAGAGAAAAAAAGUUCAGAUAUUUUAUUAAUUAAUUACAUUUUUAUAUCAAAAUUCACAUAUACCAUUUACCUCACUAUGAGAGACAAUAUUUUGCAGCAUUUUUCUUGCAUGAACCAGUUGCCACUCCAAAGCAAUCUGUAAAUUGGGUUUAACUGUCAGUUACUCAAGAUAAAGGUAAUAGAUGUUUAGCUAUCCUAGUUGUUCCUUGCAAUAAACAGUAGGAUUGAAUACAGCUUAAAAAAAUGCAGGAUGAGUCCAUAAUUACUUUUAAAAGUAAGAACUAGAUCAUAAAAUUUGACAAUAGAGAAAGGAGAUCAAUAAGCUGCUCAUCUGGGCCUUAACAAGACAUCUGUGGGCCUUAUGGAAAAGAGAAACUCUAGCAUAAUAAUGAUGCGGAACAAAUAAUGUAUUCUAGUAGGUUACUAUACUUUGAAAGAAAUAGAAAAUUUUUCAUUGUUUAAAUCAUGAGUGUUUCCUUCUCCCUUGUUGAAGGGCGCAUAGGAACCGAGUAUAUGGUUUGAGGAAUGCAGUUGGAUGUAGGUAAAUCGAUAUGUAAAUCCUUUCCAAGUAUGCACACUUCAUCAAUCAUAUGGUCAGUAAGUCAUAUAUAAUGAUAGAAAAUCAUUAGCUAUUCCUAAAGAUAAGAAAAUAUCUUUCCAUUAACUACAUUACUCAAAAAAUUAUAAAUGUAAGGAAAUAAGAACUCAAGAAUUCCCAAGAAAACUCAACUUAAGAAAGGUUCAUAAAUAUCAUCACCCGACAGAGACUUGUCAUGAAAGAGUCUAGCCCGUUUAGGAUUUGCUGCAAAAUGAAAAAAAGAAUACUGUUAUCAUACUAAUCUAUGGAAUCAACAGUAAUCCUUUUUUUCUUGCAUCAUUUCUCACCUGUCAGCAUUUCAUCAAUAAGAGCAAGCACAUAUUCUACUGCCUCUUCUUUAGAAAUGUCACGUAAAAUGCUCACAAAAGUUCUAACAUAAGCUGGUCCAUCCUACAAAAUAAGAGCACAAAUUUGCCACUAUAAAACAAAUAUCUGCACAAACUGCUUUCAGUGAAACUAUAUAACUCACAAGAACAAAUUAUGUAUCAAUCCACUAAAAAAUUCUGUAAAGACUGAAAGUUUGACAACUCAAUAGUCUAAUGGUUCAGCUUCUCAACUUUAUCAGACUCUUCAAUCACAGCAGUAAAAUUUCUGGAGAGGUAUACUUAUAUUGAUUUUCAAUAAAAGAGUGUAGUAACUUUUGAUAAAAAAAAUACAGAACCUAAUUUAGCUUAUCACUAGAAAAUCGAACCAUUACUCAACAAUAACAAAUUUUAGACUACUGAUAUUUUCGCAACUUAUGCAGUUGCAAUUAACAUGAGUAGAAAUCUCUAAAUUCAAGAAAAGGAACUUCAAGACACAGAAGGAAAACAAAGUAUGAUUAUUAGAAAGAGAGAAAAAAAGCAUGUAAUAAAGAAAUAAAAACUAAUUUAACCGAGGCAGAAGUACAGCCAUAAAUUGUCGAAUUAGCUAAUGUGUAAGAUACAUAGCUUACAUUUUGAAUGCAAUAAUUAACCAAGACUCACAUCAUCAAGCAAACUAGCUUUUUGGCUUUCAGUUCUCUUGUCAUAGCGCCGUAAUAGCUGAAGGCCUGUUCCAGUAAUGAGCUUACUUGACAUGUAAAUCUCCCAUGGUAUAUCACGCUUGAGAACCUUAUAACAUGAAUCACGAGGCAUCAAAACAAAUGAUAACUUUUAUUUGCACAAUCGAAACUCAAAACUGAUUCAUAUAAUCAAAAAAAGAUGUAAGUAGAAACCUACGAAUUAAUCUUGAUUUAUCAAGCUAAACCAAGUAGGAAAAUAAUAUAUAUAAGGACCUCACAAACACAAUCAACCUCAAAUCCACUUGAAAAUUUUCUUUUUUUGUUGAGAUUGAGUUUAACGAAACAAAUUACUUGCGUAGGCCUUUGGGUUAAGGUAAACUAUCUAUAUCUAACUCAAAUCAAUUUAGGGAACUGUCAUAUACACAGCUUCGCAUGUGUUGAAACUUUCCAACCAAGAAUGUUAAGCACUAACAAGUCAGGAAAUCUGCUUACAAUAAUGUAUUGCUGCCCAUAAGUUAAGUUUUCUUAGCCUAAGUCCAAGGAAAAUAAUAAUCAAUGUCUACAAUCUUCGACAUAGUGGUCAUAUAUUCACAUAAUGCGACCACAUAAUGCAUAUCAUGGACCCUUGACUGCUUCUAGUAAGAUCUAGGCAUAUUUCAUGCAGGUAAACUGCAUAAAGAGUAUGAUGUUAUGUGAUUCUUGGAUCCUAAAUAUAUGAUUAAUGAUUCAAGUUGGUGAGUUGAGAAAGAAAUGGUUGAAUCAAACUAAUUCCUUUUUUGAAGUUCAAUUUCUAUCAGAGGACAAUAUAAAUGUAACACUCAAGGGGUUAUAUGAUAUAUCAGGUGUAGAAGUAGGCCAACAUUUCUAUUGGCAACUAGGAGGUUUACAAAUCCAUGCCCAAGUACUUAUCACUUCUUGGGUCGUAAUUGCUAUCUUGUUAGGUUCAGUCAUCAUAGCUGUUCGGAAUCCACAAACCAUUCCGACCGACGGUCAGAAUUUCUUUGAAUAUGUCCUUGAAUUUAUUCGAGACUUGAGCAAAACCCAGAUUGGAGAAGAAUAAGGACCUUGGGUUCCCUUUAUUGGAACUAUGUUCCUAUUUAUUUAUUGAACCACGAAUGCCAAAGAGCAAGGUUGUCAGAAAUAAGUGGUUCGGCAUGAUGCCGAUAAACACCAAAUUAUCAAGCAAACACUACGAUGUUAAGCAUUUUAUUUACAUCUUUUAAGUCAUGAUUAAUUCUUGCUAAGCUUCCACCUUUUUCUGUUAAGCAAGAGACUCCUCCCAAUCACAAUGAAUAAGAUAAAAUUCAAGUUUUUAUGUUGGAAUAUAAGAAGCUUAGAAUAUAAGGGCAAAUUAUCUAUUGUAUGAUGCAGGACAAAUUAGAAAAACCCUAAUCUAUCGUGCAAGUGAUGAGCCCAAAAUCAAUUUAAAACCAAAUUUAGAAUUUUCUAGAAAUUUUAGAUUAAUUUUCAGAUUUUUUUUUUAUUUAUAAAAGAAUUAAUGAAUUUCUAAAUCAAUUUUCGUAAUUAAAAAAAGGAAAAAUCCAAAGUAGUACGGCUCUAAGAAGAAGGUUCUGACAAUUUUUUUAUUUGUAAUUUUUUAAAAAAUAAAAAUUAGAGAAAAUGAAAGAAAAUAGCCAAUAAUAAGGAAAAACAAAUUUAGAAAAAGGAUAAGGGAGAAAUAGAUGAAAAGAGAAAAGAUGAGGAAAGAAAAAAAGGAUAGAACCUUUUAGGAAGAAAACUUUUGCCGGCGCAAAGAGAGAAAGGGAAGGAGAUACCAUAACCGCAGUCAAAACAAAAAACCCAAAUUUUAUUCCAUCAUAACUCGUCUUUCCAAAAUUACAGAAUAUAGGUUAUAUUUAUAACCUUCCAAUAUAAUCCUAAUCUAAUUCAAAUUUCAAGAUUUUAGGGAUCUUUUCCUAAUUCGAACAUAUCUAAAAACCUAAACCAUAUCCCUAAUUUAGGGUUUAGGGUUUAGGGUAAAUCCUAAAAAACAACUAAAAAAAAACUUAGAAAAGAAAUUAAAAUAAACUUUAAAAAUAAUUCCGAAAAUUAGAAAAGAAAUUAAAAUCUAAACGUAUCAAUCCUAUUCACACCCGAUUUUGCAUCAUUCGCUUCCACUGCGUAGGAUCUCAUCCUCGAGAUACGUGUUGAAGCUAGAAGAUAUUUUGGAUAUGGCCCAAGAAUUCCAUCACCCGUAGCGAAAUCAACUCAACAUAGAAGCAAGCUCUUACCUAUCUUCUUCAACUUCACAAUAUUAGUUAAUUUACAAGGCAUAAAUUUCAUUUUUGAUUGAGCACAGUCGAACAAAUAAGUAUUUUCAUAUCCAUCAUGCUUCACUUUGUGAUCAUACAUCCAUGGCCUACCAAGUAUAUGUGCGACUUUCGUAGGUAGAACAUCACAUGAUGUUUACUGAAUUAACUUACUAAUUGAGUAUAAAACUAGGCAUCGUUGAGUGACUUUCAAAUUUUGGUUAUUCACCCAUGCUAAUUUGUAAGGCUCGGGACGUGGUGUGGUCUUUAGUUUCAGUUUGUCAACGGCUUCUUCAGAAAUAAUGUUGGCACAACUUCCCAAGUCUAUAAUUAUUGAAUAAACUCGUCCAUUACAAAGAACUCGAGUAUGAAAAAUGGUAUGGUGUUUCCACUCCUUAUCGUCUUUCGUCACGUGGGUUGAAAGCAUAGGUCUAAUAACUCCGCAAUGUUCAAGCUCUUCAUCAUAUUCGGGCUUGUGCUCUUCAAUAUCAUCAUCAUCAUAUGAUACGACGCAUAACUUUUCAAAAUCAUCAUGUGCUUGAGCCAUUGCUAAGUUACACUGUGGACACCGGUGAGCACAGUGCCCAGUCAUAUUGCACUUGAAACACCUGCCUUCUUUUUUCUUUGAUGCCUCAGAGGUUGAUGCCUUAGGGGAUGCCUAAGUAGUUGAUAUUGGUUGCUUCAUCUUUUCGGACACGGUGUAGUGGCGCUCGGAUCUUGACUCUAGAUUGCGUAGAAAGUUAGGCCGCGUCGAUGAAACACACGCAUUUUGCUCCUCCACAAUUUGGUGUGCAACUUGAACUACAUCAGCAAAGGAGAGGUGAUUGGAAGCUAACUUUUUAGCAAUAUUGGAAUGGAGGCCUCUUCAAUACAUUGUAAUCAACAAAUUCUCACUCCAUGUAAAUUCUAAUCGUGUUGCCAAAUGGUAGAACCGUGAAGUGUACUCCUCGACUAUCAUGCUACCUUGAGUUAACUUGGUGUAAAAUAGUGUUGAACGCGCUGCCUAUAGGCGAUUGGCAUGAAUUGAUGUGUCAUAGCUCUUUUUAUGUCCUCCCAUGUACGGAUAGCCAUAUGAAGAUGUUGUUGUUUUUGUGUCCACCAGAUACGUGCUGGUACUACGGAGUUUUGACUCUACAAUCAUAAUAUUUUGAUCUUCCGUAGGCUAGUACCAACAAAAAUAUGCCUCUAGGCUAUAAACCCAGUCGAAAUAUUUCGAGGUCCAUGUCACCAUAAAACUCCUCGACAUGAAACUUGAUACCUUUUUAAUUUUCUGUAGCUUUGGUAUAAGAUAUAGUGGUUUGAGUUUGCGACGGGGUGAAAAGAUUAAGGAAUAAAGGUAAGGACGUGACGAAAGUUGCAGAUGUUAGGGAGGAGCCCGUGGGUGGUGGAGGUUUAGAGUGAAUUAGGUUUUCAAGGAGUUGUUUGAUUUCCGCUAAUUGCUGGUUAGUUGAUUGCAAAUUAGUUUCUAACUUUUUGAAACGAGUGUUGGUAGAAAGCUUAAAUUCUUCAAACAUUGAACUAAGUUCUGCGUUUGUCGGCAUUUUGAAAAUUAAUUUAUUGAUCACUUUUGCUCUGAUACCAAAGCUGAUGCAGAACAAAUUAGGAAAGUCCUAAUCUAUCUUGCAAAUGAUGAGCCCAAAAUCAAUUUAAAACCAAAUUUAGAAUUUUCUAGAAAUUUUAGAUUAAUUUUCAGAUUUUUUUAAUUUAUAAAAGAGUUAACGAAUUUUUAAAUCAAUUUUUGUAAUAAAAAAAGGAAAAAAGCCAAAGUAGUAUGGCUCUAAGAAGAAGGUUCUGAAAAUUUUUUUAAAAAGAAAAAUUAGAGAAAAUGAAAGAAAAUAGCCAAUAAUAAGGAAAAACAAAUUUAGAAGAAAGAUAAGGGAGAAAUAGAUGAAAAGAGAAAUAAUGAGGAAAGAAAGAAAAGAUAGAACCUUUUAGGAAAAAGACUUUUUGCCGGCGCAAAGAGAGAAAAGGAAGGAGAUACCAUGACCGCAAUCAAAACACAAAACCCAAAUUUUAUUCCAUCAUAACUCGUCUCUCCAAAAUUACAAAAUAUAGGAUAUAUUUAUAACCUUCCAACAUAAUCCUAAUCUAAUUCAAAUCCCAAGAUUUUAGGGAUCUUUUCUUAAUUUGAACAUAUCAAAAAACCUAAACUAUAUCACUAAUUUUUAGAGAUUUAUUGCCAUAUGAUAAAUCCUAAAAAAAUCUUUAAAAACAACUAAAAAAAUUAACAAACAAAAUAAUUCCGAAAAUUAGAAAAGAAAUUAAAAUCUAAAAGAAUCAAUCAUAUUCACACCCGAUUCUACAUCACCGUCAAGGAUUGUAUCAACUUUUCCAAAUGUGAUCUCUUAUAUCUUCAAGAAACGAAACUCUCCGUUAUCUCAAAUGCAUCCGUCAAAACUAUUUGUGGCCGUAAGUUCGAUGGAUUCGUAUCCUUGGGAGCCAUCGGCACAUCGGGAGGCUUGCUCACUGCAUGGAAUACCAACACUUUCAACGCAAUUCAAACCUAGGUUGACAACUUCUCAAUCACUAUCCUUCUCUGUCGUGCCUCGGAUAACAUCGACUGGAUGCUCACAAAUGUUUAUGGGCGGAGUGAGACCAAUAAUUCAUCUCUCAAAGAAGCGUUCCUCCGAGAGCUUAGAUCGAUCUGUCUAUAUCACGAUAGCUCGUGGGUGAUAAUGGGCGACUUCAACAUCACACCAAACAACAAUGAGAGAAAUUUCUCUCCCUCGAGUAUGCGUGACCUCCUUCACUUCCAAAACGCAAUCCGGGAGCUCCACCUCAUCGAUCUAUCACUCAACAGAUCGCGUUUCUCUUGGUCUAAUGGUAGACUAAACCUGAAGUUGGCGCGUCUCGAUCAAUGCCUCGUCUCACUCGAAUGGAAUGACAAAUUCCCUAACUCCAGCCUAUCUGCCUUGGAGGGUAACGUUGGAGCACUUCCCACUCAUCUUGCCUUAUCAUUCCCGGCUCCUUGCAUUUUUUUAUUUGAAGCUUUCCAGCUGAGGCUCCCUGAGGUAGAUGAGUUAGUUAAGAAGGCAUGGUGCUUUAUUACCGACACUAGUAGCUCGGCUAAUAAUAUUAAGCGCAAGCUUGAUGCAGUGCGGCAAGCUUUGAAUAACUGGAAAAAAAAGAAUGGCGAUUUUUUUAACUAAACAAAUGGACUGCUGCAAAUACUGGAUACAAAAAAUGGACUUACUAGAGGAAAGUCGUCCUUCAUCCCCUAAGAGAAGAUGGUUGCGUUCUAAAUUAAAGCAGAAAUUAAAACUUAGCCUGCUAGAUGAAACUAAGUGGUGGCAGAGGUCUAGACUCCGAUGGCUACAAGAAGGGACAGCAAUACUAUUUUUCUCACCGUGUGGCUUCUUCUCAUAAAAGAUACAAUACAAUCCAAAAACUCUCAGUCAACGAAAAUUCUAUCCUCGCCCACAAUGGAAUCGCCAGAGCUCUAAAACAUCGAAUCCACCUUCUCGGGAGAUAAAUCUCGACACUUUAUUUUCUAAUGAUGUGCAGGUUCUAGCCGAUGUAGAAGAGCUAUUCUCAGAGGAGGAGAUUCAUCUAACACUUUUAAAUCUUCCAAGUGAUAAGGCAUCGAGCCCCGACGGAUUCCUGCUUCGCUUUUAUCAACACUUUCGGAAUACGACCAAGGGAGAGAUUCUUUGGAUCGCAAAUGACCUAUUCAACGAUGUCAUCGACCUUCAUUGUAUCAACACAAAUUAGAUUACACUUAUUCCCAAGACGAUUGAUGCCUCCUCUCCCUAGGACUUCGGCCAAUAAGCCUACUUCAUAGUGUUGUGAAGAUCCUUACGAAGACCCGAGCAUCGCGUCUUAAGAAGUACAUAGAUUCUCUAAUUAAUCUUUGCUAGACAGCAUUUAUCAAAGGAUGAUCUAUUGUUGACAAUUUCACCACUGCCCAAGAGCUCCUUCAUAUGUGCCAUGCAUCCAAACUUGAAGCAGUUAUUUUAAAAUUGGGCUUCUUAAAGGCCUUUGACUGCGUUUCAUGGAGCUUUCUAUUUUUUGUUUAAAAAGCCAGGGGUUUUGGGGACAAAUGGAUCAUAUGGAUCAAAUCUCUACUUUUCUCAUAUUCUAGCUCCAUUCUUCUCAAUGGUUGUCCAGGGAAAGGGUUCGUGAGCCGGCCUUCGGCAAGGUGACCCAUUAUCACCAUUACUCUUUAUUCUGGUGGUAGAUGCCCUACAAAGAAUAAUAGAAUUGGCGACACUUCGUUCCCACGUCCAGCAUCUUGGCCGAAUUCUUCUAAGCUCAAUACAUUGCAAUAUGUGGAUGAUACCAUUAUUUUUGUAAAGGCUAGUACUAAAGAAAUCAAGGUGAUCAAAUACUUACUCUCAGCCUUUAGACUUGCCUCAGGUUUGCAAAUUAAUUUUUCCAAAAGUUUAUUAGUCCUUAUUAACUUUUCAUAUGAAUUCGCUUCUCACCUUGCCCGUACUUUGAGGUGCAAGAUGUCCUUGCUUCCUAUAAGAUAUCUUGGCCUACCUCUAGUAGCUCACCUACCUAAACGUCAGGAUUUCCUACUGCUCAUUGACAAGUUUGACUCCAAGCUAGCAGGUUGGAAAGGCUUGUCUCUUUCGAUUGAUGGAUGACUUACACAAGUAAACAGUGUUCUCUCUUCCCUGCCAUUGUACUAUAUCUCAAUCUUCUUGUUACCCGCUUGGGUAAUCAAGAAAAUUGAUCGAAUCCGCCGUUCAUUUCUUUGGAAAGGCAAGAAAGAAAUUAGUAGAGGAUUUUUGUCUUGCUAAUUGGUCCAUCGUUUGUAUGCCAAAACAAUUGGGCAGUUUAGGUGUCAAGAACUUGCGCAUCCAGAAUACAUCCUUGCUCCUAAAAUGGUGGUGGAAAAUUUUCACUUCCAUCAAUUUGCCUUGGGUUGAUCUCGUCAAUGAAGCAGAUUAUAGGAGACGAUACCCUUGCUUCUCCUCGUCGGAUCCUAUUAGCCAAACUUCUCCAUUUUGGAAAACCAUCGGUAAACUGGCUAUUAUUUUCUGUCUCUACUAUCUUUAAGGUUAAAGAUGGCACAUCGAUCCCUUUUGGAAUUGCAUUUGGUUGGGCGAGGCCUCUCUCAAGCAUAGAUUCCCUAACAUCUUUUCUUUUGCAAUUAACCUAAUGCAUGCAUUGGUGCCCACUUUGCUGAGGGUUCAUGGUACAUCUUUAACUAGGGUUGACCUAUCCAAAGAAGUAGAAAAUGAGCUCCAGGACCUAUAUGAUGAACUACACUCCAUCUUCUUUUCACUUGAAUCAGAUAAAAUCAUGUGGAGAUGGGCCUCAAGUGGGUGCCUCUCUGUUUCAUUAGCUUACAAGUUCCUAAUCAAUAGGAGCAUUAAGCAUAGUCACUAUAUUAUGAUCUGGAAGUAAGCCAUUCCUCUGAAGACCAAGAUUGGCACUUGGCUUGCCAUACUGCCAAUAAUUUGGCAAAAAGAGGUUGGCAAAACUCAGGAAAAUGUGUUCUUUAUGGAAUUUCCGAUGAAACCAGUAAUCAUCUUUUAAUCUAUUGUCCUUUUACAGCAGAUGUUCUAGCUCUCCUUCUUCGUAGGACAAACCUCACCCCCACCGGUUUACCACAUCUAAGUAAUUGGCGGCAUAUUGUCAGAUGUUCUUUCUUGAUGGAACUAUAACUUGGCUUCGACUGCCUCAUCAUGCCUUUCUUUUGGUGCAUCUAGUUGGAGCGAAAUCGCACGAUUUUCCAAUAUUCCUCAAAGAAUCCAAGUUCAGUUGCAGCCGAAAUCAAAUCUCUUUUGUUGGCCUAGCAUUCGAGAUGUACCGCGACUACAUUAUCUAAUAUUGGCAUCUUCCUUAGCUACUUCUCUAUCUAAAUUUUAGUUAGAGUUAAAUCAUCGAGAGUGAUUUUUUUUUAUUUCGAAAUGAAUUAUCAGUGAAAUACAUAUGUAACUUUGGAUAUGUACAUAAUUCCAUGAAGUAGAAAAUUAUUCUAGUCAGCAUGUCUACCUGGCCUGCUACCACUUUUCCAAAAAAAAAAAAAAGAGGUUUUAGUUUUGUUAUCAAUGAUAAAUUAGUUAGUAAGAUACUUUCAUGUGCUAGCUCAAUUGGAAAUUUGGUGUGUUUCUUCCUUAUUUACAAUAUCAAUAAGUUUUUUAUAUUUCCUUUUUGUUCUUGAUAAUCAAUGACAACAUCAAUUUUGAUUUUUCACAUAGUUCAUUCUUAUGUAUUUACAAAUUAUUUUCAAACAGAUAAUUAUAUUUAACACGAUCAAGAUAUAAGCUUGCUUGUGAUGCGCCUACUGUGUAUACGCUACACAGCAAUUUUAUAGCCUAUAUAAGCUUAUAGCCUUUAGAAGCAUAAAGUCAAACUAUAGUAUAAAUUUAUCACAUAUCGUCCACCGAUGAGCAUCAGACUUGAAUUUCCCUAAUUAGCUUGCAUUUAGUUAAUUUGAGGAGUUGAUUCUACUAUUAUUUAUGAGUACGGAUUCAGAGGCCUUCAGCCCUUCAUACUAAUAACCCAUAUUUAAUGAUAGGGCUCCUGGAUCAACAAUCCACACUUUUACCAUGAUCUACUGCAUUUGAAGUAUCAAGGUUUCAUGACUUUUUUGACAUCAUCAACCUUGCUAUCAAAAGGUCUAAAAAAUUGACAAUUUUAAUGACAAAUACGAGUCAUUUGCUAGUUGGACAUUGGAGAACAAUCAAAACCGUUGAAUUUUUUAUAGAAAAUUAUGUUCAUUCAUCAUAUCCAAAUCAAGAUCAACAACCCCGACAUUGAAUAUAAGAACCCUAUCCUCCAUUUUUGCGAGGGUUAUUCUAUUUUGGUUGUUCAUUUUGAAGCCUCUUGAUGCACUUGCAUAUAACAUUAAGAAUAAUGAAAUUUCAUUCCUAGAUUAUGAAAUACUCUAGAUUAUGUUUAUUGAACUAAUCGUUGAUUCAGAAGCCAUUCCAUAAAAAAUAACUAUAACUAGAAAGUCCUCCGUACUCGUAAAAAGUAUACCCCCCCUAUUCUACUAAGUACUGACGCUGUUGCAACUAUUACUUCUUGUCACUACCGCAACAAGUUCAAAUAAAUGAUUUGUAGAGCUAGCUUAUCCAACAGCCACCUCAAGUUUAUUUUUUUUUGUUAAAUUGUCUGAAACAACCAUUAUUCUCCAAAAGCUUAAGGUAUUAGAGAAUAAUUUUUAUAUUAUUAUAGUUCACACUCUCUCUCAAGUCAAGGCUCGAGACCUUUGUAUAGGACCAAGAUGUGGAAUUAAAUUAAAUAAGGGAAAAUCAAUAAUUCUAUGAGCCUGGCGUAACUCAAACUCAGGACCUCCUGCUCUAAUACUAUGUUAAAUUAUAUGAAACAACUGUUAUUCUCCAAAAGCUUGAGCUAUUAGAGACCAGUGUUUUAUAUUUUCAUAUUUAACAAUUUUAAGAAAUUAAGGUUGUAAAUGAAGUUCUUUUAAAGAGAGUGCUUUCAAUUAUUUUUCUUUAUGUGGUUAGAUUCAAUCUUUUAAACUCAGAUGCAAAACACUCCAAGAACAGCAUACUUGGCUUCCUCUUGAGAGGCAUCAAAGUGAAGUUCAAAUCUGAUAAGUUGUACUUGUCACUUUGUAAUUAGUAUUCAAUUCUCGUCAAUAUCUUAGUAGCUAUGAAACAACAUAAAGCAAACUAAGCUAAUCAACCAAUGCCUAGACCUAACGACAUUUGGACCUAACUCAACAGAAACAGACAAGUACCUAACAUCCCUCACCUAUUUUAAACUUAUGUGGGCACAAUAGGACAUUUCAACUCAAUAGCAGCUAAACAAGAACAUGAGCAACCCAACCUUACUAGAGCUAAUUUGACAUGGUUACCUAAGAGCUUACUUUGAUUUGACCAUCCUUUCUGCUGCCAAGUUGGAUUUGGAUAGGUUUAUGUCCAAUCAUCUUUCAACUAAUUGAGUUAAUUUCUUGUAUUAGGUUUGAUUGAGCUCUUUAGAUUUUAAAAUUUUCUAAUUUUUGGAAUUAUUGUAUUUUUUAAAUUUAUUUUGGUAAUUUUCUUUAGGUUUUUAGAAUUUUUCUAUAUGGAAUAAAUUCCUAAAAAUUAGGGAUAUGAUUUUGAAAGCUUAAAAUUAGUAUUAAACAUAUCUGUAUUAGAAAUCCCUAAAAUCUUGGGAUUUGAUUUAGAGUAAGAUUUAGAUUUAGAUUAAGAUUAUAUUUUGAAGCCUAAAAAUAUAGCCUAUGGAUUUUAAUUUGGAAGAGAUGAGUUAUGAUGGGAUAAAAUUUAGUUUCUAGUGUUUCAACUGUGGUCAUGGUACCUUCUCCCUCUUUCUCUUACCAUGUGUGCCAGCGGAUAUAUCUAUCUCAAAAGUUCUUCAUCUCUUUUCUUUCUAACCUUUCCUUUCUUUAUUUCUGUCUUAUUCUUCUUCUAAAUUUCCCUCUAGUUUUCUAAAAAUCCUCAAAAAUUGUCUAAAUUUUUACCUAUUUAUUGGCUAUUUUCAAUAUUUUUUCCUUAAUUUCUUCAUAACAAGUAAAAAAUUUUAAAAAUAAUUUCGAAAAUCUAAAAAUUAUUUGAGAAAUUUUUGAAAAUUCUAGAAUUCAAUUUUCUAUAAAUUUUGGGCUCAUCGCUAGCAAGACAAAUUAGGAUUUUUUAUAAUUUCUCCUACAUCACUUUCCUUUGCACAACCCAACAAGUUCCAGGACAACUUCUUGUCAACAUAAAUAACAUGAUUAAUCUAUGUUGCCUAGUUAACAAAGUUUGAGUCGACUUUGACAUAUUGCUAAAUAAUCUUCACUUUGCUUCUACCAUAUACAUCGAAACAAACAUUUGAAGUACGACAAUUUGCAUUUGGUGUUCGAACCGUCAACAAAAUACACUAGUUAUGACCUCUUAUCCGUUGAAGAAUAGUUUGAAAACAUUGUCCUAGUGAUACAUGGUUGACCUAAAAAAACAUUCCCUUAUUAUUUUUGUAGUACACUGGAUUUUUAAUAUAUAAGCAAGUGUAGAUAAAAAUAGUGUGAAAUACUACUAGGUCAUGUAUAUGUCUAUAGUGCAUGCAUAGGUGCAUGUAUAUAGUUAUAUAUGAUGGUAGAGAGUAGUACUAGAAUGAAAUUAAGUAGAAAGAAUGGAUUGUAUUGGACAUAUAUGUGUGUAGUGAUCUAAGCUAGAUGGUGCAAGUAAUAGGUCAAAUUGCUCUAAUAUAUUGAAUUCCUAUUAAUACACCAUUUUGCAUAUAUUGUUCUGAUAUUGUGUUUAGUUGUGGACUCUGGAAUUGUUAAUGUUGAUCCUUGAAUUCCUUUGCCACUGCUAUUUUUUGUUGGAUGCUUCAUACGGACGGGGGAAACUCUGUGCGUUCGGCGGGUCCGUGCAUGUGCCCGGAAGGCUUCUGCUAUGGGCUCGGGGUGAGACAAUUUUUUCUUAUUGUUCCUUACUACUGUUGGUUAAUGGAAAAACAUUAACAAUUAGUACUUACCGAACACUUGAAAAACACUUACAGUUUUUUCAGCAUCCAUAGGGGAUAAUAAUAUUGUCUGGAUACUAACUAAUAGAACUUUAUUUUCAAAUAUUUAAUCCAACACCAUCAUGGCAUGACCAUGCUCUUGUCAUUAAAAUACUGCAACUUGGGCAAAAGCACUGCCAACUUCACUCAAAUGCCUAAAUGCAAUUACAGGAUAAUAUAUGACUCCUAGAUUGUUUCCGCAAUUUCCUACAUGCGUGACUCAUAUAUGAGACUUUUCAAUUUACUUUGUACAAAGGGAAAGAACCUGAUAACAAUCACUUUUUUCACCAAAGGAUUGUUGCAUUUGUUAGUGUAUAAUAUGCAUAUUAGCAUCGAUAAUCUAACUAUUAUGCCCAAGCUGACGUCGUUUUAUCACUGUAUUCAACCAAUUCGCAAUGACUUAAAAUCCACACUAGAGGCAUAGAAAUAGUGCCAAAAUCAACCGCAUAAUAGCAAUAACAACACGAGAAACCUUGAACUCAAACAGACAAACUUUAACAAAAAUAUCAGAAAUUCAGCAAACAGCAAUCUAAUGUUCGCUGACCAAAGAAAUGAAGUAUAAGUGUAUUUAUAGUAUAUCAACAGCGUAGUCCAAGAAAGGUUAGGGGAUAGUUGGCAUCACUGCACACUGCUAUUUUUCCCUUUUAACAUUAUACAAAGGAAAUUAGGGGCAAGAGACAAAUGCCUUCAGGUCUCUAAUUCAAUUUUCCCUUGUUGAAACUUAAUAAUUCCUAUUUCAUUGCAUUUUCAAUGAAGAAUAGUAAAAGUAAAUCGUGUCCCAAAUUUCACUUGCCAAACAUGCUUCAAAUAUCUUUUCUUUACAUUUUAAUCACUCACCAAAUUCAAGAACAUAACAGAAUGGCAACUCCAAAUCUACAAAUCCUAAAUCAAGUACAAAAAAUAUUCACACUAACAACGAAUUAAACAUUCCUAAGAAAAUCGUAACAGAGAGUAUAUAUAGCAUUAUAACUAGGUAUUGCCUCUAUGUUGCGUCCACGAACACAAACACACAAAGAUAUGAAUCGAUCAAACGAUCAAACCUGUUCCGUCGUCAGCUCGGCGCGAUCCAUGAAGGUCACACCCUUCGAAUCCCUGCAGAUCUAAAACCCUAAAUCAAAAUCUUACACUCCCCACAACAAAAUUCGCGAAGAAAUGGGAUAAAUCAAUGAUCUCGCGACGCAUCGGAGGCGAAAACGAGAUCUUAUGCGAUCAUCAAAGAUCGAACAAAAUGAUCCAACGAUCUUUUUCGAUCGAUUUUUCUUAAUGGAACUGGGGAAAUUUGGGGAUUUUUUUUACUCACCGGAAGCUUGGGAGCGAAAAAAAGAGAUCGGUCGGAAGUCUCCGAAAUGACGGACGUUUGGACUGUGUACGCACACGAAACAGAAGAGGGCGGGGAAGGGGGAGAGAAAGGGAACCGUGUCCCUCCACACCACACAGUUGAAGUUUUUGUCGUGACCCACUCAUCCUGAUCCACGAUUCACAGCAAAUUUUACCUAGACUUGGUCCAUCACAUAAGCCGUAGACCGGGCAUCACCAUACAAGAAAAAAUAAAAUUAAAUUGAUCUAAUUUAGUUUGUGAAAAUUAAAAUUAAAUAAAAAUAUAUAAAAUUUUUCUGAACUAUAGAUCAUUUUGAUUUGACUGUCCAGCUUUUCAAAAUUUUAAUUUUAUAUUCCUAUUAUUUUAAUUUGUUGAUUUAAGUGAUUUGAUUGCUAUUUGAAUAUAAAAUUUAAUCUAGUUGCUUACUUCAAUAAAUUUACAUUUAUGUAAAUUGCAUAAACUAUACUAAUGAAUCCCACGAAGAUAAAUAACGUACUCAAAUUUUGAAGUUAAAGAGUAACUAAUUAAAUAAAAUCAAAUAAAUUAAAGGCAUGUUUGUUUCAUGAUUGAUAUAGGAAUGAGAAAUGAAAUUGAAUUUCAUUGGAAUGAAAAAUAAAAUAACGAAUUAAAUAAAAUAUUUAGUUCAUUAUUGGAAUGAAAAUCAAAUGAAAAUCUAGGAUUUUGAGGGAGCGUUUUGGUUGAGAGAGGGGAGUGAUGAAGGGAGAGAAGGAGAAGGUGUUUCUAGUAGACAGUUUUAAAUCGUUUACUUUGGAAUGGGCCAAUCCUGAUUUCAAAAUCAGAUUUGGCCUUAAAUUGAUUUAGCCAUUUCUAUUUCAAAGUAGAAUGAGAAUUGAAAUCCAACUCUUAUAAAACAAACAGCAACUAUCGGAAUCAAUAAAUUUCAUUAUAAUUUCAUAGUCUAAAAUAGAUGAAUCAAAUAAGUCCUAAAAGAUUAGAUAGUAAAAUCAAAAUUUUUAAAGUUUAGAUACUCAAAUUCAAAUGGGUAAUAAUUGAAGUAAGUUUUACAUAUUUUUAUCUAAAAGAUAAAACUAAACUAAUGGUUUGGAAAAUUAAAAUGAACGAACAAAAAUUAUCAGUUUGGUUUGCCAGUUCGAACAUUUAAAUUUUCGAAGAUAGUUUUAUAUAGCUUAUUGGGUUUUUUUUAUUUUUAAUUUAUUAUGUUGAUUUUUAGAAUUAAUUGUAAUAUCCCGGACGAUCCGCAACCACCGAUGAUGAAAUUUCUCUGAGGUCGGAUGGCGGUGAGGAUGAUGGGUGCUUCCGGCAACGGCUCCGAAGUAAUCGAGGUAAGAAAAAAGAAGGGAAAAGAAGGGGAAGUAGAGAUAUAGAGAGAGAUACAAAGAGAUAAGGGGUGGGGAUUAGAAAUAGAGAGUGGGAUAAGAAUUUGGGAUAGAGAUUAGAGAUAGAGAGAGAGGAGGAUUGGGAAGAGAAAUAGUAGAGAAGAAGAAGGGUUUGGAGAAGAACUUUUGGGGAAGAAAAUAGGCUAAUUCAUUUCAUUGAUGCCUUGCAAUUACAUCCUGUUAACUAUAUAUAUCCUAUACAACUUUUACUGAAAUGUAAUUAAAUUAUUCUACGAGGGCAUUGUUGCAAAAAUGGUAAAUAGAGGUGUGGGCCAGGUGGACUCCUAUUCUGUGGUAGUUGGACCUCUUGCUGGGCUUCACCGGUCCAGACCACAGCUAACGGGUCGGGUGGAGGAUCUCGGGUCGCCCUUCUGUCCGCUCCGCCAACUGCGGGUAGUGGGCUUGCCUUUUGCCGCCGCUCCGAACAGUCGAUCCUCCGACCCGCAACGCCUCAUUCUUCUCCCAAUUGCUUAGAUUCGGUCGGAUCUACUUCCUAUCUCCUCAAUCUCCCUUCUCUUCCUUAGAACGCCAUGGAUGACCUAGCUCCGCCACUUCGCCGGAGUUCCACCCGAGCGCCCUCACGCCACCGGAGUUCCACCAAGCUCGCACCUUCCUCAACCUGCUGCAGCCCUUAUUUCCGUUCCACUAUGCAAAGUUAACAUUUUUACUAACCUCCUCUGUUGCUACUACUUCUACUAUUUAUUUUAGGUCGUUACAUUAAUUUGGCGUGUCACUGAUAGCUUUGUAUAAAUAUUGAUGCAUAUAUAUACAUAACUACAUAUAUAAUAUACAUAAGUGUAUAAAUGUAUGCUUGCACGCACACACACAUAUAUAAUUUACAUAAAUUUUUAUAUAAGUGUAAAUCCAAAUCCGGAAGACCAAAAAUCAAGAUCUACACCAUUAAAUGUGAUCAAGAACAUCUAAGAUGCAUACUCAUAAAGUAUCAUAAAUUUUAAAAACUGAUUUCCUAUGCAUCAAAUGGGGUUAAUUUCAACAAUCCACAAUUUUCAAAAAAGCUCAAUUUUGAAAAUUCAAGAUAUAGAUUUUAAAAAUUAUGACUCUUUAUAUGUACGGCUAUUUUAUGUUGUAAAUCAAUUUCGACAAUUUAGAUAUUCAUUUUGAAAUAUUUGUGAUUGAAUUUUAGCUAGUGUAUGAAGCAUGUAACGUAAAAAUAUGUAACUCCGUAUAUUUAUGUAUAUAUAUUAGGGUUGGGAGUCAGAAAAUUAAUCCGGAUGCCUACAAAACCAGUUCGAAAUAUUUCAGUGCCCAAAUCCCUAUUCCGAGCGUCCAAAAAGUUUGAAACCCAGACUUUGCUUCUUUUGGACUUCCUGUUUGAUCUAAAUUAAUUUUAAUUUAAUCCAUACUCAGUCUAAACUCUUUUAUUUAAACUUACUUUAAUCAUGUCCAAUAUGUCUUAGUCCUUACUUUGUCAAUUAACCAAAGUUCAGUAUCUUAUAUCUUUUCCUUCUCAAAAGGAGUUUCGUCUAUAAAACAAAAUAUUUUAUACCUCAAUCCAAUUUUCCCAAAUAGACAAGGAAAAUGCUUUCGCUUGUGUUCUUGAGCUCCCAAAGGCUCAGUGUAAGAGGAUGCCGACAUGCUACUAGGCGUACACGUCCUAAUUCUCAAAUCGCUCAGUUUGUUGAGGGUUCAUCUAACCGAAUGUCAACCCCAUAACUUUACUUGUCAACGACACUUAAUAGGAGACAUGAUCUCCUAUUUGAAUUUUUAAUUCACGCCACUACUAUUUCAAAUAGUUCUAUGUAGGACUUGUACCAUCACUUAUUUGCUUGCAGGCGAAGCGAACAAUUUCCCCCGGCUACUGUACUAUGUCCGGACCAAAGGUGGAUUUCCUCACCAACAUCGUUCCGAUGCAAAUGACAUGACAUUUUCUCCUUAAAAGCCCCCCAUAGAGUAUCAUUCCAGUGCUCUUCCAAAUACUACUAUUGUAGGUGAACUCCGUCAAUGACUAGUGUUGGUGCCAUCCACACCCAUAGUCCAACAUUAUUCUACUUAAUUUUGCCCAUUAACUUGGCUCACUCAAGAGUCUACCUCACAUAGUAUGACCCUGCUUCAUACUUAUUACAUAUUUUCGAAUCCGAUAUAGCCGCUUCACUGGCAUUGUUCCCAAGCAAUAGCGUUUUGGGCGCUUCCUUUCAUCAUAAGCGGGUUCUACCAUACGUAUAUCUCCAAGCCCACAAGGAGGUUAUGCACUUUAGCAUGUUCUCGAGUAUUUAUUACCUUCGAAAUUAGCCUCCAACUCAUAUACGAUUCCACUUAACCCAACUUAGCUUCUCAUGUAGGGUACAUUUUGUUGCUCACAAAUGGCACAAGUAGGCACCACUCAUCCUCAUGACGAGCAAGUUGUUAGAUGUAUGCCCUAGAAGCCAACCAGGUCGACACAUAUAUUCUUUCUAGGACAUAAAUUUGUAUUUGACUUUUAAAUAUUAUAAAUAACUUUAGAUUUUUAUUUUCAUUCAUGUUGUGUAUGUGUCCAUGAAUCGUCCAAGGAAUUAAUAAGAUGAUGACAUAUAUUCUCAAGUGUUGAGAAUUUGAGACAUGUGUCAUUGGUGGUUAAUUCCUAAAUGCUCCCGAUCAAAGGAUCAUCACGGGAAUGGUGAUUGAUCCGGUGAGAUUGGUGCAUAGGUAGCUUCCCUUUCUGGGUAGACGAGUCUCGAGUCGACAGUGUGGGGACACUGAAGCGAAUAUGCAGAUGGUUGUUAGAGAAUAAGGGUACCGAGCGUGACCAACGCGAGAAGUCACUUGGAUGUCUACUCACUCGUAAGUGACUUACUCAAUAUUGCAGUAGUGUGACUGGUCCUUUGACCUGCGGUGCCUCGGCUAUUCACAAUGAUGUUACUGUAGUUUGACUGUACAUACACUUGGUCCCUAGCCAUUCGGGUCCUUGCGGUGCAUGUUGGCUGCAGUAGGUUCAUUGUAGGAAUAGGGUGCGCACUUAGAUGGAAUCUAUCUCCCUUGGUAGAUAGGGGUGUUAGUCCUAUGUGAUUUAUGAGACCGAGUUUAGAAGACCUUGGCCAGGGCAGAAUAAAUAGCGGAAAAGGGUUUCCGAUAUUAGAAACUCGAGUCGAAUAAAUUUAACAUAUGACAGACGAUGGGGUUUGACGAGUUAUUCCAUAACCUCCGUCUAGUCGGGACUCAUGAUAGAAGGAUUGUAUCACACGGUAACUGCACCAAGAGGUUCAGUAUUCCAUUCUACUGGAAUGCCACUACAUGCUGCUAGGCGUCACUGGUGGAUUGUGAGACUCAUGAGAAUUAUCUAGAUGAUAAAUAAUUCUCAUUGAACUGAGUUGGAAUUGUUCUGAUCCAUUGAAAGGAGUUUCAGUGAUAUUGUUGAUAGUGAUCAAAAUAUAUCUCACUACCAGAUAGAAUAGAACCUAUGGGGUCACACACAUAAGAGGUUGUGAUUGAUCGGAUAGCUAGAUUGCGAUUAUUGAAUCGCUGAAGGACCUAAUUGUCAAUAUGUUGAUAAUUGGACUAAUUUGUAAUUGCUACAAAUUAGUGGUAUUAAAGUGUAAAUGUUAUAGGAGAGGACUUACUAAUAGUUAGUAAAUUAUAAGAGCGCUUAUGUGCAAUUAUUGCAUUAUUAAUUUGAUAAGAUCAAAUUAAUAUAAAAUUCAAGUCGAAUCAAAUUAGAAUUUGAUCGAUCUAACCAAUUAAGAAAAGGAUAAAUUUAAAUCUAGAUUUAUACUUCUCCUUAAUUGUCAUUAUAUUAUUAGGAAUAGAAUUAUAUUCCUAUAUAUAAUAUAUGGGAGUUUUUAGAAAACCCUAGCCGUCAUCUCUCUUCUCCUCUCCCUUCCAUAUUCUAGCAAGAACGACGUCUUUUGCAAAGGAGCUAGCACCCCGGUGAGGAUAUCGAUCAAAUCAUCAACCUCGUGUGGAUACCUAUAGAAGCCGGACGUGUGUACGGCUUCAAGAGAACCCAAUUCCACGAUCAUCAAGUUGAGGAGAAGAUCUAUCCACGAAAAAGGUAAAGAUUCGAUCUUGUUUUUCUUCUUUAAUCUUAAAGAACAUGAGGGAUCCUAAUUGCGUGGUUUUUGAGAUUGGAUCUCGAGAGUUUUCAAAAUCAAAUUUGUUUGAUUCUUUUUCCGCUGCGUUUUUACCGUACGCAAUUUUCUAACACAAGUAUGAAUGCCAUAUUCGCAAGUCCAAUUUCAUCCUACGGUAACGCUCGACUCUACAGUUCAGUAACCCCACUAAUCAAGAGAACACUUAGGCUAAGCCAUCCCUCAAUUACUUCAUGGUAUUUCAAUGUACGAUUAUCAUUACCCUUGGCUUGCUACCCUUUGUCGUAUUCACCCUGUGUAGUGGUACCUCAUUUCACAUACGAGUUCAGCCAUCCUACGAUGAAAUUGUUAUUACGAUCUUCCAUUCCCUAACAUCAACAAGGAGUAACUAAAACUCUGAUACAUCAGAGACACCAUGGUCGGGUCAUAUCUGAGAGCGUGUUCGGGUCAUUUACACCUCUACCUCAAACGGAACAAUUGCUAUAAUUUGAGUAAUCAAACAUCUAAAUCUAACUCGUCCAACUCGUGGUUUAACUCUGAUGAACAACCAACACUUCCAUCGGCCUCUAGGCACCCGAAAAAAAUACUAGGCCUUCAAGUUGUCCUCGGCCUCCUUCACGCCUAUCCGAAGCGUAAGUGUUACUAUCAACAAACCCUCUUUGGCUGAAUAUUCAAUUCGCGCCCCAUAGGUGCAUUCCAUCGUUGAGCGCACUACGCCUCUAUUCACACCCUUGACCGUUGAGAUCAUUAAGCAAUUAUUCUCCAACACGCAAUACCAUGUAUGUGCGCUUUCUUAUUUCGGGUUGCGGCAUCUCAAGGCUAACUCACCCAAACCUAGUGGUUGUCACGCCAACUCUAUUACAACAAAAUUGCUUCCACUACCACUCCACUGGAGGGCUCCAAAAUUAGGGAAUGGCUUCCAACCACUUACCUCUUCAUACCCAUUCACUACUAUAAUUAUGAAGGCCUCAUACCCUUUAUUUACUCACUAGUCGACAUGUGGCAUUGAGGUCGACAUCACAUGGAGAGGUCCUCACAACCACUACAACAUACUCCUGCUGUCAUCGCUCACAAAAAGCUACUAUGCUUCUUCUACAAUUGAUUGUCACACUAGACUCCUUAUGACCCAUUCUAUAUUUAGUGCUAUGCCUAACUUACAGUUGACUGCUAACAACCAAACUAUGGUGAUUACUACACCCCUGCAAUGGACAGUGUCCAUAACUCUAAUAAUAUUCACCAUGAUUGUAGCUCCAUUACACAUGGUGUAUAUCACAUGCCCAAAGUCAAUUUCAACUUGGCAUCAACCUCGCCAAACUUCUUUUAGUAUCAGGCACUCCCAAUCUAGAGCACAUCUCAUAGAAAACCUCUUAAUCUCAACGUACCAUCGUAUGCAUCCGUUAUUUUUCGAUCUCAUGCAUACACUUUCUUGCCUCAAGUAUGGAUAUUCCGAUAGAUCCUUACGGUCGCACUACCAAGGAAAUCACCCAAUGCUCACAUAAAGUUAUGGAGCAAAUAAAAAUUUUCAAAAUCUCACUAGUAUCAACUCCACUUUUGAAUCCAUACUAACAGAUCACUCCAACCUUUAAAUCUUUCUGCAUGAUUUUUUAUGCCUUGACCAUAAUGGCAAGGUUCACCAAAUUCUAAGAAAAUCUUUCGAUCCUAGAUCAUUGAUCACUAGUAUACUCAAGCAGUGCCGUAUGCGCCAUCAGUAGCAUUUUGAGCCUUUCGCUCUCAAAUGGUCAACACUCCUCUAUAUAACCCAAUUUAGAUGCUAAAGAAACAUUUCAUUGGCAUUACGAUUAGGCUAAUUACCCAUUCAACCCACCACAUAUAAUCUAUAAUGAGUCUAUCUAUUGGCACAAUCAACAUAGUGUGUAAACACCCUAUGCUUGAUUUUUAGCUCAAACCGACAUAUUUUGUUAAGCCAUGUAGUGUUUCCCCCCAAUGGAAAAAUGAGGCUAUCAUCUCUUUGAUAUUAUGCCUAUUCAUUUUCACUCUAGGCACUUUAUCUCCCUUUUAAUCAACUGGGCAAAGGGAACAUCCAUGAGAAAAACUUUUAUUGGCUCGCUUCACUUCCAAUAGUCGUCACUCGGCUACCUCAAUCAUAUUGACGGACCACAGUUCGGUCCUUCUUUUAUUAUUGCCUCAUGGGUCAUGUUUCACAUCCAUUGCCCACCAUAGCUGGCGCUAAUGUGUCACAUUCCCCAGGAUAGAAUACUAGUACUCCAUAACUAUAAGCCCUGACCAAGUUAGGGCUUGUGUCAGCCUCUAUAGGUCUUGCAUCUUGACUACAACAAGAGGCCUAGUGCCUUUAAUGAUACUUAGAUUGCAAACAUCGGGGCUAUGUAGUCCCCACGACAUUCGUCUCACCAAAUAACUCAUCAAUAUUACUCAAGGAAAAACACACGUGUACCUAGGCAACUCAAAAGUCGAACAUCAUGAACAUAAAAGUUGACCCAAUGAAGUGAAAGUUCUUGAGGGACACUUUCUCUCAUUCAGGACAUUGCAUUGUCGACUGCCAAUGUAAUUAUCGAAAGAACGAAGAGAUCAUCUCCGUCGACUAGUCCCCAAUAUUUUAUUUGGGAGCACCCCAAGACCUAAUCAUCUACUUCCACUAAAGUCAACACACCACUUACUUGCUUAAAUCUUUAGGGUGCGUUUGGUUCGGGUUAUCCUGAUAGGAUUACAGGCAAUACUGUCAAGAUUACUGCGUUUGGUUCAUCCAGUAUGUAAUUUAGUUAGUAAUAAAGCAUUACAAAUAGUGCAGGAUUGCACCAAAAAUAUUACAGAGCGGGGGUGGGUAUCUCGUAUUACUGAUGGUGGAUUAUCUUGUAUGUAUGUAAAAUUACAGGUUUAUCCCUUCGAACCCCAAACCCUUUCAAUACAUCAUUUUUAAAAUUUUAAUUUAUAAUUUUAAAUUUUAAAAUUUCAAUUUUCAAAUUUUAAAUUUUAAAUUUUAAAUUUUAAAUUUUAAAUUUUAAAUUUUAAAUUUUAAAUUUUAUAUUUUAUAUUUUAAUAAUUUUUAAUUUUUAAUUUUUAAUUUUUAAUUUUUAAUUUUUAAAUUUUAUAUUUAUAUUUUAAAUUAAAAUAUUAAAUUUUAUGUUUUUAUUCAGAUUUAAAAUUAAAAUUUAAAAUUAAAAAAUAAAAUGUAAAUUUAAAUUUUAAAUUAUUUAAAAUAAAAUUUAGUAAAAAAUUAUUAUUUGUAAACAGUAAAAUUUUUUUGCCAAAUAUGACUAAGGGCAAUUUUAGAAUAGAUUACACUUUGUUGUUAAAUUACUUAAUUUUAUAAACUGAAUCAAACAUAGUAAUGCUAAGACUUAUGUUCCUACCAAACCACCUAGAAACUUUUUCUAGGCUUUGAUACCAUUCUUAUUUGUCAUGCCAUGAGACCGCUAAUUGGACCUACUCGAGCACGCGCACGAACCGACCGAAUGAGCAAAACUUUUUCUACUGGUACAAAGCAAAAUCAUACGUCAACUUGUACAAUCAUACACGAUAUAUAUACAUAUAAUAUCAGAAUACAACUACUAAUAUAGACAUUCGACUUUAACAACUUUAAAGUCUACAACUAAAUGUAACAUUUCACAAAAGCUAAAGUUCAUUAGAGUUUAUAUGUUUGAUCCCAUAAUAUUACAAUGCUUUGGUUUUCAAAAGUAAAGGAGGUACAUCGAGACCCCUCUCUAGGUCUACUGCUCCGCGGUCUUCUUGCUGCAUUCACAAGCUUCGCCGAUGAUGCUAAGACUUGAAAAAUAGUAAACCAUAGGGGGUGAGAAGUACAUAUAGUUUUUAGCAGGUGUAACCACCGAGAAUGGUGCCUAUACUCAUUCAGUCCAAAUGAGGUAUUAAUAGAUAGAUAAUGAUAACAACAAAUAUCUCUAUAUUAGAAAUGUAGAAAUUAAAUUUUAUGACUACAAUACCUUAUGUAUUCAAGAUGCUACUAUGCCACUGGUUAAGUGUUUACUCAGUUAUCUCAUGUCUUUAAUCAUCUAUUUUAAUAAUUAUUUCUACUCAAUUACCUCAUGGAGAGUAGAGCGAGAUCGUACUGCUCUCCAAUUGAUAAACACACACUUCAUAGAGAGCCAAGGAAAAUUGCACUCCUCUCCAAUUGAUAGACACACUUCAUGGAGAGCCGAAAGAGAUAGAUCUCACUAUCCAAUUGGUAGACACAUAUCUUAUGAAGAGCUGAAAAAGAUCGUACUACUCUCUAAUUGGUACUAGGAGUCAAGGGUGAUCGUCCCUCCAAGUUUGUCAUAUAGAGUCAAGAGGAUCAACACUCCGAUACAUAGUGGGAGUCGAGGGUGAUCGACCCUCCUAAUGCACACAAGGGAGCUGAGGAUGAUCGGCACUCCCUAGGACACUUUUGAAAGGUCAUGAUAUAACUCAUCAUGACACCCUAAAUUCACCGACUCCUAGAAUUAUUAACUGUGUUCCACACACACGUACUUGUUCUCUAGUUUGCAUUUAGCCUAGAGUUCACAUACUACUAUAUCUCAUAUACUAGGUUUCAUCCUAGAUUCAAUGUCACUAUUUUUGCCCUAGGUUUCAACCUAAGCUUAGAUGCCACACUUUGCUUAACCCAUGAUCAAGGUUCACAUGGUCACCUACAUAUGCAUAUAUUUGUUCUUUAUGUUUCACCUUAUAUUUUAACCUAAGUUCGAACCAUGUUCAAUUUAUAUCCUUGGUUCACUUUUCAUUACAUGUCAAUCGUCCCAUUUUCAUACAAGAGGGUCAACAUCCUAAGUUUUCCCUAGCGCGCACUAAAAUCACAUGUAGCUCGAUAAUUAAUAUAUUUUCACAUGCUAUUAAUCUAAGAAACAAUGGACAAAAGGAAGAUCUAAUUCUUUUCUAUGAUAUUCCCCACCUUUGCUUUAAAUCCCUAUUGCAGACAAGUAUUGAUCUCCAAAGAAUCCCAUAGAAACCCUAAAAAUUGUUCUAACAAAGUUAGAACCCUAAAUAUCCCAUUUGAAAACCCUAAGACCAAAAUCCUAAAAUUACCAACUCAUUUCUCCUCUUCUAGAGAGCAAAACGUGGACGAGGGGGUUGCCUUCAGUUUCCUAAAGCCUCCUCUUGAAGUUCUAGACCUUUUCCAAUUCAAGUCCAAAUGAAAUCAAUCCCCAAGCACACAAAAAUAGUUUCCUCUUCUUCUAGAGAGAGAGUGAAAAGGGGUGAAAUGGCUGUGAAAUUAGGGUUUACUGUGAAAACCCUAUUAACACGGUUUCAACAAUAGAAACUAAACCCCCCAAAAAUUCUUAUUUGCAUAGACCAAUUCCUAAUCUGUGCGUAGGGUUUCAGGUGCUCAUCUGAUUUUUCAGGCACCUGAUAGAAGGUGUAUAGUGCCCCUCAUUUACGUAACUACGCCCAGAAGAGUAUCCAGGCGCCCGUUUGUCCGCUCAAUUUCACAAGUUGGGCACUCGAAAAGGGACUAGGGUAUCCGAAUGUUUAUUCUUUCCUACUAGGAGUGCUCUCAGGAAAAGGAUCCAAAACACUUUUCGGAAGCCCACAAGGGACCAUCCAAAAUAACAUCUGAGCACCCGCAGGAUAAUUCGGGUGCCUAAAUGGUUGGUGUAUGUGCGCACCCGAACUCUUGGCUUAGGAGUCUAAAAAUUUAUCAGGACACCCACAAAACCAGUCUGAAGCAUUUUGAGCACCAAAAUUCCUAGUCCGAGCGUUCGAAAAGUCCAAAAUCCAGACCUUGCUUUUGUGGAAUUCUGUUUGAUCUGAAUUAAUUUCAAUUCAAUCCAUACUCAAUCUAAACUCCUUUAAACUUACUUCAAUUAUGUCCAACCGACUUAAUUUGUACUUUAUCAAUUUAGCCAAAGUUCGUUAUCUUAUAUAAGAUAUCUACCUUGAAAUCCAAACCGACCGAAUUAACUGAUUAAAUGACUCAAAUUUUUGGCUGGAAUUUAAACUAUAUGUAAUCUUUUAAAAUAUUUUAAAAAGUAAAAUAAAAAUUAUUUUUAGUCUAACAAAAUUUUUACUAUUAUUUCCUUAUGAUUCUUUUAGUAUGAAUUAAAUUUUUAUUAUAAAUGGUUUGAAUUUUUCAAACCAACAAAUCUACAUUGUUUCGCUAUAUUAUAAUCCUUAAGGCUCAACUUAGAAAGGCCCAAACGAUUGUGCCGAUCGAACUGAACCAAACUUUUGCUUGGUUGGUUUUUCGGUGUGGAUUAAUAGUUCGAUCAUAGUUCAAUUCAGGAAAUUGUAAAACGGAAAAAAAUUGGUUCAGUCCAUUAUUUUAUUAAAAAUCGAUUGAACCGGCCAAAUAGUCUUCCCUAGUUAUAGGGUGCACAUCUUACAUCCACUCUCUAAGGGUUUAAAAACCCCAAUUAGGUUUUUAUAUUAAUAAAAAGGGAUAAUUGCCUAUAUCCCUCAAAACUUCGAAAAUAUUUAAUUUAUUCUUUUUUUUGUUUCUAAUAUACCCCUCGUAUAUAUGUUCCUCCAUUAUUCAAAAAUACUCUCGCAGUUACCACCUGUUAAGUUAUCUCGGGUUAAACGUAAGUUAAAUGUCUAUCAGAGUUUAAAAAAAAUCAAAAUAUUUAUUUUGCCCUUAACUUAAGGGCAAAACAAGAAAAGUUGCCCUUAACUUAAGGGCAAAAUAAGAAAAGUUAGUGAUAGUAAAACGGUAUAUUUGAAAAAAUAAAAAAUCAAAAUACUUUUUUAUGCUCCUAAUUUAGGGACAAAUAAGAAAAAAUUGUGAUGAUAGAAAGGCAUAUCUGAAAGAGCAAAAUAGUAAUUUUACAGAGAUAACGGCUAUUGUUAAUAAUUGACUGAUAGAAUCUAACUCCAGGGAUAUAUUUGAAAUAACUUGGACUGUAAAAAUGGUAUUUCUAAUAUUAGUCUUCUAAGAGGCAUAAAUUAAAAUUUUUAAAAUUUUUCAGAAGUAUAUAACCAAUUGCCCCUCAAAAAAAAAAAUUGAUAAGACUAGCACAAAAAUAUUAGCCUUUGAAUGAGUCAUGUAUAAAAUAUACAACAUGCUCCUAGGAUAACAUGUGGCAUUGCUCAAGCUAAAAGAGAUUUUUAAACCCUUAAUAAAUGGAUGGAUGUAAAUUGUAAUAUUUUUCAUUAGUAACUACUACUCACAUAGUCAGAUAGCACUUGCCUAGAAGCAUUGCAUCGUACAGCGGGAACGAAUGGGCCCUUAGUCCAUCCAAUACUCUUUUAAUUCAAGCCAAUAGUGUGAUAUCUCAAGUACCCAAUCAAACACAAGCCCAAGUGUGCUCUCACUCUUCUCUGCCUCAACACCCUGUUUGGUAUUGUUCUUAAAAUCCAUUUUAACCACAGAUAAGGUACACAAAAGACAUGCAAUUCUGUAAGUUCUUCUCAUCUAACAGUUGCUUCAGCAGACUCUUAUCGAGUCUUGUUGGAAUAUUACAUUGUCCCAAGAAGUGCAAACAAAAGUUACAAAACUGCAAUGCUUUUUGUCCCAAGAAGUUUUAUAAAACUAAACACUCACAGCCUUAAUUAACAGACCCUUUGUUCCUCUCUCUUUGUAACCUGAACAGGCAAACCCCCUUUCAUUCUUAGUGUUAGCGAGAGCACAUGUUCAGGAGUGCUCUUUGUUUUCACAACACUAACAAGCUGAAACCUUUCAAACACGCAAGCCACAAUGGACUUCAUCUGUAUAUAAGCCAUCUCCUUCCCCAAGCACAUUCUCGGCCCCGCAUGAAACACUGGGUAACGGAACGGGCUCUCCGGCCGGAAAACGCCGUUUUCCAACCACCUCUCCGGCUUGUACUCUUCGCAAUCCUUGCCCCAUAUGUUCUCCAAUCUCCCCAUAGCAUAAGCACUGUAUGUCACAAACCAUCCUUUCCCCACGAACGUUCCAUCCGGCAUUGUAUCGUCCUCUUCGCAUGAUUGCGUAUCCAUAGGCACAGGAGGGUAUAAUCUCAUCGAUUCUGAUAUCGCGGCGUGCAAGUAGUGCAUCUCGCGUAGCUCGUCAAAGCUGAAAGUCUUGCUCGAAUUUGGAUUUCUGGUUCUGAUUGAUUUAAUCUCUUCAACUAUCUUCAUUUCUACAUCGGGUCUCGUAGAUACGAUCCAGAAGAACCAUGUCAGUGCCGACGACGUCGUCUCGCGGCCUGCAAGGAGGAAGCUUAUCACGAUAUCGCGGAGGAACUCUUCUGAGUGGUCAUCGCACGAUGCGAAUCGGGACAGGAGAUCGCUCUUCUGAUCCAAAGGCCUCUCCCUUCGCGACCGAAUGAUGUCCGAAGCGUAGUUGUGGACGAUCGAGAUGGCCUCUUUUAUCCGCCGCUCCGAUCCGACAUUGAGAAGCUUCUUGAUCCUCCAUGUCACCUUCAGUGCGUCCAUGAACCGCCAUCCGACGAGGAACUGCGCUUCGCCGAAGGCCCGCAUGAAGUCGGAGUUCGCGCCGGCAAAGCCGUCUUCACGAAGGCAGGCGGGGUCGGCAUCGAACGCCACCUUGCAGACGUUGUCGAACGCAAAGCGUUCGAGAACGUCUUGCAGCUCGACGACCUCAUCUCUUUCUUCCGCUCUCUUCAGCAGCGGGAGCAGUCUGUACUGUAUCUCAAACUGCACGGCAUCCACCACGAAGUUGCGGAGCGUCUUCGUAUUGAAUUCGUGGCUCGCCAGCUUUCUCUGCCGCUUCCAAUGCUCCCCGUCUGAGUUGAAGAUUCCGCGGCCGAGAAAAUCUUCGAGCAAGGCGCACGUGCGCUGACCCUUGGGGUAGUUUCUGAAGUUGAUUUUUAGCAUGUGCUCGACAUUCGCAGGGUCGGCAGUGAUGAUGCCGCUGACCUGCCCGAGGCUGCGGAAGCCCAUCGUGCGCGUCGGACUUGCGAGGAGAAUUUCAGUCGUCCAUUCGAGGAAGCGGCGGCGGUUCUUGAUGAACUGCGGGAGGUAGCCGAGAAGUGGGUAGGGUUUUAGGCCGUAGAUGGUGGGUUUUCUUGAUUGAUCUUGACGGAAGACGAAGAGGUAGAGGAAGAAGGGAAGAAGGAAGAGGAGAACUAGCGGCGGGAGAGUGGAGAGCUCAUAUCUUCUUUCUCACUGAGUUCAGUAAACAAACAGUUGGUCGGCAAGGAAGGAAUACUUGGUGUAUAUAUAAAUACUAAACAAAACAUUGCUGGGAUAAUGUAUUUCAUGGGCUUUUUUUCUUUUCUUUUCUUUUUUUUGGCGAGCUUGGAACGGCCCUCUUUCUGUCUUUUCUCUCUGCGAGUGUUGUGGAAUUAGCAACUUUAGAUAAUAAUUGUAUUUUUAAAAUUUAGUUUUUUUUAAUCUAGAUUAGGAUGCGUUUCAUUAAUUGCAAAUUUGUUGGAUUGUCGUUGUGUGGUGAAAUACAAGUUUACAUUGUAUUCUUUUUUUUUUUUUCUUUUUAAUAAAUCGCACAAAUAAUUAUCAUAUAUUUUACUUGGCAAAAAAAAAAAAAAAAAAAAAAAAAAAGGAAAGAAGAGCUUUACUAGCCACAUAUCCUGUAUAAUGUGUUUGAUCUACAUCCUCUCAUCCAAGAGGGGAGUUCGUACUAUACGACAACUGAAGCAUUCCUACGCAUUGAAUGCACACAAGGUGUAAAAUUUAUAUAUACAAGAAUGAAAUGUACAAAUAAUGUUUAUAUAUAUAGUUUUCUUUUUUAUUACUUUGCGUCCCUCAAUUGCUUUUUGUCUUGUAGUGCAAAUUGGCAAUGAGUGUGUAGGUGCUGCAAUAAACAAUAGGAUAAUGGUUCCGGAGAUGGGUUACAUGAGUUGGACAUAUGCUUGGGUUCCCAAGGGCCAAGGAUAUUGCUUGCUGCGCAAGGAGGUUAUGAUUUUUUUUUUUUUUUUUUUUUGAGAAUUGAUAGCAUGUUAUCUGCUUUAUCCAUUGAAAAUAUGAAUUAGGCUACAGAGAUGAGACAACCGGGGCCUCACGGUGAAAAAAAAAAAAAAACACUCGUAAUUAUAAAAGAUUUUUUCAAGAAUCAAUCAUUUGCUUGAGCCUACGCACUACCUGAGCCGGGUCUAACUGUAUGUUGCGGAAGAUAAGGUCGUUUCUGGCCUUCCAAAUAAUCCACUAGCAUGCAGCCAAUUCCGCUAGCCCGUUCCUCCUACUUUGAGCACCAUACCGUCCCUUCCACCUAUCCCAGACAAUAUGAACAUCAUCACCUAGAUCCUCCAGCUGGACGUCCUCGAAUCCCAUGACCAUGGUAAAUUUGAUGAGGACGCAUUGGGUGAAAAGAUGGUCCACCGACUCGUCAAAAACCCCACACAGCGCACAAACCGUACAACCAAUCCAUCCUUUCUUACUAAGAGUGUCAACCGUGGGUGUUCUUUUCUUUAGAACAAGCCAACAGAACACUUUAAUCUUAAGUGGAAUUCGAAGUCUCCAAAUCUGAUAACCCCGUCCAUCUCUCGUGUCUCCGUCAUUCAGCAUCCGAUAGGCCGAUUGGACAGAGAAAAUACCGUUGCUGUCCCAUCUCCAGCCCACCCCUAUCCUCCCUAUUCCCAAUAUAAAAACUAGAAACCCUCACUUUGAGCGCCGAAAGGGUGGACCGCAGGCUCGGAGGAGCUGAAAGCUCAACGCCCAGGAUCCUAUCCCAAUUCCAAUCUUCGCAUCCAAAGCAGUCCCUAACCAAAACUGGUUUGCAAUCGUGCUGCGCAUAUACCUCUGGGAAGGACGCUUGAAGUGUGGUAUCCCCACACCAUCUGUCCAGCCAAAAGUCAACCGAUCUCCCAUUGCCCAGAUUAUAGUUAGUCCCCCAUUUGAAAGUAUCUUUGGUGGUUAAAACUCCUUUCCAAUGUGAUGGAGGCUUGAAUCCUCUCCCAUUCCACAACGGCUUUCUUCUGCGGUAAAAUAAGGCUCGGAUAAUUUUAACCCAUGGCAGGUGAGGUACAGUACGAAAUCUCCACCACCAUUUGAGUAGGAGCGCCUUGUUCAUGAUAGCUACAUCUAGGAUGCCUAGUCCACCUGCCUUUUUACUCAGACAAACGUUCUUCCAUGCAAUCAGGCACCCUUUGCCAGGGUAGUUGCUUUAACCGCUCCAGAAAAAAUCUCUGCGUAAUACUUCGAUACACUUGAUCACCCAACUAGGUGCCUUGAACACAAACAGAAAGUAGAGUGGUUGGUGAGCACCGCAUUGACCAGAAUGAGUCUACCCCCUCUCGAGAGAAGUUUGGCCUGCCAUCCAUCGAUUUUGUGCUGCAAUUUCUGAAUAACCCCUCGCCACACCUCUUUCGUGGGCGGUUUAGCUGAGAGGGGGAACCCCAAGUAAGUGGUAGGGAGGUACCAACUUUGCAGUCAAGCACAUGCGCGAGUCUCUCCGCUUUGCCCUCGGUCCGUCCUAGGUAAUAGAGCUCGGACUUUUCUCUGUUGAUUUUCAAUCCAGACGCCUACUCAAAUAAGUUCCACAUCAGUCGCAGAUUUCUCAUAUACCGAAUUCUAGCCAUGGAGAAAAAGAAAAUAUCGUCCGCAAACUGUGUAACUGCUGUUAUACUCUCAAUUGAAGGACCAAAACCCUUGAAAUGGUUGUUUGCUGUGGCUUUGUCAGUUAGUCUAGCGAGGCACUCCGCCACCAAUAGAAAAAGAAAUGGUGAAAGAGGAUCCCCUUGUCGUACACCCCUCUUAGUUUUGAUCCAGUUAGUCGCCUCCCCGUUGACCAAAACUGCUACUUUAGCGUUGCAUACACAUUGCUCGAUCCAUCCACACCAUUGCUCCUCGAACCCCCACCAUCGGAGAAUACUGAAGAGGAAGGGCCAAUAUAUCCUAUCGUAAGCCUUUUCGAAAUCCACUUUAAUGCCGACCCCCUCCGUAACCUCCUUACUACCCCAUCCAAUUAAUUCGGAGACGGUGACAUACGUGUCGGUAAUGUUUCUCCCUUUCAAGAUUGCGAAUUGGGAGGGAGAGAUAAGCUCGUUCAUACCAGCUGCAAGCCGAUUUGCCAGGACCUUCGAGAUGAUCUUUUGGAUACCAUUAAUGAGACUGAUAAGUCAAAACUCAUUUGCUCUUUCCGCCCCUUCUUUCUUGGGAAUUAAGCAAAUAAAGGAGUAGUCUAGAGGAGUAGUUGAAGUCCUGCCCUCGUACAGCUCCUGGAACACGUUGAGAAGGUCUCCCUUUAGAGUGUCCCAAAAAGUUUGGUAAAAUCUUAACGGGAAGCCGUCAGGUCCCGGUGCUUUAUCGCUACCCAGUUGAAAGACCGCUGCUUUUAUUUCAUCGACACUGAACUUCUUCGUUAAACGCCUGGCCAUGGGGGCCGAAACCCGUCUUGAGGUAAAUAGAUCGCUCCAAUCGCCGAAGGAGUGCGGGGCUGAGGCAUCAGCCGUAAAAAGAUUUUUAAAAUAUUGGAAAAAGUAUUUCUUCUUAUCAUCCUCUGAUUGAUAAACACGCCCAUUAUCAGUACGUCGCCAAUACCAUUGGCCCGUCUUCUCCCAUUAGCAAUACUAUGAAAGUAUUUCGUGUUGUUAUCCCCCUCGCGUAGCCAGUGCUGAUUAGCCCUUGCUCUCCACAAGGCGGCUUCAUCGUUAAGAACACCUCGCAGUUUUACUUUUAUCUCCUCUCUUCUCGCGACGCAUUCCUCUGUCAGCAUUCCGUGUUCCUCUGCUAUGUCAAUCUGGUGGAUUUCCUCCAUUAAAAAAUUUUUAAGUUCUCGAAUACUGUAGAACUCAUUGUUGCACCAUUCUUUAAUCCUUUGUCAACAGUGUCUCAAUUUCGCUGCAAACGUAAGCACCACUGAGCUUUUCGUCGCUCCCUCCGCCCACCAUCCGGGCACUUUGGUUCAAAAUCCGUCGUGAUUGAGCCAGGCCUCCUCGAAUCGAAAGAUUUUCUUUCUUCCCUUAUUGCCUCGCUCAACCGUUAGCAGUAUAGGACAAUGGUCCGACGUGACACGGGGUAGCGCAACAACCUUGGACAAUGGGAGGUCCUGAUCCCACUCUGUUGAAAUAAGGAAUUUACGUUAGGAAUUUAUUUUUUUUAAGGUUUCAGUUGCCUUUCCGUGACGACCCUGAAGUUUUCUUUUGUUUCUUUUUAUUUGAUUAAUAAAUCCUGAUUGAAUUGUGGUGCUACAUCCUUUAAUCAUGUGAUGAUCCACAUUCUAUUGGGUUCUAUUUAAGAUUGCAGGUAAAUUAUAUUUGUAUAUAAUAAGAAAAUAUAAUAAAAAAAAAUGUCGCUUACUUUUGCAAGUAGUAACACGGCAUGCAAAUUGUAUAGUUAGAAUAUAAUUUUUGUAGUCCAAAAAAUAAGAAAAUAUAUCUCUGUAUACUUGUCCUAAUCCUCCAUCUUUAGCCCAACAAUAUUGUGAAUCUUCUAUCACCAGAAGAUCCUUUAGACUUGAUUGAUAUCAGUUCUAUUUUUGGUUUGAGCAGCUAAGUGUUUAUUUUAAUAGAGUAUUUAAGGGAGAAACUAACAAUUUUUUUGCUGUAGUAAACGGAGCUGUGCGUAGACGGGAAACAUGAUUUGAAAUAAAGACUUACUGCCUAAGGAGAGGUUCAGAAAUUAAUUUUUAAUUUCACUAGUAGAAGAGCCUACAGAAGUUUUAAUUCCAAUAGUGUUGGGAUGCCAUCAAUAGGGGUGUCAAUGGGUACAAAUACCCAAUAUUUUAAUCCGAACCCGAACCCGAACGGAGCGAAUUUAUCCGAUGCUAAGUGUAUAUGGUUUCGGAUAUGGAUAUCAAAAAUUAAAACCCGACGGAUAUGAAUACGGAUAUGAAUUUUGACUGUACCCGACCCGAAUCCAAAUUUAUUUCACAUUACAUAUAAUAUGUAUAUAAAAAUUUGAUAUUAUAUUUGAAUUUAUAUUUUAAAAAUUUAAAUUUAACAUAAUAUAUUUUGAAAUAUUGAAAAGAGAAAUAAUUGUUUCUGGUUUAGAUUUUCGGGUUCGGGUUUCGGAUUUUUGGUCGGGUUGUGGUUUGGAUAUGGAUUUUUAAAAUCCGUCGGGUUCGGAUUUGGAUUUGGGUUUGGGGUUUGGAGUCGGGUUCGGAUUCGAAUUUUUAAAAAUCCGUCCCGAAUCCGACCCGUUGACAUCCUAGCCGUCAAAAGACUUUUAAAUUGAAACAAAUAUUUAAUACUCGGAUUAGGAUAAAUCACAAAGCUCACCAAACUCGCUCAAUAAAAACUUAUUAAAUAGCUCUUCAUCCAAGUUGCACUCGAAUUGAAGCACAAUUUUGUUGGGAAGCCCCUAAUUCUCGCUUUAUGGAGCUUCUCUAAAUUUGCAAGGCCAAUUUGCAUAAAAAAUCUACUAGUUUUACGCUUUUGCAAAAGUUGACCAUCUUUUUCGAUUUUGUAAAUUCGGACCGGAUUUUCAACAAACUGACUAAAAUACCCUUGUACCUUUUUCUCUCCCCUUUUUUUUUUUUCUCUCGUUCUUUUUUUCUUUUUCUUCCCAGAGAGCGGCGGAGGCGGAGGCGGAGGCGGCCCNCUUACCCUUGCCCGCACACCCCCUGCCUUCCUCGCCUCUGACACCGCAGAGGCCGCUCUGCAACUUUUUUUUUCCCCUCUCCGACCCUCCUCCACCGCCUCCUACGACGACGCCUAUCUCGCCCUUUCCCUCUCUCGCUUCCUUCCCCUCCACUGCCGCCUCCAAAGACGACGCCUCUCCACCGACAUCGGCGCAACGGAGAUCGUUGGGUGCCGCAACCUCGGAGCGGGGGGCCUUUAGCUACAUCGUCGCCGGCACCAUAGCCGUUAGCGUAGAGGCGUGAUAAAAAAAAAAUUAUAGAAGAAGUAAGAAGAAAAAAAUAAAGACAAAACUAUAUAAGAAUCAAGAAGAUGAUGAAGUUGCACUGUUAAAAUAAGAUUACAUUGUUUUAAAACAAAUUUGCACUAUUUUAAUAAAAAUUGCACUAUUUGAUAUAUAAAUUACACUAUUUUGGAAUGAAUUUUACACUCUUGAGGCUAAUGUUGCACUAUUCAGGAGAAUUUUGCACCAUUUCUUUUCCUUUUCUUUUUUUCUUUCUUUUCUUCUUCUUCUUCUUCCGCUGCUGCCUCCCGCCCGCCCGGCCAACCCUUUCCCUCUCCCGUGGCCGUUGGCGGAGAGGGCCUCGAGGUUGGCGGGGUGAUCCAGGCGGCGUUGGCGUCGGCGUCGUGGUCGAGGAGGUGGAGGAGGGAGAGGCAGUUGGCGGCGAGGGAGAGGAGGGCCCUGGAGCGGGGAGGCGCUCUCGUCGCCGGCGACUUCCGGGGCAGUUGGCGGCCCUAGAGCCUGUCGGCGAGUACUUCGUCGCCGUCGCCAUGGACGGCGAAGCUGCCCUCGUCACUGGCGACCUCCGUGGCGAGGCCUAUAGGAGAGCGGCAGCGCGAUCGGCCCCACGCGGGACGUGCGAAGCGGGGUGCGAUCGUACGUGACUCGACGCUGGAGGAGACCUCGAGCCAGGUGGGCGGAAGGCAGCAGUGAAAGAAGAAGAAGAGAAAGAGAAAAAGAAAAAGAAAAGAAAUGAUACAAAUUUUUUCUAAAUAGUGCAACGUUAGUCUAAAGAGUGUAAAAUUCAUUCUAAAAUAGUGUAAUUUUUAUAUCAAAUAGUGUAAUUUUUAUUAAAACAGUACAAAUUUAUUUUAAAAUAAUGUAAUCUUAUUUUGACAGUGCAAUUUCAUCUUCUUCUUCUUUCUUAUAUAAUUUUUUGUCUUUAUUUUUUUUCUUUCUUUUUCUACAAUUUUUUUUUGUCACACCUCUCCUCCAACAGCCACGGUGCCGGCGACGCCGCCGCUAAAGACCCCCCGCUCCAAGGCUGCAGUGCCGCAGCACCUCCGCGGCCCCGAUGUCGGCGGAGAGGCGUCGUCGUCGGAGGCGGCGGAGGAGAGGAAGGAGGAGGGAGAGGGAAAGGGCGAGAAGAGCGAGAGAGGGUGCGAUAGGUGUCGUCAUUGGAGGCGGUGGUGGAGGGUCGGAGAGGGGGAAAAAAAAAGUCGCAGCGCGGCAUCGGCGGGGUCAGAGGCAAGGAAGGCAGCGGGUGCGCGGGCGAGGGUAAGGAUGCGCGAGACAAAAACGAAGCGGGCCGCGUCCGCCUUCGCCUCUGUCUCCGCCGCUCUCUGGGAAGAGAAAGAAAAAAGAAUGAGAGAAAAAAAAAAGAGGAGAGAGAAAAAAAAUAUAAAGGUAUUUUGGUCAGUUUGCUAAAAAUUCGACCCGAAUCUGCAAAAUUGAAAAAGGUGGCCUAUUUUUACAAAAGCGCAAAACUAAUGGAUUUUUUAUGCAAAUUGGCCAAUUUGCAAUAUAAUUGUGUAUUGAGAUUCAGUCUGAAAAUUUCUAAAUUAAAAUAAAACUUUAACACUGGAAUAUAAAAUUAAUUACAAGAUUUAUGGACUUUCUCAACAAAAACUGGAUAAGAAGAUCAUCAAUAAUGUCGUGCUACUUUUAAUUCUUUAUAUGAGGCCUUUUUGAUAGGUAUAUAUAUAGAAGCCUGUCAUGGUGGAUGUGCUGUUCCACUACUAUUGGUUCUGGUUCUACUUAUCAUCAGUCAUCAUCAGUUAUUUUGCCGCUCAUCUUUUGCCUCUGGGCGAAUUUUAUGUCCUGAUUAAUAAUUAGUAUUUCUUUUAAUUUAUUUAAUAAAUAUAUAAUAUUUGGUAGAUAAAUAGUGUGAUUAAAUAUUUAUAGUGAAUACUAUAUUAGAUCUUCAAGUCAUUUUUUGUUUAAAUGAGAUAAAUCAUUGCACAGAUAAAAUAUACUGUUCCACCAAUUCAUGGGCAUUAAGACAUUUCAAUGAGACCAACCGUCCCUAAAACAAGUGGCAAAGGACAUGAUGGUUGGUACCCGAAAUCCAUGUUCGAAUCCUAAUUGAUUCACAUUUCCAGCUAAGUUUAUUUCUAAAUGAAAUAAACGAAACGGGUAGCAUGCUACCUUUCUCUCUCGAAAAAAAAAAAAAAAAAGACAUUUCAAUGAGCAAAAAUCACAAUCCUAGAUUCCAAUUACACAAAAAUCUUGACACCAAAUAAAUUGUUUGAUAUCUUAUUUCCACAUUCAAACAUAACCUAGCUUACAGUAGUUAGUUGCUGAAUAAAGAGAAUAAUGUAGGGAUUGAGGUUGGUAUCUCCACUUGUGCAUGCACGCCUAAAGAGUACACGAUUAGAGAUUUGUGUUUUUAUUUAUAUACUUUUCUUACAUUUGGAUUUUGAGACUUUUUGUUAUAUUUGUAUCAGUGCAAUCUGUAGAUUUGAAUUAAAUGAAAAAAAACAUUAGCAUCAAGAUAUGGACUUAUAUUAAAUUAGAGGAAGUUCAAGAAAAUCAAGAGCUUAAUAAUGGAAUUCAAACUAGGAUUUCGUGCUUUUAUUUCAUUUGAAAUAACCAAAUUUUCAAAAGUUAUUAGAAAAUAAUAUUUGUAUUAUUUUAUAUUCAAUAGGUUUCUGGAGUAAGAGGCCUACAAGCAUCUUCAAAAAAAAAAAAAAAAAUGCAAUUUGAAUUUCUGUAAGAAUUUUUCUUAUAGUUAGUUCCAUUAAAGUUUCAAGCCUAUAUCAGAUUUUAGUCUAUAAAUGUUCAUGAAUUUUGUAUUGUAUUCAGAUUGACAUUAAUUUGUCAUGCCCUGGGCUCACAUAGGAAGCCCUUGGGCGCAUGAAUGGAUCCGCUGUGUGUGCGAGGAUGCACUCUGCAUGCAUGAGGCGUACAAAAUAAAAUUUGUAGCAAACAAAAGUUUUAGAAGUCUAUAACUAAAACAAAUCUAGCUAGUCUAGUUGGUGGUCUUUCUCUUUCACUCUCGAAUUUGGGUAGAAGUCACUAUGAUAUACUAUGUGAUACCCUUACCUUGAUCAGACACCGGCACUAAGGGUUCUGAAAAGUAAAUCACAAGAGGGCGUGGGAACUACUAACAGUAGUCCCCCAAGUGGGUAAAGUCGACGACAAUGACGACCUAUCAACUAGAUCUGCUAGAGGCAAUAAUAGUAAACACAUUGAGAGAAUAAUAGAGCAUAACACUUAGCUAGAAAGAAAUAUACUAUCAUGCCUCUAAACUAACAAAUGGAAGCAAUGCAUCAUAUAUCAUGCAUCAACUAUCAUAUUAGAUGAAUAUAUGAAGUAUAUAUAUAACGUAAUCGUACUAACCGACUCAUAGGUCGAGUCAAGCCUGCGCCCGCCUUAUCUUCGGUACCACAUUGACUUAUGGUUCGCUAACAUGCAGUCUAUCGAGCGUAUUUAUAACAACUGCAAGCCUUUGGAGAGGCACUUGAGGGGCGUGACUCCACCGAGUAUUAUAAUAUCUCUGUCAAGUUUACUAUGGCUCAUGUAGGCUAUAGUCAAUCAAAUGAUCAAAAAGAUCACUCUAUACAUUGUUUUCAUGCACAAUCACAUACAUUUCACUGUCCAAUACCUGUCCAGUACCGUCGUACUAUCCUGCGGCAUCUGUCACAUGUCUCACAGCAUAUACAAUGCAAAUAUCACAAUAUAGGCACAAAUCCUCUAACAAUGGAAAACAUGAAGCAUGAGCAUAAAUCAUUAAGUAGAAUAUCAUCCCUCCAAUAGCACUUAUUCUUUUUUUUUUUUCUUUUUUUUUUUUUUUUCUGAUACCACUUGUUAUUUUUUUUUAUUUUUUUUUAUAAUAUUUUUGGUGGAUUCUUAUCGCUAUGAUUUUUCUUUCGUUUCGACCGCUUUUUUUUUUUCGUAUAAGACCUUCUGUGUAAUUUUUUUCUUAUCCUCCUUCAUCUUUCUAAAUUAAUUUUUUUGAUGAUAACAAAGACGGAGAAGAAAAGGUUAUCUCAAUAUUAUUUUAAAUGUUUCUNAAUAAGCAUUAAAAGAAUCCUUCAAUUAAAGUGAAAGAAACAUUUAAAAUAAUAUUGAGAUAACCUUUUCUUAUCCUCCUUCAUCUUUCUAAAUUAAUUUUUUUGAUGAUAACAAAGACGGAGAAGAAAAGGUUAUCUCAAUAUUAUUUUAAAUGUUUCUUUCACUUUAAUUGAAGGAUUCUUUUAAUGCUUAUUUUGAGGGGAAGUUUAUCUAUUUUUUAUUACCUUUUCAAAUUAUUUGUCAUCAUCAAAAAUGGGGAGAUUGUUAGAUUUUUUCCAAUAAUAAUUUUGAUGAUAACAAACAAAUUUUGGAUUUAAUUUGUUGUUUUAGCAAUUUCAGGCUGUAGUUGAAUUUAAAGUGGCUCAAACCGAAUCGGAAUUGACUAAGUUUUUUACAACAGUGAACUACUAUUUUGAAUUUAACAGAUUUGGACUUAAUUUUUAAUAAAUGGAUCAAAAUCAAUAAUUUUUAAUCGUUGAUGUAUGCUGUUUGCAAGUUUAACGGUGUAAAAGUAUUCAAAUCGGAUAAAAAUUUGAUAGAAAAUUCUUUAUACUAUCUACAACAAGGUCAAUAUCUCUGAUAAAAAAUUUUAGUGUUAUAUCAUCACUUUUUAUGAGAUUUUUAUUUUCAACUGUUAAUUUUGAACCCUUUCGAUCGCUAGGUAAAUGAUAUCGAAAAAUCGCAAAAUUUAUUUUCUAAAUACUUCAAAUAUGCUAGAUCAAGUCUAACGGAGUCGAUCGUCGAUUCGAAAGCUCUAUCAUCGAAAACGGUUUGGGAGUACUGAGGCCUCGUGCUCCUAAUAGCACACAAGACCUACUCAUAAAUUAUAUAUACAUAUGUUGUGGUUUUUAAUGGAGAUGGAGAGAGGAUGGAAUUGUCGCGAAUACGCGACCAAAUUAGGUGAAACAAAAUCGUGAUUUGCAUGGUUUGGCAGUGUCGGAAGCGCUGGCGCAGUCUAUUUGCAAAUCUGACAGACAGAUCUCAUGUAAUCGCGCGAUUACCGAGAAAGGGUCGAAAUAAAAAAAUCAGAGAUUUUGCGAAACCCUCUAUAUUUUAUGUACCAAAUCGCACAUGGAAGUGCAUACGCGUGUUUUACAUGCGUUGUGGAGGGCCGGACUGAAAUUUUACUUAUUUGAGAGAGCUUUUUGUAAUUAUACCAUUUGUUUAUAUAGGUGAUAUCUAGGGUUUUCUUCAUUUGAAACCUUAACCUUAGCCUUAUAUCCCUCAGCUCGAGCCCCAGCCGCCUCCUCUCUCACCCUUCCGUGCGCUGCGCACUCCCCGACCGCCGCCACUGCCACCAACAUUUUCCCUUCCACCAUCACCUUCUCAACCCCUCCUCUCAUUCUCUGCCGAGGACAUGUUAGGAAGCAACCUCCACUUCUGAGGCUCCCCACCAGCAACACCCCGGACCUCCGGCGAGCCUCCCCCGCUGGCUACAACCGCCCUCGAGCCCCGCCGCCUUGGCUGUUGCAAGCUUGCUGCAAUCCUUGGCAGGUGCGACUGCACCGAGCUACACCGCCUCCACUGACGCCAUCAGCCACCUUCUCUCCUCCCUCUCGGUCCCUAAGGAGUCCCACGACCCUCCCCCGAUGACCUCAACUAUUGCCAUGGCCGGAGAAGGGAGUUGUACCCUAGUCCUAACUCGUGCGGGCUUGGGUUGUCCCCACGCCACCGUCGCCGCCUCCCGCCGUUGGCUAUCGCGAGCGCCGACCUUCUCCCAUCGGCCGCAACCUCUUGCCAUCUGCGCACCCGCCGCCAAUCUGCCGCCGACCGGGCUUGGCCCACUUUGGCCUAGCAAGCCCGAUUAGGGCUUUUUGGGUUAUUUUCACUAUUCCGGCGACCCGGGCUAAUCCGACACCUCCGGAGGUGAGCACGAUGACCCUUGGACUAUGCUGUUCACAGUGCUCACCUGUUUUGUUGUAAACGAAGCCUGGAUCAUCGAUUACGGCCUUGUCGCUCCCGUUGCGCACUCCCUAUAGAACUUUGGCUUGCUGCCGCGCACUCCAUAGUGGGUGGCAGUGCUCCGGACAGCAAGCAUGGCCUUCACCUUGAUGAGAUCUGUCAACGCAUGCCUCGGCUGACCUCCAAAGUGCUCGGAUCGAGGUAACAGCUUCAAUCUUCUCAAAAUUGCAUAUAUUAUAGUGAUUAUUGAGAUUGUUAGGGGCUUUUGUGCAAUUGUUGCACUACGUACUACUGUAGACAAUAUGUAUUCACUGCUUGCGACCUCUGGACUGAUUGUCCAAGGUCUGGAAUUUUCUGCGAAAGCCGAAUUACAAUUUCAAAGCGUCUUUCUGGCGAAACUCAUCGGCGGAAUGCAGUUUCGGUUCAGAUUCCAUCCGACACAAUUGGAAUGCCUAGGGUUUAAGCUAUGUUGGCUGGCCACCUGCGUCAUCUCAAGUGUCAGGAGAUGACGAGUGAGCGGCGGGGGGUUCUGGUGUAGAAUUUGACACUUUCGGGAAUCCGGAUCGGAAUGAUUAUCCAACGAUAAUCGUUUCGAUGUGAGAUCUUAUGUUAGCUACCGGGACACCUAAAUCGGUGUGUCUCAAGUCAACGGGUGACUCAUGGCAUGAGUCUGUGUGUUUCAAGACACUUCGUGGUCCCGACAGCGUCCCAGUGUGAUUCCGGGACUUUUGGCGAGUUAAGGGGAUCGGUCUUGGGAAACCGAUUCCAUGGUAAAUUUUGGGGGAUUAUGAGUGUUGUGUUUGAGUUAGUAGGAUUAAGACAUUUACUUUGUGGACACUUUGUAGGUCUGGUUGAUUGUCUUGCACAUAUUAGGGGUAGACACGACAGAGAUACAUGUGGGUACUUCGAUCGGAAGUCGAUCUACUGGUGCAUGCUCGAUGAUGUUCCUUUUACUUUCUCUUUCUAUAUUUCUUGUAUUACUUGUAAUUGUUGAGCCUGACACCAUACAACCAUUUUGCAUGUUGCUCUACUUAGUUAUUUUUAUAUUCGCUUGUUAUGAUCUAGAAGUAGAGCGGUUGUUUACUAUAUUCGUGGAUUUGUGACAUCCGUGUGACCUAGUUGGUCGGUUCUAUGACCCUCGUUGUUCCUAUUCGAUCAGUAUACCCUAAGGGGUUUGAUUGUUGGCUACUUGUCGACGGCUACUGAUCAUAUUUGUAUCGAUCGCUAUUACUCGUACGCAUUUUAUGUACACCAGCGGUUUAGCCACUACAACGAUAAUCUUUUCCAAAAAAGUGGUCGGGCUUUGACCAAUGAGCUCAGGAGCUUAUGCUAGGAUUAUAUGCUAUUUAGAGGAGCAUGUCACUUGCCUGAGGUCUUUAGACCGACAUGGCAAAUCUUGAUUGGGUACUUUGGGACUAUUUUUUGGUUGAUACAUUUUACUCACAGUAGCAGUAGUUAUACAUGUACCUUACUUCAUCUUUUACUUAGCUACUAUAUUGCCUUUUAUAACUAUUCUUUCGGUUACCAAUGAGUACACUCGCCCUCGUCAGCUUGCGGUACCCACUGGGAGACCCUUAUUGGUUUCUCACCCCCCCUGUUUCAGGUGAUCUCGAAGGCACGAAUCGGGACAAGGCGUGAGGACAUAGCUAACGGGCGAUAGAGGUAUCGACCUGGUGGCAUUUCGGUUCUAAAUUUCACCCCCAUUUUCUAUUGAUAAAUAAUUUAGACUUCAUGUGGUUUAGUUUAGCUUUAUUUGGUCUUGUUCUGGUUUUACUUUGCUUAUGGCAUGGUUAGAAAUAAUAAAUAAAGCUAUUUUGUAAACGCUAUGUAGAUUUAUGAAAAUGGUUUCUUCCCCUCGUGAUAACUCGUUUUCAAAGAAAAUAAAAGGUUUUCAUGUGAAAAAUAGUUUUUAAAAGAUUUUUUGGCUUUUCGUGAUAUUUAGUAUUUCAAAAAAUGAGUUUUCGGGUGGGAAACACUUUCAACUUAUAGUUGUCGGAUGUGGUGAAUAUUGUGAACGUACUGUUGUGAUUGGUUGUGGUUGUGACUUUUACUAUAUGCGACGCUGUGUAAAUACAGGGAGACUUUGUCCAUGUGAACAGUGAAUUAUUUGUAUUUGUGGCGGGUCUGUCAUCUCUUAGGUCAAGGUUUCAAAAAAAAAUAUCUGCGUAUUUUUCGCUGAGUCAUUGGUUUUUAAAUUAGCCUCCUUUUGAAAUUGCUUUAUAAAAGGGACCCUGGGGCAUGACAGUUGCUGCUAUCAAAAUAUCUAAGAAUCAGAAAAAAGGAAGAAGAAGAUGAAGGUUGAACUAUUAAAAUAAAAUUAUACUUUUUUACAAGAAAAUUGCACUAUUUGAUAUGAAUGUUGCACUUUUGAGAUGAAAAUUACACUCUUUAAAAUAAAAAUUGCACUCUUUCAACAAAAAUUAUACUGUUUCAGACAAAAUUACACUUUACCUCCCAUGGUGACUAUCCUCACUAAUGCGAGUCUCCUUACCCCGCGCGCCGCAUCGAAGCGCCGAAACACGGAAACGACAUACCACCCCCGCACGCGGCUCGCCUUACUCCCACGCGGCGGCACCACCACCACCACCACCACCGCCGGCACUGUAGCCGGCGCCAUGUUCAACAAGAUCGUUAAGUGCGGCCGCAAUGUGCCCAAAUCUGAGUCCUCUUCCCUUGAUCCCUUCUUUAAGUGCGGCCGCAACCCUCCCCCUUCCCCUCUCUUGUCUUUAUCAACUACGUCUCCUGCUUCGCCGCUGCCGCCUCGCAGCACCUGUGCUCUACCCGGGCUCCUCCUCCACCGCCACCAUUAUGUAUCAUGUCCGCCACCUCCACCGCUUCCGCUGCUACACUAGGGGAAUCAAGUGGCUGGCCACGGUGCCCACCAAGCGUUCGAGAUCGAGCCCGUCCCCUCCCCAGCGACUUUUCCCGUGCCGAAUUGCCCCGCACUUUUCCUACGCAAGCUCCGGAUUUGCUCCUUACUAUUCAACUUCUCUAACCUGCUGUAGUCCAUUGCCGCAUGGGAAUAGAGCGAGCAUCGCGUGGGGGAGGUAGGUCGUCUCCGGGUUUCGAUGCUCCGAUGCGGUCGCACAGGGUGGAGAGGCUCACGUUGGUGAGGAUGGUAGCCAUAAAUAGUAGAGUGCAAUUUUUUCUAAAACAGAGUGCAACUUUUAUUCAAAAAGUGUAAUUUUUAUCUCAAAGAAUGCAAUGUUCAUCUUAAACAGUGCAAUUUUCUUGUAAAAUAGUACGUGCAAUUUUAUUUUAACUGUGCAAUCUUCAUCUUCUUCUUUAUUUUUAUCUAAUUCUUAGACUUUUUGAUGGCAGCAACAAUAUAUAAUGAUCUUUCAAAGAGAAUUUUUUUUUAAAAUUUUUUUACUUUUUAUUCUUAUUUUUUUCUACUCUCUACAUUUUUGUUUGCUUCUUGGAUAUGGGCGCAUCUUCUUUCCUCACCCUCAGGGAUGGUGGGCACCUCCUUGGCAACAACCUCAUCGCCUCUGUCCACUCCACUACUCUCACCCGGGCCUGCUCCAAGUUCUCAUUCUCCUUCUUCGGCAUCGAUGAAGGCGGAGGCACAGGUAGAAAUGGAGGAAGAGGAGGCGGUGGUGCCCUCUUUACCGUUGCCGAGGGUCGUUGGCUUCGACAGAGAAGGAGAUGGAGGAAGAGAAGGUGGCGCCGCCCUGUUUACCGUCGCCGAGGGCCACGGUGGCAGUAAAGGAGGCAACAGGGGUCGGAGAGAAAAAAAAACAAAGAAUGAAGGUAAAAAAAGAGAAAAAAAGGAAUAAGACUAUUUUGAUUAGUUUGUUGAAAUACGGUUCGAAAAAUAAUGACCUAUUUUUACAAAAUCGCAAAACUAGUGUAUUUUUUAUACAAAUUGGCUGAAAAUGAAAGUGGUGUGGUGAAAAGUUGUGGAAAGGGUUAAAGUAAUUAAUGCGCACUCGCUGAUUAUUUUUAGAGCAAAAAUAUAAAGCAGAGGGCCGGUAAUUUUGUUGACCACCCCCCUGCCGAGAUCACAAAGAUUCUGAUUUCCCAAAUAUCUGCUUCAAAAACUUUCCUUUUUUUAAAAAAAAAACUAUAUUUUGGACUUUGAUAAUAAAAACUAUAUUCAAACCCAUACACAAUUUAAUUUGCAUUUGGAUUAAAAAUAUUCGGAUUCAGUCGAAUAUGGAUGUGAAUUUUGUUUAGCGAGUAAAAAAAAAAAAGAGGAAAUGAAUAUGGACAUUCGGAUUUUUUAAUAGUAUUACAUAUUUACAUUUAUGUUAAUAUAUAUAUAUAUAUAUAUAUAUAUAUAUAUAUAUAUAUAUAUAUAUAUAUAAGUUAAUUUUUUUAGUUCUUGAUCUAUUUUAUUAUGAUUUUUAUAUUAAAAUUGUAUUUAUAUUGUUUUAAUCUUAGAUUUUAUUCAAUAAAAUAUAAGUACAUAAAAAUAUAAAGAUAAGUUUGAAACUUUAAGUUAUAUUGUUGUUAAUUCUAGUUCAUAUUCCUAUACGUAUAUUAGUACAUAUUAUUAUUAAAAUAAUAUUUGUAUUUCAAUCCAAUUCACAUGAAAUAAUAUGUUAUUAUUUUAAUCUGAUUCAUAUCCGAAUUCGAAGAAAUAUCUCACUAUAUCUAAAUUUAUUUUUAACGAACAUGGUGAUAAAAGUUUAACAUUCAAUAAAAAUGCAAAUCCAAAUUCAUAUCUGAAAAAUAUAUGAUUACAAAUAUAAUUUUGUUCAAUGUCUCACUAUAUCUAAUGUGUUUUCACCCCUACAGUUCAGGCCUAAUUCACCAGUAACGGCCACGCGUUGUAAUAGGCCAAGCUAUACAGAUGCCCAUCUAUAAUUUAUUAGUGCAUUUUCCCUGUUUAAUCAAAAAAAAAAUUAAUAGUGCAUUUAACAAAUAAUAUGAACGUCACCUCAUCUAUUGUGGACUCGCGACAAAACUAAAGAUCACUGGUGGGUACGUGUACGUAUCCUAAUUAUUGGACAAAAAUUAUAGGGGGAAUGGCCCCAAACAAGUUUGUGCGGGCCACUCCCGGAUGGACGCCGGGUGGCAUCCGAGGCACGCGGGCCCAUCGCCCCUGUUGCUGUCCCAUACAGGGGAGCAGUCGGAAUUUUUUUGGUGCACCCGGUGUACUACUUUUGUUUUAAAGUUUUAUUUAUUACUUUUUAAUUAGGCCAAUUUGCAUAAAAAAUUUAUUUAUUUUGGGCUUUUGCAAAAUCGGGCCACAUUUUUUAUUUUUGCAGAUUCGGUCCACUUUUUCGUCCGCCGGAUCAAAAUGCCCCUCGUAUACAAAAGCCGCAUGUGUAUUUCUUGACAUAUAUAUACUGCCCUGCCCUACGGUCUGGCGCGCAUUAAAUGCACUGCUUCCGCCUUACGCAACCUCGCUCAUUUCUCGGAACCCGGACCACAUUCGCCCCUUUAUUCGCCGGCCCCGCUGUUUGCUGUUCGGCUUUAAGACUUUAAUACAAUUUCUCAAGAUAAAUAACAAAAACUGCAUUCCCCGCAACAGGGAUAAUAGUGCAACCGCCCUUCUAACAGUGCAUCUCUAGGCUCGCUCCAGUGCAACCUCGCCAUAACCAGUCAAAAUUUUACUUUCUCUAUUUCUUAAUAUAAUCUGAACUUAAAAGUGCAAAUGAACGACGUCCCCUCCAAAUGCAGGCGAAGCGUCGGCGGCGCAGGACGGUCGGCUGCGGGGUAGGACGGUCGGCGAUAUGCCACAUAAGAGUCGGCGUGCCGGAAAGCUCGGCGGCGGGGGUGGACGGUCGCCGGCGGGGUCCGGAGUUCGAGAGGCGCGACAUAACGGCUAACGAUUGUGUAAAGUUUUCUCAUAAAAGAUCACGCGUUCUUUUAACUGUAUAAUAAGUGAAAGGCAGUGUGAAUAACAGAACAAUAUUUUACAAAAGAGUGCAACGAAGCUUAUAAGAGUGCAAUACGGAGUUAAUAACAGUGCAACGGAUUUAAAAAUGAGUGCAACGAAACUUGUAAGAGUGCAAUACGGUAGUAAUACCAGUACAAUGGUUUGAAAAAGACUCGUACUAAGCUUGUAAGGGUGCGUUCGAGAGGUGGAUAUAAUAAUAGUGCACCUUUAAAUGCCGAUAAUAGUUAGACAUUUCUUUAAAAUGGUUUAAACGCCGAUAAUAGCCAGUGCAAUGGUUUAAAAACGCCUGAUUUAUUAAAGAAGAUAAUAGUCAGACAUCUCUUUAAAAAUCAUACUUCCUAAAUGGUGUAAUAAAUCGCGUUCAACGUUGUAAACUUAAUUGUGUGGUAGUUCACCAAUUAGUGUAAUAAAUUGACUAAAUGGUGCAACGAGUCUCUAACCAUUGCAAGAAAAAUCGUUGGUGUAAGAAUGUAAAGAUAUAAAGAAAGGGAUCUCUUUCUUAAUAUACAAGCAAAUUAUACAUUGUCUUUGACGAAAAUGCAACAUAUAAUAUACAUUUUGCAUACAAUAUGAUGUUCAGAACAUCAACUGUAAUAUUCGCAUCAACAUUAAUAUUGAACAAAAGUAGGCUUUCAUUUUACAGUAAGUAUAGAAUCAUCAUUAAAGCUAGUUGGCAAAUCCACGCGCACAGAGCAGAUGCUACUGUUCCUCUAACGGAAUAUGAAAUGGUGAAGAGAAGAAGGCUCGCUCGGAGGGGUAUGUCGAGUACUUUAUUUGCACUAGGGACUUUAGCAUUGACGUUUCGGCACUACAUUGUUCGUAAAGAGACAGUAUAGUCAGAAAAAAAAUUAGAACCGAUCGAUAAGAAUAAAGAUCUAGAAGAAUUUAAGAACCUGGUAUGGAGGUGGUGCCUCGUCGCAAAUAAAGCACAGUAUUUCAGAUAGUGCGAAUCAAUCUUAACGCCUCCUUGCUGGAUGGUACACUUACGAUCGAGCCUCCUCGUUGUCGACCUCUCCUACGGCUCUCUCCCCUCGUCUCGUGUACCUCCAUUAUCGCCGGUUGCCCAAGUCCAUAGAGAGUCCUUUUUAUAUAUUAUAAUAUAGGUUGCGUAACCAUUUAGGUCACCGACUAUUAAUGCUCGCGAAAUAUUAGUUUUCCUCGUGAACAGAAAGUGGCUAAUGCUCACCUCAAGGGCCGUAUUACUGUAACAUCACUUAAAAAAUAUCAAUUCCUUUAUUCAAUCGUAUAAUAAUAGUGCAACGAUAGACCCUAAUAAUAGUGUAACGCCAAGUAACAGAAUGCAAUAUAGCUUCUAAAAGUGCAAUACUGGCGCGAUAUUAGAGUAACAUUCGUCAUAACAGUGCAACGCCUUUACGGGGAAUGAAACUGAAGAAGUCAUAUUUAAACAAAAUAAAAAUAAAAAUACGUUUGAAUAGUGCUUUUACUUUUGCCGAGGCAGCUUCGAUAUACCCGCCGGUGUCUCUUCGCCUCACAGAAGGGACGCUAUAACGCUAUGUGCUUUUAUCAGCAUUAAAUGCGCCCUGCGCAGGGAGCGUAUAUCAUCCACGCUAUUCGCCAGACCGUGUGUUUGCUGUUUGCUGAAUCCAUAGCACUAUUAUGAUGACAUCGUUGCACCCUUAUGAACUUAGUUCUACUAUUUUAUCCUACGUUGCACUAUUAACGGUAGAGAGCCGAAGCAGCGUUCGAGGAGUAGGCGGCUCGCUCGGAAGGGUAUUAUCCAGCAAUGAGGCAUUAAGAUUGAUUCGUACUAUCUGGAGUGCUUUAUUUGCCACGAGCCCAUUGGCCCUCCUCUCAUACGGGUUCUUAAAUUCUUGCAUAUCUUUAAUGUUAUUGAUGGAUUCUUAUGUUUUGCUGAUUGAACUGUCUGUUUCAUGGUAGAGCAAAGCUCCAAAGGGCUCGAGGCAUAUAAAGCACUCCAGAUAGUGCAAAUCAAUCUUAACGCCUCGUUGCUGGAUCUACCCUUCCGAACGAGCCUCCUCAUCCUCGCAGUCUCCUUCGGCAGUCUCCUCCUCCUCGCAGUCUCCUUCGGCAGUCUCCCCUGGCCUAUACCUGUUAGCGUCGGCUAUAUGCGCGUGGAAUUGCAGAGAAACUUCGAUGAUUACAUACUUUUCUUAAUUAAUUAUUAUGAAGAGAUUGUUAUAGUUGAUGUAAUAGAAUGUUACAUUGUAUGCAAUUCCUGUUUGUAUUUUGCAAAGUACUAUAAAAUCGUGUACUCGGCUUUAAAGAUAAUGAAAUUCUUGUUCACAUGUUAAUCGACUCCUCACGAAUUUGUUACACUAUUUACCAGUUACAAUAUUUAACAAACAAUGUUGCACUGUUUACAUCAUAAUAUAAUAUAAAUUUCGGACAUUUUUGCACUAUUAUGUUCAUGUUAUCACCAAUUCUGUGAAAAAUUUGUGCUACAUAUCGUACUGUUGCACGCUUUACCGAAAAAUCUUGAACUAUUUUGAUUUUAGUUACACCACUUAAAUACUUCGUUAACUAUAAAUUUUAUUUCACCCCUCGUAUAACAAAGCCGCCCGCGCUGGCGCUCAUUAAAUGCGCCGCGUCCACUUUACGCAACCUCUCCUCCCUUGCUCAUUACUCAGAACUCGGACCAUGCUGUACUGUCCGGCGCUCAUUAAAUGCGCCGCUUCCGCUUUACGCAAUCUCGCUCAUUACUUGGGAAACGGACCACAUCCCCCCCGCUAUUCGCUGUACCCGCUAUUUGCUGUUCGGCUUUAAGACUUUAAGAUAUUUUCUGAAGCUAAAUGACAUUAAGUGCACGCACGCAACUGGGAUAAUAAUGAACAGAAAGGAGCUAUGACAGGAGAAAUGGUGCAACCGCCCUUCUAACAGUGCAUCCGUAAACUCGUUCCAGUGCAACCUCUCCAUAACCUACUUAUUUUAUUUUUUAAUGUAAUCUUAAGCUAUUGUGCAAAUGAAAGGAUAUGGGGGUCGUCGAAUAGCGGGGCAGAGUAGAAGGAGGCUCCACCACCUCUUUAUCCGCCGCUGCGCUACCUCUAGCCGCCGCCGCCGCAGUGUCGAAUUCGCCUCUAUGCGCAGGGAUAUUAGUGCAACGGGAAGGUUCUACUGCAGUAUAAAUGGUGGAAUGACCGCUAUAACAGUGCAUCCGUAGUCUCGUUCCAGUGCAACCUCACUUAACAGUCAAAAUUUUGAGAUCCUCGUUACACUAUUUUUUAAAUAUGUUGAACUGUUAUCCUCUAUUUUGUACUAUUAUAAAAAUUUACUUAAUCAAAUUAUCUAUAUGUACAUUAUUAAUAUUAGCCUUGAACUAUUACAAUAAGACGUAUUGAUUUUUCGAUGUUUCCUGCGGUGCGCCCGCGGAUGUCGUCGCGCGCAGCUGGUUUGCUCUAGUCACAGGAGGGUUCUUGCAUGACCUUUUGUUGUGCCCCCAUCUCUAGCAAUUCCGGCACCGCUUCUUUAUUAAGCCGUUAGCAAUAGACUCUCGCCGCGAAACCUUUCUUCUGCCCGGUUGUAUGCGGACGUUUGGCGGCCGUGGCAGAACAACGUUACUUAGUAUUGCAGGCCAUUGCUCUUUGCCUCUGGUGGGGGGGACGCAAUCGUUGUAGGUUGCGCGAUAAGUCGAGGUCUUAAACCAGUCCUCGACAAAAUCAUACGGAUCCCGUAGCCUAAAUGAAAUUGCUGCCAUAGCGUGAUUACAUGGAAUGCCGUCAAUGUCCCAUCGCUUGCAGGAACAUGUCUUUUUGGAAAGAUCCACAACAUCUGUAUGGUCGGCUGCAAUUACCUGAAAAAAACAAGCCAAUCCAAAGGGUGGGACAGAUAGUGUAAUGACUAUAUGUAACCGAUUGAUAAGUAGUGUAAUAUACUGAUUAAAUGGGACAAAAUAAACGAUAAUACCUGAAAGAGGACAUCGAUCGAAGGAUUCAGCAUGUAAAAGCGGGACGCUUCCCUCGAGCUCCCUAAAAUCUUUUCUGCAUAGGGUGUUACUACACUGGUAAUAUUCUCGCCAUUAUUUUUCCUCUGGUAAAAAUAACAAGCUGUUUUCUUUCGUGUUUCCUCGACGAGGUAGGUAAUUGGAAGGCCUUUUAAAUGACGAAUUACACUGUUUAUCGUUUCGGCACAGUUGGAAGUGAGUAUUGAAUAACGCCUUCGCAGGAAGCAAUGGGUAGCCCACCUAUGCCGAGGAAGGUUGACUACAUACUUGUAAUGUUCGGGGUUCAACUCCUUAAUCUUCUCCAUGUGUUCGUUGAACUCCGCGACAGUAUAUGCGCGCGCAGCCGCCCAAAAUCUUCUUCACGCAGGUGUAUUCUUUGGCGCGUGCGGGAGAUUGGUAGAUAGAUGAUAAAUGCAAUAACCAUGAGCUGCAUCCGGAUAAACAUCAGAUACAGUAUCAAUCAAUCCCUUUUGGCGGUAAUGAUAGUAAGUAUACUGUUUGCUCUGCUGGAGUCGCGAUCACCGACGACGCCAUCCCGUAACUGUUCCAGAAACUAGUGCCAGGAAUAGCAAUUUUCACCUUCAACAACUGCCCACGCCAAUGGCAAUAUGCAGUUAUUCCCAUCAAUACAUGACGCCGCCAUCAGACAACCUCUAAACUUACCAGUUAGGAAGGUUCCUGGAAGAAUAAGAAACCGUGUAUAUUAUUGUGUAAUCGUACAAAUAAUUGUGUUACAUUCAUGAAUUUAUUAUAUAAUAGUGCAACAUAGUAAAAUAAUGAUGUGACAGUGGCGUAAUAGUGCAAUAACGUACUAUCCAGACCAAUCAGCGGCCUGCAGUGCUUCCUGAAUGCUUGAAUCGCUGCACCGAAUGCCCAGAAAAAAUGGUGAAAACGACCCUCGUCCUGGUAAAGUAAUUGGAGACAUGUUUUCGCAUCUCCACUCCUCAACUCUUGGAUGUACCAGGGAAGUAGAGCGAACGAGCUCUCGAAAUCGCCGCGGACCUCUUGAAGGACCAAUUCCCUGGCCCGGUAGGCUUUCCAGUAUAAAAUUUUUACGCCGUGCUGCCGAAGAAUCUCAGUCUGAACCAUCUUCGGCGUGUAUUUCUCGUUUGCUACCACCUGCUCCCUAACAAAUGCUGCUAUAAAAGCAGCAUCGCAAUUCCUGUGGCCCAAUCCCCCUAUUGCCCUGCUACAAGUGUGUUGCGAAUCAAAUUUAUUCACCUACCAUUGAGCAAUUCCUGGUACUUGACGCGUCUUUAUUCUCCAAGGAUAAUCUGAGGCGCGGCAUUGUGCGGUUAUCUUAUGGCCAUUGCAUUUCGUCGGUGCGUACUCAAAACCUCUUUUCAUUGCGUAUACUUUGAGAGCUCGUUUGAAGUCGCCUUGCGUCUUGUAGAGCUGGCCCUCGUGGACAUCGUCCGCAUCUGCGACGUCAACAACUGACUCCAUCGUAGAGCUAUUUACAAUGAGGUCUUCUUCAAGCUCGUCGUGGCCAAAUUGCUGAGCAGUAAGUCCCACUGCAUCGCCUUGCCGCAACGGGAGGACAUCCAUGGCGUUGUAUGUCCGAUGAGGUGCGUCGGGAGAAGUCAAGACGAUACCGUUUCUUUCGUCGGGAUCUGACUCGUCUUUUAGAUCAGCAAUAAUAAAACCGUCGUCACUGUCUGCCGCUUCCGCAUCGUCAAUGAGAAUAGGAUAAGAAGAUCUGCAGCACAAGUGAAAGCAAGGAGUGUAUUGUAAAUAUUAAAUAGUAUAAGAACCCUUAUGUGUAAAGUUCAUACGGUGCAAGAGGUCGAAGUAAUGAUGCAAAAUAUUACGAACCAGUGCAGCAUAAAAAUAAUAUAUAAUGAAAAAAUUAUGUAAUAGUGCAACCGUAUAAUAUAUAUUGCUUAUAAUUGAAUGAGGUAAAAUAUAAUGGUGCAAAAGUGCAUUGAGAGUAGUGCAACCGCUGAAAAUAAAGAGAUCACAAGUGCAAUAAGGCUCGGUAAUUGUGCAAAAGAAAUAAUAGUGUAACUUACGAGCCAACUUUUUCAAAAUUUGUCUGCUGAGGAGUAGAUGCAUCCUCGGAAUGGCUGUUAAUCAAUAGCUCCAGCUAUUCGUCUGUAAGCAAUUCGUCUAUAUCAUCGGGAUCACAAGUAGCAACCUUUCUCUCGACUAAGUUACUCACAGCAUAAAGCUCCAUCAGAUACGCGUUGGUUUUAUAGAGUCUCCGUAUGUUUCUGACAUCGUCAUCAUCAACAAUGUCGAUGAGUUUACUAAGAUUCCCACUAUAGCUAAGUUUAAUUUCGAUCUUGCAGGAUUCCUGUGAAGUAUUCAUAUACUUGCAGAACAUUGCAUGCAGGGAAUUAAAAUUAUCGCCUUGCCUGAUGAAAUUGAGCCAGCUGGAUCCUCCUAUAUAAUUGACAAUGCCUCAUUCCUUCUUAAAACACCCAUUAAAAUUGCAGUACACUGGAAUUUCAGCGUUAUUCAUGACUUGUAAGAGUUGGAUAUAGAAAAUUAGCUAAAAGUUAUCCAAAAACACUCUUUCAUCAAUAUAUAAUAUAAUCUAGUUAAUGUGUAUGAGUUGUUAAGUUGUGCGUGGGGCGGGAAAUAGUACUUCUGUUCCCACCAAAAUUUAUUUCUAAUCCGCCAGAAUUUUUUCCAAAUGACGCAAGCUUUGCACCAUUUUGGACAAGUCGACCGUGCAUAUGCGGUUGUAUUGCACUAAUUUUGACUUCUGUUACACUAUUAUGCUAUCUAUUGCAACAAUAUUUCAAAUUAAAUUUCUAUAUGUUAUUUCGGUAACUGUGCCAUAUUCAACUGUACCUCAACAAGAUAUAUCGACAGUGGCAUCAUUAGAUUUUAUAUUCCCUUCAGUUCUUGAGACAAGUGCUUCUGCACUUCCAAAUAAUAUAAAUAAAAAAAUCAAAAAACUAACAGCAAACACUAGCUCUGGCGAAUAGAAUAUCGUCGCCCUAAAACUGCGUUUCCCGCGCUUGUUGCAUUAAUGACUCUUUAAUGGCUUGCAUUUAAUACUCUUUCAUAAAACGGCGCUGUUGCAUAUAGCGCAUGGGCCUAUAUAAUUACCGGAUUGUAAGAGAAUUUCGCCUCGGAAAGAUAAAGAAACUUUCGAUGUUUUGGAAUGGAAAUGAAAUAGUGUAAUAGCCGUAAACAAAUAACUAAUUUCUAUAAUGAAUUGCACUAUUAUGUCUAUUAUAUUGCACCGUUACAAUCCAAGUCGGAUUCUCUUACCGCACUUAAACAUUCAAUUGCACUAUUAUGUCUAUUACAUUGUACCAUUAGAAUACAAGUGGAUUCGUUUAACCAAUUUUCACUAUUAUGUCUAUUACAUUGCAACGUUACAAUUAUCAUGAAUUCUUUUACACAACUUCUUCAAAAAAUUACACUAUUAUGUCUAUUACAUUGCACCGUUAUAAUACAAGAUAAAUUUUUUUACACCACUUUUAUAAUAAAAUGCACCAUUAUGUACAUUACAUUGCACUGUUACACGGAUGGAGUCAAUAAAAAUAAAUUGACUAUACAAAUUAAAGAUUUGUUAAUCGAAUGAAUAAGGCUCGAAUUAUUGCGAAUAAAAAUGCCGCAAAAAUUCUGCUGCUAUCUCCCCGCUUUCUUCGUUAUAUCUUUCUGGGAGAAGUUCAAGUUCCACCCCUUCUGCAAGUAUUCUUCGUAUGUUAAAAGGAAGAUUGCGCAAUCAUUUGAUUGAUCUUGCAUCGGGAUGUCGUCCCUGUUGAUCAUCUCCAGUCGACUGGACGGGUACCGCGGCGAAGAAACAAAUCGGGAAAUUUAUUUUGCAAAAAAUUAUCUAAGAAAACGUUGGACUAAUUAGAAAGCCUGGUUUUUACUGGAUGAUUUUAUAUAUAUAAAAAGAAAAUACUUACCGCUGUCUCAAACCCAACGUUGUAUUUAGGAUUUUUAAUGGACGAUAGGUGGAUGUACUUUCCGGCUUGGAGAUCGACCGCCAGCAAAUGCCAGUGGUCGGAGUGGAAGAGCGGGAUGAACCAGUACUUUGCCCCAGUAAUCACCUCCUCGUUGAUGUCUUGCAAAAACAUCUCGACGCGGUUCAUUGAUGUUCCUAUUGUUUGAUAAAGGAAGGACGUGGUGUAUAUGCACUUGUGGCCUUCCGCCUGCUCCAGUAAAUGCUGGUAGGAGUCGAUAACAUCGGAGCUGACGAAGGCCAUAUGACUUGUUAGGUCAAUGAAGUCAGUCCUUCCGAUGUCAAUACCCUUCGAAGGCACUGUUACUGGUUCGGUACUGGUACUUGUCAGGAAUUUUUCAAUUCGCUCCUGAUCCUCCUUUGGUAACUCUCCCUUGCCGUAAUACUUUAAAUUUCGGUUAGCUGAAGAUAAUGGCACCUUAAAUUUAAGUUUUUGGGCCUUUUAUUUUUUUGAUGUUUCUUUCAACUCCGGGAUGUCGAUGAUUAUUGGGGGCUGUAUAGCAAUCGAAUAAAGAGUUAAACACUCAAUGCAUUACACCAUUGCUAGACCUUAUUACACUAUUACAAGCUGUUACACUCAAUGAAUUACACCAUUACUGGACCUUAUUACACUAUUAUAAGCUGAAUCGCAUUAAAGAUCGAUAAUAGUGCAAUAUUCACAUACCGGUAUAGUGCUGGGUUCCGGCAUGGAAGACUUCGCAGUGUGGGUAGGCGCCGGGACCACAUCCUCCACCGCCGCCUUCGCCUCCUUUACCGCAUCAUCAGCCGCCGCCUUCGCCUCCUUGACCACGUGCUUUGCCGCCGCCGUCGCCUCCUUCUUUUCUUCAUCCUCCGCCGGAGCUGUCGCCGCCUCCACCUUUUUCUCAGAGCCUGCAUCCUCUGCCGCGGGCACUGUCACUAGUGCAGCCUCCACCUCCUCAUUUUCUUCAUCCUCCGCCGGAGUUGUCCCCACCUCCACCUUUUCCUCAGAGCCUGCAUCCUCCGCCGCCGGCGCUGUCACUGGUGCAGCCUCCACCUCUUCCUUUUCUUCAUCCUCCGCCGGAGCUGUCGGCGCCUCCACCUUUUCCUCAGAGCCUGCAUCUUCCGCCGCCGGCGCUAUCACUAGUGCAGCCUCCACCUCCACCGCCACAACAGCCGACUCCACAAUUUUCUCGGCGGCCGCGUCCUCCGCGGCCUCCUCCUCCCCCUUUUCCUCCGCCGCCGGCACCUCUGGUAGUGAAGAUAACGGUUGGACGUCUUCACAUAUUUCGAUGACGACGUCCAUAAGCUGACAUUUUCAAAAAAUAUUUGACGUCACAUAAACAAAUUCGUUAGGAAUUACACUAUUUAAUUACAACUUACACUAUUACAUACUUCAUCUCUAUGCAAAACCGACUCGCCGGCUAAAAGUCCCGCUAUUCGACUGUCACUUUCUUCGACAUUUUCUUCAUAUAUAUUUAGCGGGCGCGGCGACUGCGGCUUGACGCUCCGUCUCGGUAGGUGGACCUGCAUUCAAAUAAUGUGUUCUAUGUUACACUACUCUAGAAUAUGAUGCACGAUUAUAAUAAAUGUUACACAAUUAUAGAACUAAAAUAUGAUUUUAUUAAUCCAAGUCUUGUAGAGUUACACUGUUAUGGAGAUGCCAUAUUAGAAUCAAUCGUUUGUUGAGAAUGUAAAAUAAUAAGGGCGUCGCAUACGUCGGUGAUUGGGUCGUCGGCUUUAUUCUUUCGUUUCUACUGAGGUCGGAGAUCGUACGGGCUUCGAAAUCGUUUGCCCCUCUCCGGCGUGUGAUUUUUACGAGAGUCCUUAGGAGCCUUUGGCGGACUCUCUAGUUUUUGGCGUGCCCCAUCAUUUCUAGAUUUUGAAGAACUUGCCGACCGUUCUUUCUCGAUUUUGGGAUUCUCCUUAAUAGCCGAGAUCGGUGGGGCAUCGCCAAUACGGACGUUCCUAUCCUUCCUUUUUUAGCUCCCUGUAUCGAUCGCUUAGAUGAUUUAGACGGUGGGGGGCUUGGUAUUUGCACUCCUUCGUGUCUCCUCUUCUUGCUUUUGAUACUUCCAAUAGGUGCCGGGGUGGAUUUUGGUGCUGGUAGGAGUGCCGGAUUGCUAAGUAUGCCGGCAACAGAGGUGGCAAGACUGAACACCGGACUCCAGAUGGCUAAUUGUCGCCAUCACCUCUUUAUAACACCCCGGAGGUUCCUCAUUCCUGGGGCGGCGGUGAAGCCGUGGAACUUGAGCCACGACACCCACCAGGCGUAGUUCCUCCGGGGAGAGGUCGAGCCUGCGGCGGCAUGUAGUGAAGUUAAAACCCUCCUUCACUCUCGAUGAUCCCCGCGAACGACGAGACCAUCUAACCGUAUCCCACCUCUGGACAUGAGAAAAUAUUGCACGACGGGAAGGCAGGGGACAUCUAUAUCCAGUGUGCUCGUAUAUCCACACCUGAAUGCAAAGACAAUAUUACACUAGAGUUCACACAGUUACUAGAUUUAAGCAUACAAUAGAUUAUUUUCGCACGAUUACACUACAAAUAUGUACACGCAUGAACGAUUAAAAGCACAUAAUAAUUAUCUUGCAUGAUUACUUGAACAAUAUACACUUACUGGGAGAAGCGGGGUGCAUCCAAGAACGUAUCCUACCCGCUUCGAAUUAGCUUGCAAUUUGGCCGCGGCGGAGCAUAGGCUGUCAAUUAUAAGCUGGUGUACUGCUUCCGGCCAAUUGUACCGUGUCAGUGCGGGGAGAUCAUCUACAAGCCCCACCAGUCCUUUGGGGCAGAGAUUAUUGGUAUUGGCGAAAAGAAUACAACAAAAAAAAAAUAAAGAAUAAGUAAUUUGACGAAGUCGGUAAUGUCCUCUUCGCCUUGCUUAUUUGACAUCUCCUUCAACACCACCUCCAGGUUCUUGCGAUCGACCUUCUUUCCCUCAAGAAACCGAUUCUGAAUAUCCGACCCUAAAUUGAGGGUUAGGUUUAGAGCCUGGCCCGACAGGGGUAAUCCAAGAAGAACUGCCACCUUCUUGGCCGUGAAGCGUAUAACUUGACGGCCUAUUUCGAAUUCUACACCCUCCUUCCAAUGUCGGAGGAUGAACUCCAGCAUAGACCUAUCUGAGGUGAUGUCGGGGAAGUGUAAGAUAUUACCGAAUACCGUCCUCUGGAUAACGGGGAGAUGAUGUGGCUUCACGACAGACGCGUAAGUCUUCCUGUACGCUCCGACGAAACACCGCGAAUUCACAAUGAAUCUACCGGCGGGGCCGCCGGCAACCGGCCGCGAAGGUGCCUUGUGGCCGCCGGAAGCCGAUGAAUCAGUAGAAUGCGACGACUUCGACGCCAUUGCAAGCUACGUAGAUUUAGAUAGGUCGUUUCUUGACCGAUGGGAUUCGAAGCAGAAGAUGGUAGUCACAAAGAGCAAUGUGGUUGCUAGGAAAAAUGGGGGUUGCAAGGCAGUUUGCUUCGCAGUGAAGGUUUAGAAUAGAGUAAUGGGGAGCGACAGCAGUUUGAAAGUUAGUGGGAUGCUAGUAUGGGCCAACCUAUUCAGGAAACAGCGUAAGAAUCCAUACAAAAUAUGAAACGUAAGCACUACAAACAGAAAACAGCGAGAAACGAACAGCAAAAACCCGCAAUGGCGAAUAGCGUUUCACACGCCAGUCGCAUUAAAUAUUGCGACAGAGUAAGUACAUUGAUGUGAACGUUAUACUCGAGUGGGUGAGCGAAGAUGGCGGUGGCCGGUAAGUGAGGCGAAGGGACACCGGCGGACACAACGAAGUUUCCUCGGGAAAGGUUGCACUGUAUAAAAGGUUCGAGUCGUUGCACCAUUACUUUAAACUAUUGAACGAUUACUACGAUAUUAUUGCACUAAAACGAACAUGGUUGAGCUCGUUUACAACGUGUUGCACUUUUUAAUCGUGUUAAACAGCCAAAGAAUGGCAUAUUGGACAGAAGUAAUAGUGCAAAAUCGGCUAUAAUAGUGUAAUAAUGCUCAACGUGGUGCAACAAAAUAAUGAAUUAUACAGAUGUAUUUUGAUCCACGACGUAACAAUGUAAAGAAAGGGAUAUCUUUAUUAAUAUAGUAUAAAAAUAUUCAUUGACUUUGAUGAUAAUACAAAAUGCGGUAAAAGAGUGCAUGGAAGCUUCCUAAUGUAAAAUUUUGACUGGUUAUCGAGAUGUUCCACUGGAACGAGGCUACGGAUGCACUGUUAGACUGGUUGUUGCACCAUUAUCCUGCCGUAGAACCUUCGCGUUGCACUAUUAUCCCUGGCGCGCGGAGGUGAAGCGACACGGCGGCGGCCGCGAUAAAGAGGUGGUGGAGCCUCCUCCCACUCCGCCCCGGUAUUUUCGACGGCCUCCAUGCCCUUUAAUUUGCACUAUUAGCUUAUGAUUACAUUAUGAAAUAAAAUAAGUAAAAUUUUGAAUGGUUAUGGAGAGGUUACACUGGAAUGAUGCUACGGAUGCACUGUUAGAAGGGCCGUUGCACCAUUUCUCUUGCCGUAAAACCUUCGCCUUGCACUAUUAUCCCUGGCGCGCGGAGGUGAAGUCGACACAGUGGCGGCGGCGAUAAAGAGGUGGUGGAGCCUCCUCCCACUCCGUCCCGGUAUUUUGACGGCCCCCAUGCCCUUUCAUUUGCACUAUUAGCUUAUGAUUACAUUAUGAAAUAAAAUAAGUAAAGAGGUGGUGGAGCCUCCUGCUAUUCCGCACCCAGUGUUUGCUGUUCGGUCUUUUCUCCGACGCCUCCUCUUCCUGAAACUAUUGAACUAUUCUGUCGACCGCAUUGCACCAUUACAAUCACAGUUGUAGUCUUUUACCCUACGUUGCACUGUUAGAAGGGCAGUUACACCAUUUUUCCUGGCGUUGCUUCUUCGCGUUGCACUAUUAUCCCUGUUGCGGGGAGUGCAGUUUUUGUCAUUUAUCUUAAGAAAUUGUAUUAAAGUUUUAAAGCCGAACAGCAAACAGCGGGGCCGGCGAAUAGAGGGGCGGAUGUGGUCCGGAUUCCGAGAAAUGAGAGAGGUUGCGUAAGGCAGAAGCGGCGCAUUUAAUGCGCGGCAUACCGUAGGGCAGGGUAGUAUACGUAUGUUAAGAAAUACGCGGGCGGCUUUUGUAAACGAGGGGCAUUUUGGUCCGGCGGACGAAAAAGCGGACCGAAUCUGCAAAAAUGAAAAAGGUGGCCCGGUUUUGCAAAAGCCCAAAAUAAGUGGAUUUUUUAUGCAAAUUGGCCUUUUAAUUAUAAUUAAAUAAUAUAUAUUAUAAUAUUUUAGAAAUAUAUGUAAAAGAAUUUAGAAUUUAAAAUUUAAAAUUUUUUUACAAUAUAUUUUUUGAAUAUUAUAAAGCAUAUAUCCAUUAUAUUAAAUUAAAAUUAAAAAAUUAAUAUUAAAAUUUUAAAGUAAAAAAUGGUGUACCGGAUGCACAAAAAAACCGACUGCUCUCCUAAGAGGCAGAGCAGCGGGGACGGUGGCCGGUGUGGCUCGGGUGCCACGAGGCGUCCUCCUCAAAUAAUUUUUUUUGGACACAGUGUCCAUAAAAUUUUUACCCAUAAUUAAUAGUCCCUUUUCUUGCUUUACAAAAUUUAAGGGCUUUUGCUGUUGUUGCCAUGUGUCGAGAUUCGUGGAUGAUCCAAAAAAAUUUAACAAGAGCCAUCCAAAAAAAAAUAGUAAAAUAAGUAAUCCAUCUAAUUUUAAAUUUUGAACUUAGAUAUUCUAGUUGCAAGUUUUCGUUGUCCUCUAAUUCCAACCGCUAUAUGCUCCUUACUAUUAUUGAAUUUUUUAAAUUAAUCUCUCAAUACUCAAAAUAUCUUUCUAAAACUCACUCCCAUUAAUAAAUUAUAGAGGAAAAGAGUAUAUUUGAAGGAAAAUUUUGAAGUAGGGCAUUUUGGUCAUAUAAGAAUAUACUUCUUAAAUUUUCAAAGGCAUAUGAGAUAUUAUCCAUUUACAUAGAUGUACCUCAUUUUCUUGUUAAAAAAAUCGAUAUAAAUACAUCAUCUGUAGUUAAAUUAAUAAAUGAUAACCAUUCAAUCAAAGAAGGAUUUAUACUAAUAUGGUAACUAAAUUAGAAGCAAAAUGAAGUUAAAACUAAAUUUGCAUCAUAACUUCCGUUGUUCUUGUUGGAAGCCGAAUUUCCCGACCCUUGACCCGGUCAAAGAUCCUCCUAGGAAAGCGCGUUGGGGUGAGGAACGGCUGCGAAUAGUGACCCUCGAAGUUUGCGCCCUUCGACAGAUCAAGCGAUUCGGCUGAUGAGAGAUCGAGGUAGCCGGGUUCGAAAACUACUACUAUAGAAUCGGUUCGGCUGGAGGAGCCGAAUAUAUGAACUGUGCAGGGAUCAAUGUCGGCAGAAGAGCCGAAUGGAAAAAGUACACAGUAACUGGUCGGCUGAAAGAGCCGAAUAAAUGAAAUACAUAAUGACUGGUCGACUGAAAGAGCCGAAUGCCUUUAUAUAAUAAUAAAAAGAGUGUGCCGGAAGGGCAUAAAGACUUAGAAAUAUAGUUUACAACAGAGUGAUGCCCGUGGGGCAGACAAACUCUGCAAAUGUAGUCUACAACGGAGUGGUGCCCGAGGGGCAGACAGACUCCAGGGUUUUACUUAGCGAACUACUCCUAGGAAAGCAGUAAAUGCGGAAAAGAAAAAGAUUACAUUUAGACUACUCCUAGAAAAGCGAUAAAAUGUAGAGAAAAUAAGGGUGGUCUUCUCAUUCAGGAUGGAGAAAGACCUCUAUUGCAGGCUUUGAAAUUACUAUUUAUAGUAACAUCAACCCACAUUAUUGGUUGGUUGGGGGAGUGGUUGUAACCAUGGUCGUGGAAGUUACGCCCCACUUCUCAUGGAAGUUACAUCCCACUUCACAUGAAAGUUAUGCCCCACUUCACAUGGAAGUUACGCCCCACUUCUCAACCGUUCCCGCCUAAACGCUCUUGGCCUUCAGGCGCCUUAUUUCUGACUCCUGGUGUACCACGUGUCCUUAUUUCUUCGGCUCAUACGUGGCUAGGUCAGUGUGUUCAUUUCAAAUUUGGCAUCAACUUAUCCCUCCUUCUUAAUACAUUUUUGCUUGGAAAAAAAGAAAGGCACGCAUAUUUAUUUUUGCAUUCCAAUUUAUAUUUUGAAAGGUUUGCAUUUAUACAUUUCAAUUUGCAAUAUAUAAGCUCGGAAAAAAAGAAAAGCACGCAUAUUUAUUUUUGCAUUCUAAUUUAUAUUUUGAAAGGUUUGCAUUUAUACAUUGCAGUUUGCAAUAUAUAAGCUUGCAAAUUAUCGAUGAGUGUAUAUUGUGCCCUAGCUACCAAGAGCUUUGAUCCACCACUGUUACUUCUACCUCUAAAGAAAGAAUCAGUUAUGAGAGAUUUCAAUAAAAUAAAUAUUAACAAAAUAACACUUUACCUAAAAUACUACACACUAUAGUGGGAUCAAAUUUGCUUUAGCCCAUCCAACAGUGUUUAAGUUCAAGCCAACAAUGAAACGACUCAAGCAUGCACUCAAUUGCAACAUAUUUGCCGAGAGAGAAAUGGUAUGUCCCAUCCGAAGUUGUAGGUUUUACUAACUCUUUUUUAGUUUUAGUAAAUAGUAAUAAUAAGUAUAGAAAAGUAGCCUUUUGAAUAAAGAGAGUUGUAGGAUUACAAUUCAAAGUGGGUUAGAGAUCUAGCAUCACACUUAAUUGCCAUGAUGCUCAAACACUAGUCUAAGUAUGCUCGCACUCGUCUUUGCCUCAACACCAUGCAUGUUUGGUAUUAUUCUUUUCUAGUUUAACUGCAUAUAAGGUACACAAAAGACAUGCUAUCUUGUAAUUUCUUCUAUUAUGUCUACAACAGACUAUUAUUGGGAAUAGUACAUUUACUCUAGUGAAAUAAAAACAAAAUUAAUAGAAGCGAAAGUUAACAAACUGCAAUGCUUAUAUUCUAACCACUUUAUGAAACUAAAUACUCCAUAUUAUACAUGAACAACAGGACACCACUGUACAGUUACUAGCUAGAUCACAUUAGCCCUCUCUCUUUGUAACCUGAAUUGGCAAGUCCCCUUUCAUCUUCAGGGCUUGUUUGGUUCAUCCAUUUUGGAUAUGGAAUGGGAAUCGGUUUGAUCAAAUCCGGUUAAUUUUGUUUGGUUCGCAUGAAUCGGUUUGGGAUUCUUAUUCCGGACUGGAAUGGGAAUGUCCUAUUAGCCUUCAACUUGAUUCCGGUCUUCUAGUCCGGAUUGAGAUUUCAUUCCGGAAGCCCACUAAGUUCUCGAAACCCAUGUGACCAUCUCACCCUCCUCUUCACCCCUUUCUCAUCAAAAAAAAAAAACCUAUCAUCUCUCAAAACUCUAUCCCUAACCCACAUCAAUAAAAGUUUUUAAAAAUAAAUUUGAUUUUUUUUUUUUAGAAAACUUGUUAGAGAAUAGUAUUAUAUUUUUCAUAAAUUUUAAAUAAUAUAAAUUUAUAUUUGAGAGUAAAAUUAGUAUUAUAGUAUCCUAUAAUUUUUUUAGUUUAUACGAACCAAAUAAUGAAAUGUGAAUAACUCAUUUCAAUUCCCAAUCCACAAAUAAACCAAACGUCUUGGGGGAGUGGGCCAUUCUAAUUACCAUUCCAAUUCAUUCCCAUUCCAUUAUCCAUUCCAAUUCCACCCUUGAACCAAACAAGCCCUCAAUGUUAAUGAAAGUAUGUUCUCAGGGGUGCUCUACUUCCCUACAACACUAAUCAAAAACCUUUCAAAUAUGCAAGCUAUAAUAGACUUCAUCUAUAAAAAGCCCUUUCCUUUUCUAAGCAUAUUCUUGGCCCGGCGUGAAAUGUCGUGUCUCGGAAGUGGGCUCUCUGGCUAGAAACUCCAUUUUCUAGCUACCUCUCCAGCUUUUACUCACUGCAAUACUUCCCACAUAUGUUCUCCAAUAUCCCCAUAGUAUAAGCACGUAUGUCACAAACCAUCCAUUCCCCUCGAACGUUCCCUCUGACAUCAUAUUAUCCUCUUCGCAUGAUAUGUAUCCAUAGGCAUAGGAGGGUAUAAUCUCAUCAACUAUGAUAUUGCAGCAUGCAAGUAAUGCAUCUCUCGCAGCUCAUCGAAGCUGAACAUAUUGCUCGAAUUCGAAUUCAUUGCUUAAACUAUUCUAAUCUCUUCUGAGAUCUUCUUUUCUACAUCGAAUCUCGCAGAUACAAUCCAGAAGAACCAUGUCAGUGUCAACGAAGUUGUCUCAUGGCCUGCAAGGAGGAAGUUUAUUAGGAUAUCGCGUAGGAACCCUUAUGAAAUGUCUUCAUACAAUGCAUCGGCAUGAGAGAUCACUCUUCUGAUCAAAAGGCUACUUCCUUUGUGACCGAAUGAUAUCCAAAGUGUAGUUGUGCAUGAUCGAGAUGGCUUUUCUUAUCCGCCACUCCGAUCCAAUAUUGAGUAGCUUCUUGACAUUCAGCGCAUCCAAGAACUGUCAUCCGACGAGGUAUGAACUUCAACGAAAGCAUGCAUAAAUUCAAAGUUCAUGCUAGUGACGCUUUCUUUGGUGAUGCAAGAAGGGUUGGCAUUGAAGGCCACCUUGCAAAUGUUAUCGAAAAGGGAAAACUUCAAAAACCCCCCUGUGGUUUCGUAGUUUCUCACUUUGCCCCCAUGUGGUUUAAAAUGUAUCAAAUUACCCCCCUGUGGUUUUGUUUUUAUCUUUUCGGUAGCUUUUUCGUUAAUAUUUCAUUAAAUUAUAUACAAAAAACUUCAGAUACCCAUCUAGAUUUAUCAAAUAUUCACUUUAGUACCCUUUAAUUUUAACUUUAUCACUGAUUUAAGAAAAAAAAAAUAAUGAAAUUGAUAAGAAAAAGAGAAAAACGAAACCACAGGGGGGCAAAUUGAUACAUUUUAAACCAUAGGGGGGCAAAGUGAGAAACUACGAAACCGCAGGGGGUUUUUGAAGUUUUCCCUAUCGAAAACAAGGCAUUCGAGAAUGUCUGGUAACUUAACAAUCUCUUCUCUUUCUUCGUCUCUCUUUUGCAAUGGCAUAAAUCUGAGUUGUAUUUCAAACUGCACUACAUCCAUAAUGAAGUUAUGCAGUGAUGUUGCAUUGAAUUCAUGGCUUGCCACCUUUCUCUGCUACUUCCAAUGCUCUCUGUCAGAGUAGAAGACUCUGCAGCCAAGAAAGUUUUCGAGCAAGGCGAAUGUACGUUUGCCUUUUGGGUAGUUUUUGAAGUUAAUUUUCAGCAUGUGCUCAACAUUUGCGGGGUAGGCAGUUGUAAUAGAAUAAAGAAUAUAAAAAGAUAACCUCUGUCCCUUCUUGAAGGUGUCAGUGAUUUAUAUUAUAGUACAUUUUUUUGAGAUUACAAUAGAAUCAAUUUAAAUUUUGUAAACACUAAAGUUGUUAUCAUAACUUGCUAAGAAAAUACAUGAUAGCUAGGAUGACAUGGAGUUGUUACAACAAAUCUUCUCAAUAUGCUCCCGCAAGCUCAACUCAACAGGGAUGACAUUGAGCUUGGAACAAAUAAUGCAGAACUGCACCCUGGAAUAGGUUUUGUGAAUGCAUCAGUAAGCUUAUCUUUGGUAGACAAGGACUUAGAAGCAACAUGUUCACAAACAAAGUGAUAAUCGAUCAAUUACGACAUGCUCUCUCCGGGUGUGAGAAAUAGGAUUUGCCACCAAGUACACCAUAGGCAUGAAGGAGAGGGCACAACGAUUCUUAGUUCAUGCAAUAGCGACUUGAUUUAGAUUAAUUCAGGAGCCACAUUUGCAAAGGCUUUGUAUUCCGCCUCGGUGCUGGAGCGAGCUACCAUGGCUUAUUUCUCUGUAUUCCUAGACACCAAAUUGCAAACAAGGUAGAUAAAAUAUCUGCUAGUAGAGUGUCGAUCGAGAGAGUAUCCAGCCCAAUUGGCAUUGCUGAAAGCAUGAAGUUAACAAUCGGAGGCAUGAUGUAGCAAAAGACUAUGGCUCAAUAUGCCCUUGGGGUAGUGUAAAAUUUGCUUGAUAAGAGGCCAAUACUCUUUGGUGGGAGUGCACAUGAAUUGACAAACAUGAUUAGUAGGCUACAUCUGGUUCUGUUAGGAUGGCAUAUUAAAGAGCGCCAACUAUACUUCAUAAAUGUUUCGGAUCAUUCACAAAAUAAGAAGAAUUGAAAAGAGUCACAUCAAUCGCCAUAGGGAUGGAUAUAGGUUUCGCAUCUUCCAUUUGUGCUCGAUGAAGUAUGUCCAACACAUAUUUGUGUUGAGAGAGAAAGCAUCUGUUGGGAUGGAGGGUAAGCUCAACACCAAUAAAGAAAUAGGCCAGGCCCAUAUUUUGGACAGCAAACUCAGCUAUGAGAGAAUUGAUUAGAGUGUUGAUAUCAAUUGUGCCAGCAAUCGUGUCAGCACGUGUGGUUAGAAUAUCAUCAACAUAAAUGAGAAUGUAGAUAGUUAGGAAAAAUGUGAAUAUCAUCAACGUAAAUGAGAAUAUAAAUAGUUGAGCAAGAUAUGACCUUGUAGAAGAGUGAAGUGUCGAUCUUGGACCCAAUAAUGUUGAGGGUGAUUAGGUAAGUGCUAAGCUGAUAGAAUCAUGCCCGGGGAGCCUAACGAAGACCAUAUAGGGAUCGGCAUAGCUGAUAGAUAUGAUAAGGGCAUUGUGGGUGGACAAACCCAAGCGACUGUUCCGUAAAUGCAAGCUCCUUGAGGUUCCCAUAAAGGAAGGCAUUGGAAAUAUCAAGUUGUCGAACGAGCUAGUUGGAGAAAACGGCAACAUAGUGAAGGAGAUGAACAAUAGUGAUUUUAAUCACCGGGCUAAAAGUCUCGAUGAAGUCCACCCCAUGUUGUUGACAGAGACCUUUGGCAAAAACGUGGGCUUUGUACCGCUUAAUAGACCUGUCGGAAUGUUGUUUGGUUUUAAAGACCCAUUUACAAUAGACUAUAUUUAUGUUCAUCUAUCAUAGAAGAAGCUAUCAAGUACCAGUUAGUUAGAUUAGGGUGUUGAAUUCUACCGCCAUGACCACGUGCCGUGUUGAAUAAUGAACUGCUUGUGAGUAACAAGUGGGUUUAGGAGGCAUUGUGACGAUGAUAGAAAGAGUCUUGGUCAGAGCGUGCACUAUGGAAUGAAGCACACGUGGGCAACGCAUGAUAUAUAUCCUUAGAUUGGGUGACCAUUGGACGACGAGAAGUUGAUGGAGGUGGAGUAUAUGGUGCAAAGGAAGCAGGCGGAUCUGCUGUAGUUGUGGGCAAUGGUUCAUCAAUUCUCGCAGGCCUUGGCUCAAGGGCAUCAGAGUUGUCGGGCGCACCAAGAGUCAAAGUAGGGUUCGAGCAUUACCAGGAUGGAGCUAUUCUUCUAAACAAGGCCCAAUUGUUGAUAGGUCAUCUGAUGACGAGGGAAAACACUAAUAGGGAAAGUAGGAAGCUGAGCACUUGCUUUAUUAGUCUCUUAAGACGGUGUCAGAGAACAAGAAACCUCUUCUACAAAAGACAAUCUAUAUUCAUCAAAGAUAACAUGCCGAACAAUAAAAUACCGGCCAAUGGGAAGAUGCAAGUAGUUAUAUCCCUUAUAAGUAUUGCUAUAGCCUAUUAAAAUAUAGAAAUCAGACCAAAAAUCGAGCUUGUAAUUCGAAUAGGGAUGCUAGUAAGGAAAGCAGGUGUACCCAAAAAUGCAAAGAAAUAUAUAGUCGCGAGAUUAUGCAUACAACUUUUCAUAAGGAAAAAUAUUAUUUAGUAAAGAAGUCGGAAGGUGGUUUAUAAGAUAUGCCAUGGUGAGGAUAGCUUCAGGCUAGAAUAACGAGGGAACAUUCAUAGUGGUCAUAAGAGCGAAAGUUGUCUCAAUUAAGUGACAAUGCUUUAGCUUGAUCUUUCUGUUUUGUUCAAGGGUGCGAUAGCAACAAAACCAAGGUAUCAGGAUAAUGAUCGGUACUCCCCACCCCAAUCAAAAUGAAAGAUUUUAAUUUUUCGAUCGAAAAAAUACUCAACGUGCCUUUGGAACUAUAAAAAGAUAUCAUAAACUUCAGAAUCAAGUUGAAGAGGAAAUACCCAGAUGAAUUUACUAAAAUCAUCCAUAAAACUACCAUAAUAUUGAUUGCCAUCAGUAUAGGUCAUUAGAGAAGGCUCUCACACAUCAGAAAAUAUAACGUCAAAAGGGUGAGAAUCUAAAGAAUGAUUUUUAUUAUGAUGCAGGCGAUGAGAUUUCACUUAUUGACAUGUGGUACAAAGUGAUAACAUUUUAUUUGAAGAAAUAAGAGAGAGAAUAUUAGAAACUAUGGGCAUGGCAGGAUGCCCAAGUCAAUUAUGACAAAUAGAAGGUGAGGCCCGUCCUCCAAGAGAAAGAGAAGAACUAGCAGCCGAAGAGUGAAGAGCUCCAUAUCUACUAUCUCACUGCGUUCAUCGAAUAAACAAUUGGUAGGAAAAUGAAGAAUACUUGGUUUAGACAAUGAAUUUCAUGGCUUUAUUUUAUUUUAUUUUAUUAUUUAGGAUCCUUCAAUGAUAAUCAAUUUUGAAAUGUCCCCCUCAUGCUAAAGUCAUAUUUUUACCUUUUUCUUCUUGUGCGUCUUGUAUAAUUUAUUUUGCUUGACGGGUAAUCUUUUAGAUAGUAAUUGUGCGGGACUCAUAUUGUUUAUGCCUUGUUCUUUUUGUUUAUCUUUUCAAUGAAUAAUCUAGAAAAUCAUCUUGGCCUCCUUUAAGAUAUCUAUACACAUAUAUUAUUUCUCAUAAGCUUUUGCCACAUGGCAGCACCAUAGUCUCUCAUUCUCAAAAUUUCUACUCUCCAAUCAUUGGGACCGCUCGCCUUCCUCGUAACAUCUGCCUCUUCAGCUUUCCGUUUCAUUAAUUCCUUCCCUGUAACAUCUGCCUCUUCGGCUUCCCGUCUCAUUAAUUUCUUUUCCGUAACGUAUGCCUUUUUGACUUCCCGUUUCAUUAAUUCAUUCUCUGUAAUGUCGCUGUUUCGACUUCUCACCUCAUUAGUUUCUAUUUUCUAAGAGGCGUUGCCCGAGGAGCCCGUGGGCAUGGCAGAUGGCGUCCUCGACAACGACCUCGCCUACUACGUCCGCUCCAACCUCAAGCCCCGCAGGCGCGCCGCCCUCGCCCUCAUCGUCAACGUUAGGUGAGUCGAACUCUAACCCUAGCCCCUAACCCUCCUCCCUCGAUCUCAACCAUUUAAAUAUGUAAUGUAUAGUUAUGCAAAAGGUGUGUAUCCCUCUCCUCUAAUGGCCUCGGAGGACGAGAAGUAUCGACUAAGAUAUGGACUUGCCAAAAAAGGGUUGAAGGCACUGUGGUGCUUCACGAAAUCGUCGGUGUUAGUAAAGAAUGCCCUAAAUGAGGGUACAAAGGGGUCCGAUUUUUAUGUAACAAAAUUUUUUCUCCUAUAGUUUUUUUUCAUCUUUUGUUGUUUUUUAUUAAAUUAUAAUUUUAUUCUAAAAAUUUGAAAGUAUUUUUUAUAUUAUUAAAUUUAAUCAAAUAUGAUUAUAUCCGCUGCAUCGCGCGGGUUCUUACACUAAUAUAUACAUUUAUUUGCAACUUUACUCUUGAUUUUCUAAAAUUAAUUAAUUUUAAUCAAAUAAAUUAUAGAUUUUAUCAAAUAUAUUGGUAAUUUGAUCAAAUUUGUUGACUUUAACCUAUUUGUAGCCAAAAGAAGUAGAACGAUUAACAUAUAAUAAUAAAUUGAAUAGUUACAUGCAUCUAAUAAUAUUUAUAAUUUUAAUUGGAUGAUUCAAAUCGAAAGCAAUAGACGUUAAGAAGAUCUCAAAGUAAAAUGGCCGUUUUAGUUGAGGGCAUCCUUAUAUAUCUUUUAAUUUUUAUUUUAUGGAGUGGAGCUAUCACUAGAGCCUCAGGGUCGAAAUCUUAUAACUUGGCCCAUUUAAUAGCGCUGGCAAACGAGCGAGCCGGCUCGCGUUCGACUCGUGUUCGGCUCGAUAUUCGGCUCGCUCGAGCUCGACUCGAAAUUAAAUGAGCCGAGCUUGAACAAAAUAAAAGGCUCGAAAUUCAUUUCAAGCCGAGCUUGAGUAUUACUCGGCUCGUUCGAAUUAGGCUCGAAAAGCUUGAAAAGCUCGAAAAUAUAUAUAUAGGCUGGGGCUACUAUACUCUUAUGAGUAUAGACCCCCUUGUACUCAUAAAUUUUUAACCGUUGAUUGAUGGGAUGUAUAGUUAGGAUGAUGGUGGUCCCCACUUAGAAUGACAGUGGUCCCCUAGGGUUGAGUGGGUAGUUGGUUAAAUAGUAUGAUCUAACGGAUGAAAAUGAUUAAUGAAAUAAAUCUAAGGGUCGAAAACUUANAAUAUAUAUAUAUAUAUAUAUAUAUAUAUAUAUAUAUAUAUAUAUAUAUAUAUAUAUAUAUAUAUAUAUAUAUAAAUAUAAUGUAUUUUACUUAUAUAUAGGCUUUAAUUUAAUUUGGGCCAUUAUUGUUGGCCCAUAAAAUAAACCCAACAAGUACAAUCGUACAAUUGAGCCCAAUUCUAAAUUUACAUAACACACUAUCUCUUUCAGACUUUCACUGUUGCACAUAACCCUAAAACAUGAUAACAUUCAAAUUUUCAAAUCCCUACUUUUUUUCCUCUCUCUCUCUCACAGACCCUCAUCUAGUCAGGAAGUCACCCUAGCUCACAUUUCUUAUAAUUAUUUUGUAUUUUGAACUAUUGGACAUGUUGUAUCAAAUUAUAGAUAAUGUUCUACAAAAAUUAAACUAUUGAUUAUAUAAUGUCGAGAAUUUCAAUCGGCUCGUUUAGAGCUCGAGCUCAGCUCGACUCGAAAUUAAGCUCGCUCGAGCUCGGCUUGAAUUAAUUUCAAGCCGAGCUUGAGCCUAGAUUUAGGCUCGAAAUUAAUUUCAAGCCGAAUUUGAGCUGACAUAAGCUCGCUCGAGCUCGGCUCGUUUCCACCCCUACCAUUUAAGGACCAAGUUGUAAGAACUUGUCUCAAUAUUUUUAUUUCCUAUUAAAAACCAAAAGGGUUGGAUAAACUCUUUUGGCCAUAGGAUUGGAUGCGGUAAAGAUUACGGUCCAGGUUCGCGUUAUGUAAUAUUACAUAUUAUUUCGAUAUAUCCAGAAAUCUUGAAUUUUUGAAUAAGAUUAUUAUUAAUGUCGCGUUAGCAUGUUUGGUUUGAUAUGGUAAUGUAAUGCUGAAUUGCAAUAUAUAUAAUAUUAUUAUAUUUAGUACAGCUUAUAAAAUUAAGUAAUUUUGACAACAAAGUUAAUUUAAUCCAAAAUUACCCUUCCAUAUUUGGCAAAAUUUUUCUAUGGUUUACAAAUAAUAAUUUUUUUACUAAAUUAUAUUUUAAAUAAUUUAAAUUUUGAAUUAACAUUUAAAUUUUAAAUUUUAAAUAUGAACAAAAACAUGAAAUUUAAUAUUUUAAUUUAAAAUUCAAAAUUUAAAAUUUAAAAUUUAAAAUAUAAAUAUAAAUAUAAAUAUAAAUUUUAAAUUUUAAAAUGUAAAUUUAAAAUUCAGAAUUUAAAAUCUAAAUUUGAAGUUUAAAGUUUAAAAUUCAAAAUUUAAAAUUUUAAUUUUAAAUUUAAAAUUUGAAAUUUGAAACAUAAACUUGAAUAUUAAAAACUUUAAAAAUGUAAAAUUUGAAAAUUUAGAAAUUACAAUUUAAAUUAGAAAUUUAAGAUUAAAAUUUAAAAUUAUGUACAGAUAUCAAAUUUUAAAUUUGAAAAUUUAAACUGUAUAUUCUAAAUUCUAGAAAUUUGGAUCAUUUAAAAUUUAGAUUUAAGAUUUUAAGUUUUAAAAUAAAAAAAUAAAUUCGUUAAAUUUAAAUUUAAAAAUAAAAAAAUUUGAAUAAUUUAAAAUUAAAAUUAAAAUUUUAAAAAUGACCGCGGGAUAUGAACAAGGUUUGGGAGCUUUCGUAGCGGGGAUGAACUUAUAAUUUUACAUACAUACAAGAAAGAACCUUGCAUCAGUAAUACCAUUUUCUCACCCCCACUCGAAUUAUUUUCGGUCGUAAAUGUGUAAUCUGAAUAUAAUUCUAUAAUGCUAAAUUACUGACUUAGAUUACACAUUUGAAUGGAACCAAAUGUAAUAAACCUUUUGCAAAACUUACGAUGUAAUUCUGUUAGAUAACUCGAAUAAACACACGCCUAAAGUAAAGAUUAUAGCGAUAUCCGUUACCAUAAGUAAUGCUAUAUAUAAACACCAAAUCAGGGUGCGCCUGUAUUAUUUUACCGUCACUCAACCCACUCUUACAUAGAGUGAUGAUAUUACUAGUCACUUGACGUGGAGUAGCCGGAUUCUAUUCCAGUCCUUAUUAGAUGUAGUGUGAUGAACUUGUUACUGGUAUCAUUUUUCUUAACUAUUUGUUAGUUUGCGGAGCACGUUUCUCAACUGUCAUUUUAUUUUAAUUGACACUCUUUUUUAUUUUUUUUAUUUGAGUAUUUCUGGCACUUUAAGCUAUAAUAUUUAAUUAAUGUAAUAGCUUCGCUCUUAACCUCGAUUAGCUCUACCCAUGGGUUAAUUGAAACAAGUUCAUUAAAUUCUCGGCUUUGUGAAGUACAUUUGAUUACAAAUAGGAAUUAAAAUCGUAAAAUGAGAAUGGACUCUAAUUGAAAACGAAAUGGUGAUUCAAUUCCUAAUUUGUUGAUUCAUAAUAACAAUCUGGGAAGUCUUGGAGACUGUAUACUCCUGAUAUUGAAGAUUAAAUUAAAGCUUUUUUAGUUAAAGCUUUAACAAAUUAAAAUUUAAAGGAUUAAAUUUUAGUUAAAGUUUAACAAACUUUAAAAUUUAACAAAUUAAAAUGUGUUAGUGGUAAAAUUUAGGAAUACUUGUGAAACUUUUCCAAACUGUCACUUGUAAUAUUAGAACAACCAUCCAAUGUAUCUCAUUAUUAAUAUACGGUUUCAUAGCUCUUCAAAGUCUAUUUAUUUUAAUCAAUAUUAUUGGGCGUGAGAACUUAAUAUGAUUUUGAGAAUAUGGAUAAUUAGAGAAUUUGAAGACGUUAGGAUAUUUCUUAAGCUCUAGGCUCUAUUGUUCAGUAUUCAGUUUUUAAAACACAAUAAUACAUAUACUUAAUAUAUUAUAUAAGAUUAGAGGUAUGUGUUAUAUUAUUUUUAUCUGAAUGUUUACAAUAAUUGGUUGAGUGAAAAAAAAGUAUUUGUUGGCGCCUCAUUAUUUUCCAAAUCAAAAUUGAAGUGCGUAUCCUACAAUGUGGUGGGAUCCUCGAGAUUAUCAACUCUAAGUCGAAAUAUUCAAUUUCCUGACUCAAAUGGCAACGAUACUCGAUAUAGGGUAGAUGAAUCGAUUUUCACAGGGUAUUCACCCAACUUUUAUAUAAGUUGGUCAAGUACCUUCAGAACUCAAAUAUCUGCUUGAUUGAUAAAAUAUUCAAUUUGAAUAAGGGCCACUUUGACUGCCAAGUAUACCCAUCCGACGUUUAUUUUGUGUGGUUUUCUUGCAGCAAACCGGGAUCAUUUCCGGGGUGGCCACACAUUUUUAUUUUUUUUGCCAGAUUCGGUCCUGGUCGUCUUUUAUUCGUCUCAUGUACCCGACUGAUCAAGAUUAGUACUUACUUACUUGUUUCUCUUUUCCUUCUUUCUCUGGAAACCCGCAUUCUCGUGGUUUUAUUCCUGUCUUCGUUUCUAUCGGUGGUGUUUUCAUGGCGUUUUUUUUUAGCUGCGCCUGUUCUUAUUGUUGGGGUUAGACACGGCGUAACCCCAUCUGGGACGGCUCCCUUUACGGUAUCUCCCCUCGAAUUCUCGCUUGGCUCGUCGCUCGAAUCGUCUUUUCGCCGAUCGUCAGCUACCGCUCGCGUUCCCGAACCGGCAGAGCGCGGGUGCCUCGCUUCCCUCGGCGCCCGCCACCCCUAGACGGCUGCCGGAUGGGCAGAUUUGUACAGCGCGUUCCUCGCCGCCGCGGCGGUAUGCUGAUUCUGUUUCGUAUUUUCUCGCCACGCGGCCGCCGUUCGCGUGCCUUGAAUCUCUGGACGCGUUCCUCCAUUUCACCGUCGCGUUUCUCCCGAACCGCUCUAUUCUCCUUUCGCUCCCCCGGCGACCCGUCCACCACUCGCACGUGCCCCCUACGGCGCUCCUCGGCGCCCCGGCCGGGGAGGCGAACCCCGCGUGCCGGCUGACCGGAGCUGCUGCGACGCCGAGUGGUGAUAGUGUUCAUAUCUUUGAGGGACGUCCGUUGCCGGUUGUGAGUGUUAGUCUGAAGCUUUAGAUAUAUAAUCUUUGGGGUAUACUGGCUGUGUGAGUCGAGUCCGGAGCACAUCUUAUUGUCAGACACUCUACUCGGUUGUUUCCCAGGUCUUAUAUUAUCCAUCGGAGUCAGAUGAGAUAGAUGUAGUUAGGACCCAUAUGUGGUUCUUGUAGUUGGUUCUACUUAGCUAUUCCUGCAUUAGUCCGUGUAUGCCGCAUGUGUUGUGAGUGUGUGUGAGGGUUUCCUGUGAUUUUAGUGUGGAAAGCUCGCGGUUGAUCACCUAUGUGAACGUUUAUUCUGUGGCAUGUUCUCUGUAUCUGGUGAGCUGAGAGGUAGAUCUGUAUAUAGGUCGGGUCGUGGCUGUUUCCGCGAAUCGCAGCAUCUCUCUUUUGUUUUGGGAGUUCGUUUGGGGAAGGCUGCCGUCACCAGGUAGGGAGUUCUGAGGGAGUACCUGGAGUGAUUGGAUUCCGCGACUAGAGAACGAACUGGGUCGACUGGGGUUAGUCUUUAGAAUAUUACUCAGCAUGGACUUGUGACCGGAUUUUAUGCAUAUAUAACAGAUGAGUUGAUCUCAGGUUGGGAUCAGUUAUCGGUCAUCAAAUUACUGUGGUUUAGGACUGGUUUGAGUUCUGUUCAUCCCAGCUUGACGUUAUUAAGUCAGUAUUUGCAUAUGGUUGACGGAUGAUUGUCGAUGCUUCCGCGUGUCCAUCCUAGUUGACCCUGAGGGGUGCCGGUCGUGGUGUGCUUCUUACAAGUGGAACCUAUGGGGCGGGCAGAUAGGCUUCUGAUGGGGGGGGCAAUAAAAAAAGGAGGAUGUGAUCAGCUUGGGUUGCCCCGACCGGGUGAUCUUGACCAUAUUGCAAUGAAAUCACCCGAUAAUCAGUCGGCCAUUUCACGGAACACUGGGCGGCCUUUUCAAAAGGUCCACCGGCGAAGGACGUGUUACUUUUUCGAAACCAUCGCGUUGAUGGCCCCGAGGAUGACAACCAGGGUGUAGCCCUAGAGGCGUUAUAUGCAGGUGUAGGAGCGUGGUGGUUUGACUGUCGGGGGUGCUUGCGGUGCGGACUCCUAGGCAUGGCUUAGAGGUCUGCCGUUCUGCUGACGCAACGAAGCAUUGGUUUCACGAUUGUGGAAUUUACACAUGUACUUUUAGGACCCAUUUAUUCCGUGCUUGAUACGACCAUGACGGCAAUAUGUCCUAUAGUACGCAUCAUAUGCAUGCAUUUACUUAACACGUUCUUAUACUGUUUUAAUGUUCGUCUUGCUCCUAUUAUUUUAGACUGUUUCAUGAUUACGAUGCUUUAUCGUACAACGCUUCNNNNNNNNNNNNNNNNNNNNNNNNNUCGAAAUUAUUUCAGCGGUUGAUAUUAUCGCUCGUUCGAAUUUGGUCCGAAAAAGCUUGAAAACUCGAAAAUAUUAUAUAGGCUGGGGUACUUUAUAUGUUAUGAGUAUAGCCUUGUACUAUAAAUUUUUAACCGUUGAUUGAGGAUGGUAGUUAGGAUGAUUGGUGGUUCCCACAAUUAGAUAUGCAGAUGGUCCCUGGGUUGAGUGGGGUAGUUGGUUAAAUAGUAUUGUCUAACGGAUGAAAAUGAUUAUGAAAUAAAUCUUAAAGGGAUCGAAUACUUAUGAGUAUAAGGAGCAAUACUAUAAAAGAUAAUAUAGGAUCAUAUAUUAAUAAAUAAUAAAAUAAAAAAUAAAAAUUAAUACAAAAAAUAUAAAAAAUAUAAUAUAAAUAUAAUAAUAUAUAUAUAUAUAUAUAAAUUUUAAUGUAUUUUUAUUUAUUAUUAGGUUUAAUUUAAUUUGGGCAUUUAUUGUUGCAAAUAAAUAAACACAACAAGUACAAUCGAAAUCAAUUUGAGCCCAAUUCUAAAUUUACAUAAACACUAUUUUUCAGACUUUAAAUAUUGAACAAUAACCCAUAAUUAAAACAUUGAGAUAAUUAAAAUUUUUCAAAUCCUACUUUUUUUCUUCUUCUCAACAAGAACCUAUCUAGUCAGAGAAAUCACAAAUAGUACAUUUUUAUAUUGAUUUUGUUAUUUUUGCUAUUGGACAUGAUAUGUAUAAAAAAUUAUAGAUAAUGUUCUACCAAAAUAAUAACUAAUGUUAAUAUAGAUGUCGAGAAUUAAUCCAAUCGGAAUCUAGAUAAGAGUCUACGAGAUAAGCAUAGAACUCAGAAAUAUAGCUCGCUCAAGAGUCGGUUGAAUAAUUUCAAGCCAGAGCUGAGCUAGAUUUGUAGGCUACGAAAUAAUUUCAGACAGAAUAAAUUGAAAGCUAAUAAGACUCGCCAGAGCUAGCUAGUUCCACUACAUUUAAGGACCAGUUGUAAGAAUUGUCUCAAUAUUUUUAUUUCUAAUUAAAAACCAAAAAGGGUUGGAUAAAACUUUUUUGCCAAUAAAGGAUUGAAGAAAAUGCGAAUAAGAUUACAGGUACCUAGAGUUGCAAAGUUUAAUUGUAAAUAUUACAAUAUUAAUUAUCAGAUAGUAUCCAGAAUCUUGAAUUUUUGAAUAGAUUAUUUAUUUAAUGUCGAAUUAGCAUGUUUGGUUUUGAAUAAUGUAUGUAUGCUGAAUUGAAUUAUAUAAAUAUAUUAUAUAUAUACAUUACAGUUAUAAAAUUAAGUAAAUUUUGAACAAACCAAGUUAAUUAAUCCAAAAUAUUCUUAUAUUUGGCAAAAUUUUUUCUUGUUGUAUUACAAAUAAUAAUUUUUUUACUAAUUAUAUUUAAAAUAAUUUAAAUUUUAAAUUAACAUUUAAAUAUUUGAAAUUUUAAAUAUGAACUAAAAAAACGAUGAAAUAUUAAUAAUUUAAAAUUCAAAAUUUAAAAUUUAAAAUUUAAAAUAUAAAUAUAAAUAUAAAUAUAAAUUUUAAAUUUUAAAAUGUAAAUUUAAAAUUCAGAAUUUAAAAUCUAAAUUUGAAGUUUAAAGUUUAAAAUUCAAAAUUUAAAAUUUUAAUUUUAAAUUUAAAAUUUGAAAUUUGAAACAUAAACUUGAAAUUAAAAACUUUAAAAAUGUAAAAUUUAAAAUUUAGAAAUUAAAAUUUAAAAUUAGAAAUUUAAGAUUUAAAAUUUAAAAUGUAAGAUCUCAAAUUUAAAAUUUGAAAUUUAAAACUUAUAUUCUAAAAUCUAAAAUUUGAUAUUUAAAAUUUAAAAUUUAAAUUUUAAAUUUUAAAAAUAAAAAAUAAAAAUUUAAAUUUAAAUUUAAAAAUAAAAAAAUUAAUAAUUUAAAAUUUAAAUUAAAAUUUUAAAAAUGACGUAUUGAAAAGGUUUGGGAGUUCGUAGGGGGAUAAACUUAUAAUUUUACAAACAUACAAGAAAACCUGCCAUCAGUAAUACCAUGUUCUCACCCCCCACUCGGUAAUAUUUUCGGUGUAAAUGUGUAAUCUUGUAUAAUUUAUAAUGCUAAAUUACUGACUAGAUUACACAUUGAAUGAACCAAAUGUAAUAAACUUUGCAAAAUUACUUGUAAUUCUGUUAGCAUAACUCGAAUCAAACACACCCUAAAAGUAAAGAUAUAGCGAUAUCCCUUUACCAUAAGUAAUGCUAUAUAUACACACCAAUCAGGGUGUAUAUUUUACGUCUCACCCAUCUAAUAGAUGUGAUGAUUUUACUAGUCACUUGACGUGAGUAGCGAUUCAUUCCCACCCAUUAGAUGAGUGGAUUGUAACUUGUACGAGUAUCAUUUUUCUUUAACUAUUUGUUAGUUUGGAGCACGUUUCUCAACUUCAAUUUUAUUUUAAUUGACACCUCUUUUUAUUUUUUUUAUUUGAGUUAUUCUAGUCACUUUUAAGCUAUAUAUAUUUAAUUAAAUGUAAUAGCUCUAUUAACUAUUACUUGUUAAUUUAAACAAAUUCAUUAAAUUUAGGGUACCAUUUGAUUCAAAAUAGGAAUUAAAAUCGUAAAAUGAGAAUGGAUCGUAAUUGAAAACGAAAUGGUGACAAUUCCUAAUUUGUUUGAUUCAUAAUAACAAUUGGAAUCGGACUUAUAUUUAAAUUAAAAUUUAAAAAUUAAAUUUUAGUUAAAGUUUAACAAAUUAAAAUUUAAAAAUUAAAUUUUAGUUAAAGUUUAACAAAUUAAAAUUUAAAAAUUAAAUUUUAGUUAAAAUUUAAAUUUACUAUCAAGAUUUAAUAUUAAACAUCGAAUCUACAAUUCAAAUUCAAGUUCAAAGUCUAAAUUUAAAUUUAGAACCAAAUUUAAAUAUUAUAAUUGAAAUUUAAAACUAAAUUCAAACCCACAAUUCAAAUUCAGUUUUAAAAAUUAUAAUUUAUUUAUAAAAGUAGAUAUAUAUUAAUAUCUGAAUUUAAAUAAUUGUUGGUGAAAAAAAAAUUUGUUGCUCAAUUAUUUUCCAAAUCAAAAUUGAUUCGUACCUCAAUGGCGAGAAUCAUUAUGGAAAUAUUCAAUUUCCUGACCUCAAACAAAACUCCGAUAUAGAAAUGAAUCAUCCCAAAUAUUCAUUAUAAGGUUCAAGUCCUUCAAAUCAAAUAUGCUUAAUUGAUAAAAAUAUUCAAUUUAAAAAGGCCAAUUUGCAUAAAAAAUCCACUUAUUUUGGGCUUUUGCAAAACCGGGCCACAAUUUUCAUUUUUGCAGAUUCGGUCCGCUUUUUCGUCUGCCUGACCAAAAUACUCUUAUUACUUUUUCUCUUUCCUCUUUCUCUCUCCUCUCUGUUUCUAUCGUUCUGUUUUUUUUUCUCGCCGCGCUCGCCGUUCUCCCUCGAAUCCUCCUGCGUCGUCCCCAUCACCGUCGCGUUCCCGAACCGCACCCUCCUCGCUCCCCUCGGCGACCCGCACCCUGACCGCUCCACAGGCGCUCCUCCCGCCGCGCGGGCGUAUUCUGUUUUUUUCUAUCCGGCCUGUCGAGUCUAUCUCUAUCUCGCUGUCCGUCCCUAUCCUUCGCGUAUCCGAUACCCACAUCUCCCCGCCGGCGACCCGCACCCGUCGACGGCCCCCUACGCGCUUCCUUGCGCCGCGUGAGUUGCCGAGCACCCGCGCCGCGCGGAGACGCCUUGUAUAAGUCGAGUUGGCGGCGUUACGGCGUUGACAGGAGGUGCAUUCUGAUCGCACGGUGAUGGGACGGUCCAGAGUUGAUGGCGAAACGACGAGCCGCGGCUAGGAAAAAAAAUAAGACGAGCUAGAAUUUCACCAUUAACCGAUUACAUUGUCAACCAUUACCAUUACACUUUUACACCAUUAUAUUACACCAGUACACCAUUACCUUUUCACAUUACCCAUUACUAUUACAGUCAUUACACAUUUUACACCAUUACCAUUACACCUAUUAUUAACAUAUUACACCAUAACGAUUACCUCAUACACUAAUUACAUUGCCAAUUGACAUCCAUACUAUUACACCUAUUACCCAUUACAUUCUUAUACUAUUUCCCAUUACACCAUUACACUUACACAUUACACAUUACACAUUACACAUUUCGACUGUAGAAGAACACGCCGCGAUCUUUUUCAUUUCUUUUCUUUUUUCAUUUCUCUUCUUUUCCUCCUGCGGAGGACCUUCAUCUCCUUUCGAUUCACCUGAUGACGAGGGGCCCCUUCGCCGCCGCCUCGAGUGUGCGCACGGGCGGGUCGGCGAUGCUUCGUCGGACAGGAUGACGUUUAACACGCCUCAUCCUCGGCGGAGUCGCGUAACGACAAGCCCAGCAUCCCAUGUCUCGCUGCAAGUAAUUGUUCGAAUCUCGUCGGAUGGUGAGGGCUGCUCGGAGUGGUGCCCGCUGUUGACUCGGGUUUCGCCGCGACUGCAUCUGAUUUGUGACGAGCGCGAGCGGGCGACUGAGCGAGAAGUCGCAAGCUGGCCAGACUAUGCCCCAACCCAGUUCCUCAAGACGCUCAUUCUCCUCCACCAACGCUGUCGCUCCUCCUACGUUGGCGGCGGCGGCGGCGAAGGCGGUAGGGGUGGGGCCGAGGACGAGGAGGCGAGGGGGAGAGGGGGAGUCGGUCUAGGGCUGGGGUCCGCGGCGACGGGAUCGACGAAAGGAGGAGAAAAAAAAGAGGAGAGAGAAAAAUAUAAGGGUAUUUUGGUCAGUUUGCUGAAAAAGUGGACCGAAUCUGCAAAAACGAAAAAGGUGGCCCGGUUUUGCAAAAACCCAAAAUAAGUGGAUUUUUUAUGCAAAAAGGCCAUUUAAAAAAUCUAAAGUAAAAAAGAAGAAUAUUGAAUAGAGGGCCUAGUUGAGGAGGUCUAUUUAUAUUAGUUACUUUUUUAAAAAAAUUUUUCAGUUUUCGGCCCCAUGUGAAAAGUGAGGACUUUUAUAAAAAAUAAUCAUCUAAAAUUGUAUAAUUUGCGAAAUAACCAUAUCAAAUUCAGAUUUGGCAAACUAACUCUUGAAACACGGUGAAUCAUUCACCGCAUUCUAAAAGUCUCUAAGAUUUUUAAAGGCAGUGAAUCGUUCACCGCAUUCAUUUCGCAUUCAUUAAAACGGUGAAACGUCUUCUUCAUAAUUUUUUUAGGAAAGAGAAAAAAAUGAGGUUGUUAAAAUUGUACGUAUAUUGUACGUAUGUAAAUAAAAAAAAAAAGUAAGAUUGUUAGGAUUGUAUGUGAAAUAUUAGAAUAUUUGUUUGAUUGUGUUGAUGCCAAAAAAUCAACACGCCGACCUAACCCACGUAUAAGUCAAAGAAAUAAGGACACGUGAUACACCAAGAGUCGGCAAUAAAGCGCCUGAAGGUCAAGAGCGUUUAAAGGUUAAGAGCGUUUAGACGAGAACGAUUGAGAAGUGGGGCGUAACUUCCAAGAGAAGUGGGGCGUAACUUCCAUGAUCAUGACUACACCACUUCCCCCACUACUAUAACCAAUAACCAACCAAUAAUGUGGGCUGAUAAGAUAUUAUAAAUAAUAACUUUGAAGUCUAUAAUAAGGGUCUUUCUCUCCUCUCCUUUGAACGAGAAGACCACCGCAUUUUCAAUACUUUUCUUUCCUACAUUUAUUAUUUUCUAGGAGUAGUUUACAUGUAAUCUUUUUUACCGGCAUUUAUUGUUUUCUUAAAAGUAGUUUUUAAGUUAGAUCUUUGGUGCGUGUUUGGUUCAAAGUUGGAGUCGGAGUCAGAAUCGGAAUCAAAAUAAGCUGAAAUCGGAAUCGAAAUGACUCAUUACCAAAUUCUGUUUGGUUCAUCACCUGAAUCGGAAUCGGAAUAAAUCAUUCCCAUUGUCGAUAUUUGAUUCAGGUGGAUAUAAAAAACGUAAUCAAAUUAAUAUAUUAACAUUAUCUUUAUAAUAUAUUAAUUUAAAUUCAAAUUAAAAAUUAAAUAUUAAAAAUUUAUAUCAAAAUUUUGAAAUAAUGUCAAAAUUUUAAAUCUAUUUUUUUUAGAAAAAAAUUAAACUUUGAAGUUGAGUGGAUAAUUCAAAUUAUAAAACUAAAAUUUGAUUUAUUCAAAUUUAAACUAAAAUUACAAUUUAAAUUUUAAUUUGAAUCCAUAAAUUUAAUUUAAGUUUGAAAUAAAAUUUGAAUAAAACUUUAUAUAAAUUAAAAUUUAAUUUAAAUUCAAAUUCAUAAGUUAGAUUCGAAAUACUUGAUUAAAUUUUAAUUUUUAAUUUAAGUUCAAAUUAAAAUUUAAAAUUAUAUAUUUAAUUUUUAAAUUUUAACUCAUAUUGUAAUUAAAAAAGUUGAAAAAAUAAAUUUAAUCCGAAUAAAUAUCCAUUCCAUCCGGCCUCCUAGGCCGGAUUGAAAAAUGAGGUGAUUGGGGGAUUCUCAUUCCACUCGGGAAUCGUAAUCGGAAUGAGACCCCCGCGUAUCAAACACCUACAAACGGAUUCACCUAUUCCGAUUCCGAUUCCGAUUCUAUGAUGAAAAAAAAGCGAACCAAACACGCCCUUGGAGUCUAUAUGCCCCACGGGCACACUCUGUUAUAAUUUAGAUUUUCAGAGUCUGUAUGCCUUUUGGGCACACUCUGUUUUGUAUGAGUUUUCAACUUUAUUUUAAUAUAUAAAGGUAUUCGGCUCUUUCAGCCGACCAGUUAUUGUAUAUUCCAUCUAUUCGGCUUAUCAGCCGACCCAAAGUACUAUACUAUCCAUACUUCCGGCUCAUCCAGCCGAACCGUUUCUACAGUAGAGGAUUCGAACUCUACUGAUCCGAUCGCUCAUUAGCCGAAUCGCUUGAUCCAGUCGAAGGGCGCAAACUUUGAGGAUCACUAAUCGUAGCCGCUCCGCAUCCCUACACGCUUCUCAAGAAAGAUCUUUUACCUGGUCAAAGACAAAGGGAAUUCGGCCCCUGACAGAUUGUUAGGAUUAUAUGGAUAGAUUAUUAGGAUUUUUUUGAUUGUUAGGAUUGUAUAGAUAUAUUAUUAGAAUUUUCAAAGUUGUUAAGAUUAUAUGUGAUAUUUGAUUAUUAGGAUUAUAUAGAUAGAUUAUUAUGAUUUCUUUGAAUGUUAGGAUUGUAUGGAUAAAUUGUUAGAAUUUUCAGGUUGAUAAGAUUAUAUGUGAUUUGUUGAAAUAUUUAUGUGGUUGUUAGGAUUAUACAUAAAAUAUAAAAAUAAACAGUAAAUAAGAUGAAUGAUUUACAGUUUUUGUGAGAAAUUAUAAAAACGGUGAAUUAUUUAUCGUCUUUUUGAAGACGGUGAAUCAUUCAUUAUGAAAAUAGCUCCCUUAAAAAAAAAAGGAUUAUUUUUCAAAUAUAAUUUUGGCCGAAUUAUACUGCAAAUAAUAAAAUUUUAGAGGCUAUUUUAUAAAAAAAAGUCUGAAAAGUGGAAAUGAGUACGUAGCUCUUGAAAUAAACGAAAAAGGUAAAGCUUGGGCGCCAAGUUUGCCCACCAGAAUAAGGAUAGAGCUGACACUACACAACUUGGCGAGAUGCAAAAUUAACCGUCAGAUCAGUAUUACGUACAAUUGGUAAUUUUUCUUUUCAAAAUUGAAAAUAAUUUUUAAAAAACAAAACAGAAAAUUUUUUUGAAGCAGAUAUUUGGAAAAUGAGAAUCGGCUGUGAUCUCGGCAGGGGGUGAUCAACAAAAUUACCGGUUCCCUACUUUAUAUUUUUGCUCUAAAUAUAAUCACCGAGUGCGCAUUAAUUACUUUAACACUUCCACAACUUUUCAUCUCUUUCUUUUUUCUUUUUUUUUUUUUUUAUUUUUUUUGUGUGUUUUGUACGCUUCUCUCUCUCUUUGAAAGGAGGCAUGUUCUCCGCGUCGCGCUCUUUCGUCUCGUCUCUUUCCUCCUCCCUCCGUCCUCGUGUGCUGAUGAGUACGAGACGCUUAGCAUCUUCUCCUCCUCCGCCGCCGCUUCCGGAAACGCGCUUCGCCCCGAAGAAGGCGAUUCGCGCGAUGAGCCUGAGCAAGUUCGUCGCCCACCAAACCGCGUUCGCCUUGCGCCUCGCGCAGCGCGUGGCCGCCGCCGAGGCGAAGGAGGGCGCCAACGUCGCGUUCUCGCCGCUCUCCCUCCACGCGCUCCUCAGCCUCGCCGCGGCGGGGACGCGGGGCCCCGCCCUCGACGAGCUCCUCGCCGUGCUCACCCCCGCGGGCGGCGCCGGCGGCGCCACCGCUGACGACGUCGCCGCCCUCGCCGCCCGCGUCGUCGGCCGCGUCCUCGCCGACGCCUCCGCCGGCGGUGGGCCCCGCGUCUCCUUCGCGAACGGGGUGUGGGUCGACGCCUCCCUCUCCCUCAAGGCCGCGUUCGCGGAGAUCGCCGCCUCCGCUUACAAGGCGGAGAUCCAAUCCGUCGAUUUCCAAACCAAGGUUCGAAUCCUCGCUUUUUUUUUUUUCCUUUUUCUUUUUCUUUUUCUUUUUGUUGUUCGUUUAUCGAGUUAUUAGGGUUUUUGUGGGGUUUUAGCUUGAAUAUGCAUGUCUUAGGGGGCUUGGAUCAACCUAAAAGAUUGUUAGUCUCGUAGGUAGAGAUAUGGUGACAACCAUAUAUGGUGUCUAUUUUAACAUGCCCCCCUAACAAAGUCGAAUUGAAUCUUAACUGAAUCUAGGUUGAAAUAGAAGCAGAAGAAACUAGAUUAGAAAUGGAAAAGGUUCUGAUGCUAUAUCAAAUCGCAAUCGCAAUCGCAGAGACCAAUCCAACAGCUUAAGUUCGCAGUGAACAAACCACUCUGACGUUGUGAAGAAGAUUCUAAGUUUUUGUUUUUAGUAUUCUAGAAUUUGAGUCAGCUGAACACUGGUGAAUAUGUCUCUCGUCCAGUUUUGUUAUAUAUCUUGCUAUAAAAUUCUCACUUCAUUCCAUGCAUGCUAAUUUUUCUCUAACUGAGCUUUUUCUUUCUUUCUUUCAUUUUUAUCCUUUAGCCGCCCCUCUAGUUAUCUAUCCUGAAUUUGGAAUGAUAAGGAAUUAGGGAUUCUGGGUAUUGAUUAAGCUGGAAUUAUAUUGAUUUUUUUGUUAGUCUCGGUUUUGCAAAUCAACUUCAAUAAAUAAUACUUAUCUAAUUUUUUAAAAGACAAAAAUAUUUCUUCUGCUGCUAAUUUUACUUAUCAGCGAAAUUGUUGACAGGUAAACCAGUGUUGCAGAUUCGGUUUUUUCUCCCUUUGUUUUAAGCCAAUCUUAACGCUGCUGUAUUUGUUUAUUAACUUUUUUCCUUUCCUAUUGAUUUAGGCUGGUGAAAUUAUCGAUCAAAUUAACUCAUGGGUUAGUUCGGCAACAAAUGGUCUUAUAAAGAGUAUGAUUUCCGGCAGAGCUAUCAACCAAUUCACUAGGGUGGUGCUCGGUAAUGCUAUUUACUUUAAAGGGGCUUGGGCUGAUAGAUUCGACGCAUCAGGAACGGAAGAUGGUGAGUUCCACUUGCUCAAUGGAAAUUCUGUGCGAGUGCCCUUCAUGACGAAUCCGGAAAUGCAGUUCAUGUCUUCAUACGAUGACUUCAAAGUGCUUAGGCUUCCGUAUAGAAAAGGGAAUGAUAGGAGACAAUUUUCCAUGUAUAUUUUCCUGCCCGACGAUCGAGAUGGGCUAUGGAGUUUAAUUGAUAAGUUGAGUUCCGAUCCCGAGUUCCUAAACCGCCAUCUCCCAAAGCGGGAGGUCAAAUUGGGAGAGUUCAGGAUUCCCAAAUUCAAAAUAUCUUGCGGGUUGGAUGCACCUCGACUUCUAGAAGAGAUGGGAGUACAUUUGCUCUUCUGUGGGGACGGGGGCCUGACUGAAAUAGCCGAUUCACCCAUCACCGGCGGAACAUCGAUUUUGCACAAAUCUUUCAUCGAAGUUAAUGAGGAAGGAACCGAAGCAGCUGCCGCUUCUUUCAUGAUGCUUGGGGCUUGUUUCUGGGCGCCUCCUCCGGACUUCGUUGCUGAUCACCCUUUCUUUUUCUUGAUCAGGGAGGACACAACCGAAGCGGUGCUAUUCAUGGGCCACGUGCUCGAUCCCUCAGUGGUCGCGUAAAUAAUGAAUCCGUUCUCAGGCAUUUGGUAGUUUAUUCCAUCUUUUGUUUUUUUUCUCCCCUGAAUCAACUCUUUGGAGUCCAAAAAAAAAAAAUGUAUGCGAGACGCUUUAAGUGCAACUUUAUAGGUGUGUUUUUACAGUCGUUUGUGAGUGGUAAGGAAUAUUUCUCUUUGGUGCUGCUGGCGUUACUGUUUUGAUUAUUAUUAGAGCGCGUUUGAUUAUCCGAAAGUGGCAGAAGUGAUUUUUUUUUUUUUUUUUUUUUCAAUUCCAUUAUUUGGUUAGCUAUAAAGUGAAACAUGAAAACUAUAAUUUUAUAAUUUUGAUUCUUUAAACAAAUAACUUAUACUUACAAUUUAAAUUAAAAAUUUAAAUUUAGAAUUUAAAAUUUUAUUCUUAAAAUUAAAUUUAAACUUAAACUGAGUUGAAUUUAUAAAUAAAAUUUAAGAACAUUUAUUCAAAUUUUAAUUCAUAAUUUAAAUUUAUAAUUUGAGUCUUAGUUUAAUUUACUUUUUAAUCUCAAAAAAUUUUGUAUUCAAAUAUGAAUUCACAAAUUAAAAUUUGAGUUUAAAUCACAAGAAUUGAAUAUUUGAAUUCAUAAUUCAAAUUCAAAGUUCAAGCUGCGAUCAAUAUUGAAAUUAAAUAUAAAUAGCAAAUUUUAAUUUUAAUUUCCACUUAAAAAUAAAAUUUUAAAUUUAAAUUUCAGUCAAUAAUCUAAAUUUAUAAUUAGAACAAUUUGAAUUCAAUGUUCAAAUUGAAGUUUUUAGCAGAAAAUAAUCUGAUUAAAAUUUAAAUUUUAAAUUAAAUUUAAAUUAUAGAAUUCAAAUUUGAAUUAAAAAUAAAUAUUUAAAUAUUUAAAUUUAAAUAUAAAGUCAUAAAUUUGAAAUUAAAAAUUUUAUGUUGAAUUUGAAUUUACAAAUAAAUUCAGAAUGUGAUCUAAAUUUAAAUUCUAGAAUUCAAAUUUAAAUAAAAAUAAAAAUUUAAAUAUUUAAAUUUAAAUAUAAAGUCACAAAUUUGAAUUUAAAAAGUUUUUUGUUAAAUUUGAAUUUACAAAUAAAGUUUAGAAUGCGAUCAUGAUUUUAAUUCAAAUUUAAAGUAAAAUUCAUAUUUAAAAUAAAAUUCAAAGAUUAACGUUAAGACCAAAUACAUUCUUUUAGCUAAACUUUCUAAUUUCGGUGACUUUUGAUGUCACGCCCCGGAUUGCACGAAGCAAUAGCUGUACCUGUAAACAAAACCAAGCUACAACCACAAGUAUGGAGCUGCUAAGCAAAACAAAUAUAUAUAAAACAUCAUGACUAUAGUACAUACAAAAGCUACGAACCAGCAACUAACAUCUCGCUCCAGUGAGUAACUAAACAAAGAGCAUGUACAUGUACAACACUCAUAACUACCUCUGAAGGGGCACUCCGCUAGCACGACGACUGAGAUUGAUAGGGAUCUAGCUCGCAACUCCCUUAUCAUGAUCAGUAUUAGCAACAGCAGCAGCCGUAGACGAAGGCUCUGCAAAAAGAGAUCAACAACUUGGUGUGAGAAUUACUACAAAAGAAAUAGUCCUCAAUGGGUAGCGCUACCGACCUCAACGGCUCACCCACUAAGUCUACAGAAAAUAUGCUCAAGGAUAGUAAAGGAAGCUGGAAAAACUCUACAGCUACAUGCCACUAUACUAUUGCUAACCAACACUAGCUAUCUAUAGAUAUAGGCAAGAUGCAAUCUCUGACCCAAUCUCACUAGGAACUGUGAAUACACCCGUCCCGCCUGUCGAAGCUACACCAACUACCACCACGCUGGGUUGUUGGUGGCGAGCAAGUCCAACUUAGACAUUACGUCAACAACGCAAAAGCACUAAGCCCGACUCCAGAGCGGCACUCGUGGGCGCUACCCAACUGAGUAUGCAAGCGUGUUUCUGCCAAGUUCAAUCAGGCUCUCACAGGCUAUAAUCAAAACAAAUAGGUUUAACUGGUCUACAACCAAAACUCACGUGCCCUUGACAAUAUCUGAUGCAAAUACAGAAAUCUGGGUCCACCGUCAACCGCGACGGCACUUGACAGUCCGAAACAAUCUACACACUAUUGUAAAAUAAGCUCGACAUCCCAGCACGAGCGUGAAUUCAUCCUACACUAAUUUGAGUAUCCAUUGCAUACUAACAAUGAUGAUACAAUAGAACCACAGAUCCUAAAGCUAAAUCUGGUAAUUUUCAGAAAUGACAGUGUAGGUUCUAAAUAUUUUCUCCUAAGUCAAUUCCAAGUCCAACAUGUAAAAUUAAACUACUAGCUUAACUCCAAAUUCAGAUUUAAACACUAAUCCAUGAAUUUGAUACUAGCAAGAAAAAUAGACGGAUAAUACAUGUCGACAAAUACUAAAACUUAGAAGAUAUUCCGACGAUUUCGGUAAACUUCAACCCACCUUAAAAUGCUCGUCCAACAACGGCGAGAAGUCGAAAGGAGAGGAAAUCCCGCGCUCGCCCGACCUCCAACGGCGCUACCACGACGCACGCACGCUCGAACGGCUCUCCGGCGCAACGUCGACAUCGAUCCGAGCUCUAACCGUGGCCUCCACCAAGCACAUAACUAAAGCUAGAGAGAGAGAGGAAAAUGAUAAUUAAGCUCCUUCAUUGCCUCUCUAUCCUAAUUAAAGCGGUGGGGAUAAAAUUGAAAGGAUCGAGACAACAAAAGACCAAAAGGCCCCUCACCUACUCAAACAUCCAGUUGGAGUACCGGUACCAGCCCGAUGCCGUACCGGUACUCAGCAUCAAUUAUCGCAACCCGAGAGCAGCAGUUCGAAAAUUACACUGGGGUAUCGGUACUCCCCUACGUGGUACUGGUACUCAAUACUGAAAAUCUGCACUUUGCCGAUUUCAAUGCCAAAACUCUGUUAUCGCGUCGCGCUGAGUUCGUUUUGUGUCCAUUUCGUGCCAAAACGACUCGGACUUGUCCCGACACUCUCCAGAUAUGUCGACAAGUCUCUGCUCCUUUCUCCACAAUCAAUGCCCGAUUCACCACCUCCCUAUAAGUCGAUGGGUUUGACGCCUGAACCAACCUGAAAAUCGUAGGUCGCAAACCUACCUCGAAAAUACGGGCCUUAUCCCCAUCAUCCCUAACCACGAAAGGAACACAAUGUAGUAGUUGAGAAAACUAUCGUUCAUACUCAACCACUGUCCUAUCCUCCUGCCUCCAAUUUCUCAGAUCCCUCUCUAUCUGUCUCUUUACACUCUGUGGAAAGUAAGUUGUCAACAGUAAUUCCUUAAACCUCUUCCAAGUGAUCAUAGAUAAAUCAGUAUAGGGAUCCUCGCGAAUAUCUAACAACCACCUGUAAGCCUCGCCAUCCAUAUGGUGUGUCGCAAACCAGACUCGGUCUCGCUCCUCUACAAAGGAAUCGUAAAAUAACUUCUCCAUAUGCAUCAGCCACUUUUCGACUAUCCAGUGAUCAGCUUUUUCACCGUCAAAUACACGAGGAUUGCAACGGCGAAAUUCAUUCAGUCGCUCCAUCAUCUGCUCUCGCUCCUCGGCCCUUACCAUCUCUGGUAGCAUUGCCCCUGUCGCAGCCACAGGCACUGGCGGUGGUACUACUGCCUUCUGCCGGGCCUCUACCCUCGGGGCUGCAUGUGAAGUAUCUGGUGCUGAUGGAUGUGCUCCUGCAGUCGUAUCCCUCUUUGGUACUGCUGGCGUAGGAUCUGGAACCUUUCUAUCCGUCGUCUACCGCAGUAGCAAAUCCUCCAACCUCUUCAUUCUUUUCUCUUGUCGGCGUGCGACAUCCAUCUGCUGUCGGGCUGCCGUUGGCUGUUGUGUCACUAAAUCUGUAAACACUGCAAGCUGAUCUUGCAGCUCACGAACCUCACUCGAUCCAGAGGUAGCAGUAGUCUCCACUUCCUCUGCAUCAGCGGCUUCAGCCGCUCCAGCUGCCAUAGAACGAGUCGUAGGCAUCUUAAUUGGAACAAAACAAACAUGGAUUAAUAACACUUACACUAUUAACCUCCACUUCAUAUAUUAACCACCCAUUUAAACGAAAGUAAUGAAAUGUAACAUAUACUAACUUUAGAUGUCACGUUGUCGGCCGCCAACAUGUCCCUCUGCAAAGUCAGCAAUUGUACGUUUCAAUCAAACUCCUACCAUUCGGAGUUUAUAAUUUACCCAAUAAAAAUACUUUCGCUAAAACUUAACUAGACCUCGUCUCUCAUGAACCUAUUUUUAUAAUCCAACCAGCCUAAGAUUCGCUAGGUCCACUAAGACUCAACCCUAGGCUCUGAUACCAUUAUAAUCUGUCACACCCGAGUAUCAGUGGAAGCCUACCCGGUACAUGUACAGAUCCGCCAUACACCUGCAGUAUAUAAGGCAUUUACAAAGAAGCAUGUCGAAAAAGAGAAAACAUAGAAGAAUUCUAACCUGAUAUCAAAGCAAAGUAUAAGUCGAUAAUACAACCAUCAGAAAACAGUAAGUAUAAACAGCUCAGAUUCUCAAUUCCACAGGAAAACACCAAAACUGUAAUCUCUGAUUCAAAUCACAUAUACAUCACAGGGUACACAAAAUAUAUGUACAAUGGUAGUCUUUCUAUAUACGGGGACAUCACCCUUGGCCGUAGCCCGAGUAGCAAGGUGAUCAUCUAGUCAAGCUCCAAGCUAUAUCUAGUUAGACGCGACUCCCUUGCCACGAUCCCUAGCCUCUCCUGUUGAUGGCUCUGUAAAAACAACAAUAAAAAGGGCGUGAGAACUAUUCAACAAUAGUUUCCAGUGGGUAAGCCGCCAGCCUCGGCGAAUUACACCACUAGGCUCAUGAUGAUAUACUAAAGAAAAUGUAAGCACAGUUAUAACAUGUAAGUUUUAUCAACAAUAAAGAACUAUGAAAUUGUGUCAUGCUGUCAGAUAUAUUUAUCAAGUAAAACGGGUAAGGUAAUCGCAAUGUACUUGAAUAUAUCAAGUAGAGAUGUAAUUGUAUACUACUCAAUGAUAAUCACCUGUUGUUAUCAUUUAAUAUAUAUUGAUUUAAUUUAUAAGGACCUAUUCAAGGUAGUCAAGCUUGUGCCGCGCCUAAUGGCCCCGUGGUAGUAUACACUCUCCACGGCAAUCCAUUUCGGCACCCAAUCCCGCACGGGCGAGCAAUCUAUCGUGUAGGCCAACUCCGGAGUGCCGGCUUGUGGGGAGCGACCCUCACAAGCAUGUGCGAAUGAGCACAAUGGCCAGCAAACAUAAUUAAUAGUUUAACAAUUCUCAAUUGUCAUGUCUAAACAUAUAAGAUUCUUACUCUCGACCUUUAGGUCAGAUUUCAACAUAGCAGGUUAGUAUCCACCAGAUUAAAUGAUUAGGCAAAGAACUAUAAAAUUACAUAUGUCACUUGCAUCAACUACUAGUCAAUGACAAUGCAUGAACAUACUAUUAACCGAGACAUAAAUUGAUCACCUCAUCAUUUAUUGCUUAUGCAUUUAAAAUGAAUAAGAAGGCAAUCAUUCAUGAUUCACGUAGUUACGCCUAAUUCAUAGUUAUAUAGCAUCAUAUAGAACAUAGAAGGAAUCCACUUGCUCUGGUGAGGUCAAACCCACCUACUAAACGAUGCCUCUUGUCAAUCUCACACGGUGAGCAAUUCAAGCAUCCAGGUUCCUAAUUCAUGAGUCAAAAUCAGCUACAAGCUGAAUUAGAUAUCUAUAGCAAAAUCUCACCUAUUCAUCGAAUAGGUAGUAAUUACUUACCUAAGUUAAAAGGGAGAUUAAAUCCACUCUCCAAUGUAUGUAGAAGCUCCCCAAAACUCAGCUCAAACCUGCUCAAAUGAGUCCCGAAUUCAGCUCAACCAGGUCUUAACCCUGCUGCGAUUUACUUAUAAAACUGCAUCGAAAUUUAUAUCAAAACAUUCAUUUUCAGCAACAUUUUCCCUUAUACCCGGUCACAGCUUACACCCUUGUUUUGGUUCAGGUUAGCACGCUCAAUUCCAUCUCCGAAGGCUCUCAAUAUAUAGCCGAAAGUUAUCCAUUACCCUGUUAUAAAUCUGCUGCGUAUUAGCUUCAAAACUGCAUCAACAUCAUUACUAGAACACUCUAAUUCAACCUAAUUCUCACCUAGGUUCAGCGCAGUGUUAAUCCUCCACCUCGACUCCGGUUACACAUCUUAAUUCGGCUCAUAACCAUUCUUCAAAUCAGCUCUAAAUGGAUAACAUACAGCUGAGAGCAUCAGCCCAAAAUCAGCAUCUCUACUCUAUCUUUACAUCAUAAAUAUGAUAAAUAUAAGAUAGAUAAGGAACUACUCACAUUCUCCAAGUUCAAUUCAGCUUUCUAGGAAAUUAUAGUAGAAAAUUUCAGGAGUUAAACCCUUCUCUAGCUGUCUUGUGGCUUCUCCCAAUUCAGCUAACAAAACAAAGAACCAAAUCCUACUUAACUCCAUCAUUAAGCCUCAAACUAAAUAGUAAUUAAGUAAUAUUACCUUUCCAAAACCUCAACCAGCUAUAAGAGUGUGCAAGGUCACGAAAUACCCCUUAAUACUCCUCAUUCUUUUACCCACAGCAACUCCAAAACAGUCCCUGCCAGUAAACAUCAAGCAAAGAGAUGAAUCAAGCUUAAACCCUUGAUUCCUUAUAGAGAUAGAAAAAUUUCCUAGAGAGAGAGAAAAGGAAACCUUCAAACCCACUUUGCUGAGCUCAAGGAUGCUUAUCCAAGUUGCAGGGGUCGAGCUGGGGUUAAAAGGGAUAAGCUUGAUGAGUAAAAAGACCAAAAAGGGCUUGCUGCCACGCAACUGCUGUCUCUACUGCUUGCUGUACCGGUACAGACUAAGGGUUGUACCGGUACACCAAUGUAGAAAAUGCAAAUCUCAAGAUUGCAAUGCACUUUCUCGCUUCCCACAUUCCGAUCACUCUCAAACUUAUUCAUAAUUAUCUUUAAACCCUUUACAACAUAUGGAAAGGUUCCAAAUAUCAUUCACCUUACUCGAAUUUCGCAAUUUGCUAAAGUUCAAUUUACUACAAUAAUUAAAAUUUAAAAAUAAAACUCAAACCCACAAUUCAAAUUCAAUUUUAAAAAUAUAAUUUAUUUUAAAAAAAUAUAUAGAUUAAUAUCUGAAUUUAAAUUAUUGUUAGUGAAAAAAAAAUUCGUUUCUCAAUUCUUUUCCAAAUCAAAAUUGAUUCGUACCUCAAUGGUGAGAAUCAUUAUGGAAAUAUUCGAUUUCCUGGCCUCAAAUAAAACUCCAAUAUAGAAAUGAAUCAAUCCAAAUAUUCAUUACAAGGUUCAAAUCCUUCAAAUCAAACAUGCCGCCCUUAAUAUUCAAUUUAAACAAUGUAAAAUAAAACGAAGAUAUUAAUUAUAGAAUGUUGUGUUGAAUUAAAAGGGGCUAGUUCAGGAGUCCUAUUUAUAUUAGUUACUUUUUCUUUAUUUUCACUUUCUGGUUGGCUCGUGUAUGAAGAGUUUUUUUUUUUUUUUUUUUUUUUUUUUUUUUUUUUUUGAGGGAGAGAUAGGUAGCACGCUGUCCGCUUCAUUUAUUUCAUUUAGAAAUAAACUUAGCCGGAAAUGUGAUUCAAUUAGAAUUCAAAUUUGGAAUCUCGGUACCAACCAUCAAAUCUUUGCCACUUACUCAAGAGACGGUCAGUCUCUUAUAUAAAGAGUUGACAUGAGUUCGUAGUUCUUACAACAAAUAAUACGGUGAAAGUUUGGGCCUCAAGUUUUGCCUGCUAAAAUAAGGAUACAAUUGAAACUACACAACUUGGUGAUGCAAAAUCAACCGUGAGAUUAGUAUUACAUACAAUUGGCAAUUUUAUUCUCAAAGUUCAAAAUAAAGUUUUUUUUUUUUUUUGAAAAACAAGGGGAAAAUUUUGAAGCAGAUAUUUGGGAAACGAGAAUCCCUGUUAUCUCGGCCGGUUGUUGACAAAAUUACCGGCCCCCUGCUUUGUAUUUAUGCUCUAAACAUAAUUAAUUACUUUAACCCUUUCCGCAACUUUUCAUCUCCUUCAUAUUAUUAUUAUUAUUUUUUUUUUUCUUGUGUGUUUUGGACCCCACUCUCUUUGAAAGGAGGAAUGUUCCCCGCGUCGCGCUCUUUCCUCUCGUCUCUUUCCUCCUCCCUCCGUCCUCGUGCGCUGGUAAGUAAGAGAUGCUUAGCAUCUUCUCCUCCUCCGCCGCCGCUUCCGGAAACGCGCUUCGCCCCGAAGAAGGCGAUUCGCGCGAUGAGCCUGAGCGACUCCGUCGCCCACCAAACCGCGUUCGCCCUGCGCCUCGCGCCGCGCGUGGCCGCCGCCGCGGCGGAUGAGGGCGCCAACGUCGUGUUCUCGCCGCUCUCCCUCCACGCGCUCCUCAGCCUCGCGGCGGCGGGGACGCGGGGCCCCGCCCUCGACGAGCUCCUCGCCGUGCUCGCCCCCGCGGGCGGCGGCUGCGGCGCCACCGCGGACGACGUUGCCGCCCUCGCCGCCCACGUCGUCGGCCGCGUCCUCGCCGGCGCCUCCGCCGGCGGUGGGCCCCGCGUCUCCUUCGCGAACGGGGUGUGGGUCGACGCCUCCCUCUCCCUCAAGGCCGCGUUCGCAGAGAUCGCCGCCUCUGCUUACAAGGCGGAGAUCCAAUCCGUCGAUUUCCAAACCAAGGUUUGAAUCCAUGCUCUAUGAUUUUUCUUCUUUUUUCCCUUUUCCUUUUCCUUUUUCUUUUUCUUUUUCUUUUCGUUGUUCGUUUAUCGAGUUAUUAGGGUUUAAGCUUGAAUAUGCAUGUCUUGGGGGGCUCGGAUCAAUCUAAAAGAUUAUUAGUCUCGCAGGUAGAGAAAUGGUGAGAACCAUAUCUGGUGCCUAUUUUAACAUGCCAAUGCCAACAAAAUCGAAUUGAAUCUUAACUGAAUCGAGGUUGAAAUAGAAGCAGAAGAAACUAGAUUAGAUUAGAAAUGGUUCUGAUACUAUAUCCAAUCGCAAUCGCAGAGACCAACCCAACAGCUUAAAGUUCGCAGUGAAUAAACGCCUAAUUUUUUUUGUUUUUAGUAUUCUAGAAUUUGAGGCAGCUGAGCACUGGUGAAUAUGUUUCUCUUCCAGUUUUGGUUAUUCUAUGUCAUUUGUGUUUGUUUAUCAGUUUUUUUUUUUCUAUUGAUUUAGGAUGAUGAAAUUACCGAUCAAAUUAACUCAUGGGUUAGUUCAGCAACAAAUGGUCUUAUAAAAAAUAUGAUUCCCGAUGGAGCUAUCGAUCAAUUAACUAGGGUGGUGCUCGGUAAUGCUAUUUACUUUAAAGGGGCUUGGGCUGAUAAAUUCGACGCAUCAGGAACGGAAGACGGUGAGUUCCACUUGCUCAACGGAAAUUCUGUACUAGUGCCCUUCAUGACGAAUCGGGAAACGCAGUUCCUGUCUUCAUACGAUGACUUCAAAGUGCUCAGGCUUCCCUAUAGAAAAGGGGAUGAUCGGAGACAAUUUUCCAUGUAUAUUUUCCUGCCCGACGAUCGAGAUGGGCUAUGGAAUUUAAUUGAUAAGUUGAGUUCCGAACCCGAAUUCCUAAACCGCCAUCUCCCUAAGCGGGAGGUCAAAUUGGGAGAGUUCAGGAUCCCCAAAUUCAAAAUAUCUUACGGGUUGGAUGCAUCUCGAGUUCUGAAAGAGAUGGGAGUACAUAUGCUCUUCUGUGGGGAUGGGGGCCUGACUGAAAUAGCCGAUUCACCCAUCGCCGACGGAACAUCGAUUUUGCACAAAUCUUUCGUCGAAGUUAAUGAGGAAGGAACGGAAGCAGCUGCCGCUUCUUUCAGGAUGCUUAGGGGUUGUUGCAGGGCGCCUCCUCCUCCUCCGGACUUCGUUGCUGAUCACCCUUUCUUUUUCUUGAUCAGGGAGGACACAACCGAAGCGGUGUUGUUCAUGGGCCACGUGCUCGAUCCCUCUGUGGCCGCGUAAAUAAUGAAUCCGUUCUCAGGCAUUUGGUAGUUUAUUCCUUCUUUUUUUGUUUUUUUCUCCCCUGAAUCAACUCUUUGGAGUCCAAAAAAAUGUAUGCGAGACGCCAUGAGCGCAACUCUAUAGGUGUGUUUUUAAAGUCGUUUGUGUGUGGUAAGGAGUAUUUCUUGUUGGUGCUGCUGAGGUUACUGUUUUGAUUAUUAUUAGAGCCACGUUUAGUUAUCCAAAAGUGGCUGAAUUGAAAAUACUUUUUUUUUUUUUUCUUUCGCUAAAUUACAAAAAAACCAUUCUAUCAAAAACUGAUUUUUUACUUUCCUCCCUGUCUAUUAAAAUCUACACAUUGCCCCCCUAAAAAAAUAAAACAUCGGGUUUUGAAAGGGAGGUUUUCUGUAAUUUAUUUUUUUUUUUUUUCAAUUCGAUUAUUUAGAUACAUAUAGAGUGAAACAUGAAAAAUAUAAUUUUAUAAUUUUGAUUCUUUAAUUAUAGUAAAAAAAGUGAAAAUAUAAACAAACGACUUAUACUCACAAUUUAAAUUAAAAUUUGAAAUUUGAAAUUUAAAAUUUUAUUCUUAAAAUUUAAAUUUAAACUUAAAUCAAGUUGAAUUUAUAACUAAAAUUUAAGAAAAUUUAUUCAAAUUUUAAUUCAUAAUUUAAAUUUAUAAUUUGAGUCUUAGUUUAAUUUACUUUCUGACUCAAAAUUUUGUAUUCAAAUAUGAAUUCACAAUUUGAAUUAAUAUUUAAAUUAAAAUUAAAAUUUGAGUUUAAAUCACACGAACUGAAUAUUUGAAUUCAAAAUUCAAAUUCAAAAGUUCAAACUGUGAACAUUAUUGAAAUUAAAUAUAAAUAGCAAAUUUAAAUUUAAAUUUGAAUUUCAACUUAAAAAUAUAAAUUUUAAAUUNUUAAAAUAAUUUAAAAAUAGAAUUUAAAUUUGAAUUAAAAUAAAUAUUUAAAUAUUUAAAUUUAAAUAUAAAGUCAUAAAUUUGAAUUUAAAAAUUUUAUGUUGAAUUUGAAUUUACAAAUAAAUUCAGAAUGUGAUCUAAAUUUAUAUUCUAGAAUUCAAAUUUAAAUAAAAAUAAAAACUUAAAUAUUUAAAUUUAAAUAUAAAGUCACAAAUUUGAAUUUAAAAAGUUUUUUGUUAAAUUUGAAUUUAUAAAUAAAAUUCAGAAUGCGUUCAUGAUUUUAAUUCAAAUUUAAAGUGAAAUUCAACUUUAAAAUAAAAUUCAAAGAUUAAAGUUAAGACCAAAUAUAUCCUUUGAGCUAAGCUCUCUAAUUUCGGUUACUUUCGAAUUUUUUGAGCCAAAGUAAAAAGUGUGAGAUUUAAUUAUAAUUCAUUUAAUCAAUCCAUUUUUGUAAAAUGUCUUUCAUAUUUAUUUUCGCUACGCAAACAAUUGAUAUGACAUCACUUUUUAAAAUAUCACUUUCGGUACUUCACUUUCGGCCAACCAAACAUGCCCUUGGAAUCACUACAACGAUAUACUUUGUAACCCAAGUACUAGCGACUUGGUCUAUUGGGCCUCUUAUGCCCAUCGGGGUUUUUUGCAUCAGCCCAAUUAAAAUGUCACGUUUAACUCACGCGAUGUAGAAUUGACGUCUGAUAUUAUUAUGGAUAUUGCGACUUUGUUCUCAGAAUUGUUUUUCUUGUUUACCUGCUGUUGAAUUUUCAAGAAAACCCAAGUCUAGAAUGCAAAAGGUAAUUUUAUACACUUAUAAAAUAAUAAAUUUACCAAAAGAAAAAAGAAAUUAGAGAAGAAAUAUUACAAUUAUAAUUUUCAAAUGUUUGAGAACAGAAGUGUUAACGUCAAGAGUUUGUUCAUGCGUCAGUCUCAACAUUGGAGCGUUGCAGGGACUAUCAAUACAUUUUUAGAAAAAAAAAAAUCUAUAAAAUCUUUCAUUUUUAUUCCCAAAAUGGCCUUGAGGGAAUCCAUCGCCCUUCAAACUGAGUUUCCCUUUGUUUUAGGCUUGUUUGGUUUUACCAAAAGUGGCCGGACUGUAGGCCUAAGUGAACUGUGGUAAAAGUAAAGUUCAGAUAAAAAUUACUUCUUUCCAAAGUUGUUUGGUUUUACAGUUAUGAAAGUAAAGUUUCUUCAAUUCUAUUAUUAGCUUGGUAGAAAGUGAAUGACGUUACAAUUAUAAUUUAUAUACAUAAAUAACAAAUAAUUAGAUAAAUAGUAAAUUAUAAUAUAAUAAAGGCCUUUUUUCAUAAAAAAUCUACUAAUUUUGGGCUUUUGGAAGAUUGGAUCGUCUUUUUCGAUUUUGUAGAUUCAGUCCGGAGUUUCAGCAAACUGACCAAAAUACCCUUAUUAUUUUUUCUCUCUCCUCUUUUUUUUCUCUCAUUCUUUUUUUCUCUCUCUGAAAAAGGCAGUGGAGGCGGAGGCGGAAACAACCUGCCUCGCCUCUGCCCUGCACGCCCUCGCUCUUGCCCGUGCACCCCCGCCCUCGCAUCCGACCUUGCUCAGCCGCGUCGCGACCCCCUUCUUCAUUAGGGCACGACAACUUCGAGGUGCAGGCUUUUCUCCUCCACGGCGCAUCCAAACGCCGCGACGUUGUCAGAGGCGACGAGAUCGCCUCCGACGACGUCGCCGACAACGCCGCGAUGGUUACGAUAGAGAGCAAGGAAAAUGUGGUGACAAAAAAAUAUAUAGAAAAAAAAAAUAAAAAAAAAUAAAAAAAAUCUUUUUCUUACAGAAAAGAUCAAAAAAUAUAGAUGAAGAAAAAAGAUGAUGAAAUUACAAUGUUAAAAUAUGAUUACACUGUUUUUAAAAAAAAUUACACUGUUUUAAUAAAAAUUGCACUAUUUGAUAUACAAAUUACACUCUUUUAAAAUUAAUUUUACACUCUUUAGAUUAAAAUUACACUCUUUAAGAAAAUUUUGCACUAUUUCUUUUUUUUUUUUUUCUUUUUCUCUUUCUCUUCUUCUUCUUCUUCCUCCUCAUCCUCCUUCGCAUCUCCUCCUCCUCCUCUGUCGCCACUGACACCGCCGCCUCCACUACGUCCUUCAACUUCGAGAUCUCCGGCGAGCACUCCUUGAAGGACACCUCGUCGUUCUCCGCCGCCACCGCUGCCCACGCCGCGAUCCCCUGCCUCCGAGUCUCUAUCUCUUUCUCCAUCUCCGGCCCCGCUCCCUCCGCGGCCGCCGCAUCAGACGACCGAGCCGCCGCUGCCGCCGAGAUGGAGAAGAUGCUGGGGGACGCCGCAUCUUCUCCUUAAUGCUUAUUAACUUGUUUAUUUAUUGCAUACACAAUACUACACUGUACAAAUGCUUAUGUAUAUUUUCAAUAGAAAAAAAAUGAGAAAAAAGAAAAGAAAUGAAAAUAUAUUACCAACCAUUAAUGCUUCCUAAAGAAAUGACCAAGAAUUAAACAAAAUCCCACUUGAGCAUUUACCAUGUAACAUACAAGUUUUUAUUUCCUUAAUUUCUCUAAAUCGCAGGAAAAAAAAAUGGAGGAUUAACAUACAUACAACUAGUUGUAACAAGGCGUCGGCGAUGGCUCGGUCGUCGGGGGCGAGAAGAGUCAUCUUGCGGAGGGGCGCGAGCUCGACGAGGUGGGCGCGGAUCGCGGCUGCGGCCACGAUGUAGCGGCCGCUGUGAGCGAGGCUCGCCGCGGCGUCCCCCAGCAUCUUCGAACCGUCUUCUUGCCGCGGAGUCCCCCAGCAUCUUCGAACCGUCUCCUCGCCACUCUUUUUCGAACCGUCUUCUUGCCGCGUCACGCGCUCGAUCUCCUCCGCAAUCGGGGUCCUGGCCGAGUCAGUGUCGGCAGCGUCGAGGGCCAGGCGGAGCACGGCGAGGCAGUCGGCGAGGUCGAGGGCCUCACGGCUCUAACGGGGGUGGAAAGAGAAAUGGUGUAAGGAGGAGGAAGAAUGAGGAAGAUGGGGGAAAGGAGAAAUAGCGUAAAUUUCAUCUUAAUAGUGCAAUAUUCGUCUAAAGAGUGUAACUAUUGAUUCCAAAGAGUGUAAUUUUUACUUCAAAAUGUGCAAUUUUAUCUAAAACAGUGCAAAUUUUUUUUAAAAUAGUGUUGUUUUAUUUAACAGUGCAAUUUCAUCUUUUUCUUCAUUCUUCUAUGAUUUUUGAUCAUUUUUGAGGAGAAAUAGUUUAACAAGAGAAAAAACAGUGCAACAAGAGGAGAAGCAGUAUAAAUAUCUCUUAAAGGAGUACAGUUUAAGAUAAAAAUAGUGUAACAAGAGGAGAAAUGGUGCAACAAGAGAAGAAACAAUGCAACAAGAGGAGAAACAAUAUAAAUAUCUCUUAAAGGGGUGCAGUUUAAGAUAAAAAACAGUAUAACAAGAGAAAAAAUUCUGCAACAAGAGGAGAAACAGUGCAAGAUUCGUUUAAAGAGUGUAACUUUCAUCUUAAUGGAUGCAUUUUACAUCUGAAAGAGUGCAAUAAGAAGAGAAACAGUGUAAAUAUCUCUCAAAGAGUGUAAUUUUCGUUUAAAAGGUGUAAUUUUCAUCUUAAAGCUCCAGUUUACAUCUUAAGUAGUGCAAUUUAUAAUUUUUUUUGCAGUUAAUGAUGCAAUUUCAUCUCCAUCCUUCUUUUUAUAUAAUUUUUUAUCUUUACUUUUUUCUUUUUUUUCUAUAAUUUUUUUUUGUCACCCUCUCUGCCAACAGUCACAGUGCCGGCGACGACGCCGCUAAUGACCCUCCGCUCCGAGGCUGCAGCGCCGCAGUGACCUCCACGGUGUCGGCGUCGGCACCGGCGAAAAUGUAUCGUUGUUGGAGGCGACGGAGAAGGAGGGAGAGGAAGAGGCGAGAAGGGCGGGGAAGAGCGAGAGAGGCGUCGUCGUCGGAGACGGUGGAGGAGAGUCGGGAAAGAAAAGAAAAGAAAAAAAUAUAAAAAAAAAGUCGCGGCGCGGCCUUGGCGAGGUCGAAGGUGAGGAAGGUGGAGGGUGCGUGGGCGAGGGCAAGGGCGAGGGCGAGAGCAUGAGGGUGAGAGACGAGGCGGACCGUUUUCGCCUCCGCCUCUGCCUUUGUUACUUUUUUCGGCGAGAAAAAAAAAAAAGAGAGAAACGAAGAGGAGAGAGAAAGAGGAAAGAGAAAAAGUAAUAAGGGUAUUUUGGUCAGUUUGCUGAAAAAACGGACCGAAUCUGCAAAAACAAAAAAGGUGGCCCAGUUUUGCAAAAGCCCAAAAUAAGUGGAUUUUUUAUGCAAAUUGGCCUAUAAUAAAUAAUAUUCCUAUAUAAUUAAUAAAAGGAAUUUGAGACAACUUAAUUAAUUUUUUUAUACGUAAAUCCUUACAAAUACAUAAUUUGACAGUUUUUGGAGGCAUACGUGGCGAAUUUUUGUGCUUUCAUAUCUUGCACCAACGGGAAGAAUCCAAAUGGCUUCUUGGCUCCUUUCCAAGGUUUGACCAGGUCAAGACAGCUCCUUGGCUACUUCCCAAGGUUGAAACAGAUUGGACCAAAAAAUUUCCUCCUUUCUAAGGUUUGACCAGGUCAAGACAGUUACUCCCUCUCUCCUCUUCCCGAGAUUUUUUGUCUCUCUCUUCUUCUACAGGUAGCCCCCCCUCUUAUCUCUCUUCCUUACUUAAGAUGGCCUAUUUCUCUCUCUCUCUCUCUCUAUAAUCCUCUUUCUUUUUUCUCUCAUCCAGUUAGCUCAUUCUUUCUCUCUCUUCUCCUCUCCCCUACUCUCUCUCUCUCUCUUCCCUUCUUCUCUCUAUCUUAGCCCCCUCACUCUCAUCCUAUUAUUCGCACCCACUGUCGUUUCGGCAACAAGUGGCGACCAUCUCCCGCCUGCUCUUUGGCCGCACCGACAAUGCCAUCAAGAACCACUGGAACUCCACCCUUAAGUGCAAGUACGUGGCCCCCGCCGCCGUCGCGAUCGACUCCGCCGUCGCCGCGCCGGAUUUCGGAGAUGACGAGGCGCUGCCGCCGCGGUUGCCAAAGCAAGCCAGCAACGUCGGGCCCGCCGUGUCGGCGGAGCUCUGCCUCAGCCCCGGCAGCCCUUGCGGCUCGGAUCUCAGCGACUCCACCCACCACACCUACCCCUUCGCCGCUUCGCCACCCAGAAUGGCGACGGUGGCGCACGUGUACCGGCCGGUGCCGAGAACAGAAAAAAAAGGAAAAAAAAAAGAGAGGCAUGAAGUAUAACUUCACACCUUCUUAUCUAUUUUUACUUUUUUUAUUUCUGAUAUUAUAUUUUUUCUCAACAGAAAAGCUCAAAAUAUUUUUUUUUAUAAUAAAUAGGAAUGAUCACAUGCUCCACAACUUUUUUUAGGCAUGUAUUUUUCUUCUUAAACCUCUUUGUAUUUACUUUUUUUUAACUAUAAAUUUUUUUAUUUUAUUUUUCUACUUAACUGUUUUAUAAUAAUAUAAAAUUAAUCGUUAACUGCAGCGAAGCGCGGGUUCUAUACUAGUUAUGAUAAUACAACAAUAAAAUCAUAGAGUAAGAAAACUAUUAAUACUCAAGAAAUCAAUUCUUUUUAUAUUUUAAAUAUGCAAACUAAAUAAAAGAGAUACAAAACAUAAUUAAUCAAUUUUUAUCGCAUACUAAACAUGUAAGCUUCUGUAGCAGCCCACAGUAUACCUUGCGAAAGGCCCUGAAUUAUUGGAGUUGCAGAGCUUGACAAAGAUUCAAUCACCUUCAGCAAACUCCAAUGGCCACCGUGUUGCAUCAACCCACUUUGUCAUUCGGCAUGCCUUCUUCUUUGGAUAGGCCCUCGCGAUCUCGCCCUUUUUCUGUAGUUUUGAAGUGAAUUAGAGUGCCAUGGGCUGUGGCCUCACUCGUCGACUGUGCGUGGGGCCGACAGUUAUCUUCUUAUCGCUAGCUCAAAUGGGCUUAGAUUCAUGAACUCGCUCAGCUGCAAAUUGUAAGAGAACUGAGCCACAUUACGAUAGUGCACCAAGUUCUUCUAGUGGGCACCCGCACAGUGUCAUAGGUAUUCCUUCAACAGGGUGUUCACCCGCUCUAUUUGCCCGUCCAUCUGUAGGUGGACACUGGUGGAGAAUAGCGACUCCGACCCUAAGAUCUAAAAUACCUUUGUCCAGAACUUGCCCAUAAACCUGGAUUCACGGUCGGUCUUCGGGAUCCCUAAAGCUUCACUAUAUGGCUAAUGAAGAGCCACGCCACUUCUUCUACCGUGUAAUCCGCUGGUGCCAAAAUAAAGGUUCCAUACUUGGAGAAUCGAUCCACCACCACGAGGAUGGACCCUAACGCCCCUACCUUUGGCUAGGUGGAGAUGAAGUCCAUUGAGACUCACCCACAGAUGCUUCGGUGUAGGUAAUGACUCGAGAAUGUCGCCGGGCCUCUAGUGCUCAACCUUAUCUUGUUGGAACACAAGGCAAUUCUGCACAUACGCCUCCAUAUCUUCAUGCAUUUGAGGCCAAUAGUAUGCAUCCUCCAGUAUGCGAAAGUUCGUUUCUGCCCAGGAUGUCCUAACUACUUGGAAUCAUGGCAUUCUUUUAUAAGCUCUCGACGAAGAUUGCCCUACUUGGACACAUAGACGUGACGUCCCUUGCUAAAGAGCAACCUACCACUAAGCGAAAACAGCUAUGCCUUGCCCUCCUUGACGAGCCGCACGAGUUCUUUGGCUAAAGGGUCCUCGCAAGUCCUUUCACGGAUUUGCUCCCUAAUCGCCCCUUGGAGCUCGCACACUGCAGCCAACUCCACCUUACAACUAAGUGCAUCAGCCACGUGAUUCUUCUUCUAGUGUUUGUAUUAGAGCUCCGUGACGAACUCCGCCUAGAAGUCUUGCUAUCUCGCCUGCUUAGGUGAAACCUUCUUUUGGGUUUGGAAGUAGCUCGUGGUGCUAAUGUUCGUCUGCACCACGAACUUGAUCUUGAGAAGGUAGUAAUGCCAAGUCCUCAAGAAUGCACCACGACGAUCAUUUCCUUCUCCUAAACAAUGCAUCGCCGCCCAAUGUCAUUCAGCUUGCGGCUCUUGUAGGUGAUGGGUUGCCCAUCCUACAUGAUAAUACCGCCAAUGGUAAAGUCCGAAAUAUCUAUAAGCACUUCGAAUGGACUAUUGCAAUCAAGAAGUCGUAGUACUGGAUCAUCCGUCAUCGCCCACUUAAGGUCCUCGAAUGCCUCCGCGCACUAACCAGUCCAAUCCCAUGGCUAGUUCUUCUUUAGUAGGUCUGCCAACGGAGCCACUCGUGUAGAGUAGCACACAAUGAAGCGGCGAUAGUAGUUGACGAGUUUGAGAAAGGCUUACAGUUCAUACACUAUCAUGGGUGUCCCCCACUAGUAGAUUGCCCACACCUUUCGGUGGUCCAUGUGGAGUUGCCCCUGGCCCAUCUAUUGGCCAAGGAAGUGCACCUAAUUCUUCAUGAUGGAGCACUUCUUUUUCUUGAUAAAAAGCUGGUUCUCUCGCAGUACAUGAAAGAUGGUCCAUAGAUGCUCGACAUGCUCCUUCAAUGUGUUGACACAACGAUGUCGUUCAGCUGCACACUACCAUGAAGUAACUGAGGUAAGGGUGGAAUAGCUUGUUCAUAAGAGUGCAGAAGGUCGCCGGCGCAUUUGUCAGGAUGAAUGGCAUGACAAGGAACUCUUAAGCCAUGUACCUCAUCACGCGUGUGGUCUUCUCCUCGUCUACUUCCACAAUUCAGACUUGAUAUACCCUGAGUGGAGAUCGAGCUUGGUGAAAUACUUCACCCUACCUAGCUGGUCAAAGAAAGCUGCAACCAAAAUGAUAGGGUACUUAUUUUUUACUAUUGCCUUAUUGAGUGCCCUCUAAUCAAAAUAGAGUCAUAGUCUUCCGUCGCUCUUCUGUUAGAAUAGUAUUGAUGCUCCAUAGGGUGCCUUCGGCAGUCUUAUAAAGCUCAAUCGAGGAGCUCUUGCAAUUGGUUUGCAACUCCUCGAGCUUCAACUGGACUAUUCUAUAUGGUGCUGUAAUUGGUGGCUUGGCUUCUAACUCGAGGUCAAUUGCAUAGUCCACUUCCCGCUUAGGUAGGAGUCAUUUGGGUAGUUCCUAAGGCAUAACAUUUUAGAAUUCCCUCAAGACUGCAUCAAUUUCUAUCGAAAAGACCUUCUCAAGGCCCUCAUCGUUACCUCGCAAAUGGCCGCAAGGUAAGUCAUCUCGCUAUUGUAGUGUCCAUAGGGUUUAGUUGACGGAGUGACUACAGUAUCAGCGACUAGUCGACACAUCUGGAGACUGUCGGACUGAGUUGGAGUCGUUUUUGCACAAAAUGGAUGCACAAAUGGACUUGGCGAACUCAAAUAAGCAAAACUGGUAUUUUGCCAGUUUAGGGCGCCCAGAAAUGGGUUUAGGGCACCCAGAUCUUGAGUGUUGUUUUGUAUUAGAUGCUGCAGCCAUUUCGGACCCUAUUUAAGGCACCCGAAAAUUGGAUCCGAAAAUUCACAUCGUGAAUAUCGAUUGCGUUGACACGUGGGUGUGGUAGGUGAGCUCCGCCGAAACCGGAUAGCGGUGUAGCUGACCGUCGGACGGAGGAACCGAGGUACUGUUUGUGUAGGCUGAAAGUUCUAGGGGCCCAGAACUGGGUUUAGGGCGCCUAGAUCUUGGUUUUUCUACAGCAGUGCAGGUUAGUAAAGGUUAUCCUUAAGGCUCAAUGCACCUAACCCCUACCUGUAUAAAAAGCUGUGGACGACCUCAGUGAACCCUUUUCACCUCUUCUUCAUAGGAAGCCUGCAAUUUUGCAUUCUAGCCCCUCAAUUACUCCAAAUUUCACAAUUCCACCUUGAGGAUUGCUGAUUUAGCAGAAUUACAGCAGCGACCUUCGGCGUUUUGGCUCGUGUGCGACGUAGGAAGCUCUGUUUGCCACGAAACUUAGUUUGGUGGAUUUUGGACUUCAAGACGAAUUCGUGGAGCCCAUUUUGAUAGAAUUUGGUUGAGGUUAGCUUGGUCAAUUCUGCGUUUUUCUCUGCUGCUGGUAGUUUUAAGCUGAAAUUGGGAGUUUUGGGUUUUCUUGAUGCUAUCUUUGGAGGAAGCUGGAUCUUGGACCUGAGGGUGAUUCUCCAUCAUUGUACACUGGUUUUGGGACCUUCCUCACCUGAUUUGAAGAUUGUUAGGUGAGUUUUGACAUUGGAAUUGGAGGAAUGAGCUUACGUGCUGAAAUUUGAGGGUAAUAAUGCAAGUUUUGGUGUUUUUGGUGUUUUGAUCCUUGAAGGAGUUUGGUUGCUGGUUCUAAGAUUUAGGAUAGUUUCAGCAGUGGUUCCAGCAACUUCGCGAUCUCGUGCUGCCGUGGAUUAGCGCUAGAGGUGGGUUAAUCAUCUAAUUCUCCUCCUAAGUGUAUGCAUAGUCAACAUGUAUAUUUUCAGCCUUUGUAUAUCAUAUUUUUAGCUCGAAUUCAUCGAUUAGUAUGUUAAAUGAAAUCUGAAUUUGGAGUAUACUGUAGUGAGUUAGAUAAAUUAUACAUGUUGGACUUGGAAUUGACUUAGGAGAAAACUAGCGAUUCUACACUAUCAUAUGUUAAACUAUCAGAUUUAGCUCUAGGAGCCGUAGUUUGUUUGUAUCACCACAGUUUGUGUGUAGUGGAUACCCAUAUUAGUGUAGAAUGCAUUACGUUCGUGCUGGGAUGUCGAGCUUGAGUAAUAUUCAAUUGUAGGUUCUACACUAUCAUUUCUAAAAAUUAUCAGAUAGCUCCUUAAGCUAUUGUGCUUCGUAUCCAGGCUGUUAGUGCGCAUUUGAUACUCAAAUAGCUUCUGAAGCUGUUGCGUUUCGUAUCCACGCUGUUAGUGCCCAUUCGAUACUCAGAUAGCUUCUGAAGCUGUUGCGGUUCGUAUCCACGCUGUUAGUGCGUAUUUGAUACGCGGAUAGCUUAGGAGCUGUAGUUUAUUUGUAUCGCCGCAGUUUGUGACGGUGGAUAUCCAGGAUAGUGUAGAAUGCAUUUAUACUCGUGCUGGGAUGCCAAGCUUAUUUUUUACAGCAGUGUUUAGGCUGUUUCGAACUGUUAGGUGCCGUUGAGGUUGACGAUUGACCCAGUUUGCUAUUUUUGCAUCAGAUUGUGCCGAGGGCACGUGAGUUUGGUUGUUAGACCAGUUAAACUCUGUUUACUUGACUAUAGCCUGUGAGAGCCUGAUUGAGCUCGGCAGAGAUACACUUGCAUACUCGAUUAGGUAGCACCCACGAGUGCCACUCCGAAAUCGGGCUUUGUGCGUUUGCAUUGGUGUCGUUGUGUCCUGGUUGGACUUGCUCUCCACGGACGACUUAGCAUGGGGGUAGCAGUAUAGCUUCGACAAGCGGGAUGAGUGUAUUCACAGUCCCUGGGGCUGGUGUAUUCACAGUUCUUAGUGAGAUUGGGUCAGAGAUUGCAUUAUUCUAUGAAUAAUUAGUGUUGGAUCAUGAUAAUAUAGUGGCAUAUAGCUGUAGAUUGUUUUCAGUUCCUUUACUAUCAUUUGUGCAUACUUUCUGUAGACUUGGUAGGAGCCGAUGAGAUUGAGGGCGGUACCUACUGAGGACUACUUUUUUUGCAGUAGUUUUCACGCCCAGUUGUUACCCCUCUUUUUGCAGAGCCUUCUUCUUCGGCUGCUGCUAUCGCGGAUAUCGAUCGUGGAAAGGGAGUCGCGAGCUAGAUCCCUUCCCGUUUUGCUGCUGACUUAGAGAUAUACCAGCUACAGGUAGUUGUAGUUUUUAGUUCUUAUACAUACUAAUGUUAGAUCCUCGCUGGAGCGAGUGUUUUUGUACCAGGAUGCUAUGUAUGUAUAGUAAACCAAUUUUAUUUAUAUAUUAUUCUUUUUAGCAGCUCUAUACUACUGGUUGUAGUGUUGUAUGAUUACAGGUACAAGUACAGCUAUCGCUUCGUAUAUAGAAAAAAUUUUUAUGUAUUCGGCGGGUCUGUUAGCGUGUCCGGAAAAACGAGUAAUCCGGGGCGUGAUAGCUAUGCCCCAUCCCUUUCCACAAUUGUAAAAUGAAAAGGGCCUAGGUUGUCGCUAGCUCGAUGCGGCUAGUCGGAACCAUGCAAAGGGCUGCCUCCUCCAUGAUGCUUAACUCCAAGGUAUGGCAUCGACAUUGCCUUCGACGAAGCUAGGAAGUUGCCUAGUUGUCAUUUUGUUCACAACAAUCUCCCCUACCUUUGGCCUUGCCCACCUUAGGUGGUUUGCCAUGAGUAUGAUCUUCCUUCUCAUACUCUAGUAGUUUCUUUGCUAAGGCAAUAGUGGAGCUCACAUCCUUAACGUCAUGUCCUACGAGCUCUUUGUUCGCCCAUGGUUGGAACCUAUCAAGAAAGAAGAAUAGUUGAUCCUCUUUAGCCAUAUUGGUGGUAGCUUGUCACGCCCUGGGCCCAGCGGAAGCCCGCUGGCGCGUGCACAGACCCGCCGUGUACACCAACAAACACAAUGCACAUAAGGCGUCUACUAAAUCAAGAAAUGAAUAUAGAAGUCCUAACAAGGCUAUCAGAGUGAGUACAAUAAAAAAAUCACUAGAGUUCAAGCAUAAAGAGAUACAAAAAGUAAACAACUAAAUCCAAGAGUCCAACAUAGCUCUAAACCAAAAUACAUAAUACAUCUUUUCCAAAGGUGCAAAAAGGAAAGAUGACAUCGGGUCCAACUAAAAUAUCUCCGUAGGGACUCUAGCUAGUCACUAACCCCUUGCCUCGAUCCCUAGCCACUCCCGAUACGAAUGGCUCUACAACCACAACAAAAAUGGAGGGCGUGAGAACUAUUAGAAAUAGUUCCCAGUGGGCAAGUCAAUGACCUCAGCAAAAUACUCCACUAGGCUAAAAAUAGGCAUGCUAUAAAGGUAAAUGAAUAAGCAAAUAUGAAAAGCAAGUAAUUAAACAAGAUUAAACAUAGUCAUGCCUCUACUACGAGUAUAACUAAUAUGUAUAUGAUGUUCUACUUUUAUUUGAUCAUCUAUAUGUCAAUGUCGAUUUACAUGCAUGUUCAAUUGUAUGCCAUUGUCCAUUACGUGCAUGUUCAACUAUAUGCCAAUAAAAGUUUACAUGCAUGUUCCAAUGUCCAUGAUGCUAUAAUGAGUGAUUAAGCUUUUCAUUACUAAUCUAAACUUGCAUUAUGCCUAUCAAUAUAGGUACAAUAUACUACCACUAGAGUAUCAACGCUAAGAAUGACCAACAUAUAGUCCACAAUAUGCACUAUCAUGCAUGUCUAAUAGUCCAACUAGGAUACACUCUCUAGUAGUAGUAGUAGUUUUCACAUUGUACUUUAAGUAUCAAAGUUCAAUCCUCGUCAUGGAUCUACACGUGUGUAGUCCGGCUUGCGCCGUGCCUAAAAUGGCCCCGUAGUAGUCAACAUUCCCACUUUAGGAAUGAGCCUUCCCCACGGCAUCCCAUUUCGGCGCCCAAUUCUGCACUGGCGAGCUUGUGUCGCAUAGGCUAUCUCCGGAGUGCCGGCUUGUGGGGAGCGACCCUCACAAGCAUGUAUGAAUGAGCACAAUGACAAGCAAGCGUGAUCAAUAGUAUUCAGCUCUCGGUCAUCAUGUCUAAAGCAUGGAAUAAGUACCAAUGACCCCAAAGGUCCGAUAUAGUAUUUCAUUGUCAAGAUUUAUCAUUUAGUAAUUCAAAUGUCACUGCAUGAUAAGUAACUAGUUCAUAAGCACAUAACACUUGUCAUUAUCCUAUCUAGGAUAGUUCACUAUUAUUCAAGUCUCAAAGAAAGUUUGCACUUAAACUGUUCCACUAUAGCCAAGUAAAUUCCUUUCUCAUGCCAUAUGCAUAGGUACUGUAAGAUAUGUCGAUGUCCAUGAUGCACGCCAUGCAUAUACUUUUCUACCAAUGCCUCCACUAUAUGGAGUAAUAAACUAUCAUGCAAGUGUUUUCAUACAAUUAAUGCAAUAUGCAAAUAUCCAUCUUGUCAUUUGCCCAAGGGCAUUCCAAACACUACCCUCAUGUCAAGUUCUAGUUGUGCAACUAGGUUAAAUGCUCCAAUCUUAGUCUCAUGAUGACCUUAUCAUGCACUAUGUCACUAUGUCACUAUGUCACAAUUAUCUUGUUUACAACAAGUGUAAUGUUAUUAUGCAAGAAUAUAUUAAAUUCCAAUCACCUUGUCUAUAACAAGUAUGACGUUGUCAUCAUGUUAGUUAACCAUUAUCUAACGCGUUCACUAGGUACCCCCAAGGAGUUAUACGAUCAUUCAUACUCUAACAUGCUUCCUAUAGUUGCAUAAGAUAGAAAAGUCAUCAAGUAAUGCUAGACCAUGUACAAGACUACAUAUUUGCCUCUACUACAUAGAGGACAAAUUUUUCACCAUACAUAACAUGUAUGUAUUAUGCUUUCAUAAAUUAUAACAUGUCAUUUUGAGCAUUGUUUAGUAUCUAAUUAUUUCUCGAAAUCAAAAGGUAGACAUAGGGGGGAGUUCACCCAUUUCGGUGAGGUCAAACCUACCAAAGCUCUCUGGACUCCUUUCGUUUGUACCAACGAAGAUGUCCACUAGCCUCCUAACUUCCUAGAGAAAAUUCUAAGAGAGUUAGACAAAGCAAACAAACACCCUAAGUGCUCAUCUAAGAAGCAACCAAAGAAUAAGGCAAAACUCAUCUAAAGUGUAGAAAAACCCUCUCAAAUUCCAAAAGGUGGCUAGAUCACUUCAAAUCUACCCCAACGAGUUGUUCUACACCUAUCAAUUCCAACUAAAAAUCCUCAAAUCAAAAAUCUCCAAAAUAAACCCUAAAUUCUCAUUUCUAGGUUUUCAUCUUGCUAAAUCCAUCAAAACAUGGAUAAAAAAGGGAAAAUAUGCUACUAACCUCUUUAGAAGCCUCAACCUAGACUUAAAGUGAGCUAGGGUUGAAGAUCUCUCCUCCAACAAGCUCAACACCAUGUUCCCAAGCUUCUCCCAAGGUAGAAAUGGCACCAAGAAGCAAAAAGAAGUAAAAGAGGAAGAUUAAACCUCUAAAAAAACUCAAGUAAAAAAAAGCUUAAAACCCAAGGAAAAGGAGUGGAGACCUACCCUCCUUCCUCCUCUGUCGCAGCACAAAGCCCCUGUCCAAGGGGUAGGGGCGUAUAUAAGGUAUUGCGACAAAAGCGAAAAGAUCCCUCAAAAACUGCCAAACUGCAGUUUGCACUGUGUACCGGUACACGAAAAAGUGUACCGGUACAAAACCACGGCACGCACAAACCCGAGCCUCGGGUUGAUAGAAAACUGCUAGUUGUACCGGUACAAACCCGAUGUUGUACCGGUGCAACAUCCUGUUCCGAUACAAGCUCAAUGCUGUAUCGGUACACAGCUCUGCAAAAUCCAAUUCGAGGACAGCCAACAAUCUUCACUUUUGAGACUUUGGCACUAAACUUUAAACCUCGAUUCUCGGGAUGCGAGACAUAGGUCGGAACACUGUCUACGACCCUCCAGGAUACCUGGAAAAACUCAAAUCACCUAUCGAACACUUGAACCCGCAAUUUGCAAAAGUUCAGUGUGUUACAUAGCUAGCAUCAGUUUAGAGUACUCCUUGACAUACUUAUUGAGUGUCCUAAUAUGCUUGUGCUGUGGAAGUUGCCUCUUCACAAGAUCUAGUUAAAACUGUGCCUUGAGCUCGUGCAAAAAGUCCUCCUAGCUCGCAUUGGCCUUCUCAUCCUCUGUCGCUCGCUGAUGCCACUAUAGAAUUAUUCACUGUUGAUGAGGUACAUGGAAGCAGUUUAGACUUUCUCUUCCUUGUUCUCUAAUCUUAAUGCCUUGAGGUAGUGCUCUAUGUGCCAUAAGAAGUUAUCAAUUUCUUCUCAUCUUGCAUGCCCUUGAAGCACUAGAGUUCAGGGACAUGGACCUUUGGGGUAUACUCCUUCUAUGCCUCAGCACCAUGAGCCACAUCCUUUUUGAGGCUCAUCAUCCAUAUCUUGAGGUCCUUGGCUGCAUCGACCCUAACGACAAGUUCGUCUACCGGCACCUUUCGCUUAUUCUCGUGGUGAGUGAGGUCAUCCUGAAACUGCUCAAGUUAUCAGCGAAAGGUCAUCAUGGUAGCCAUAGCGAGGUCCUUCGUAGUAUGAAGCCCAUACUUCCAUUAGCUCUAACUGUUGGGAUAGAAUAGAAUAUCGCUUUUCCAGUCUCGCAACAAUAUCCUUCAUCAAGCCUACGUGGUCUUUGAGUGAAACGAACUCCCUCGCAUGGGUCUAUGGCUUUUUUCCUCUUGCCUCGCUUGGACUGCUUGGGCUGAGGGAUUAUGUCAACGAUGGAAGCAUUUGAUGAUGACAUGGUUCCUACUUCUCGAACCCGCCCUGAUACCAAUUGUUAUGGACUUGAUUAGUCACAAUCGCUUAUCAAGUUUGUACGGUGCUCACCUUCCUUCGCCUCUCUAGUUGCUAUUCCGGACCUAUUCGUUCUACGACUCAGUAUAAGAUAGAGAGUGUGGAGGAAGAUAGAUGUAUAUUGGUAUGUACAAGCAAGAAAACUAAAUACAUACUCAUACCCAAGAUCAUAAACAAAAUAAAAUAUAACUCACAGAGCAUCAUAGAGAAGAAAUUCUUGAUCAACCUGCGAAAGCGAAAAAUUCAGCUGUAAUGUGAACGUUACCAACUGAACUCGAAUAAUUUGGUUUCUCCUUCUUUCUCAGGUACUCUUCCUUUGGUGUGAAAUAGAUGGUAAUUAUUCUUCAUAAUGCACAUGAGAAUGAGGCAGGACUAGUACCCCCUUUAUAUAAAGUUUAGAUUGACUUUUCAUCAAAGUCUUAUUAGGAUUCUAUUUAACUUAAAUAGAUAGGAAAGAGAUUAGAUAUACCAUAUCAAGUAGUUCUAUAUCUACUAAGAAUGACCUUUAUUUAUUUUAAAUCUAUAUUUGAACAUGAUUAAUUGGGCCAUAUUUAUAGAAAUCCCAACAAUCUCUCACUUGGCUUAUAUUAAUCAUAUUUCAUGAACGGAUUUUCUAUAUUCCAAACUUUAUUGUGUAUUAUUGAAAACUUUAUGGUCAAAUACCUUAUAACUUACGUGAUCCUUAGCUCAAAUUAAAAGACUAUAAUGAUAGGAACUAUGGUAGUCCACCUCUUCAUAUUGAAAAUUUUCUCCCAUAAUUAUCAUAUCAUCUUCAUCUCCUAACCAAAUACUUUACAUGACACAACUUUUUGAAUAAACUUAAAAAUAUAUAUCCAUUCGUUAAUAGACAAAACUUUACGUCUAUUAAAUGGUCAAACACAGAUGCAUCACAACUGUAACUUUAAUUAAAGAAGAUAAAAAUGUUUAAUCUUAUACAUCAAAAGAACUAAUCAGACUCAUACUACUAACAUGAUCUGUAUAUGACCCAGGUGCUAGCCCCUCGGUCAUUGGGUAUAAAAUCAUACACUACUAGAAAAUUAGUUAUUAGUGACAUUUAUUUAUGCCGCUAAAAGAUCAACGAAUGCCGCUAAAAGUUUUAACAGCAUUUGACACUAAAUGCUGUCUAUACCAAUGUUGCUAAAAGUAUUAGCAGCAUUUAUAAUAAAUACCGCCACUAUAAAUUAAUUAGUGUCAUUAGAAACAUACCGCUAAAAGGGAUUAAAUGUUAAUUUUAAGUUGUUUAUUAGCGGCACAUAAAUAUAAUGCCACUAAUACAAAUAUAAGAUUUUAGAAAAAUCAAAAUUUAAAAUUUUAUUUUGAAUUUUUUUUAGAGAAAGGUAACAUGCUACUCGCUUUAUUUAUUUCUUUUAGAAAUAAACUUAACUAGAAAUGUGAAUAAACUAGAAUUCAAACUUGAGACCUCGAGUACCAACCACCAAGCCCUUUACCACUUGUACUAAGAACUAUCAGUUAUAUAUAUAUUUGAAUUUUUUAAAUUUUAAGACUUCAAUUUAAAAUUUUAAACUUUUAAAUUUUAAAUUCUAAAUUUAGAUGCUAAAUUUAAAUUUUAAAUUUUCAAAUAUUAAAUUAUAAGUUUCAAACUUUGUAGUUUUAUUAUUUAAAUUUUAAAUUUUAAAUAAAUUUAAAAUUUUAAAAUGGGAUAUAUUUAUAAUUAUAUAUUGAUUAGUGAUGAUAAUUAGCAAUAAGUCCUGCUACUUUAUUAUAUUUAACGACAUUUAUUAAUUUAUGCUGCUAAUUUAUCCUAUUUUGCAGUAUUAAUAAUAAAUUACUGCUAAAUUAUUAAAUCUACAGACAAUUAUCAAGUAAUACUGUUAAAUAUAUUAAUUAACAUAAUUUAAAUAAAUAUUGCGGAGUAAAUAUUGCGGCAUUUAGCAAUAAGCGCUGCUAAUUUGUUACAUUUAGUGUCAUUUUUUAUAAAAUGCUGGAAACUUUAGCGGCAUUUACUAAUUUAUGCUUCUAAUUUAUCUUAUUUUGCAGUAUUAAUAGUAAAUUUCUGUUAAAUUAUUAAAUAUAGCGGCAAUUAUCAAGUAAUGCCGUUAAAUAUAUUAAUUAGCAUCAUUUAGAUAAAUGUUGCGAAGUAAAUGCCGCUAAAUCAUAAUUUUGUUGUAGUGACAGUUGGUACUAAUGUAUUCAAUCGUAACAUAAUCUUCUUCUAUCUUCUCUCUCAUAAUAAGAUAUUUAGUGUUAAAGUGUUUACACUCUGCUAUAAUUUUAUUGUUAUUGGUAAAGAAAACUGCAGCUGUACUAUCACAUAAAAUUCUUGUUGGUCGAGUAAUGGAGUCUGCAAUCUUUACGUUUUUGAUAAAAUUUUUAAGCCAAAUAGCCUUGAUGUGGUCUCGUAACAUGCAAUGUACUCUGCAGCCAUGGUCGAAGGGGCAGUAACACUUUGUUUGCUGCUUUUCGAAGAAAUCGCUCCACUAGCAAGCAAAAAAGUGUACCUAGUUGUAGACUUUUUGGUCUCUGAGCAUACAGCAAAAUCGGAGUCCGAGUACUCGAUCAACUUCAAGUGAUCUGAUCUCCUGUAUAUCAACAUAUGAUCCAAAGUUUUCUUUAAGUAUCUCAUAACCUUCUUAGCAGCCUUCAAAUGCUAAAUAUCAUACCUGCCAAGUAAUCCAAUGGCAAAAGUAAUAUCUGGACGUGUGCAUGUUUGUGCAUACAUAAGACAGGAUAGAAACGAGCCGAUCUCGAGCGAGCUUACCUCAGCUCAAAUUCGGCUUGAAAUUAAUUUUGAGCCUAAUUUUAGGCUCAAGCUCGGCUUGAAAUUAAUUCGAGACGAGCACGAGCUAGCCUAAUUUCGAGUCGAGCGAGCUCGAGCCCUAAACGAGCCGCUUGAAAUUCUCAAUAUUGUACGAUCAAUAAUUUAAUUUGUAUAAAACAUUAUUUAUAUUUUGAUACAAAAAUAUAUCUGACAGUUCAAAAAACAAAAUAAUUAUAUGAAAAACGGUAUUAUAAUAUGAAGAAAAAUUACUUAUAAGUUGAAUAUCUAACCUUUUCAGUCUCGCAUGUCUUCUCUUCUGCCUUUAAUCUCCAUAUUAUUCUUUUUUAUUUAUGCAGUCAAAAAAUGAAUAAAUUAUAUAGGCAAAUAUUUGAUUAAACUAUCUAAUCAUAUAUAACUAAAAUUAAAAUUUUAUAUAAACAAUAAUUUUUUACCUUAAAAAUAUUCUGUAUAUUUUCUCAAACACACAACGAACUAAUGGCAAGAUAGGCAACGGCGGGCGCGUGCUGUUACUUGGUAACUUGGGAGGCUACAGGUUUGGCCAGUUGGGAUGAGAGACAGAGAAAGAGAGAGAGAGAGAGAGAGAACGAGAGAGAGAUUAGGGAUUUAGGGCUCUUUGAAAUAAAGAAAGGGAAAGAGUGUAAAUUUAGUAGGAUUUUGCCCUUUUGUUGGCAUAUUCGGUUUGUUUAAUUUUUAUGGGCAUGCAAUAUUGGCUCAAUUUUAACUAAACUUCGAUUACUUACUCAACCUACAUAUAAUUAAAAUAUAUUAUAUUUAUUUAUAUAUUGUUAAUUUUAUAUAUAGAGAGAGAGUAGGUCUUGUGUGCUAUUAGGAGCACGGAGGCCUCCGUGCUCCUAAGCCAUUUUCGAUGAUGGAGUUUCCGAAUCGACGAUCGGUUCUGUUAGACUUGAUCUAACGUAUUUGAAGUAUCUAGAAAAUAAUUUUUACAAUUUUUCGAUAUCAUUUAUCUAGCGAUCGAAAGGGUUCAAAAUCAACGGCUGAAAAUAAAAAUCUCACAAAAGUGGUGAUAUAGCACUAAAGUUUUCGAUCAGAGACAUUGAUCUUGCUGUAAAUAGUAUAAAGAAUUUUCUAUCAAAAUUUCAUAUGAUUUGAAUACUUUUACACCGUUAAACUUGCAUACGAUAUACCCAACCAUUAAAUAUUGUUGAUUUUAAACCCUUUCGAUCACUAGGUAAAUGAUAACGAAAAACUGCAAAAUUUAUUUUCUAGAUUUACCUCUUUUAUCAUUUUUAUCCGUUUGAUUAUACUAUUCAUGCAACCACCCACUCAACCCUAAGGGAUCCACAUCAUCCUAACCGUACAUCUUUUAAUCCAAGGGAAGAAAACUUAAUAAGACCAAGUCAUUGGUGCUAUUAAUAAUAUUCCAGCCUAUAUAUAUAUAUAUAGUGCGUCUGGUAUGCUUCUGGAAGUACGGAGCACUCCGUGCUUCCAAGUUGUUUUCAAUGUUCAGACUUUCGAAUCGACGAUCGGCUGCAUUAGACUUGAUCUAGAGUAUUUGAAGUAUCUAGAAAAUAAAUUUUGCGAUUUUUUGAUAUCAUUUGCCUAGUGAUCGAAGUGGCUCAAAAUCAACAGCUGAAAAUAAAAAUCUUACAAAAUAUGAUGAUAUGACAUUAAAAUUUUAGAUCAAAGUUAUUGAUCUUAUUUAUACAGUAUAAAGAAUUUUCUAUCAAAAUUUCAUGUGAUUUGGAUAUUUCUACACCGUUAAACUUGCAAACGGCUCACCACGGCCGUUAAAAUUAUUAAUUUUGAGCCCCUUCGAUCACUAGGCAAAUGAUAUCGAAAAAUCACGAAAUUUAUUUCCUAGGUAUUUCAAAUACUCUAGAUCAACUAUAAUGGAGCCGAUCAUCGAUUCGAAAGUCCGAACAUCGAAAACAACUUGGAAGCACAGAGGGCUCCGUGCUUCCAGAAGCAUACCAGCCCUCUCUCUCUCUCUCUCUCUCUCUCUCUCUCUAUAUAUAUAUAUAUAUAUAACUCUCUCUCUCCCUCUCUCUCUCUAUAUAUAUAUAUAGAGAGAGAGAGAGAGAGAGAGAGUUCGGCUACUAUGCUAUAGGUAGCACGAAGCGCUCCGUACUACCAAAUUGUUUUUGAUGAUGCGGCUUCCAAAUCGACGAUCGGCUCUGUUAGACUUGAUCUACACUAUUGAAAGUAUUUGGAAACUAAAUUUCAGAUUUUUUCGACAUCAUUUGCCUAGUGAUCAAAAGAUCUCAAAAUUGAUAAUUUUAAAGGCCGAUGUGGUGUGUUUGGGAGUUUAACGGUGUAAAACAAUCCAAAUAAGAUGAAAAUUUUAUAGAAAAUUAUUUUUACUAUUUAGAGUAAGAUCAGUAUAUCUGAUCUUGAAUUUAAAUCUUUUAUCAUCAUAUUUUAUGAGGUUUUUAUUUUCAGCUGUUCAAUUUUAGAUUAUUUGUUUGAUAGGUAAAUGAUAUCGAAAAUUAUGAAAUUUAGUUUCUAAAUACUUUCAAUAGUGUAGAUCAAGUUUAACGGAGCCGAUCGUCGAUUUGGAAGUCGCAUCAUCGAAAACAACUUAGUAGCACGGAGUGCUCCGUACUACCGAUUGUAUAGUAGCCUAGUUCUAUAUAUAUAAAAAAAUCAUUCGAGCUUUGCGAUCCGAGCUCGAGUGAGCCAAAUUAAUAUCAAGCCGAACGCGAGCCAACUCGCUUAUUUGCCGGCCCUACAUAAGACUACCGACUACAGAGGUAUAGAGUAUAUAUGUUUUUCAUCGGUUCAAUUUCUUAUUGGUUCUUAGGACAGUGAAAAGUAUUAAGGUUAUCUUUUUUUUAGACAGAAGUAUCACUGGGCUUAUAAUUAUGUACUUUAAAAUUUUUCAAAACUUUCUUUACAAAGGCCUUUUGACUAGUCUGAGUAAACUUUUAUGCCUAUCCCUUUUAAUUUCAAUACCAAAAAUAUAGGUGGCCUUACCUAAAUCUUUAAUUUUAAAAUUUUAGAAAAGAAAUUUUUUAGUAUUAUGUAAGAGCCUAAAUCAUUACUGACAAGCAAAAUAUCAUCAAUAUAAAGGAUUAAGAAAAUUAUUUUACUCCGACUAACUUUCAGAUAAAUAUAUUAAUUAAUAUUAUUUUUCUUAAAACCAAAGAUCAAGAUGGUUUGUUUAAACUUUUAGUACCAUUAUCGAGAGGCAUGUUUUAGUCAAUAUAUUGAUUUAUUUAGUUUGCAUACCAAGUGCUCCUUUUUCUUUUGUGAUAAUCCAUCAGGCUGACUCAUAUAUACCUCUUUAGAGAUCCCUAUUUAAAAAAGUAGUUUUAAUAUCUAUCUGAUAUAGCUCGAGAUCGAAAUGAGCAACCAGAGUUAUAAUAACACGAAAAGAUUUUUUUAUGUAUAUUGAAAAGAAAGUCUUUUUUAUAGUCAAUACCUUCUUUCUAACUAAAUCCUUUUGCCACAAGAUUGACCUUAUAUCUCUCUAUAUUAUCCUUAGAGUCCUAUUUGGUUUUAUUAACCCACUUGCAUUCUACGGGUUUAACUCCUGUAGGUAACUCAACAAGAUUCCAUACCUUAGGGCCUGUUUGUUUGGGUGAAAGUAGAGAUGGGUGAAGUCGUUUUCGGUUGUAAAUGAUCACUUCCGCUGUUUGUUUUGCCGUAAUAAAGAUACGGUUGAAACUGGAGUUACUCGAAACAGCGUAAUUGACUUCGGCCCAUCCCGGGCCACACUACAACAAAAACAGUGUAUAGCGACAUUUUUAAAUGUUGGUACAGGUCAAAAAAAGUGCUACUGGCUAAAUUACCGACACUUUUAAAAAGUGUUAUUGUCUGCCACCACGAAUGACGCACCUCGCACGGUCGAUGGAUUUUUCGGGGCCGUGGGGUAGUAUUCAUGAUUCAGAUGAGUAUUUAUAUGUAUGUGUGGGUAUCAGGUUUUGCGAGUCCAUGGCUUCCAAUAGAUGCAAGCAUCUACUGUUAAUUACCCCCUUGAGAUUGGGGCACCUUCGAUUAAGAGACCUUUAUAGAUUGGAUGAGAUGGAUCGUAUCUCGGUUUAUUGAAUCCUAAGUAUAUAUAUUAGGAUUCAGUUGGAUUUGAGGUUGAUUAGGCCCUAAGUAUAUGUAUUAAGACCUGAUCGAUAUUAAACUCUAUGUAUUUAGAGUCUAAUUGGUUCAUGAGAUAUGGGUAUGAGAUCUGGGUAUUCGUUCAUGGGAUUUGGGUAUUAGUUUAUGAGAUUUGGGUAUUGGUUCAUAGGAUAUGGGUAUUAGGUUGGAUGUAUGGUUCAUGGAAUUUAGUCCAUGAGGUUUGGUGUAUGGUUUAUGGGGUUUGGUCCAUGAGGUUUAGUUGUGGUUCAUGGAAUUUGGUCCAUGAGGUUUGGUUGGUUCAUGGGAUUUGGUCCAUGAAAUUUGGUUUUGGUUCAUGGGAUUUGGUUCAUGAACUUGGUUUUGGUUCAUGGGAUUUGGUCCAUGAGAUUUGGUUUUGGUUUUAUGUGUGGACUUGGUUUGGAUUUAUUUGGGUUCAAGUUUGGGUUCUGGUUUUAUUUGUGGACUUGAGUUUGGAUUUAUUUGGGUUUGGAUUUUGGUCUUAUUUGUGGACUUGGUUCAGGUUGGGUUUGGAUUUGAUUUGGGUUUGGGUUUUGGUUUUAUGUGUGGACUUGGGUUUGGAUUUUAUUUGGGUUUGGAUUUUGGUUUUAUGUGUGGAAUGGGUUCGGAUUUUAUUUGUGGAUUUGAUUUGGGUUGGGUUUGCGUUUGAUUGGGGUUUGGGUUUUGGUUUUAUUUGGGGAAUGGGUUUGGAUUUUAUUUGUGGACUUGGUUUGGUUUCGGUUUAUUUUGGUUUUGGGUUGGAUGUUUAUUUGGACUUGGUUUGGUUAGCUUUGGGCCGUUUGGCUUUGUAUGUGGACUUGGUUUGAUUUGGGUUUAUUUGGGUUUUGGGUUUUGGUUUGGAUGCUUAUUUGGACUUGGUUUGGUUAGGUUUGGCUUUGUAUGUGGACUUGGUUUGGUUUGGGUUUAUUUGGGUUUUGGGUUUGGUUUGGGUUUGGACUUGAUUUGAUUUAGGUUUGUAGGUGAACUUGAUUUGCAAUUUGGGUUCGCAUAUGAACUUAAUUUGCGAUUUGGGUUCGCAUAUGAACUUAAUUUGCAGUUUAAGUUUGUGUAUAGACUUGAUUUGCAAUUUGAUUUGGGGUCCGAAGAAAUCCCCUUUUGAUUUUGCAAUUUGAUUUGGGGUCCGAAGAAAUCCCCUGUUGAUUUUGUAAUUUAAUUUGGGGUCCGAAGAAAACCCCUAUUGAUUUUGCAAUUUAAUUUGGGGUCCGAAGAAAUCCCCUAUUGAUUUUGCAAUUGAAUUUGGGGUCCGAAGAAAUCCCCGUUUGAUUUGAAUUUGAAUUUGAUCUUCAAAUUUGAUUUGGUUUGGGGUCCGAAGAAAUCCCCGUUUGGUUCUAAUUUGGGGUCCGAAGAAAUCCCCGUUUUGAUUCCAAUUCGGGGUCCGAAGAAAUCCCCUUUUGAUUUUGAUUUGGGGUCCGAAGAAACGAGGAAUCAAAGAUUCCCCUCCCCUCUUCUUGCGAUGCUGCGGAUGACGUCGACGAAGUUGAUGACGGUGGCGUGGAUCUGUUCGGCCAUCGGAUUUGAUUUGACAUUUUCGAAUAAGUAUUGAAGGGUCCGAAGAAACGGGGAAUCAAAGAUUCCCCUCCCCUCUUCUUUCGAAAAUAUCAAACCGNUGGGGUCCGAAGAAAUUCUUUUUUGAUUCUAAUUUAAUUUGGAGUCCGAAGAAAUCCCCUUUUUAAUUCUAGUUUGUUUUGGGGUCCAAAGAAAUCCCCUUAUUGAUUCUAAUUUGAUUUGGGGUCCGAAGAAAUUUCCAUUUUGAUCUUGAUUUUGGGUCCGAAGAAAUCCCCUUAUUGAUUCUAAUUUGAUUUGGGUUCCGAAGAAAUUUCCGUUUUGAUCUUCAUUUGGGGUCCGAAGAAAUCCCCGUUUGAUUCAUGAUUUGGGGUCCGAAGAAAUCCCCGUUUGAUUUAUGAUUUGGCGUCCGAAGAAAUCCCCGUUUGAUUUUUGAUUUGAUUUGGAUCUAAGCUGGUCUGAAAGUUUCGUGAAUUGAUUCAAUGUUCUCGGAAAAGAUUGAAGGGUCCGAAAAAAUAGGAAAUCUUUGAUUCCCCUCCCCUCUUCUUUCGAAAACACUAAACCGGUGAUGCUGGAGAUGACGUCGGUGAAGAUGAUGACGGUGGCGCGGAUCUGUUCGGCCAUCGAAUUUGAUUUGACAUUUUCGAAAGAUGUUGAAGGGUCCGAAGAAACGGGAAUCGGAGAUUCCCCUUCCCUCUUCUUUUGAAAACACCGAACCGGCGAUGCUGGAGAUGACGUCGGUGUAGAUGAUGACAGUGGCGCGGAUCUAUUCAGCUGUCGGAUUUGGUUUGACAUUUUUGAAAGAUGCUGAAGGGUCCGAAAGAAACGGGGAAUUGAAGAUUCCCCUCCCCUCUUCUUUCGAAAAUAUCAAACCGGCGAUGCUGUAGAUGUCGUUGGGGAUGGUGGCGUGGAUCUGUUCGGUCAGCCAAUUUGAUUCAAUAUUUUCAAAAAUGUUUUGAAGGGUCCGAAGAAACGAGGAAUCAAAGAUUCCCCUCCCCUCUUCUUUUCGAAAAGAUCAAAACGGCGAUUGUAGACGUCGUCGACGGAGUUGUUAACAGUGGCAUGGAUCUGUUCGGCCAGCAAAUUUGAUUCGAUAUUUAUCGAAGAAAUGUUGAAGGGUCCGAAGAAACAGGGAAUCAAAGAUUCCCCUCCCCUCUUCUUUCGAAAGUAUCAAACCAAACAUGCUGGAGAUGGUCGCGGCAAUGUAGAUCAUCCAUUCCAUCAUCAACGACUUCGAAUGGGGUAUUGAGAGGUCCGAAGAAACGGGGAAUCAAAGAUUCCCCUCCACUCUCCCACCGAAGCCAUCUAGAUGAUAUGGAUGGCUACGAUCGUCGGACAAAAGAAAAAAAAAAAAAGAGGGGGAAGAAAAGAGAUCUUUUUUUUGUUUUAUUAUUAUUUUUACUUUCUUUCUUUUUUCUUUCUUUUUUACUACCUGCUGAUGGAUUCGAUGAAGCGGCUCAACGAUCUCUCUCUCUUUCUGCGGCUCGGCGAUUUCUCCUUCUUUCCACGGCUUGAGUGAUAUCUCCUCCUUUCCUCGGCUCGGCAAUGUAUCCUCCUUUCAGCAGCUCGGCAAUAUCUCCUCCUUUGAAUAUUUUGAACUUGGAAGUGUGUAGCAAUCUAUCUAUCGUGUCGUCUCUCUCCAAAAAAUUUCUCCCCGAAUUUGAUUUCGGUUCCCAUAUUUAUAAUGGGAAGGGAGGAGUUAGUUAAGAAUUCAAAAUUCGAAAUUCGAAUUUUGAAUUAUUUGUUGGAUGGUUGGAGGAUAUUUGGGGGGUGGUUGGGAGUUCAAAAUUCGAAUUCGAAAUCGAAUGAGUUGUUGGAUAGUUGGAAGAUAUUUUGGGAGUUGGUUAGGGAAUUCAAAAUUCGAAAUCGAAUUUUGAAUGGGUUGUUGAAUGAUAUUUUGGGAAUUUGGUUGGGAAUUCGAAAUUCGAAAUCGAAUUUCGAAUAGGUUGUUGGAUGAUGUUUUGGGAAAUGGCUGAAAAUUCGAAAUUCGAAAUCGAAUUUUGAAUGGGUUGUUGGAUGAUGUUUUGAGAAUUGGUUGAGAAUUCGAAAUUCGAAAUCGAAUUUCGAAUGGGUUGUUGGAGGAUGUUUUGGGAAUUGGUUGAGAAUUCGAAAUUCGAAUCGAAUUUCGAAUGUGUUGUUGGAUGAUAUUUUGGGAAUUUCAAAUUCGAAUUUUGAAUGGAUUAUUGGAGGAUAUUUUGGUAAUUUGUUGGGGGUUCAAAAUUCAAAAUUCGAAUUUUGAAUGGAUUAUUAGAUGGUAUUUUGGGAAUUCAAAAUUCGAAAUUCGAAUUUUGAAUGGAUUAUUAUUUGAAAUCGGAUUUCGACUAGAAACUUUAUAAGGUGUGGGUGUGGGCCGUCGUUGAUCAGACCCACCUUAAUUUAUUGGGUUCAAAUGAUAAUGAGCUGAAAUAAAGGCCCACCCUCACUUUUUUUUUUUAUUUAUUUUUUUUUUUUUAUUUAUUUGUUUGGGCUUUCGUAAUGGCUCACCCACUCACAUUUUUUUUUUAUUUGUUUGGGCUUUCGUAAAGGCCCACCUACUCACAUUUUUAAAUGGGCUUAUUGUAUAUUAUAAUUAUUGACCCGAGAAAAUUAAUGAUUAAUACGAGACCUAUUAGGAUUGUAUGAACUCGAAUCUAAUUAUUUUUUUAUUAGGAUUAGGAUUGUUUCAACCUAUAUAUAUAUAUAUAUGUAUGACAAGUAUUAUUUUACCUCAAACAGUUAUUAUAUGUGGGGUCGCUAGGUAUAUAGUGGCAGUUUAAGAGUGUCGGUAUAACCUAAAAAGAGUACUGCUAAUUUACCAACACUUAUUUAAGUAUUUAGCAACCGCCGAGCCUCUACCUCGUUGGCUGCGGUAGCGGAGGAGGAGGAGACCGAAGAGCUCUUCGUCUAGGGUUUCAGUAGAUUGAGUGAGGGGAGAAGGAGAUAUGGUGAUCAAUUUUUCCUUUUUUGUUUGUAAUCGGGCCGAAUGGGCUGGGUGAGGUGAGUUGAAUAGAGUAAGCUUUUAUUUUGGUUGGAUUGGACUUUAUAUUUAGGCCUUAGUAAAUUUUUUUUUAAAAGUUUUGUCAUAAAUGAGACAUUUACCCAAAAUUGUUUCAAACAUAUGUUCCUAUAAUUUAAUUCUAUUGUAGUGCCGUUGGAUUAAGGAAUCAAGGAUAUAUACUAAUGUGGUAAGUAGUAAUAAAAAGAAACAAAAGUCGAACCAAAUUUGCACCAUAUCUACCAUUAUUCCAUUACCUCUAAUUAGUACAUUUUUCCAAAGGAAAAAAGAAUUAAAGGCAUACUUAUUUUUGUAUUCUAAUUUUUUGUUUUGAGAAUUAAGUUUGUAUCUAUUAAUUAUGAUUUUUAAUAUGUAAGCUUACAAAUUAUCUAAUUAUGUAUUGUUCCCAACAUACCAAGAUCUGUGGAACCACCAACUGUACUUCUAGAGCAAGUGGCAAAGGACUUGAUGGUUGGUAUUUGAGAACCAAGUUCGAAUCUUAGUUGAUUCAUAUUUCUAGCUAAAUUUAUUUCUAAAUAUAACAAAUGAAACGGAUAGUGUGCUAUCUAUCUCAAAAAAAAAAAAAAAAAAAAAAAAAAUCUGUCGAACCACGGCUAUCACUGCUAUUGCUAUAGAGCGAAUCCAUUAUGAGAUACUCGAAUAGCAUUUCACCUAAAACUAAUACCGCACCAUACAGUGCGACUAAAUGGGCCACGUAUGCUCCCACUGAUCUUAAGCGCCUCAACACCUGUUUGGUAUUUUUUUUUUUCUAUUUUAAUCACACAGAAAGUGCGAAAAAGACAUGCAAUUAAUCUAUUAUUUAUUCUCAAAUAACACACCGUUACUAAGCCUUAUCUAAGUAUUACAUUAUUCUAGUGAAAUAAAAACUCAAAAAUUUAGAACAAACAAGAGUUACAAAACUGCAAUUCUUGAAACCUUAGCACUUUAUGGAAAUAAACAGUACUCCGUACCUUACAUAAACAACAUAGACAUCACAACCUUAAUUGAUUAGUACGCAGAUCCUAAUUAAUAUUUUUCCUCUCUCUUUCCAAUCUGAGUUGGUAAGCCUCCUUUCAUUUUGAGCGACAGUGAGAAUUCAUGCUCAGGAGCGCUCUUCUUUCCCACAACACUAAGCUGAAACCUUUCAAGCAAACAAGCCGCAAUGGACUUCAUCUGUAUAUAAGCCAUCUCCUUCCCCAAGCACAUUCUCGGUCCGGCAUGAAACACCGGGUAACGGAACGGGUUCUCUGGCCGGAAAACCCCAUUUUCCAACCACCUCUCCGGCUUGUACUCUUCGCAAUUCUCCCCCCAUAUUUCCUUCGAUCUUCCCAUAGCAUAAGCAUUGUAUGUUACAAACCAUCCUUUCCCCACGAACGUUCCGUCCGGCAGCGUAUCGUCCUUUUUGCAUGAUUGCCUAUCAAUAGGCACAGGAGGGUAUAAUCUCAUCGUCUCCGAUAUCGCAGCAUGCAAGUAGUGCAUCUCUCGUAGCUCGUCAAAGCUGAACAUCUCGCUCGAAUUCGAAUUCAUUUCUCGGACUGUUCUAAUCUCUUCUACAAUCUUUUUUUCAACAUCGGGUCUCGUAGAUACAAUCCAGAAGAACCAUGUCAGUGCCGACGAAGUAGUCUCGCGGCCAGCAACAAGGAAAUUUAUCACGUUAUCGCGAAGGAGCUCUUCUGAGUGGUCUUCAUACGAUGCAAAUCGGGACAGGAGAUCGCUCUUCCGAUCCAAAGGCCUCUCCUUUCGUGACCGAAUAAUGUCAAGAGCAUAGUUGUGGACGAUCGAGAUCCCUUCUUUUAUGCGCUGCUCCGAUCCGAUAUUGAGUAGCUUCUUGAUCCUCCAUGUCACAUUCAGUGCAUCCAAGAGCCGCCAUCCGAUGAGGUACUGCGUUUCUCCGAAAGCCCGCAUGAAGUCAGAGCUCGUGCCAGCAAAGCCUUCUUCAGUGAGGGAAGCGGGAUCAGCAUCGAAGGCCACCUUGCAGAUGUUAUCGAAACCAAAACGUUCGAGAACGUCCUGCAUCUCGACGAUCUCUUCUCUUUCUUCCGCUUUGUUCAACAACGGCAACAAUCUGUGCUGUAUCUCAAAUUGCACUGCAUCCACCACGAAGUUACGGAGGGAUUUCGUAUUGAAUUCGUGGCUCGCCACUUUUCUCUGCUGCUUCCAAUGCUCCCCAUCAGAGUUAAAGAUUCCACGGCCAAAAAAGUCUUCGAACAAGGCGAGCGAGCGCUCGCCCUUCGGGUAGUUUUUGAAGUUGAUUUUCAGCAUGUGCUCCACAUUUGCGGGGUUGGCGGUGAUGACGCCGCUGGCCUGCCCGAGGCUUCGGAAGACCAUCGUGCGCGUCGGGCUUGCGAGGAGGAUUUCGGUCGUCCAUUCGAGGAACCGGUGGCGGUUCUUGAUGAACUGCGGGAGGUAGCCGAGAAUUGGGUAGGGUUUUAGGCCGUAGGCGGUGGGUUUUCGUGGUUGGUCUUGACGGAAGAAGAUGUAGAGGAAGAAGGGGAGAAGGAAGAGAAGAACUAGCAGUUGGAGAGUGAAGAGCUCCAUAUCUACUAUCUCACUGCAUUCAGCUAGCGAACAAACACUUGGUAGGAAAACGAAGAAUAAUACAUGGUUUAUAUAAUGCGUUUCAUCGGCUAGCUUUUUUAUUUUAUUUUUUAUUUAGGACCCCAACAACAGGCAAUUUUGAAUUGGUCCCCUUAUGGUUGAGCCCUUGUCUUGUCUUUCUCUUUCUUUUUCUUUGUUUUCGUUUCCUUCUCAAGUGUAUGUUGUGGAAUUUACAGCCCACCUAUAGUUUGGUUUAGAUAGCUGUGUAAUUAGAUAUAUUUUAUAUUUUAGAUUAGGUUGAUUUAAUUGACCAUUAAUCCUUUAGAUUAGAUAGCGGUUGGGUGGGAAAGGAGUUUACGGUAUGUUUUUUUUUUAUUAUUCUAUUAUGGUUUGGUUCGAAAAUAAGUUAUUCUUAUUUAUUUCAACAUGAAUUGUGUUGUUCAAAAUUAAAAUUUUUUAUUAAUUAAUUUAUAAAUAAUAAUAAUAAUAAUGAAAUAUUGCUAAUUAAUAACUAGGAGCGUAUUUAAUCUAGAUGGAGGUUGAUUUUCGUGGAUAUCAGCUAUCAAGCUCUUUACCCCUUACACUAAAGACGGACGGUAGGUAAUUCAAUCAGGAUUUAUUAAUCAUAGAAAAAGAAGGCUAAGAAAACUUGUGUAGGCCUCCGCUACAACUUAAAAAAAUUAAUUUGUAACCACCUUGGGCAGCAAGGAAAAUCCUUGGGCACCAAGGAAAAUGCUUACUUGGGCACCAAGUACAUGUGUCCAACUCGUGGCCCCAUCUCCGAUUCUCCGCAGCCAUCACCCUUCAACAUUGAACAUUAAUUGCACUACAAAAAAUAGCAAAGUAGGAACAGAAAUCAGAAGCUGAAAAAAUAAAUAAAAAGAAAUGGUUAAAUAAUGAAUGAAGACCCCUUCGCCUAUUGUCCACCGUGAAAUUAGUCCCUCAACAUAAUAUUUUGUUUUUUUUUUUUUCUAUUUUGAAUUUUUUUAAUUGAAUUUUUUUUAUCAAAUAACUUUAAUAUGAUAUAUUUAGCUAUGAAUCCAUCAAAUUUAAUAGUUUUAGCUACUUUCUAGAACAUAAUUCUAUUUUUUUUUAUUUUCGAUUUUUGAAUGUUAAAUAUUUGAAUUUCUUCUAAAUUGUCACGCCCCAAGUCCCGUCAAUUUAGACCACUAGGAAUAUAUAUGCAACAGACCCGCUGGACAGGUAAAUUUUUUUUCUACCUGCACAAAGCGAAAACAUAAGCCAAUCUGUAUAACACACAUGAUAUAGAUAUAUAAACUAUCAGAGUAUGAAGCUACUAAACUGAACUAAAAGUUUACAAUGCUUGACUUCCCGAAAUAUUAUAUUAUUUUGUUUAUACAAAAAGGGCACUUUUUUCUAGACCAGCUAACCAUGAUCUAUUUAGCUCACGAUGGUCUUUGCCGUCAUCCCAUGCUGCGCCGGCAAAAGAAAGCUAUGAAAAGGUGUAAAUAACAACGCGAUGAAAACUUUAAAUAAAUUUUUAUUGGGUGCAACUGCCAAAAGUAAUACUCUACACUCACUUGGUUCAAAAGAGGCAUUAGUAGAUAAUAACGAUAACUGGAAUAACUAUGCAAGAGAAAGUGUUAUAACUACUAUGCCUCAAAUACAUAUACAAUUAAUAUGUGAUAAUGACCAUAAAGUUUUCAAUAAUACACAAUAAAGUUUGGAAUAUAAAAAAUCCGUUCAUGAAAUAUGAUUAAUAUAAGUGAAGUGAGAGAUCGUUAGGAUUUCUAUAAAUAUGGCCCAAUUAAUCAUGUUCAAAUAUGGAUUUACAAUAAAUAAAGGUCAUUCUUAGUAAAUAUAGAACUACUUGAUAUAGUAUAUUUAAUCUCUUUCCCAUCUAUUUAAGUUAAGUAGAAUCCUAAUAAGACUUUGAUGAAAAGUCAAUCUGAACUCUAUAUAAAGAGGGUACUGGUCCUGCCAUCUUUUCAUAUGCAUUCUGAUGAAUAAUUACCAUCUAUUUCACACCAAACGGAAGAGUGCCUGAAAAAGAAGGGGAAACCAAAUUACUCAAGUUCAAUUGGUAACGUUUAGAUUACAGCUAAAUUUUUCACUUUCGCAGAUUGAUUAAGAAUUUCUUCUCUAUGGUGCUCUGUGAGUUAUAUUUUAUUCUGUUUAGGAUCUUGGGUAUGGGUAUGUAUUUAGUUUUCUUGCUUUUACAUACCAAUAUACAUCUAUCUUCCUCCAAACUCUUUAUCUUGUACUGAGUCGUAGAACGAAUAGGUCCGGAAUAGCAACUAGAGAGGCGAAGGAAGGUGAGCACCGUACAAACUUGAUAAGCAAUUUUGCCUAAGUCCAUAAUAAUUGGUAUCAGGGUGGGUUCGAGAAAUAGGAACCAUGUCGUCAUCAAAUGCUGCCAUCGUUGACAUCGUCCCUUAGCCCAAGCGGCCCAAGCGAGGCAAGAGGAAAAAAGCCAUAGACCCAUGCGAGGGAGUUCGUUUCACUCAAGGACCACAUAGGCUUGAUGAAGGAUAUUGUUGCGAGAGUGGAAAAGCGAUAUUCUAUUCUAUCCCAACACUUAGGCCCUGUUUGGAUGCAUAGUUAAAAAACUCCAUGGAAUUUUUAUUCUAUGGUUUUGGUCUAAACGAAAUACGGAAUCCUGUAACUACAAAAAAUUUCCACAGCUUCAUUUUUAAGCUGUUUGGAUAUAUAUCAUACAAUUCCACAGUAUUUAUAAUAACUAAAUUUCUAAAAUUUUAAAAUUCAAAAUUCAAAAUUCAAAAUUUAAAAAUAAAAUUGUAAAAAUUAAAAUUCAAAAUUCAAAAUAUAAAAUUAAAAUUUAAAAUUUAAAAUUAAAAAAGUAAAUUAGAUUUUAUGUUUUAAAUUUGAAAUUUGAAAUUUGGAAUUUGAAAUUUCAAUUUUGAAAUUUGAAACUUUAAAAUUAAAAACUUAAAGUAUACCAUUUAAACUUUAAAUUUUGAAAUUUAAAAAAUCUAUAAUUAAAAUUUUAAAUUUCAAAUUUAAUAAUUUAUAAAUUUACAUAUUUAUAAAUUUAAAAUUUUAAAGUUAAGUUUAAAUUUAAAUUUUGAAGAUUGAAAAUUAAAAAUUAAUUUGAAAUUUGAAAUUUGAACUUUUUGAAAUUUGAAAUUUGAAAUUUGAAAUUUGAAAGUUGAAAGUUGAAAGUUGAAAGUUGAAAUUUGAAAUUUGAAAAUUGAAAAUUGAAAAUUGAAAUUUUAACUUUUUGAAAUUUGAAAAUUGAAAAUUGAAAAUUGAAAAUUGAAAUUUGAAAUUUGAAACUUGAAAUUUGAAGUUUUUGAAAUUUGAAAUUUGAAAUUUAAAAUUUGAAGUUUUUGAAUUUUGAAAUUUGAAAUUUAAAAUUUAAAAUUUAAAAUCAAAAUUAAAUUUGAAUUUUAAAAUUUUAAAAUUUGAAAUCUAAAAUUUUAUGUUGAAAUUUAAAAUUUAAAAAUUGAUACAUCUUUGGGAGCCCAAAAUAGUGGAAUUUUUUUUCCUUUGGUUAAAGUGGAUUGUAAGUUUACUCCAUUUUUUGGAGUAUAGUAUAACUAUGCUCCAAAAAUUACGUCAUUUUUUUUUUCUUCCAAACGCUUCAUAGGAUUAUUUUCCUACCGGCGUAGCAUAGUUUAACUAUGCUACGUUUUUAGAGGUAUCCAAACGGGGCCUUAGAGAUGAUGGAAGUAUGGGCUUCAUACCACGAAGGACCUCGCUACAGCUACCAUGAUGACCUUUCGCUGAUCACUCGAGCAGUUUCAGGAUGACCUCACUCACCACCAGAAUAAGCGAAAGGUGCUGGUGGACGACCUUGUCGCUAGGGUCGAUGCAGCCGAGGGCCUCAAGAUAUGGAUGACAAGCCUCAAAAAGGAUGUGGCUCGCGGUGUUGAGGCAUAGAAGGGGUACAUACCAAAGGUCCAUAUCCCUAAACUCUGGUGUUUCAAGGGCACGCAAGAUGAGAAGAAAUUGAUAACUUCUUAUAGCACAUAGAGCACUACCUCAAGGCAUUAUGAUUAGAGAACAAGGAAGGGAAAGUCUAAACCGCUUCCAUGUACCUCACCAACAGUGAAUAAUUCUAUGGUGGCGUCGGCAGGCGACAGAGGCUGAAAAGGGCCAAUGCGAGCUAAGGAGGACUUUUUGCACGAGCUCAAGGCACAGUUUUAACUAGAUCUUGUGAAGAGGCAACUUCGAUAGCACAAGCAUAUUAGGACACUCAACAAGUAUGUCAAGGAGUACUCUAAAUUGAUGCUAGCUACCACCAAUAUGGCCGAAGAGGAUCAACUAUUCUUCUUUUUUGAUGGGUUCCAACCAUAAGCGAACAAGGAGCUCGUAGGACAUGAUGUUAACGAUGUGAGCUUCACUAUUGCCUUAGCGGAGAAGCUACUUGAGUAUGGGAAGGAAGAUCAUACUCAUGGAAAACCACCUAAGAUGGGCAAGGCCAAAGGUGGGGGAGAUUGUUGUGAACAAAAUGACAACUAGGCAACUUCCUAGCUUUGCCGAAGGCAAUGCCGAUGCCAUACCUUGGAGUUAAGCAUCAUGGAGGAGACAGCCCCUUGCAUGGUUCCGGCUAGCCGCAUCGAUGUCACGCCCCGGGACCCAGCGGAAGCCCACCCGGCGCGUGCCCAGACCCACCAUACGUCUAAAACAUAUAAGACGUCUAAAAACAACAAUAAUAAAAGCAAUAAUAAAAGACAUCUAGGAGUAUCAGAGCAUAAUAAAUGUCUAAAUGCUACAACAAGGGAUAAGGAUAAAGCUAUAAAUCCACUACAUAAAACAUAAAGUGUUAUAAGGAAAUCUCAGAUACAAGUGCUAUAGGUAGAUACAUAGGUGGUCUCUAUACAUGGAUACAAAACCUCUCACACUCUCAACUACAAAAAGAAGGAGUAAACCACCUAGGCAAAGAACCGCUCCUCGCUAGCUAGCUAAGCAAUCCCCUUACCGCGAUCCCGUGCCUCCGCCGGUGCCGAAGGCUCUGAAAAGGAAACCAUAAAACAGGGGAGUGAGAACUAUUAAAAAUAGUUCCCAGUAGGCAAUUACUGACUUCAGUGAAUGCACUACAAGGCCCAAAGCUACAAAAGAUGUCAGUGAGAGUAACAAUAGAAAAGCGAAAGGUAAGUAAAAAUAAUGUAACCUACUACCACAUGAUAUCUCUACUUAGCGUAAUUAGCAUAAGUAUGAAGCAAUUAUGCAUGAAGUAAAAGUCUCCAACUAUCAUAAUGUUCACAAUGCGAAAUAGUAAAGUUCCGUUGUUUACUAUUCUAGUCAAUGUCCAAGUAGUACACUAAGUCAUCAUCUGUCCACAUGUCAUAGUGAAUACUCAAAGUCAAAUCUGAAGAGACCCACCCGAAGGCUGUCUAUGGCCCUGAGACCCACCCGUUGGCUGUCUGGCCGGUGCCGAGCCUAAUGGCCCCGUGGUAGUCAUCAUCCCCACCCUAGGAAUGAGCCUGUCCCACGGCAAUCCACUUCGGCGCCCAAUCCCGCACGGCGAAUAUGAAUCGCGAUGGCUAUCUCCGGACUGCCGGCUUGUAGGGAGCGACCCUCACAAGCAUGUGCGAAUGAGCACAAUGGCAAGUAGUCAAACGAUCUGUCGCAAGUACCAAGUCCUCAUGUCUAGUAACAUGGAAUGUGUCAAGUACCCCAAUGGCCUAUCCCUAUGUCAUCAUGUCUCUAACAUGGAAUGUGGCGGAUAAGUAGUGGCCUAUCAAUAUGUCUCUAUGUUGCAGUUUCAUAGUUUACUAGUUUCAAGUGCCCCUUUAUGACACUCUUGUUCUCUAUGUCAGAGCAUGGCAACUAUGUUCCAAAGUACAUAUUCCAACUCAUAAUCCUCAUAAGUGAUGUAUUUUUCACUUGCAAAUAAACACUUUUCCCAUAUGCAUGCAUUCUACUCAUAUAGCCCUACUAUAUAGUGAAAUUUUCAUAAUACACAAGACAUGCAUUUUAAGUGCUCUAAAAUUCAUAUAAAUUUCAUUUAGCAUAGAAAUGAAUUUAAAAAAUAUUUUACAACAAGUAGAAAGAGCAUAGGGGCCAUUUCGCCACAUUUUCACGAAGCCAAACCCACCAAAAUCGACUUCUUCGUUUCGCCGAACGAAGGUAUCCACAAGCUUCCUAGUACCCUAGAAACAUCAAAAAUAGGCUCACCCAAACGAAACGAAGAGCAAAUAGCUCAAUCAUUAAGCUUCUCAAGCUAGGGUUGGGAAAAACUCACCUCAAGUGAAAAACCCUCUCUUAAUCUUCAAAUGGAAGGUAGGGGUCUUCCAAUCUAACUCAUAUAAAGGUUCCAAACCAUUCAAAUGAGAUCAAGAAGCCUCAAAUCCAAAAACCCCAAAAAUAAACCCUAAAUCCCAAAAUCUAGGGUUUCAUCUAGUAAAACCUAGGAAAACAUGUAUCAAAUGGGGAUUACAAGCUACCAACCACAAGAGAAGCUCCAAUCCAAGCUCAAAACCAAGUAGGGUUGAAGUUUGAUCUACCACAAAGCUCCAAAAGUAAGCUCCAAGCCUCCAAAGGUGAGAAAUGAGGAAGAAAAUGGUGCUCCAAGGCCUCCAAGCAAGCUCCUCUCCUCUCCUUCUCCUUCUUCUCCUUUCCUUUCUCUCUCUAGAAGUGUAGGAAGAGUGUGAGGGAGAGAAAAUAAGAGUGAGAGGGGAGGAGAGGCUGCCUAUAUCCUCUAAGGUAACAAAAUCCAGCAAGGCCCCUCAAAAACUCAAAUUUACAUCAGCCCGGUCUGGGCAGUUUUCGCCUAGAGGGACCGGUCUCCCCGACGUGGGACCGGUCUCUCAGCCUGCCCCCGAAAAUCCAACGUUCGGGAACCAGUCUCUCCAUGUGCGGGACCGGUCUCUCCCCGCGCAGACGCGCUCGGGGACGGGUCUCGACUGCCAGCGACCUGUUGCCUCGCCGGCUACGCAGCACUGUUCACUGGGGGACCGGUCUCUCCUAUCAGGGACCGGUCCCCAAGAGUAAAAACUCUCAGGACUCUGCCAAAACUCUCGAGAUCGAACUUUUAGGCCGGGAUACCAUCGACGGCCCUCCACCAAGUGUGGAAAAGUUCGGAAUAUAAAUCGAACACUCAAACCUCGCAAUUUGCAAUGGUCCAGUGCGCUACAUUCACCCCUCCUAAAAAGGAUUUUCGUCCGCGAAACUCGAAAGCAAAAGCAUACCUCAAGACUCCAUCUGAAAAAGAUGGGGAUAGCGCUCCUGCAGCGCAAUCUCUAGCUCCCACGUGGCCUCCCGCUCCGCGUGGUUGCUCCAAAGAACCUUUACAUACGGAAUAUCCCGAUUCCGCAGCUUCUUCACCUCGCGAGCCAAAAUCUUCACGGGUUGCUCCUCGAAGCUCAGAUCCUCGCGCAGCUCCACUGGUAUAGUUCCCAAAACAUGAGCUGGAUCACGAAUNGGCAGUUUUCGCCCAGAGGGACCGGUCUCCCCGACCUGGGACCGGUCUCUCAGCCUGCCCCCGAAAAUCCAACGUUCGGGAACCGGUCUCUCCCUGCGCGAGACCGGUCUCUCCCCGCGCAGACGCGCUCGGGGACCGGUCUCAACUGCCAGGGACCGGUUGCCUCGCCGGCUACGCAGCACUGUUCACUGGGGGACCGGUCUCUCUUAUCAGGGACCGGUCCCCGAGAGUAAAAACUCUUAGGACUCUGCCAAAACUCUCGAGAUCGAACUUUUAGGCCGGUAUACCCUCGACGGCCCUCCACCAAGUGUGGAAAAGUUCGGAAUACACAUCGAACACUCGAAUCUCGCAAUUUGCAAAGGUCCAGUGUGCUACAAUCGAGCUAGCGGCAACCUAGACCCUCUUCAUUUUAUAAUUGCGAAAAGGGAUGGGGCAUAGCGAGAUGACUUACCUUGCGGCUAUUUGCGAGGUAAUGAUGAGGGCCUUGAGAAGGUCUUUUCGAUUGAAAUUGAUGCAGUCUUGAGGGAAUUCUAAAAUGUUAUGCCUUAGGAACUACCCAAGUGACUCCUACCUAAGUGGGAAGUGGACUAUGCGAUUGACCUCGAGUUAGAAGCCAAGCCACCAAUGACAACACCAUAUAGAAUAGUCCAGCUGAAGCUCGAGGAGUUGCAAACCAAUUGCAAGAGCUCCUCAAUUGAGCUAUAUAAGACUGCCAAAGGCACCCUAUGGAGCACCAAUACUAUUCUAACAGAAGAGCGACGAAAGACUAUGACUCUGUUUUGAUUAGAGGCCACUCAAUAAGGUAAUAGUAAAAAAUAAGUACCCUACCACUUUGGUUGCAGACUUUGACCAGCUAGGUGGGGUGAAGUAUUUCACCAAGCUCGAUCUCCACUCAGGGUAUAUCAAGUCCGAAUUGUGGAAGUAGAUGAAGAGAAGACCACAUGUGUGAUGAGGUACAUGGCCUAAGAGUUCCAUGUCAUGCCAUUCAUCCUGACAAAUGCACCGACGACCUUCUGCACUCUUAUGAACAAGCUAUUCCACCCUUAUCUCGGUCACUUCAUGGUAGUGUGCACCUCAACGUCAUCGUUGUGUAUAGCAACACAUUGAAGGAGCAUGUCGAGCAUCUAUGGACCAUCUUUCAUGUAUUGCGAGAGAACCAGCUUUUUAUUAAGAAAAAGAAGUGCUCCAUCAUGAAGAAUUAGGUACACUUCCUUGGCCAAUAGAUGGGCCAGGGGCAACUCCACAUGGACCACCGGAAGGUGUGGGCAAUCUACGAGUGGGGGACACUCAUGAUAGUGUAUGAACUGUAAUCCUUUCUCAAACUCAUCAACUACUAUCGCCGCUUCAUCGUGUGCUACUCUACACAAGUGGCUCCGUUGGCGGACCUACUAAAGAAGAACUAGGCAUGGGAUUGGACUGCUUAGUGCGCGGAGGCAUUCGAGGACCUUUAGUGGGCAAUGACGGAGGAUCCAGUACAACGACUUCUUGAUUGCAAUAGUCCAUUCAAAGUGCAUAUAGAUAUUUCGGACUUUGCCAUUGGCGAUAUUCUCAUGUAGGAUGGGCAACCCAUCACCUACAAGAGCCGUAAGCUGAAUGACAUUGAGCGGCGAUGCAUUGUUUAGGAGAAGGAAAUGAUCGUCGUGGUGCAUUCUUGAGGACUUGGCAUUACUACCUUCUCAGGAUCAAGUUCGUGGUGCAGACGAACAUUAGCACCACGAGCUACUUCCAAACCCAAAAGAAGGUAUCACCAAAGCAGGCGAGAUGACAAGACUUCUUGGCGGAGUUCGUGAAUCCCGAAGAGCAAUCCCGAAGAGCGAUCGUGAAUCCAGGUUUAUGGGCAAGUUUUGGACAAAGAUAUUUUAGAUCUUAGGGUCGGAGUCGCUCUUCUCCACCAGUGUCCACCCACAGAUGGAUGGGCAAAUAGAGCGGGUGAACACCCUAUUGAAGGAAUACCUAUGACACUUUGCGGGUUCCUACUAGAAGAACUUGGUGCACCAUAGUAAUGUGGCUCAAUUCUCUUACAAUUUGCAGCUGAGUGAGUUCACAAAUCUAAGCCCAUUCGAGCUGGCGAUAAGGAGAUAACUGACGGCCCGACACACAGUCAGCGAGUGAGGCCACAGCCCAUGGCCCUCCAAUUCACUUCAAAACUACAGAAAAGGGCGAGAUCGCCAGGGCCUAUCCAAAGAAGAAGGCCUGCCGAAUGACCAAAUGGGUUGAUGCAACGCGGCGGCCAUUGGAGUUUGCUGAAGGUUAUUGAAUCUUGGUUAAGUUCUGCAACCCCAAUAAUUCAAGGCCUUUCGCAAGAUAUACUGUGGGCUACUACAGAAGCUUACAUGUUUAGUAUGCGAUGAAAAUUGAUUAAUUAAGUUUUGUAUCUCUUUCAUUUAGUUUGCAUAUUUAAAAUAUAAAAAAAAAUUGAUUUCUUGAGUAUUAAUAUUUUUCUUACUCUAUGAUUUUAUUGUUGUAUUAUUAUAAUUUACGUAUAAAAAAUUUAGUUAAGUUGUUUCAAAUUCCUUUUAUUAAUUAUAUAGGAAUAUUAUUUAUUAUUAUAUUAUAAUUUAUUAUUUAUCUAGUUAUUUGUUAUUUAUGUAUAUAAUUAUAUUUUUAACGUCAUUCACUUCUGCCAAGAUAAUAAUAGAACUGAAGAAACUUUACUUUCAUAGCUGUAAAACCAAACAGCUUUGGAAAGAAGUAAUUUUUAUCUAAACUCUACUUUUACCACAGUUCACUUAGGCCCACCCAGGCCUAAAGUCCACUUUCGGUAAAACCAAACAGGCCUAAAACAAAGGGAAACUCAAUUUGAAGGGCGAUGGAUUCCCUCAGGGCCAUUUUGGGAAUAAAAAUGAAAGAUUUUAUAGAUUUCUUUUUCUAAAAAUGUAUGGAUAGUCCCUGCAACGCUCCAAUGUUGAAACUUACUGUCACGCCCCGGAUUCCUCGUUUCCCCGGGUACGCUAACAGACCCACCGUAUACAUAGAAAUUUUUUCUGUAUACGAAGCGAAGCUGUACAAGAACCAGAAAUCAAACACACUACAACCAGUAGUAUAGAGCUGCUAGAAAGGAAUAAAACAUAUAUAAUCACAGUGGUUCAAUACAUACAUAGUAUCCGGGUACAAAAAUACUCGCUCCAGCGAGAUACAACAUCCGUAUGUAAAGAACCAAAAACUACAACUACUUGUAGUUGGUGCUCCUCUAGCUCUGCGACUCGGCUGGAAAGGCUCUAACUCGCAACGCUUUUGCCACGAUCAGUCUCAGUAGUAGCAGCAGCCGGAACAGAAGGCUCUACAAAAGAAGGAUAACAAAUGGGCGUGAGAACUACUGCAAAAACAAGUAGUCCUAAGUGGGUACCGCCCUCAACUCAUCGGUUCACCCACCAAGUCUACAGAUGUAUGCUCAAAAGAUAGUAAGGGAACCGGAAACAAUCUACAGCUACAUGCCACUAUACUAUCAUGAUCCGACACUACUAUCUGUAGAAUAAGACAAGCUCUCACCCAAUCUCACUAGGGACUGUAAACAUACCGUCCCAGGAACUGUGAAUACACCCGUCCCGCCUGUCGAAGCUAUACAGCUACCUCCGCACUAAGCAGUCCAUGGAGAGCAAGUCCAAACAGGACACAACGACACCAACACAAACGCACAAAGUCCGACUCCGGAGUGGCACUCGUGGGCGCUACCCAACCAAGUAUGCAAGCGUAUCUCUGUCGAGCUCAAUCAGGCUCUCACAAGCUAAGAUCCAAGUAAAUAGGGUCCAACUGGUCUAACAACCAACUCACGUGCCCUCGGCAUAAUCUGAUGCAACAACAGCAAUCUAGGUCCACCGUCAACCUCAACGGCACCCGACAGUCCGGAACAGUCUAAACACUGCUGUAAAAAUAAGCUCGGCAUCUCAGCCCGAGCGUAAAUACAUUCUACACUAUUCUGAAUAUCCACCACCCCCAAACUGCGGUGAUACAAACAAACUACGGCUUCUAGAGCUAAAUCUGGUAGUUUUAACAUAUGACAGUGUAGAAACGCUAGUUUUCUCCUAAGUCAAUUCCAAGUCCAAUAUGUAUAAUUUAUCUAACUUACUACAGUAUGCUCCAAAUUUAAAUUUUAUUUAACAUACUAAUCAAUGAAUUCGAGCUAAAAAUAUGAUAUACAAUUGCUGAAAAUAUACAUGUUGACUAUGCGUACACUUAGGAGGAGAAUCCAAUGAUUAACCCACCUUAAGCGCUAAAUCCACGGCAGCGAGGAGUCGCCGGAAUUCCUGUCAGUCUCUGCCACAACCAGCAACCAAACAAAUCCAAGGUCUACACAAAAUCCACCAAAAAUCUAUCAAUACUCUAAAAAUUCAGCACUUAAGCUAAUAUCAUCCAAUUCCAAUGUCAACUUUACCUUCCAAAGCUCAAAUCAGAUGAAGGAAGGUCCCAAAACCAGUGGGCUGUGCUGGAGUAUCAAGCUUUGGUUCACAACCCAGCUCCUUCAAAGAAUUGCUCCAAGAAAAUCACAACAAACUCAUUUUCAGCUCAAACCUCCAGCAGCAGAGAAGAAUGCGAAAAUAACUGAGCUAACCUUAACCAAAUUCUGUUAAUUUAGGCUCCAUGAAUUUUUCUUAAAGUCUAGAAUCCAACAAACCAAGUUUCGUGGUAAAUGGAGCUUCCUACAUCGUACACGAGUCGAAACACCGAAGGUCGCCGCUAGAAAACUGCUAGAACUGCAGCCCUCUAGUUGAAAGUGCACAAAUUGGAGGAAUUGAAGCAAUUUGAGGUGUUAGUAGGGGUGGAACUGGGCCGGGCUUGGAUCGGGUAAUACUAUGCCCAAGCCCGGCCCAAAAAAAAAUGUUGGGCUUCGGGUCGGGCUUUUACCCAAUUUUGUAUAAGGCCUGGCCCAAGCCCAAGCCCAAUGCCCAAUACCCAUCGGGCUUUGUGAAGGCCCAUUUUAUACAUUUAUCAUAUAAUACAUAAAUACUUUUAUUUGUAUAAUAAUAUGUACCAUAUAUUUACUCAUAGAUAUGUAUAAUUAAUUAAUUAUAUAGAAUAAUACUAUUUAUUAUAUCCUAAUAUGAAACUAAAUAUUUUGUUAAUAUAUAAUAUAUCCUCAUAUAUAUAUAUAAGUAUAUACCAUUAAUAACACUAUAUACUAUAUAUGAUAUAAUAUAUAAUUUAUUCUUUUUAUAAAAAAAUAUUAUAUAUAUAUAUAUAUAUAAUUAAAUAUUUUAUUUUAAUAAUUAAUAUAUCGGGCUUUUGGGUCAGGCUCGGGCCGGGCUUGGACAUGCCCAAAUAGGCCCAAAAUUUUUUCGGGCCUAAAUUUUGAAGCCCGGCCCGAACCCAAAGUUAAAUUUUUAAUACCCAAAGCCCGGCCCAAAUAUGGCCCAUCAGGCCGGGCCUUGUUUAGGCCCGGGCCCAGUUCCACCCCUAGGUGUUAGAUACAAUUCUAAACUUCACUGUGAAGAAAGGAUGAAAAGGGUUCACUGGAGGUGUACAUAGCCUAUUUAUAGGGAGGUGAAAAGACAAGAUAAGCCCUAAGAACUCCAAACACAAAACUGCUGCCCCUGCAGAAAUCCCCACUUUCGGGCGCCCAAAACAUACAUCUGUGCGUCCAGAAAUCUCCAGGCUAUACAAAAGCUUCCCAUUGGUUCCUCCGCCGUGGUGUGCUGCGCCCAUAACCGGCUCCGGUGGACCUCACCUACCACCAGCCACGUGUCAGCGCAAACGAUACUCCCGAAGUGAAUUUUCGGACCCACUUCUGGACGCCCGAAACUAGGAUCCGAAUUGGCUUUCAGUUCUGCUCAGUUCUGCACUCAAGUUCUGGGCGAUCGAAACCUUGUUCUGGACGCCCGAAUCUGGCAAAACUCCAGUUUUGCUUAUUUGAGUGCGCCGAGUCCAUUUCUACAUCCAUUUCGUGCAGAAUUAACUCCAACUCAGUCCGACACUCUCCAGAUGUGUCGACCAGUCACUAAUACUGUAGCUAAUUCUAUUCAAACUUCUGGAACACUACACUUACAUAAAAACUAACUCUUGACGUUAACACUUCUGUUCUCAAACAUUUGAAAAUUAUAAUUGUAAUAUUUCUUCUCUAAUUUCCUUUUUUUUUUUGGUAAAUUUAUUAUUUUAUAAGCGUAUAAAAUUACCUUUUGUAUUCUAGACUCGGGUUUUCUUGAAAAUUCAACAAGAAGUAAACAAGAAAAACAAAUUCUGAGAACAAAGGCGUAAUAUCCAUAAUAAUAUCAGACGUCAAGUCUACCUCGCGUGAGUUAAACAUGACAUUUCAAUUGGGCUGAUGCAAAAAAAACCCAAUAGGCAUAAUAGGCCCAGUAGACCAAGUCGUCAGUACUUGGGUUAAAGAGUAUAUCUUUAUAGUGAUUCCAAGGGUAUGUUUGGUUGGCCAAAAGUGAAGCACCGAAAAUAAUAUUUUAAAAAGUGAUCUCAUAUCGAUUGUUUGCGUUGCGAAAAUAAAUAUAAAAGUCACUUUACAAAAGUGGACUAAUUAAGUGAAUUAUAAUUAAAUCUUAUAUUUUUUACUUCGGCUCAAAAAAUGUAAAGUGGACUGAUUAAAUGAAUUAUAAUUAAAUCUUAUAUUUUUUACUUCGGCUCAAAAAAUGUAAAGUGGACUGAUUAAAUGAAUUAUAAUUAAAUCUUAUAUUUUUUACUUCGGCUCAAAAAAUUCGAAAGUCACCAAAAUUACAAAGCUUAACUAAAAUGAUAUAUUUGGUCUUAAAUUUUAAAUUAUGAAUUAAAAUUUGAAGAAAUGUUUUUAAAUUUUAAUUAUAAAUUCAACUCGAUUUAAGUUUAAAUUUAAAUUUUAAGAAUAAAAUUUUAAAUUCCAAAUUUAAAUUUUUAAUUUAAAUUAUGAGUAUAAGUCGUUUGUUUAUAUUUUCACUUUUUUUACUAUAAUUAAAGAAUCAAAAUUAUAAAAUUAUAGUUUUCAUGUUUCACUCUAUAGCUAUCUAAAUAAUCGAAUUGAAAAGAAAAAAAAAAUGAGUUUUUUCAAUUCAGCCACUUUUGGAUAACUAAACGUCGCUCUAAUAACAAUCAAAACAGUAACCUCAGCAGCACCAAAAAGAAAUAUUCCUUACCACUCACAAACGACUGUAAAAACACACCUAUAAAGUUGCACUCAUGGCGCCCCGCAUGCAUUUUCUUUGGACUCGAAAGAGUUGAUUUAGGGGAGAAAAAAAAAAAGAUGGAAGAAACUACCAAAUGCCUUAGAACGGAUUCAUUAUUUACGCGGCCACAGAGGGAUCGAGCACGUGGCCCAUGAAUAACACCGCUUCGGUUGUGUCCUCCCUGAUCAAGAAAAAGAACGGGUGAUCAGCAACGAAGUCCGGAGGAGGACGAGGCGCCCUGCAACAACCCUCAAGCAUCAUGAAAGAAGCGGCGGCUGCUUCGGUUCCUUCCUCAUUAACUUCGAUGAAAGAUUUGUGCAAAAUCAAUGUUCGGGCGAUGGGUGAAUCGGCUAUUUCAGUCAGGCCCCCGUCCCCACAGAAGAGCAAAUGUACUCCCAUCUCUUUUAGAACUCGAGGUGCAUCCAACCCGCAAGAUAUUUUGAAUUUGGGGAUCUUCAACUCUCCCAAUUUGACCUCCCGCUUCGGGAGAUGGCGGUUUAGGAACUCGGGAUCGGAACUCAACUUAUCAAUUAAACUCCAUAGCCCAUCUCGAUCGUCGGGCAAGAAAAUAUACAUGGAAAAUUGUCUCCUAUCAUUCCCUUUUCUAUAUGGAAGCCUUUGUCUCCUAUCAUUCCGUUUUCUAUACGGAAGCCUGAGCACUUUGAAGUCAUCGAAUGAAGACAUGAACUGCAUUUCCGGAUUCGUCAUGAAGGGCACUAGCACAGAAUUUCCGUUGAGCAAGUGGAACUCACCGUCUUCCGUUCCUGAUGCGUCGAAUCUAUCAGCCCAAGCCCCUUUAAAGUAAAUAGCAUUACCGAGCACCACCCUAGUGAAUUGGUUGAUAGCUCUACCGGAAAUCAUACUCUUUGUAAGACCAUUUGUUGCCGAACUAAUCCAUGAGUUAAUUUGAUCAGUAAUUUCAUCAGCCUAAAUUAAUAGGAAAGAAAAAAAAUAUUAAUAAACAAAUACAGCAGCGUUCAGAUUGGCUUAGAAAAAAGGGGGGAAAAACCGAAUCUGCAACACUGGUUUACCUGCCAACAAUUUUACUGAUAAGUAAAAUUAGCAGCAGAAGAAAUAUUUUUGUCUUUUAAAAAAUUAAAUAAGUAUUAUUUAUUGAAGUUGAUUUGCAAAACCGAGACUAACAAAAAAAUCAAUAUAAUUCCAGCUUAAUCAAUACCCAGAAUCCUUAAUUCCUUAUCAUUCCAAAUUCAGGAUAGAUAACUAGAGGGGUGGCAAAAGGAUAAAAAUAAAAAAAAAAAAAAGAAAGAAAGAAAGAAAAAGUUCAGUUACAGAAAGAUUAGUAUGCAUGGACUGAAGUGAGAAUUUAUGGCAAGAUAUAUAACAAAACUGGAAGAGAAACAUAUUCACCACUGUUCAGCUGCCUCAAAUUCAAGAAUACUAAAAACAAAAACUUAGAAUCUUCUUCACAAUAUCAGAGGGGUUUGUUCACUGCGAACUUAAGCUGUUGGAUUGGUCUCUGCGAUUGCGAUUGCGAUUUGAUAUAGCAUCAGAACCAUUUCCAUUUCUAAUCUAGUUUCUUCUGCUUCAAUUUCAACCUAGAUUCAGUUAGAUUCAAUUCGACCUUGUUAGCGGGGGCAUGUUAAAAUAGACACCAUAUAUGGUUCUCACCAUUCCUCUACCUGCCAGACUAAUAAUCUUUUAUGUUGAUCCGAUCCCCCUAAGACAUGCAUAUUCAAGCUAAAACCCCACAGAAACCCUAAUAACUCGAGAAACGAACAACAAAAAGAAAAAGAAAAAGGAAAAGGAAAAAGAAAAAAGGAACAAAAAUCAUAGAGCAUGGAUUCGAACCUUGGUUUGGAAAUCGACGGAUUGGAUCUCCGCCUUGUAAGCGGAGGCGGCGAUCUCCGCGAACGCGGCCUGGAGGGAGAGGGAGGCGUCGACCCACACCCCGUUCGCGAAGGAGACGCGGGGCCCACCGCCGGCGGAGGCGUCGGCUAGGACGCGGCCGACGACGCGGGCGGCGAGGGUGGCGACGUCGUCAGCGGUGGCGCCGGGGCAGAGCACGGCGAGGAGCUCGUCGAGGGCGGGGCCUCGCGUCCCCGCCGCGGCGAGGCUGAGGAGCGCGUGCAGGGAGAGCGGCGAGAACGCGAAGUUGGCGCCCUUCUUCGACUCGGCGGCGGCCACGCGCUGCGCGAGGCGCAGGGCGAACGCGGUUUGGUGGGCGACGAACUCGCUCAGGCUCAUCGCGCGAAUCGCCUUCUUCGGGGCGAAGCGCGUUUCCGGAAGCGGCGGCGGAGGAGGAGAAGAUGCUAAGCGUCUCGUACUCAUCAGCACACGAGGACGGAGGGAGGAGGAAAGAGACGAGACGAAAGAGCGCGACGCGGAGAACCUGCCUCCUUUCAAAGAGAGAGAGAGGGGUCCAAAACACACAAGAAAAAAAAUUAAUGCGCACUCGCGGCUGAUUAUUUUUAGAGCGAAAAUAUAAAGUAGGGGACCGGUAAUUUUGUUGAUCAUUCCCCUGCCGAAAUCACAGCGAUUCUCAUUUUCCAAAUAUCUGCUUCAAAAUUUUUUUCUUUUUUUUCAGAAACAAAUUUAUUUUAAAAUUUGAAAGGAAAAAUUACUAAUUGUACGUAAUACUGAUCUGACGGUUAAUUUGCAUCUCGCCAAGUUGUAUAGUUUCAGCUCUAUCCUUAUUCUGGUGGACAAAACUGGGCGCCCAAGCUUUACCUUUUCUGUUUAUUUCCAGAGCUACGUGCUCAUCUCCACUUUUUUGAAUUUUUUUAUAAAAUAGUUUUUUAAAAUUUUAUUAUUUGUGAAACAAUUCUGUUAAAAUAGUAUUUAAUUACUAUUAAUAUAAUAAUAUAAAAUAAUAAAAAUUAUUAUGUGAUGAUAAAAAAAAAUAUUCUAAUUAAUAUUAUAUUUUUUUUAACAAAUAAAGAAAUAUACUAUCGAUCUUAUUUGUAAUAAUACAUAUUAAAGUACAAAAGUUAGAGAAACAAAAUUAUGGGCCAAAAUAAAUGCUGAGGUAAAGAGCAAAAUUCAACACUGCUCUAUUAUCUAGUUAAUUGGUAUAAUUUGUUAAUUGGUAUAAUUUGAUUUAAUUUGAUUUAAUAGUGUUUCCUAAUAAAAUUGUUAUUCUAUAUUUGAGCAUAAUUAUAAUAAUAGCGUUUAAUAGUGUUCCCUACUAAAAUUCUAGUUAAUUGUAUAUAUAAUUAUAUUUAAUCGGUAUAAUUUGAUUUAAUUUGAUUUAAUAGUAUUUCUUAAUAAAAUUCUUGUUAAUUGUAUAUAUAAUUAUAUUUAAUUGGUAUAAUUUAAUUUAAUUUGAUUUUAUAUUUAAUUGGUGUAAUUUGUUAAUUGGUAUAAUUUGAAUUAAUUUGAUCUAAUAGUGUUUCCUAAUAAAGUUGUUAUUCUAUAUUUGAGUAUAAUUAUAAUAAUAGUGUUUAAUAGUGUUUCCUAAUAAAAUUGAUAUUCUUUUUUUGAGUUUGACACGUGACAAGCAUAUGAAAGACACGUGGCAGUUUUACACAAAGGGUUCUACUUUAGUAUAUAGUAAAUAGAUAGAUUAUAUUUGAAAAACUAAUCUUUUUUUUUGCCGGAGGGAGCAAUUUUUUUAAAAACAGUGAAUGAUUCACCGACUUCAUAAAGACGGUGAAAGAUUCACCGCCUUCCUAAUUUCUCACAAAAAUAGUGAAUCAUUCACCGUCUUUCACUUAUUUACUAUUUCUUUUUAUAUCUCAUAUAUAAUCCUAACAAACACAUAAUAUUUCAACAAAUUAUAUAUAAUUUUAACAAUCUGAAAAUUCUAAUAAUUUAUCCAUACAAUUCUAACAUUCAAAAAAAUCCUACUAAUCUAUCCAUACAAUUUUAAUAAUCAAAUAUCACAUAUAAUCUUAACAACUUUGAAAAUCCUAAUAAUCUAUCCAUCCAAUCCUAAUUAACAAUCAAAAAAAUUUUAAUAAUCUAUCCAUAUAAUGCUAACAAUCAAAGAAUUCUAAUAUUCCACAUACAAUCUUAGCAACCUUACUCUUUUUUUUUCUAUUUCCCGUACUAUAAUAUAUGUAUAAUUUUAACAACCUUAUUUUUUUCUUUUUUCUAAAAAAAUUAUGAAGAAGACGUUUCACCGUUUUAAUGAAUAGGGGUGGUAUUUAAAGUUUUCCCUAAUUUUUUAGGUUGCAGUGGAGGCCUACACAAGUUUAAUUUCUUGUCUCUCCUCUUCUGUGAUUAAUAAGGCGUGGUUGAAGUGAAUUGUGUGUGACGUCCUGCAGUCACGUGAUGAUCUACAAUUACGUUCUACUAGCAAUUAACUCCUGCUAUGCAAGAAUUUAAAUGGGUUAAUUGCAUACAAUUUUUUAUAAACAUAUCGAACAACAGAUAUAUUCAUACAAAUUCAACUUUUAUUUUUAUCUCUAUAAAAGUUCUAAUAUUUUCAAAUAUACCUCUAUUGUUAGAAUCGGUUAGACAAAUACAGUUAAUCAUAAGUAAAAUAUUUAUCUCUGAUUAGUGAAUAAGGUAAGUUGACUUUUUUACCCUCUUAUAUUAUUUCUGACAGUAGAAAGGAAGAAGAUAACUGUUGAAGUUUUUGGAAUGAUAUUUUUGCAUAAUUCUAAUAAUUAGGACUUUUGGAGGGACAUAUUUGUAAUGGUAAAGUUAUCAUUUCACUUAUUUUUUGUUAAAAAAUAAAUAUUUUUUUAACGAUAACAAACCAGAGUUGUAAAUAUGAAUAUCACUAAAUUUUUUUUGAUUAAACAGGGGUAUACCCUAUUAAUAUCACUAAAUUUUUGUACGAAUAAAUAUGAUAAGUUGAAAUUUAUAGAGAUAUAUUUGCUAUUCGAAAUGUUUAUAUAGAGCUUUAUUUAUUUACUUUAGAUAGAUUUAUAUAUGGACAAGAAUUUAGUAAGAUCAAUGAUAGACAAAAUCACAUAAAAAGGUUAAAAAAAAGGAAAGAAAAGAUAUAUUUAUAUUGUGGAACUGAAAAAACAAAUUAUACGCUUUUCACAAUAUUUUUUGGGGCAAUUUCACCAUUAGCUCUUUCACAUAUGUAAAUAUCGUAAAUACUCCUGCAAAGUUAAAAAUAUCAUAUAUAUACCCCUUCAAAUGCAAAAAAAUUAUCAUAAUUAGGUGAAGCCAUUUUGAAAUAGAUCCCUUUAACUUUAAUUUUUUAACAUUAAGAGCCCUUGAAGUUUUAGUUUUUUUUCAUUUGGGCUUUACUUGGUUAAAAGUUUUUUAAUUAAGAUCCCUCACACAUGAAUUUGAUACAAUUUUAAAUUUAGUUGGAAAAAAACACUCAUUUUUUAAAUUUUUCUACCGUUAGUUCAACCCUUUUGACCAUUUUCAACUGUCAGUUUGAUACACUUCCACUAUCCCAAAAGAAAGCUCCAGAGUUAAAAUGUCAAAUGGAUUAGUGGAACCGGCUAAGCAUAGUAAUUGAGCCACUAAAUAAAACCGCCCUUGAGGUCAUUGGAGUCAGAUGAAGCAGAAUCAUCUCAACCACCUAUUUGUAUAACUACCUUAACUGCCAAGUGUCCACAAUGUUAUUCUUGUACAAUUCCUAUAAAGGGGAUGAGAUAUAAUAACUGAUUUCAUAGCAUAUAAACAAAUUAAUUAUCUUCUCGUCUUCUCUCUUUCUCUCUUUCUCUCUCCCUCUCCCUCUCCCUCUCUCUCUCCCUCUCUCUUUCUCCCUCUCUCUAUCUUUCUUUCUUUGCUUUCCUCCGUUCUAUAUUCCUGCCAUGGUCAAAGCUUCACGAUCUUGAUUAGGAGCUCUUGUUGAGACCCAAAUCACAAGAGUAUCAAUUGGUAUAAGAGCAACGGUCCUUGGUAGUAGGGCUCGCCAUGGAAACCCGAGGCCAGGAGAUAAAGAAGGUGGAGGAGACGCUGCGACAGGUGACCAAGGAUACAUUACUGUGUCAGGAGCAAUCAAUCUAGGAAUUGAAGGAUCGGCAAACCCGAGAUAUAGAAGAAGUUCGCAAGAUGUUCGCUGAAUUGCACGCAUCCAUCACCCCUGGAAAUGGUCAAGGUCCCGCACCGAUAGCGCAAUCUGAAGGUUACUCUCUUAACAAACCUCAAUUUACUUCUAGGUUUACUAAGUUUGAGUUUCCACGAUUUGAUGGGGAGAAUCUCAAGGGGUGGCUAUAUCAUUGUGAACAAAUCUUUGAAAUUGAUGGAACUUGUGAGGAAUCUAAGGUUAGAUUAGCUUCCAUACACUUAGAGGGUAAGGCUCUUCAAUGGCAUCAAAUCUAUAUGAAAUAUCGGCUCACACGCUCACAUCCAAUCUGUGAGGAGUAUGUAUUAGUUCUCAACACUCGGUUUGGCGGAUCUAUAUGACGACCCUAUGGCUGAACUUAAAUCUCUCAAGCAGAUGGGCUCGGUAAUGGAAUACCAAGAUAAGUUUGACGUCUUACUCAACCGAGUAGAAUUACCUGAAGAAUAUGCAGUGAGUUGUUUUCUUAGCGGGUUAAAAGAUGAAAUUCAGAUUCCGGUGAGAAUGUUUCAGCCUCUCACGUUACAAAAGGUGCUCAGUUUAGUGAAGUUGCAGGAAUUGGCCGUGGAAGGUCACAAUAAAACCCCCAAGGGUGGAAUGACCAGCAGGGAGCAAUACAAUUGUCUCUUCUGUGACUCCCAAAACCAUUAGUACCUCCAAUUAUGCCCAGAUUCCCAGAACGUAAAGAAAUCCUAACCAGCAAGGAGUAUUAGGGCCGGCCCAUCCAUAACAAGGCCUGUAAGGAACAUCUUUAACAUAGAAUUUGACGAGAGACGGGUGAAGGGGUUGUGCUUUUGGUGUGAAGAGAAGUACGUCCCGGGCCAUCAGUGCAAGAAGAAGCAACUCUAUAGAAUUGAAUUGGUAGAGGAAGAUCUUCUCGAGGAGCUGAACAGAUUUGAAACACCUCUCAUGGUAAAUGAAGCGAGAAUCGAAGUCCUGAGCCCAUCAGCACAAAUUUCCCUUCUUGCAUUAAUAGGCCAAGGCCAAUUACCGGAUAUUAGGACAAUGAGACUCUCAGGAACAGUAAGAAAUAGAAGGAUUAACAUCCUCAUUGACUCAGGAAGUACUCAUAACUUUCUUGACGCAGCAAUAGCCGCUAAACUAGCUAGGGUGCCGAACCGAAGUGGUACAGCCUAUGAGAGUCACGGUAGCUGAUGGCAAUAGUUUAACUUGUUCUGCCAUCUACAAGGCUUUCCAAUGGAAGAUGCAGGGUACAACCUUUGAUACUGAUUUACUACUGUUACCACUAAGGCGCUGUAAUAUGGUGUUAGGCAUCCAAUGGCUUAUACACUUAGGCCCAAUUUUGUGGGAUUUCAAACAUCUCCGAAUGGAAUUCCAGUUCAAGGAGCGGCAGGUAGUGCUAAAGGGAUCCCCAGAAGCAAAUUUAAAGAUGAUAGAAGGGAAGGAGCUUCAGAAAAUGAUAUUGGAUGGUGCAGUUUGUUCGGCAAUUCACUUUUGCUCUAUACAUAUGAGUAUGCCAGAAGCAGUGCAGGGGUACUUAGGCGAAACAGAAUCACAUAACUGGAAGCAGAUAAGUGAACCCUUUGCUGAGAAGAUACAACAGCUGUUGACAAGGUAUUCAACAUUAUUCAAAGAGCCCCAGGGACUCCCUCCUACCCGGCCAUACGAUCAUAGGAUUCCCUUGAAAGAAGGCACCAAUCCAAUUAAUGUCAGGCCGUAUAGAUACCCGACAUACUAGAAAACAAAGAUCGAAAAGUUAGUACGAGAAAUGUUGUCGCAAGGGAGUAAUCAGGCCUAGCAGCAGCCCUUACUCCUCCCCGGUGGUGCUAGUUAAAAAAAAAGACGGGUCGUGGAGAAUGUGCAUCGAUUAUAGAGCACUAAACAGCAAUAUCGUCAAGGAUAAAUUCCCCAUACCCUUGGUAGAAGAACUACUAGACAAGCUAUAUGGCACUGUACUCUUCACCAAACUAGACUUAAGGUCGGGUUAUCACCAAAUCAGAAUGCAAGAGGCGGACAUCUACAAGACGGCUUUCCGAACCCAUGAAGGCCACUACGAGUUCUUAGUGGUGCCAUUUGGUCUCACAAACGCCCCGUCCACAUUCCAAGAGUUAAUGAACUAGAUUUUUAAGCCUUAUUUGUGAAAAUUUAUUCUAGUUUUCUUCAACGAUAUUUUAGUCUACAGCAAAGGGGCGGAUGAGCAUCUACAACACCUUCAAAUUACCCUUAAUGUCCUGAAGCAGCACUCUCUAUACCUCAAAAGGAGGAAAUGCACAUUUGCUGCCACCCAACUGGAGUAUUUAGGACACAUCAUCAGCAAAGAAAGGGUUGCCAUGGACGAGGAAAAGGUAGAGACUAUCCUGCGAUGGCCGCUGCCUUCUACAGUGAAAGAAUUGAGGGGCUUCUUAGGGUUGGCAGAUUACUACUGACGCUUUGUUAAGGAUUUUGGAAAAAUCAGCAAACCCUUGCAUGAGAUGCUAGGAAAGGAUGGGUUUCAAUGGAGUGAAGCAGGAUGUCAGGCUUUUAAUCAGCUGAAAACAGCCGUCGCUACUGCCCCAGUGUUGGCACUACCCGAUUUCUCUACGGAGUUUACCAUCGAAACAGAUGCUUCAGGGAUUGGAGUUGGCGCAAUCCUAUUACAAAAGGGUAGACCAAUAGCCUUCAUGAGUAAACCAUUAUCAAUUAGAAAUAGACAACUCUCAGCUUAUGAAAGAGAAAUGUUAGCAAUAGUGAUCGCCGUGCAGAAAUGGAGACCCUAUUUGGUCGAAAGACACUUCAAGAUCAAAACUGAUCACCAAAGUCUAAAAUACUUAAUGGAACAAAGAAUUUCCACCCCUAGUCAACAAAAAUGGGUCUCUAAGCUGAUGGGUUAUGACUAUGAAUUAGUGUACAAGAAGAGGCAGGAGAACACAGUAGCGGAUGCAUUAUCUAGACACCCUAUGCUGUCAGCAAUUUCAGUUAUUCACACAGAUCUUUUAGAUCAAGAGGCGUAGCUAGGCGUCGGAUGAUAAACUAAAGACACUUAUCCAACAAAAACUACAAGACUAUAGCUCUUGGCCACACUAUAGUUGGUCCCAGGAUCAACUCAAGAGGAAAGAAAAAUUAGUAGUUGGUGUUGACCCAAGGCUGAAGUUGCAACUCAUCACAGAAUUUCACUAAAGUGGACUAGGAGGUCACUCAGGAGCUGAAGUAAAAUACGAAGAUGUUAAAAAGUUACUUCUACUGGAAGGGCCUAAAAAGAGAUGUUACCAAGUUUAUAAGGGAAUGUACAGUUUGUCAACAAAAUAAAUAUGAAACAUCGGCACCAGCAGGCUUACUGCAGCCUCUACCAAUACCUGAAGGAAUUUGGAUGGAAGUCUCUAUGGAUUUUAUCGAAGGGUUGCCAUUAUCACAUGGAAAGGAUGUCAUUAUAUUGGUAGUUGACAGAUUGAGUAACUACGCGCAUUUCAUGGCACUUUCUCACCCUUACACUGCUUCUUCAGUGGCUCAAAUGUUUUUAGACAAUAUAUACAAACUGCAUGGGCUGCCGAAAAGCAUAGUAAGCGAUAGAGAUGCCAUAUUUGUUAGUCGAUUUUGGCAAGAGCUGUUCAAGGGACUUCACGUAAAAACUAACCUCUUUACAGCAUAUCAUCCACAAACUGAUGGCCAAACUGAGGUAGUUAAUAGAUGUAUUGAGAAUUAUCUACGAUGUAUGACAGGGGAUAAACAUAAGGAGUGGUCGAAGUGGUUGUCUCUUGCGGAAUGGUGGUAUGAUACCUCUUUUCACUCUUCAACCAAGACAACGCCAUACGAGGUGGUGUAUGGACAGGUACCACCAUUGCAUGUUCCUUAUUUGGCCGGUGAGUCAUCAGUAGACAUGAUGGAUCGGACAUUGACUGCCAGAGAGAUCACCCUGCAGCAGAUCAAAGAAAAUUUAGCUAAUGCUCAAAAUAGGAUGCGACAAAUGGCAAAUAAAGGAAGGUCGGAGCGGAAACUGCAAGUAGGGGAUUGGGUUUAUGUCAAAUUACAGCCGUAUAAGCAACAAUCACUUCGGAAGCAUGCACACCUCACAAAAGCUAUACCCAAGAUACUUUGGUCCAUUUGAAUUAACUGCCGCAGUAGGACCUGUCGCAUAUAAGCUUCGACUGCCCGAUUCUGCCAAAAUUCAUAGCACCUUCCAUGUAUCUCAACUUAAGAAGAAGAUAGGAUCUUCACUAGCUUCGCCUUAUAUUCCAUCAUUUAUUAAUUCCGACGGCCAAGUAUUGGUCGAGCCGAUAGCAUUAUUGGAUAGGUGUCUUGUUAAGCAUUGUGGGAGAGCUACUACACAAGUUUUAAUCCAAUGGUUGAAUCAACCAAGAGAGCAUGCUACCUGGGAGUAUCUUUUCGAUAUCCAGAACCAAUACCCUCAAUUUGAUCCUUGGGGACAAGGAUCUUCUGAAGAGGGGGGCACUAAUACACUUCCACUGCCCCAAAGUAAGCUCCAGAGUUAAAAUGUCAAAUGGAUUAGUGGAACCGGCUAAGCAUAGUAAUCGAGCCACUAAAUAAAACCACCCUUGAGGUCACUGGAGUCAAAUGAAGCAGGAUCAUCUCAACCACCCAAUUGUAUAACUGCCUUAACUGCCAAGUGUCCACAAUGUUAUUCUUGUACAAUUGCUAUAAAGGGGAUAAGAUGUAAUAACUGAUUUCAUAGCAUAUAGACAAAUUAAUUCUCUUCUCGUCUUCUCUCUCUCUCUCUCUCUCUCUCUCUCUCUCUUUGCUUUUCUCUGUUCUAUAUUCCUGCCAUGGUCAGAGCUUCAAGAUCCUGAUUAGGAGCUUUUGUUAAGACCCAAAUUUAAAUCACAAGAGUAUCACAGAUCAUACUAUUUAAUCAACCACUCACUCAACCCUAGGGGACCACUAUCAUUCUAACAAUACAUCGCUUCAUCCAACUCCAAGUGCCAAAAACUUAAUAACACCAAUUUUCAAAUCUAAUCAAAAUGGCACUAUUAAAAGAGGUUUAGAAUUAACGAUAUUAUCAUGUCAUCGCCUAUUUAGCUUUCUUUAGGAUAUUAAUUUUUGUCUCUAAACUUUAUUUUUCACUUUAGUCCCCAAAAGUAAAAAUUUAAAAUUUUGAAUUUAAAUCUGGAAUUAAUCUUAAAAUUAAUUUGAAAACUUAUGAAUACAAAGGGAUCUAUACUCAUAAGAGUAUAAUAGCUGAACUCUCUCUCUCUCUCUCUCUCUCUCUCUCUCUCUCUCUCUGUGUGUGUGUGUGUGUGUGUGUGUGUGUGUGUGUGUCUCUCUCUCUCUCUCUCUCUCUCUACCUAAAGUUUAGGCCAAAAUUUGAAAUUGUUAAAAAAAAGAAGAAGAAAGCUCUUCUUUUCAAGGCCCAGUUAAUGGGACUCAUCAAGCCCUAAAGGCCAUCAUCAAGAAUCACUGACAUUUAUAUAUUAACUAAUGUGUUUGUUAAUCAAACUCAUUAACUACAUACUUCAAAUUUGCAUAGCUAUUUCUUUAUGUUAUUAUAUACAUUAAAUAUAAAUUAUGGACAAGAAAUCAUGCAGUUACAUACAUACAUACAUACAAACAUACNUAUAUAUAUAUAUAUAUAUAUAUAUAUAUAUUGAUUUUAAUUAUAAUAAUUUACUGUAAUAAUACCUUUCCGCCGCAUCGCACAAGUCCUUAACUAGUUAGAUUAAAGUACGAGUUAUAUGCCAGUUUCAUCGAGUAUGGAUGUGGUAUUAGCCCGAGGCUCUCGAUACCAAUGGCGGUAUUAGAUUGGGUAUUUACAUGUAUUUGAUUAUAUCAUUACAGUUGCUGCAUGAUACCAAAUUUGAGUAGCUUAAUAGAUCCAUAUGUUGCUAGUAUUUAAGAUUCUAGUUUUUUUAAUUUUCUUCCACAUUUUUACCCACUAGUAAGGUUGGCAAUUAAAUUUGUUGUUUGUAAACCAACUCGUGUUCAGUUUAUUAAUAAGCCAAACACAAGUUAGAUUUUCUAGCCUGAUAUUUUGACGAGUAAGCUCAUGUUUGGUUCGUUUAUUAAACGAGUCAAAUAUGUGCUUGGCCAUAGCUUGCUUGUGUUCAGCUCGUUAACAGCCCUAUUUACAAGAGAAUUUUUUUUGUAUUUUAGUCUCACUUCUUUUUUAGAAAGAAAGAUAGUUUGCGACACAUUUUAUUUAUUUUGUUUAGUAAUAAACCUAACUAGAAAUAUGAAUUUUCAUUUUAGAAGUACUUUGUCAUGCAUAGAAAUAAGACCUUCUGAUAUUUAUAUAUACACUUCAGAGUGUCAAGUAAUUCAAGUACAUUAAUUCUUUUACCUAAUAAAGUAAAACUAGUGUAGUUACCCGUGCGAUGCGGCGGAGAGGCAUUAUCGAACAAAUUAUUUCUUCUAUCAACAGUAAUAGUUUGGAGAAAUAAACAUGAAAUAUAUAGUUCAUGUACUAUGAAAUGAAAAAUAUUAGUUUAAAUAGUCCGCAAAAAAUGGUGAAAAACUACUAAAGAUGAUUGAGAGCUAGAGCAGGUAGGCAUGUCCUUAUUUAAGUUGGUAUUAUUCAUGCACUAUCAAGCAUCAAAUAAAUUAAAAACAUCUGGUUCGUUAAGUACAAUAAAUAUGAAAUUUAUAAAUUCACUUUGAUCUUUCCUCAAUUCACAAAAGCUGAUACAUGUUGCUCUAUUCGCCAACCAGCACAUUCUCCGACCGAACGAUCCGACCGAACCAAGGAGGGGCUGUUGCUGCUGUUGCUUUCUGACAAAGAAACCAAGACCUCUCCAAGGCCCACCUAUCAACGAAUGCGAGUCCUCCAUAAUGCUACAUGACACAGUAAGGCCAAGUAGUGUAGAGAUUGAAAGAGAAAAUGAUAUAACAUUACCAUCGGUCUUAAACGCAUCGACAUUCUCCUUUUGGCUAUAAAAUUUCAGAUGACAGCUGCAUUCUCUUAGAAUAUUAGAAAAAUCAACAUAGAUUUCAUUAGAGGACUCCUUUCUCGAUUGGAUUUAUAAUGCUAGAGUUCUAAUACCUCAAAAUUGGUUCGCAACCUACAUAACUCUUUUAUAACUUUGAAUAGUCGCAUUUCAUUACUUAGUCUUCUUCUCCAUAGCAUCAAAGAUAUUUCAGUGGUAUUUAUGCUCACCAAAUAACUGCACUGCAGCUAGUUCUUAACGCUGCAUUCUAGCAGCAUCACAGAAUACCAUCAAUUUUGCAGUUGAAAUCAAUGAAAUAGAUGAAUAAGUUCAACAACAACUAAAAAAAUGACCAAAUCAUGACAAUGAAAUAGUUAAAACAACGUUAAAAAAUAACUAGAUGAGCUGCCAAUGUACUAACCAGGAAAGACCAACAUCAUUGGACUAAUAUUAUUUUCAUGGGCCUCUCCAAUUCUCUCUAUCACAACACCUGUAGGCAAUAAAGGCACUAAUUAGUAAAUGAUUAUUUUGUAGUAAGGUUAUCAAAGCAGUAGAUAAGUUUAUUAAGACAUCAUUGCCAAGUGAGAAUUAAUGAAGCAUCUAAUAUUUCUUCCAGUAAUAUCGUAUUACACGAAUAAACUCAUGAUGGUCGAAAUCUUGAUAAGCACAAAAGAAUGCAAAUUCACCUGAAAGAUUCUACAAUUUUUUGAAAUGCAAAUUUAUCUGAAACACUUUUGAACCAGCACUUGAUUGUUACUCGGCUGACUCUUAUUCUAAAAGUGAAAGGCAUAAAGACCUGCAAAUUAGUCAAUGAUUUCAGAAGCAAACUCAGCUAAAUUUUUUUUUUACUUUGGAUACUAUAUGAAAAGCUUCAUAUCAUCAGAGUUGAAUUAUAUAAAAAAAAAAAAGGAAAAAAAUUAAUUCUCUUAGGAGCACCACAGCUAAAAUAAAGCAAUAGAAAAUUGUAGCAAGGAAAAUAUCUAGGGACAUUGAUCAGCUUUAGACAAUAAAACAGGUCAUUAAAUUCUAGGAUUUUAUAUUUGAACCUCAACUGAAACUCCAUCUGAUUUAGUGAGAAUUUGAAAAUUAAGUUUUUGUUAUGAAAAAUACAGAAUAUUUUGAUACUUAACAAAAUAUUAUGUUACUUUUCCUUCUAAACCUUCGAUUUCAAACAAAUUACAACUAAGAAUCAAAACAAAUUAGCAAGUUAGCAAUCUCACACAGCAUGAGAAGGGAAGCUCUUCGUAAUGAUCGACACCAUCGACUCCUCCGCUUCCUGAUCCGCAAUAGUCACAGGACCUACAAAUUCAAUCCACCUCACACCAUGUCUCCUAUUUUUUUAAGAAAAUAAAUAUUAUUCUAAUAGUUAGAGAGGAGGUGGGCCUCACUUUUUAAGUAUUAUUCUGAAUAAUUACAGAGAAGAUGGGUCCCCUUUUUUUCCUUGAAAUAAGGGGAGCGCUUGAAUCCCACGGAAAUUCAUAGAAUGUUAUAGAUGUGGAGAUCUCAUAUACUUGGGAAUGAGUGAAGCCACUAUAUUUGGUGAUUGAAUUUUAUAUGCGGUUAAAGUACGGCAGUGCUAUUAUUAGACAAUGAUCCAAAAUCUAGCUAGUUGAAAUAUAGCAGACAUCUAGUUAGAUGUUAGGCAGUCAGACCCUUGGAGAGUCCAGAAGGCCUAUAAGGUUCCCUAUUUACCAAAACAAAAGGUAAUGCUACCUUUGCAGUAUGCAUCUUACAUACUACCGAUCCUGAUGCAGGACGGGUCAAACCUAUCCUACAUGUAAAACUCCUUAGACGUGGUAGACAAAAAAUUUGCUAAGAUAAAAUUAAACGAGCAAAAAUAUUUUUUUUUUUUUCUUCUUCUUUUUUUUUUUUUUUUGUUAAAGAUAUGAACAGCUUCAAAAGAAACAUUAAUUCAAGUGAACAAUAGUUUGAUCAGAUAGGCGAUUGUUACCAUACAAUCCAGGCGAAUGCAUGAUUAAACUAUUACGAUUAGUCCAGAUCAUCCACAAUCUAUUUGCAACAUCCUCCUAAUCAUGCUUGUAAAUACGCGUAAUCGAAUUUUCGCUCACAAAAAUAAUCAAGUAUCUUGCCAGAUCAAAAGACUAAAAUUUUCUGAAAUUUAGAUAAUAUAAAAAAACAAGUCUACGAAUUUUCCCGAGAGAAAAAAAAAGAAAUCAAAACAUGAUAUAGACCAAGCUCUUUUAUUACAACAGAUAAUAAUAUGUAGAGGAAGGUAUAGAAGAAAUACUAGUUUGGAUAUAAGCCGGGUUCAUCCAAUAUUAUGCGGCUGCUGUUGUUUAAAACCUGCCAGGAACUGUGAGACGUGCAGGAAAUAAAGUCACCUCGGGAGAAGUCCCCAAGGAGCUUCGUCUCCAACUUCGUCUUCUCCUGCUGCUUGCCCCCAAGCUUUCUUUCAAUUAACAACUCCUCUUUUCUCUAAUUUCUUAACCAAAUCUCACAAAUAGGUAGUCAAAAUUUGCAGAAAAUUAAGAGGACUUAAGAACCAACAAAAUAUUAAAACUCUGGACCUCGCCAGAACCGGAAACCCUCCGGGAAAAAAAAUCUCUCUCAAAAAACCUUUGCAAAAAAAGUUCCAAAUUAUAUUCAAUAAUCAUCGUCCUCUUCAUAAAACCUUGUAGGUUAUUUAUAUCCUAAUUACAUCCGAGAAUAACCGAAAAAAAUCUCAACUAGAGAUUUAUCUAAAAGAAAAAUAACCGAAAAAUCUUAACCGAAAAAAUCUUAACUAAAGAUUUAUCUAAAAGGAACAAAUAUUCCUAACAAGAAAAUCUUAAAAUAACAGAGUAAAUCAAAAAUAAUCUUCAGAUCCAUAUAGCGGGUUCGGGCGCCAACUUGCGUCGCCUUCGUUGAUAGACCUGAAAUUCGGGUGAUGAGACGGGUCGGGUUCGGUUUGCAUCAUCUCUCCCCGGCUUGGAAAAAUCCGACUCUGACGGAUUAUGGCUGAUGUAGUCCUCAUAGAGAUCUGGAGCAAUGUCUCUAAGCUCGUGUUCCGGUAUCCAUGUCACUUCUUCAUCUGGUCGGGAUGCCCACUUCACCAUAAAGCUACGCGAAUCACCUGAUCGUGUAAUAACAACUCGGUCGUCGAGAACCUGUUCGAUUUCUUCUUUCUUUCUCGGUAUGGGUAGGGAUGGAAGUGGAGGAAGAGGUUGACGUGGAGAUAUAUUUGUGGAGAUGGGAUUCUCAAUGGAAAGAGGCUCAUGGUAGUGGCUCAGAUCCUCGAUAUUGACCGUUGAGUGAAAACCGAUAUUAGCCGGCAAAUCCAAGACAUAAGCAUUUGGAUUUAGUUGUUUCAAGAUUUUGAAUGGACCCAAAUUUCUCGCAUGUAGCUUUUUCACGGUACCGCUGCGAAAUCGUUCUGGCCGAACCCUUACCAUAACCAUAUCUCCUUCUUUAAAACUUCCUUCACGCCGACGUUCAUUUGCUUUAUUUGCAUAAAUCUCAGUUUUUAAAACAAUUGCUCGUCUUAUUUUAUCAUGCAAUUCUUUUAUAUGUUGAACAAAGGCUUCAGCAUGUUGGCUUGACCUAUAGUCUACAGGUAACGGAAUUAGGUCAAUGGGUGUCCUAGGGUUGUAACCAGUGACAAUCUCAAACGGACUCAUUCCAGUGGUGCGAUUAACUGAAUUAUUAUAGGCAAAUUCGGCCAUAGGUAAAACGCUAUCCCAGUUCCUAGUGUGAUCACCCACUAGACAACGUAAUAAAUCUCCUAGGCUUCGAUUAACAACCUCAGUUUGGCCAUCUGUUUGUGGGUGAUAUGGUGAAGAAAAUUGUAAUUUAGUGUUCAUUAAUUUCCACAUUGUCUUCCAAAAAUAACUCACAAACCGCACAUCUCUAUCACUCACAAUAGUCUUUGGUAGUCCAUGCAAUUUUAUGACGUGAUCAACAAAAAGCUUCGCUACAUGGGUGGCGUCAGAAGUCUUCCUACAUGGUAUAAAAUGUGCCAUUUUUGAAAAUCUAUCAACCACAACUAAAAUCGAAUCGUGACCUCGAAUGGUUUUAGGAAGUCCUAGAACAAAGUCCAUGCUAAGAUCUUGCCAGGGGGCGUGAGGUAUAGGUAAAGGUGUAUAUAAUCCAAUAUUUUUUCGCUUUCCUUUACCGGUCUGACAUAUACCACACUGGGCAACAACACGUGCAACAUCUCGUUUAAGACUUGGCCAAAAGAAACGAUCCUCUACCAAAAUAAUGGUCUUAUCCCUACCAAAAUGCCCUGCUAAACCUCCAGAAUGCAAUUCCCAAAUCAUGAAAUCUCUCAAUGAACCUUGGGGAACACACAAACGUCUACCCUUAAAUAAAUAUCCAUCAUGAAUAACAAAAUCAGGGUUAUCAUGCAAUCCAUCAAGAAUAUUCUUAUAAGUCUCACCAAAAUCUGGACACGUGGGAUAUUCGUCUUUAACUCGAUCAAACCCUAUGACUUGUGUUCCUACAGCAUGCAAAGUCAUGAUAACACGACUAAGAGCAUCGGCAGCUCUGUUUUCGAUACCAGCAACAUGCUUAAGAACAUAGGUAUAUUCCUCAAGAAACGCAACCCACUUGGCAUGCCGUGAAUUUAAUUUCUUUUGCGACUUAAGAUAGCUAAGGGCUUGAUGGUCCGAAAGUAAAACAAACUCCUUAGGUAAUAAAUAAUGUCGCCAAUAUCGUAGGGCUUGCACAAUUGCAUACAAUUCCUUGUCGUACGUGGAGUAUUUCAUCUUUGCCUCAUUCAAUUUUUCGCUAAAAUAAGCAAUUGGAUGACCUUCUUGACUCAAGAUUCCACCUAUUCCUACUCCAGAUGCAUCGCACGAAACCUCAAAGAUCUUCUCAAAAUCAGGUAAUCUCAAAACAGGUGGAUUAGCCAUUCGUUCCUUAAUUUCAUUAAAUGCCUUACUCGCAGCCUUGGUCCAUGUGAAUUCUCCCUUUUUCAUGCAAUUUGUAAUUGGAGCCAUAAUGGUACUAAAACCUCUAAUGAAUCUUCGGUAGAACGUCGCUAACCCAUGAAAACUUCUAACAUCAUGAAUAUUCUGCGGUUGGGGCCACUGUUGGAUUGCUUUGACCUUAUCGGGAUCAGCUGACACUCCAUUUACAGAUACUACGAAGCCUAAGAAAACAACCUUAGGUUGCAUGAAAACACAUUUUUUGGUAUUGAUGUAAAGCUUUUCUCUCCUAAGAGUGUCUAAAACUUGCCUAAGGUGACUUAGGUGUUCAUCUUCGGUCUUACUAUAAAUCAGAAUAUCGUCGAAAUAGACUACAAGAAAUUUUCCUAUGAAAGGUCGAAGCACUUGAUUCAUGACUCGCAUGAAUGUACUUGGGGCAUUCGUCAAUCCGAAUGGCAUGACCAACCACUCGUACAAACCUUCCUUCGUUUUAAAGGCAGUUUUUCACUCAUCUCCUUGUCUAAUUCUUAUUUGAUGAUACCCACUUCUAAGAUCAAUUUUUGUAAAGAUUAUGGAUCCAGCCAUCAUAUCAAGCAUAUCAUCCAAUCGAGGAAUCGGAAAUCUAUACUUAAUAGUGAUCUUGUUGAUGGCUCGACUAUCGAUGCACAUUCGCCAAGUUCCAUCCUUCUUAGGAGUAAGGAGUGCCGGGACUGCACAAGGACUCAUACUUUCUCUAAUGAAACCUUUUCUAACCAAGUCCUCUACUUGACGUUUCAAUUCACCAUGCUCCUUAGGGUUCAUCCUAUAAUGUGGCAGGUUUGGCAAUGAUGAUCCAGGCACUAAAUCUAUCGCAUGUUGAAUAUCCCUCAUGGGUGGCAGCUCAUCAGGCAACUCGUCUGGGGUCAAAUCAGAAUAGUCAGAUAAUAGGUUUCGAAGGUUCAAUGGUAGAUCAGGUUCAAGGGAAGGCUUCUCUAUCUCUCGAACAAUUAAUGCGUAAACAACGGCAGAACUAGCCUCCCUACAAAAUUGCUUCUUGUUCAAGAAAUGAAGCGGUCUAGUUUGCUCUACCAACCUAUUUUCCUUGGAUGUGGUUGGUUCAUUACGUGCAUUAGAUUGGCUAGUCGCAUACUGAAUCGGCUUAGGUCGGUGAGGUCUUAGUACGAUCUUUUUCUUAUCAUGAGUGAAGGUGUAUGUGUUUUGACGACCAUAAUGUGUAACAUCAUGAUCGUACAACCAUGGUCGUCCCAAAAGAAUGUGUCCGACAUCCAUCGGGAGGACAUCACACCAUACUUGAUCCCUAUAUGUAGCAAAGUUGAGAGGGACCAAACAUCGCUCAGUGACAGGUAUCGUAGUCUUAUCUACCCAAGCAACUCUAAAGGGAUUUGGAUGUGGUUCAGGGGUCAACUUCAUUCGGUCAAGGGCUGUUUUGGCUAUCACGUUCAUGCAACUGCCGCCAUCAAUAACGACCUUGCAUACCUUAUCCCCGCACUUGGUAUAAGUGUGGAAGAUAGCGGUGCGUCGCCAGUCACCCUCAUCCUCCCUCGUGGUAAGAACACAACGGACGACUUGUAGUGGAAUGGUGUCGUCUAGGUCAUCUACGUGCGUGCUCUCAUCCUCGUCACUUGGAUACUCCUCAGUCUCAUGCACUACUUCCUCGAAAUCAUCUUCAUCGUUUUUCAUCAUCAAGUUACGCUUUUGUGGACACUUAUUCGAGUAAUGGCCCAUUCCUUCACAGUUAAAACACUUCACUCGAGAAAGGUCUGGUUUAGUUCCUUCAACUAAAGAUUUUCCCCUAGAAUCUCGAUUAGGUUGAUUGAAGGGUACGAUUGACUUACCAGUGUUUUGGUUUCUAUCGGUCCACUUCUUAGUACUUGACUCCCCGGCUUGGUAACCGAAACGCCUAGUAGGAGGUUUAAGAUAACGCUCAUAUUCGAGUGCAAGUUGGAAUGCAUCCUCUACCGUGUUUACUCGAUGGGGUGUAAUCUCUUUCUGGAUUUCCUCACGUAAUCCUCUCCUAAAUCGGGCCAACGUCACAUCCUCUUCUUCCUGGACAUUACACCUAACAGAAAUCUCAUCAAACUUUUGCAUGUAAUCAGCCACGGACAUUGAACCUUGACGUAAGGACAACAUUUGCUCUAUCUGAAGCUGCCUAUGGGUUGAGGGCAAUAUUUUUCACUUAAUUUGGCCUUCAUCUCAUCCCACAACGUGAUCGGUGCUUGCCUAGACCUAGCCAAUUGUCGCUCAACACUCACCCAAUAUUGUUUGGCUGCCCCCACAAGUUUCAUUUUGGUAAAACGAACGCGACGGUCAUCGGACAUAUCGUACCAAUCAAAAAAUUGGUCCAUAUCAGUCAGCCAAUCAGUGAAAGUCUUAGGAUCAAAUCUACCAUCAAAAGUUGGGGCUUCAAUUUUGAUCUUUUUGGUAAUGUCGUCACCUAAUGGGAAAUUAUGUCUAGGGAGGUCCGGAUGGUUUUCAUGGCGUUGGGCUCUGAGGGCUGUUCUAUCAGGAGUCACAGUCACAUUUCCUACUACAGUCCGACUAGUCUCAAGGAUGGCCACACGAUCCCCUAUGUCAUCUAAUUUAGUGUUCAAAGCAGUCAGUUGCUGUAAAAUCUGAUCCAUUGCAGUGGGUUCAAAAGCCAUGGGUACAGGAUGAUAAAUUUUACCACUUCUAAGGAUCAUACAUUAACCUAGGUCUCUGAUACCAAAUCUGAUGCAGGACGGGUCAAACCAAUCCUACAUGUAAAACUCCUUAGAUGUGGUAGACAAAAAUUUUGCUAAGAUAAAAUUAAACGAGCAAAAAUAUUUUUUUGUUUUUUUUUUUUUUUUUUUUUUUAAAGAAAUGAACGUUCGAAAAGAAAAUUAAUAAAGUAAGAAAAGUUGAUCAGAUAAGCGAUUGUACCAUACGACAUCCAGCGAAUGCAUGAUUAAACUAUUACGAUUAGUCCAGAUCAUCCACAAUCUAUUUGCAACAUCCUCCUAAUCAUGCUUGUAAAUACCGCGUAAUCGAAUUUCGCUCAACAAAAAAUAAUCAAGUAUCUUGCCAGAUCAAAGAGACUAAAAUUUUUCUGAAAUUUAGGAUAAAAACAAGUCUACGAAUUUCCCCGAGAGAAAAAAGAAAUCAAAACAUGAUAUAGACCAAGCUUUUAUUACCAACAGAUAAUAUACAUAGAGGGAGGUAUAGAAGAAAUACUAGCUUGGGAUAUAAGCCGGGUUCAUCCAAUAUUAUGCUGCUGCUGCUUGUUGUUUCAAAACCUGCGCAGGAACUUGAUGACGUGUGCAGGAAAUAAAGUCACCUCGGGAGGUGCGCCCAAGGAGCUUCGUCUCCAACUUCUUCCUCCUGCUGCUUGCACAAGUUUUCUUCUCUCACUAUCAACCCCUUUAUUUUCUAAAAUCUUAACCAAACCUCACAAAUAGGUAGUCAAAAUUUGUAGAAAAUUAAGAGGAACUCAGAUCCAACAAAAUAUUAAAACUCUGGACCUCGCCAGAACCGGAAACCCUCCGGGAAAAAAAAUCUCUCUCAAAAAACCUUUGCAAGAAAAGUUCAAAAUUAUAUUCAAUAAUCAUCGUCCUCUUCAUAAAACCUUGUAGGUUAUUUAUAUCCUAAUUACAUCCGAGAAUAACCGAAAAAUCUUAACCGAAAAAUCUUAACUAAAGAUUUAUCUAAAAGNUUUAUAUCCUAAUUACAUCCGAGAAUAACCGAAAAAAAAAUCUCAACUAGAGAUUUAUCUAAAAGAAAAAUAACCGAAAAAUCUUAACCGAAAAAAUCUUAUCUAAAGAUUUAUCUAAAAGAAAAAUAUAACAACUAUCCCUAACAAGAAAAUCUUAAAAAUAACAGAGUAAAUCAAGAAUAAUUUUCAGAUCCAUAUAGCGGGUUCGGGCGCCAACUUGCGUCGCCUUCGUUGAUAGACCUGAAAUUCGGGUGAUGAGACGGGUCGGGUUCGGUUUGCAUCAGAUCCUAGGAUGGAAUGAUCUCUAAAGUCACAUCAAUAUGAUUAGUACAAUUUUUUUUUUCUUUUUUUUUUGAGAGAGAUAGGGCCCACUUCAUCUAUUUCAUUUAGAAAUAAACUUAACUGGAAAUGUGAAUCAACUAGGAUUCGAACUUGGGACCUCGGGUACCAACCACCAAGCCCUUUGAUACUUGCUCUAGGGACGGUCGGUAGUACAAAAAUUUUCAUUCUAAGAUAGGUGGGGUAUAGAUAUCAUACAGCUCUUGAGAAGUGUGUGAAUAACAUUGCUCUAAAAGAUUACACGGAGAGAAUUCUCCAAAUUAUCUAUUUGAGAAUAAGGAAUCUAUUGCCAUGUAGAUAUUGGAUUCUAUAUCUCGAGACAAUUUGGUAAACUAUCUGAAACUUUUCUUUCUUCCACUACUAGCGGUUCCAAAACUUUUUUUUAGACCCAUUUACUAAAAUUUAUAACGUGCACAAAAAAUAACAACAAAAAAUUUCAAUUUUGGUUUACUAAUAGCCAUAUUCUAAUCAUUUUAGCAAAUAAAGUUGUGAUAUUUAAUAGUAAAAACAUAAAAAGAGUUGUUAAACCCCAGUAGGAUAACAAAUAUUUUAUUUUUUCGAGUUAAUUUUUUAUUUUUACUAAAAAUCUUAUAAGGGUUGCCUAAACCCUAAAGUAAAAAAUAGUUUAUGCACUACAACAGAAUUAAGUUAUAGCAACACAUGUUUGAGACACUUUUGUAUAAGUGUCACAUUUAUGCUAAAACUUAAAAAAAUCCUACUAAUGCUUAAAUAUAAAGUCCAAUCCAACUAAAAAUAAAAGGGUAUUCUACUCAACCCACUCCACUUAGCUCAUUCGGCCCGAUUACAAACAGAAAAGAAAAAUCGAUUAUCAUUUUUUCUUCUCCCCUCACUCAAUCGACUGAAUCCUAGACGAAGAUCAUUUCCUCUCGUCCUCCUCCGCCACCGCAGCCAACGAGGUAGAGUUCCGGCGGUUGCUAGAUGCUUAAAUAAAUAUUGGUAAAUUAACAGCACUCUUUUAGAUUAUAGCAACACUCUUUAACUGUCACUAUAUAUUUAGCGACCCCACAUAUAGCAACACUUUUCAAAAGUGUCGGUAAAUUUAGCCAGCAACACUUUUUUGACCUAUACCGACAUUUAAAAGUGUCGCUAUAGACCAUUUUUGUUGUAGUGAUGUUUCUCAGGUCCUAUUUUAUUUUUUAAAAGAAUUAUUAUUUUGAAGUUAAUGAGUCUAUAAAAUAUUUUGAAUCCACUAAUAGUUUAAGAAAGGCUAAAUUAUAGAAAAUUCUCCGGUCAAUGCCCGUUUUUCACUUUUCAUCCUGUCAUUCAAAAAUCUAUAUUUUGCCUCCUUACAAAAUAAAAAAUAUUCAAUUUGGCCCCGCCGUCAGUCUUCUGUUAGGGUUCCAUUUAUAUCAUAUUUUUAAUAUCCAAAAUAUUCCCUGAAACCCUCAUUUUCCUCACUGUCGUCCUCGGCCGCGUCACGUCGCGCUCUGCCGCCUCACCCUCGCCCACCUCUCUGUCCAUACCCACACACACGCCCUCGCCCUCCUCCGCCGCCUCACCGUGGCCCUCGCCCUCGCCCUCGCCCUCGCACUCGCCCACCCUGAUCUUUCAUCCUACAGUCGUCGAAAUAGAGGGGCGGCAAGGGUGCUGGAGAAGUGGGGGAGUAAUUAAGUGGAGGAAAGUAAGUCGGGGCUGGGGUCGAGGGAGGUGCGAAGAACGGAGGAGGAGAGGCUAUAGCUAAGGACGAGAGGCAUCGGAUUGGGGAGGAGACGAAGAGGUUGAGAGACAAUUUAGUCAUUUUGUCACAGCGUACCUCCUGUGAACAAUUUUUAUUUUUUAAAGGGGCAAAGUGUAGGUUUUUGAAUGAUAAGAAGAGAAAGUGAAAAAGCAGAUAUUGACAAAAAGAUUUUUUAUAAUUUAGCUUUUAAGAAAAAUAAAUUUUAACUAUCUUAGCAAAUUAUCUCGAGAUGUGGGAUCUAAGGCUUAUAUGGCAAUAGAUUUCACAUUAUCACAUGAAUAAUUUGAGGAAUCCUCCCCAGCACAAUUUGUCUCUUCUAAACCCCAAAAAAGAAUAUACAUCUUACAACCUAUCUAUCAAAAUGAGUUAAUUGUGUUUGGUGGUCCCCAACCUUGACCUGAUUUUUCAUUUUAGUUCAAACAUUUGAAUUUGGAGAAAUGCUACCUGUACACUCCAUUUUAGGAUAUACAUUUUAAAUUCCCUCAAUCCUAGAGUUUAAAAAACUCUUAAAGUUUUAGUUAAAAAAAUAUAUAUUGACAAUAUAAGAACCAAUUUUGGUCUUUGGAUGAAGGGGUGUAAGAUACACACCCGUUUUUGAAGUAUAGAAAAAGUUGUGUUCUUCAAUUUGUGGGUAAACUUUAAUUUGCUCUCUUGUGGCAAAAAGUUGUGUUUAAUUAUCUUAUAAUUUUAUUUUUAUUUCAUAGAAAAAAAUGUAUUGUCAAAUGGAAUAGUAAAGCGAAAUUUUUUGACAACCGUAGAGUAAUACUUUGUUUAAGAAUAGAUUUUUACAUUAAAAUAAUAAAAUUAUAGAAUAAUUAAAUAUAACUUUUUUGACCAUUGGGCAUUAAAGUGAAAACUCCUAAACCAUAUGGUAGCUAAGUGUAACUUUCUAAGCCAUAUGGUAGCAAACUAAAAUAUGUUAAACCAAUUGAAGCCUAUCCCAUAGUUUUUGCAAUUAGUUCCUUAACCUUUAAAAUAAAUUAAUUGCACCAUUGGCCCCUACCUCCAUCUUUCCCUUUUUUUUCACUUUGGUCUCUAAUUGUUUCUUCGAAAUGCGCACAUAUUUGUAUCAAGCUCAAUUUCAAUAAUUGUAGAAAAUAGAGAGAUCGGGGACCUAAUAACGAAAAAAAGGUUAGAGACGAGUGAAAAACCAUAUAAAAGUUAGUAACCAAUUUGCAAUUAACCAAAUAAACGAUGAAUUCUAUUUGUACUUUGUACACACCGAUUGAUUGAUGAGUUUCAUAUCUUACAUUCCGUCUAUUCAAUAGAUAAGGUACUUUUAUUAGUCAUAUUAAGUGAGUAGUAAAUGACGCUCAUCCAUUAAAUACAUAGGGUGUAAAACAUACACUCAUUUUUAGAUGUAUAUAAAUAGCAUUACUCAUUAAUUAACAACAAGCCACAAUAAUUGAUAUAUUUUUAGGAAUGACAUGAUUUCAAAUAGUUUGAUGUUAUCAAUCUCCCGUUCCUUUGAAAGCUGUAUUAUAUCUUGAGUUGGAACUGUAACUCUACUUAUAUUUCCCUUGCAAAUAUGUAAUUCCAACUAUUUUAAUUUUAUAAUUUAAAAAUUCAUAAUUUUUAAUUAUUUCUAUUAAAUGGAUAAAAAAAAAUUAGUCUAGUGGAGAGAAAAGUGAACACAAUUUUUUUUUUUCUUAACCAAUUUAUUCAAUCUAAAAUGGUGAUAUUAGGAACACACUUUCUUUUUUUCUUUUUCUACUGAUUAUCCAUAUGGCAUCACCCUAUCUUUUAAUUUUUAAAAAAUAUAUAUAUAAAAAUACAGUAAACAUAGAAUAGCAGACCCUCUUUAUUGAAGAAAAAAAAACAUAGAAUAACAGACCCUCUUUAUUGAAAAAAAAAAGAAAAAGAAAAGUAAAGUAAAGGGAAAACAUGCACUCACGACAUGACUCUAAUCCUUUCUCUUCGUCAGUUGAAUAGGCAAACCCCCUUUCAUCCUCAGAGUAACUGAGAGUAUGUGCUCGGGAGUGCUCUCCUUCCCCACAACACUAAUCCGAAACCGUUCAAACACACAUGCUACGACUGAUUUCAUCUGUAUAUAAGCCAUUUCCUUCCCCAAGCACAUUCUCGGCCCCGCGUGAAACACCGGGUAACGGAACGAGCUCUCCGGCCGGAAAACCCCCUUCUCCAACCACCUCUCCGGCUUAUACUCUUCGCAAUCCGUCCCCCAUACGUCUUCCGAUCUUCCCAUAGCGUAAGCACUGUACGUCACGAACCAUCCUUUCCCCACGAAUGUUCCGUCCGGCAGAACAUCGUCUUCUUUACACAACAACGUGCCCACAGGCACCGGAGGGUGCAGUCUCAUCGACUCCGAUAUCGCGGCGUGCAAGUAGUGCAUCUCUCGCAGCUCGUCAAAGCUGAACGUCUCGCCCGAAUUCGGAUUCGCAGCUCGAACCGCUCUGAUCUCUUCUAGAAUCUUCUUUUCUACGUCGGGUCUCGUGGACGUGAUCCAGAAGAACCAUGUCAGUGCCGACGACGUCGUCUCCCGGCCUGCGAGGAGGAAGCUUAUCAUGAUGUCCCGAAGGGUUUCGUUCGUGUGGUCUUCGUUUGAGGUGAAUCUAGAUAGUAUAUCAUCUCCCCGGUCCGAAUCUUUCUCCUUCCGUGCCAAGAUGAUCUUCAUGGCGUAGUCGUGAACUGUCGAUACCGAGUCUCUCAGCUGCCGCUCCGAGCCGAUGUUGAGUAGCUUCUUGAUUUUCCACGUCGCCGCCAGCGCGCCCAUGAACCGGCCCAUCACGAGGUUCUGAGCCUCCUCGAAAGCCUUCAUGAAUCGUAAGUUUGCGCCGAUGAAGCCCUCCUCCAUAAGGCAGGCAGGGUCUUCGCCGAAGGCCACCUUGCAGAUGUUGUCGAAUGCGAAUCGCUCGAGAACGUCCUGCAGGUCGACGGCAGCCUUAUUCUUCUCGGUGUUAUCCAGCAGCGGCAGCAGUCUGUGCAGUAUUUCAGAUUGGACCGCGUCCACCACGAAGUUGCGAAGCGACUUCUUAUUGAACUCGAAGCUCGCGGCCUUGCGUUGCCACCGCCACUGCUCGCCGUCGGAGUUGAAGAUCCCGCAGCCGAGGAAGUCCUCCAGUAUCGCGAUCGACCGUUCGCCUUUCGGGUAGUUGUCGAAGUUGGUCUUGAGCACGUGCUCGAUGUGCGAAGGAUUGGCCGUGAUGAUUCCGCUCUCGCCCGGGCUGUGGAACAUCAUUGCUUGGUUCGGGCUCCGGACGAUGAUCUCCGUCACCCAGUCAAGGAACCGGUGGCGGUUCUUGAUAAACUGAGGAAGGUGGCCGAGAAGUGGGUAGGAUUUGAGGCCAUGGGCAAUUGGUUUUCUUGAUUGGCCUUGGUGGAAGAAGAACAAGUAGAAGAACAAGUAGAGGAAGAGUGGGAGGAGCAAGAAGAGAGGGACUGCUUGUAUAAUAUUGCUGCUGCAGGAAAGGUCCAUAUCUUAGUUUUUUAGAGUUGUUUUUGUAUAGAAAUUAACUUGUUACGCUUAUGCAUGUAAAGGAGUAGUGUGAUAUAGAUAUAUAUAUAUAGUUGCAUUUGAUUAGGUCGGAUGCUUUUGUAUGACUAUAUUUAGAUUACAAGGGAUGGUGGAUUUUGGACGUGGGACCGGGGACAUGUAUUGGAGCCUUUACGCAAAAGAAAUUUCUUACAGCCGAAGAAAAGUGAAUGUUAUGCGGUUAUUAUUUCAAACAGUUUGUAAUAUUAAUUUCAACACCUUCUAGAAUUUCUAUUGCUAAUACUCAAAGAUCAAACAAAAACAACACUUGUAUAUAUUUUGGGACUUGCAUGCGUACGUUUCUCAACAAAAUUCUAGAAGAUCGGCCACGUUGACAGUAUUGCAAAAGAUAAAUACUUGUGGAUUAUCAACUUCCAAUUUAUAAUGAUUGGUUUGAGGAGUUUAACCGAGAUUGGACCUUUGACCUCUGAACCUUCAAACUAUCCAGUUUCGUGACCAGAUUAAUUUUCAAAGAAUCCAAGAGUAUUUAGUUCUGCCUCAAAGAAUUAGCAAGGAAGCAAUCAGGAAGCAAUCAUACAUUAUUAGCUCGCUCUUCGCAAGAGAGCUCGUGUUUGGCUCGAAAUAAGAUCGAGAUCGAAUCGCUCAUUUCGCAAACAAGCCGAACAUGAACUGGGAUCAGCUCGCUCGUGUUCGGCUCGAUAACAGCUCAAAUAUAUAUAUAUAUAUAUAUAUAUAUAUAUAUAUAUAUAUAUAUAUAUAUAUAUAAAAGAUCAGCAUUUUAUCGCCAAAAAAUAGAAAAAGAAAAAAAGAGAGUAAAGAGAGGUGAGACGAAGUUUCACAUGCAUGUAUUUCAAUAGUUGAAAAGAUAUAUAAUAACGUCACUGUGAUCAGCAAGCAGAGACAAAGUUUAUACCCAUUUAUUCAAGAAAUUGACAAAAACAUAUGAGCGAAUGCUCACGGAAUUCGAUGAACAAGCAACUAAUAGCUGAAAGUUCCAGACACAUCACCGAAAGAAAUAUAAUUUUAAUUACAAGCUAGCUCAGGAAUUAAGAAACCGUACAUCUAGAUCAAAUAUAAUAGUAUUUAAUAUAUACUUUAGUUAGUACGUAUAUAAUUACUUAUAUAUAGUCGUGACACAUAAAUGUUUGGACACAUACAAGAUGAUAAUAGUGUUAAGCUUCGUUUAUUUUAUUUAGAAAUAAAUUUUAAUUAGCUGAAAAAUAUGAAUUAACUAGGAUUCGAACUUGGGACCUCGGGUACCAACCACCAAAUCUUUUGCCACUUGCUAUAGGGACAGUCGGUGUAAAUGCUUGAUCCGAAAAGUACAUUUAAGUAAGAAUACAUUUUAUGUAUCUUCUUGCUAUAUGCAAGCAGUUUUUAUAUUCUACUAGCUAGUUUUUACCUUAAAAGGAUUAUAAAGGAAAACAAAAAAGGAACACCUUUUCUAAUUUUUAAUAUAUGUUCAUACCUGACCACCUGACCUCCCUCGCUUUUUAUUUAUUAAUUUUUUUUUUCUUUCCUUUCUCUGCUUGUCUUUUUUCGAUGUAUCCUUUUUUGUAAGGAAGCCCCGGCUGCUUUCAUCCUGCAGUAUGUUUAGUUCAUUUUGCCUAAUGAAUGAAGCAGGUAGCUUGCUAUCUUUUUUUAGAAAAAAAAAAUAUGUUCAUACUUCAAAUCAAACUACAAGACUUCCCUAUAAUGAAGAUUGAUAGUUCGUAGUAGCUUAAUUACUAAGAAAAUGUAAUAACCUUGAAUUGGAAAAUUAGCUAACGGCUAGACAAAGCAUGAAGGGAAAUAAAAGUAGUUUCUUGCACUCAAAAAGUCUGUACGUAUAGCAUUGUAAACAACAGAUUGUUGUUGCUGCUGAUUCUGAAUAGUCGUUGCAAGUACACAUCAACAUUUCUUUGUUUCGUGCAAAAGUUUUAAAUUGCAUGUUAAGCCUUUUCUCAAGUCUCAACCUCAACAAGACGAAACAUUCUUUACCUUGCCUUCUGCACAUUUGACCUGAUUAUCACAAGUAGCUAGGGAUGUCAAUGGGUCGGCCGGAUUCGAGACGGAUUUUCAAAAAUUCGAACCUGAAUCCGACUCCAAACUUAAAACCCGAAUCCGAACCCGUAACCUGUGGACGGAUUUUAGAAAUCCAUAUCCAAAUCCGAACCUGACCAAAAUUCUGAAACCCAAAUCUGAACCUGAACCGAAACAAUUAUUCUCGUUCCAAUAUUUCAAAAUAUAUUACAUUAAAUCUAAAUUUUUAAAGUACAAAUUUAAAUAUAACAUCAAAUUUUUAUAUACAUAUUAUAUAUAAUGUAAAAUAAUUAAAUUCGGAUUUGGGUCAGGUUUGGGUUUGGAUCGGGUACAGUCAAAAUUUAUAUCCGUCGGAUUUUUAUUUUUGAUAUCCAUAUAUAUCCAAAACCAUAUCUGUUUAGUGUUGGAUAAAUCGAUCCGUUCCAUUCGGGUCCGGAUUCAGAUAAAAUUUCAGAGAUAUCAAUAUCUAUUGACAUCCCUAAUUGCAAGAUUAAUAAUUGAAUUACAACAAAAAUCUAACAGUGGUGCAUUAAUAGGUUAAUCAUGCAUAUUUAGGACAAAAAUUUUAUGGACACUCUGUCCAUGUGAAGUUAUUUGGGGAUAUUUCGGAUGGACGCCAUGUGGCAACCGGGGCCACGUGGGAUCAUCAUCCCGCUGCUCUGCCUGUUGGGAGAGCAGUGGAGUUUUUUUCGAUGCACCAGGUUCACCUAUUUUACUUUAAAAUUUUAUUUUUUAUUUUUAAAUAUAAUUUAAUAUAAUAGAUAUAUAUUUUAUGAUAUCUAAAAAUAUAUAUGCACAAGGAUUUUAAAAAAUAAACCAUAAAUUCUUUUACAUAUAUUUUUAAAAUAUCAUAAUAUAUACUAGUUAAGAGACCCACGCGAUGCUGCGGGUAGUUAUUUUAAAAUUUAAUUUUGAAACUUAGUUAUAAAAAUCAAUUUCAGAAUUUAAAUGGUGCAAUAAGUACAUCAAAAAAUUUUAAUAGACACCGACCGUCCCUAAAAUAAAUGGCAAAGGGCUUGGUGGUUGGUACUCGAGACCCAAGUUCGAAUCCUAGUUGAUUUACAUUUUCAGCUAAGUUUAUUUCUAAAUGAAAUAAGCGAAGCGGGUAGCGUGCUAUCUAUUUCUCAAAAAAAAAAAAAAAUUUAAUAGGCAUAGUAGUCUCCCAUUAGUUAGUGAAAUAAUUUUAGUAGGUAUCGUAGGCCCCCAGUAGCUAGUGAAUAAGAAGAGAAAAUCAUUAAUUGUGAUUCUCGCAAUUAAUUUUCAUCAAAUAUAAAAUUAACUUAAGCUGCAUCAUUUUUUUUAUUUUUUAAUGUACAAUUUAUAUGUGAAUGCUCAAUAUUACAAAAUUAAUAUUUAUAUUUAAUACCAGUAGUCUAAAUUAUUUAACAUUUAUUUAUAUAUUUUACAUUUUAUAAAAAUAAAUAGUAAAUUAUAUAAUAAAUUAUUAUAUAAUAAUAUAUCUAUUUACAAAUAAAAUACUAUAUAUAAUAAAUAAAUAUAAAUCAUUUAUAAAUAAAAUUUUAUAUAUAUAAUACUAUAUAUAAUAAAUAAAUAAUAUUUAUAAAUAAAAUUUCAUAUAUAUAUAUAUAUAUAUAUAUAUAUAUAUAUAUAUAUAUAUAUAUAUAUAUAUAUAUAUAUAUAUAUAGAAUGAGAGGGACCACGGAGCCGAAAUGCCUCGUGGACCCGAGAAAACCUCCAAUGAGCCCCGCGGUUUUUCGGCUCCGCACAGACCCGCCACGCCGCGCGUACCGCGCCCGCACCCAGCGCCGACCAGCGCGCCCGCCACGGGCGCCCCACGCCGGCGCCCGCCGCGCCCGCGGCCGCUCGCAGUCACGCCAGCGACGGAGGGACCCCGACGUAAGCGCCCGAGCCGCCCCGGCGUCAACGCCCGUCCCGCACCGCGCCCGCGCCACGCGUCGGUUCGCAUCCACGCCAGCGCCGGAGCCGCCCUCGCGCCAGCGCCCGCCGCGCGCCGCGCCCGAGCCCGGUCCCGCUCACGGCUCCGCCCGCUGCAGCUCCCGCAGCUCGCACCCGAGCCCGCGCCUCGCCAGCCCCCGCGCCAACGCCCACCUGGCGCCGCGCCCGCACACAUCGAGGCUCCGCCCGCGGCCGCCCGCGCGCCGUGCCCUCACCAGCGGCUCUGCCUCCUCGCGACACGUGUGUAGUUAUUGAGGAAUAAUAUAUAGUCGCCGUGCCCUCACCAGCGGCUUUGCCUCCUUGCGACACGUGUAUAGUUAUUGAGGAAUAAUAUAUAGUUAUAGAUUAUAAAUAUUAGAUUAUAAUUAAAAAGUAAAAAAUAAAAUUUUAAAACAAAAAAUGGUGCACCGGGUGCACCCAAAAAAAAAACCACUACUCUCCCAAAAGCAGAGCAGCGGGGCGUGGGGAGCUGUUACGCGCGCCCAUCCGAGGCGUCCGAGUGCCACGCGGCAGCCAUCCGUCGUAUCCCCAAAUUACUUUCUAUGGGCACGAUACCCAGAAAAUUUUUGCCCGCAUAUUUACAAACUAUGAAAAGGGUUCAGCACAGACAGCGAAGAGAACAACAGCGUCUAAAUGAAAUAUGUAAGCUAAUCAAAAGUUCAAAAAAAAAGAAUCAACGAGAAUGUAAAAAGUAGAAGUUUUAAAUUUAGUAUGAAUAUUUGAAGUCUUUUAUAUGGAGUACGCCCCUAUAGCACUCGCGAGAAAUAGCUAUGUUAGAUGUGACUCGAAAUUGAUAAUCGACUUAAAUCCGGAUUUUUCGACUCGCCGACAGUUUCACGGUGUAACCAAAUUGGAAAAUAAAAUUAUGAAGAAAAAAUGAAUGUCUGUAAUGGGUAGCAGAGGGCUCGGGCCAACAGGCCCGAACCCGUAGCCCACCACUGACAUUCGCCAGGGGAUACGGGGGGACAAAGCCUCCCGCGGUACGGAUAAGAUCCGAAACCCAUUAAGAGUUUCCUUUUCAUUUUUGCGCUAGAGGCGUGAGAUGGUAGUCGGUUGUACUUUCUGAACAUUGUAUUUCUUUUUUCGUUCGAUAGUGAAGUUCUAUUCUUUCUCGUCCGUGAUUUUUUUCUGUAAAAAAUUUUUCACGUAAAUUUGUGUGUUCUUCUAUUUUUGUUUGUGGUUUGUUUAUUUUGUGUUUGUCAUUUUCGUUUUUAUUUAUGCGUUUGUCGUAACAAGCUAGCAAUAAAAGGAUUCAGACGCCAUCAGCAUAAGACUGCCGUGUAUUGAUCCAUGCAAACACAUGGGGUCGAUGCAUGAUUAAGUCCAACAAUGUUAGGCGUUUGCACGUACUAUGUUACGAUAUAUACUUUUACUGUGCAGAUGGCUGAUCGGCAAUAGGAGCAUGCCACGGCAGGUAAAACCAUAUUGUUAAUUAACGUAGAAAAUUAUUAAACAAAAAGAUGCUCUCGUUUGUUAAACCAAACACAAUAAAGAUGCUACUGAUUACUGUUACACAAAUAUUUCCGAAGGAUUUUCUCAGUAUAAUUUGUUCCAAAUAAUAUGACUGCUGGUUCGAAUCGAAGUGAAAUUUAGACUGGUACUCACAGGAAAAUAUCAUUUGAUGCAGAUUCCUUCGUUAACAUCCUACUUUAUUAAGGGAGAUCAUUAGCGAAACACUAGUGACAAAAUCGAAAGCUAAAAAAAGAAAAAGAAACAAAUGGACUUCAGUUUAGCAAACGGAUAUGAAUAUUGGUGGAACAAACAUUUAGGUAGAACAAAUUAGCAGAAACAAAGAAAAAGGAGAAAGAAACACGAAAGGAUUAAAACGAGCUGAUUUUGUCAUACCAUGCAUCAUGUUGGCCAAGUAUCAACAGCAUAUAACCCCUAGGCCGACAACAUGACUAAAAACCCUCUGAUGCAGAACAAGUUUGAACCAAUAUUGAUCGGAUUAAACCGAUUUAGCUCAAUAAUUUUUACAUUAGAUUAGAGUAGUUGAGCAUAUCUUUUAGUUGGUUAAAUGAAAAAUUUUAAUUAUUCUCUUUAUUUGGUUUUAUCUGUAUUUCUAGAUAAAGCUCUAAUGAUUUAGUUGGUUUAUGUGUAUUUAAGGCUAAAGGUACUAGAGCUUCAUUGUAUGAGAAGAAUGAUAUUAAUAAAUUAGUAAAAGAUUUCGAAACAUUUGGUGCAUGAGCAAUCUUUUUCCUUCGCGAAUGCUUCUUUGGCUGCUGCAUGUAACGACUAAUUAACUACUCCAACUGCAUAUGCUAUGUUUGGUUGGGUCAUAGUUCGAUAUAUUGAACUACCGCUCAGUUGUCGAUACAUGGUUGAGUCAGCCAAUUCCUUUCAUUCUUCUGCACAAAAUCUGAUAUUUGGUUCCAUAGGUGUAGAGAUAGGCUUACAGUUUAACAUACCAUACCUUUGGAGAAGAUCCUUUGCGUAUUUUUGUUGACACAGGAAUAGGCCAUCCUUUAUGUGCUCCACCUCGAGCCCAAGAAAGUGUCUCAACUCUCCAAGCUCCUUCAUUUGAAAGCAUAUAGAUAGAUUCUCUCUUGUGCUAUUCAUCUCCUCUUCGUCAUCUCCGGUGAUGAUUAGGUCAUCUACAUCGACUAGUACGAUGGAUAUCUUCUCCUAUUGCUUCUUGAUGAAUAAGCUUGAAUCUGCAGGUGUAAUCUGAUAUCCGCUUUGCACUAAGAACUCACCUAUUUUGUCAUACCAUGCUCUUGGUGCCUGUUUUAGUCCGUAGAGAGCUUUCCUUAACUUACACACAUACUGAGGAUGAGUCUUACUUUCGAAAUCUCUUGGUUGCUCCAUGUAUAUGUCUCGAUCGACCUCCCCAUGUAAGAAUGCAUUCUUCACGUCCAUUUGCCAUAACUUUCAUGAUUUGUUGGCGGCAAGUGCUACCAGCACUCGUACAGUUGUGAUCUUAGCACCGGACUGAAUGUCUCGUCGUAAUCCAAUCCAAACUGCUGUGAGAACCCUAUACCAGUCGAGAUUUGUACCUCUCUACUGACCCAUUUGGACAGGUAUUAAUUUGCUUUAUAUACCCAUCAACAUGAUAUGGACUUCACAUCCUUUGCCUUUGGUACCGGCUUCCAAUUUUGAUUCUGCUUCAGUGCCUGGAUCUCUUUGUCCAUUGUGUUCCUCCACUUCUUGCUUAUAACUACUUCAUAGAUGGCCGGCUCUUUUGGAGUCUCUUCUUCUUCUUCAGCGAGAGCAGCAUUUGCAUACUUGGAAUUAGGUUUUCUUUGCCUAGAAGACCUUCUUAACUACGUACCUGUAUCUUCAAGUUGACUUGGUCGAUCCUCUUCUGGGAUUUGAUAAUGUAUACCAGUUCACCAAGAUUCUGGAGACUUCUAGAGUUGCUGCUCAUCACUAGUUGGCUCCAUGGAAGGUUGAUCAGUUUCUUCUUGCUCCGUCGUCGUCUUCUUUUCUUCUUGUACUUGCUCUCUAAGCUUUUCUUGUAGCUUGAUUUCUAUCUCUUUAGAAUCUGGUAGUAUCACUUCUUGUGAGGACCACCAAGACGACGCCUGAGUGAUAGUCUUUUUCUAACUCUAUGAUGGCGAAUGAGGCUUGACAUCCCACUCUUCUUCACUAUUGUAUGCUACUUGGUGGUCACCUGGUGUUGCCAUAUUGACUUGUGCUUGUUUCUUCAUGUGCCAACAGUCUCAAGCGAAGUGUCCUUUCUUGCCACAGUUAUAACACUCUCCGCUUCGUCAUUCGUCGCCUUUAGAUCGCCAAUUAUUUUGCUCCUUCUGGUUGUGGAAACCCCCUACAAGGUGGUUCUCUCCCGACCUUUGUUUUGACCCACUUAACUCCUUCAGUGGCUUUACAUUUCUUGGCCCUCCCAUUGCUCGACCUUUUCUUUUGCUGCUAAAGAGUGCCUUCUCUUCAUUUUUCAAUGAAACUCCAGUCAUCUGUUUAGCCAGAGCCUCCUAAUUGGCUAGUAAAUUUUCCAACUCCACUAACGUUGGUUGAGUGGGCCAGCCUCGGAUAGCAGUAAUAAACUCGUUAUAUUCGGGUUUUAGGCUAUGAAUAAUAAUUCUCUUCAUCCAUUGAUCACUAAUUUUUUACUCUAAAUCUAAUUGGGAAAUUUCACGGCAAAGAGAUUUUACCUUCAUGAAGUACUAACUGAUCGUCAUGUUGCCCUGCGAUAUCGUCAUUAGCUCAUUCUCCAGCAAUUGAAGUCGAGUAUCGUUCUUCUUUGAAAAUAACAAGGUGAGGGUAUCCCAUGCAGCCUUGAUGUGUCUACUUCUUUGAUAUGCUCCAGCAGCUCUUCUUCAAUCAUCGUCUUCAAAACGAGCAUCACCUUUCCUACCUUAAUAUGCCACUUCCUGAGCUCCUCUGCAUUCUCAUUCGAUGGUGAAGUUGUUUCAGCACCACCGAUUACCUCCCACAGAUCCUGCCUUUGUAGGUAGGGAUCGAUGCAGGUUUACCAAUACCUAUAAUUAUGGUUAUUUAGCUUCUUAAUUUCACUAGUUGUACCAGCAAAAUCUGCUAUAGUGACUUGGUGAUUGCCCGACAGUCAACUAAGUAAGUUUGGUCCUAGACCAACCAACUUCAUUGUCCCAGAUUGUGCAACAGCAGAAUCUCUGCUUAUAUCGGUAUUUAACUGCCUGAAUUGGCAGAAUUUCACCGACUUAAUUAGCAGAAUAUUUUCUACAAUAUGGCUCUAAUACCAAAUUGUAGGAUAUUGGCAUACCAAACUAAUAAUAAAACUCUCUUUAUUACACACAUCACUUGGUGUGGGAAUCUCAUACCUAUUUAUAGGCCUCUAACCCACCAACUUGAGCACUCUAGAGUAUUCCAGAGUACUUAUUUCUAGAGUUCUCUAAAGUGCUCAAUUAGUAAGUAAAGAAAGAGCACUUAUUUUUACAGCACUCUAGAGUGUUCUAUAUAAGAGAGAGAGAGAGAUUUGCCUCUUUUAGAAUUGUUUGAUUCUACACAUAUAUGGAUUUUGUUUGGCAACAAUUAUUAAAAUCCUAUACCUUGUUUGGCAUUGUUGCCAUUUUUAGUUUUUAUAAUAUAAAAAAGGGAAAACUUCAAAAACCCCCCCUGUGGUUUCGUGCAUUCUCGCUUUGCUACCCUGUGGUUUAAAACGUAUCAAUUUACCCCCCUGUGGUUUCAUUUUUAUCUUUUCGGAAGCUUUUUCGUUAAUAUUUCGUUAAAUUAUAUACAAAAAACUUCAGAUAACCAUCUAUAUUUAUCGAAUAGUCACUUUAGUAUCCUUUAAUUUUAACUUUGUCGCUGAUUUAAAAAAAUAAUAAUAAUAAAAUUGAUAACAAAAAGAUAAAAACGAAACCACAGGAGGACAAAUUUAUACGUUUUAAACCACAGGGUAGCAAAGUGAGAAUGCACGAAACCACAGGGGGGAUUUUUGAAGUUUUACCUAAUAAAAAUUGUGGGUGGAUGCAUUACCGAGUGGAUUUCUCUACUCUCGUCAUUGUUGACUAGUUUCAAUAUACGGGAAGUCAAAAGUCAUUUUUUUCAAAAAUAUAAAAAAGUCAAAAAAAAAAAAAGGGUUACUACUACUAAAUCAUUGUGUGUCUGUAUGUGGGUGGGUGGAACGAAGGUGCGAAAAACUCAGCAGAUGUAUGAAUUUCAAGCAUUCUACCAUCUACCCACAAACUCCAUUGCAAUGGAACUUCUUCUGUAAUAAAACACACAAAGAUGGCAACAAUACUAAACAAUGCCUAACUAGUAACUUUUUUCUGCUUCUAUGUUUUAUUUUUAAGGCAUUGUUCCAAGGCGUUGUUCCACAUCAAGCGUGGGCACAUUGCAAGCUAACCAACAAUAAGAAUACAAAAACCGAUCCAGCAGCACAUUCAAUCACAGUGAGUUUUAAGUUAAGAGGAAAAAAUAAAACAAGCAAAAAAGCUGAAGUAUACCCCAACAAGGCCUUACGAUACAGGUAAACAGUAAUACAUUCAUGUAAAUCAUACAAAAACACACUAUAAAUAUCCAGGGCGUGCAGAGGAAGAACCAGAAAGAUGCAAAGGAGCAAAAUAUUCACAGAUAGAUAUACCAAGUUAUUAACAUUAUCCCAUUUUAGAUAAGAACAUAAAAAAAAAGAUUUGUGGUAUGUAAACAUACAUACUUGCAUAAACCAUGCUCGCACUAGCAUGAUGAGAGAGAAAAAAAAAAAGGCUGGUUGAGCAGCAAGAUAGCGAAAUUUACUUCCUUCAAUUUCAAAAUCUGAUCCCGCUCGAGCAUUAUCCAGGUCAAGAGUUCCCUUCAAGGUUGUUGAGCACAGGAAGAACAAUAAACAAUAAAAGUGGUUAAACUGGCAUCUCGAGAUCAAGUUUCAGCUUUUGAAUCUGCAUAUUGAGAUAACCAAUGAGCAAUAUUACAUUUACUGAUUGAACGAAACGACAAAAAGAAAUAGGCAAAAAAUACGGAACGAAGCUCAACUAAUUUUCUCCAUUGUGAAAUAAAAGAGUACAAAGGAAAGCCUCUUGCCCUAUCCUAAAUCCCACUCACACCACCAUUUCAGCCUCUCUCAAACUAGCAGGUAUUCCAACAUCCAAUCUCAUGGUCGCCUUGUACUUCUCUGGCACUUCUGCACCACCCUGCAUGCAAAUCUCCACAACAGCAGGCGCCUGCCCAUAGAAGUUCCUGAGCUCCCUCUGCAACUCCUCUCCAGAUUCUGGCAUGUGCCAAACAUACCGCGGCGGUAUUAAGUCAUCAAGCACAGCAGCCUGCCACCCAUGCUGCCCAUUUCUCUGUUGGUGCUUGAAUGCUCCACAGUUCUGUGCCUUGUGUCCGCUUGGCCCCACGUGCACCUCGGGACAAUACCCGCAUACCCUAACUGCAUACUUUCUCAUAAGCCUGUCUGCACCCUCCCUUAGAGUUUCCCAUCCUUCAAGCGUUUCCUUGGAGAGUGAAGUGGUUUCCUCAGAGUUGGAUGGGGGGAAAAUCUCAGAUUCAGGUAUUUCAUGUAUAAUUGGCUUCUUGUGUUUAUCAGGCUCUGGAUCUGGGAGGUCAUCUUCAUCAGCAUCGAUGAUUUCACUUUUCCCCACUCUGAUAACGGGCUUCCUGAGGUUGAGUACAACAUAUUAGAAAACAUAGUUCUCCAAUAGGAAGCUUUGAGGGGAAAAAAAGAACCAAAAAAGGUGGUUUCAAAUAGUAUUAAAGCGGAAAGUGUAAGUUCAAAACUCCUAGUCUAAUUCAAUAUCCUCCCAUUUAUCACAAGUCUCCAUAUUGGGUUUGUUGUCAAAAUACUCCGACAGAUUUGAAAGUGGACUGUUUAAGUAUUAAGAAACUACACUCUCUAGUAGAUUAAGCUUAUAAAGACAAAAAGAUUGUUUCACACCUGCGGCGCUUGGUGGGAAGGUCGGGGAGGUCCACCCCAGCCUGGAUGCAGAGUUCCACAAUUGCUGGGAUGCGGGGGAUCGAGAAUCGCUCCUCGUGAGAGAUGCGCUUUCCUAGGCGAUCAAAGAGAUGGUAGGCUUCAAUUGGCACAAACACAUCUUCCAAUGAGGCACGAGUCCACUCAUGCUGGCCCUUGCGGUGGUCGGACUGCAUGCCUCGGCAUGUUUUGAAAGGGUGACCGGUAGAUCCAACGUGUAUUUCGUUGCAGUGCCUAAGGAAAGAUUAGGUCCUCAUUCAUGAUUACUGCUUUGGGUAAAUAAAAAGAGAAACCUUGCAAAUUACUGAAAGUAUCGAACUCAUGAAAGUUUUGCAAAGCACUAUAAAUCACACUUUGAGCAGAGAAGAGAAAACAACACAGUUGGAAGUAUUUCAUCCAAGUAUUUUAGCUCCAACAGAAAUGCAGUAGCUUCAAAGUAUAAGAAUGUACAGCACUAUCGUUCAAGACCAGUAAUCGAAUAUUAUGUUGGGAAUAAAACUACAGAAGUUUCAACCUCCAAAUAUAUUGCAACUCACAAUAGCAACAAUUGUCCUCUAUGAGAUUGAUCUUUCUGUGCAUAUCAAUCAAGAAUGGCUUCCCCAUAAACAAGAAAGGCUACAUACCAUUAAUAAGAGAAGCACAGGCAAUGAUUAAUAAAUGUAAAGCCUUCUUGACUAUAAUACAUGAAUUGGAUAAAUGCUUGGAUUUUCUGAAUUAAAAAAAAUAUAUCCUAUAUUAGUUAUAAGAAUGUUUACAUGUUACGUCCCACUGGUCGUAUCGAUCAAGUUCUUUAUAUGGUAAACCAAAUUUUGAAUAAUUUACAAUGUGAUAUCUUUCCAUUUGGCUUCAUUUGUUCAUCAGACGUGGCAACUACAAUAGCUGAUUAGUUCAAUAUUAAUCAAAUAUUUAAGAGUCAUUAAAAAAAAAAAAAAAAAAAGUUCCAAUAGAGAGGAGAGUUACUUGCAUGCUUGCACUGGCACUACUUUCAUAAGUCUCCUCAGGUUGUUGCUGAGUGAGAUCCUUGCAUUCAUCACUUCAUAUGCAACUGGUAUCAAGCUUCUAACGAGCAUCCCAUUUCUUGGAGGCAGAGUUGGUCUUCUUGGUUUUCCCUUGGCCUUCUUCAGCCUCUCUCGUGCUGCGCGCCUUAACUCCACAAUUGGAAUCGGAAAUGGUUUCUUUUCCCUCUUUGAGUAGUAGGGUGGUAGAUCAGCAUUUUGAGGGUGAUUACUUCUAACAACCAAAGAAUUCGGAUGAGCUUGGCAGAUAUUAUGAGCUGGUACUCUACAAGUUAUGCAAAACGAAUACAUUAGCACCAUAAUAUGAUGAAACACUCACAAAACUACAAAAUCAAACAUUUCAAAAUUGUCUAUUUUCAAUGUUAGCGAGGCAUGCAAAACAUUUAUGUGCAAACCUCAGAGAAAUUAACGAAGUAUCAUCAAAAGUCAAGUCAAUAUCUCGACAGGUAAUGUACAUUUUACACCAAACUUCUCCAAUGUCCAUGCAAAGAAAACAGAAUGAUGACUCAAAAUAUUCGGCUGACUCAUAUUCAGGGUUGAUGAAAUCACAAAGCUAACCUCACGCACCGACCAUGUUUCUGGCCAUCCUUCACGGUGAUCUCAAGUGCAUCUAAUUGUUCUUUGACCUGUUAAAACAUAUACUCAGCGACAUAGAAAGGCAGAAAUCUGUAACUCAUUCGGGAAGUUAUCUCAAAAUUACUUCUGCUGACCACAGAAAGAAAACUGUACCUAAGAUAAGACAUGAAUAUAACUGGUACCAUAAUUUGAACACUUCACAUCCUACUAAUAUACUAACUACUGAUAAUAGAUAUCAACUUAUACAAUCAUCUUGAUGAGUAUGCAAUACAUAAAACGAAAAACGAGCACCCAACUUACUUAGGCCUAAUUUGGGAUCGCGUCUCCAAAAGCAUAUGCUUCUAGAAUUUGGAAGGAAAUUGAAACUAAGAGCAGCUGAUUUUAGUCACCGCAAUGCCAAACUACGUCUUACAGUUCUUAGUGCACCAAAUUGGACACGUUUUUUCCUUUCGAUGCCACAUUAAACUCGUAAAACGCACUAAAUUUGUAAAAAGUAUGAGUAUCUAUUGAUUCAAAAAUGCGGAAUUGGGACUCGUCCAAUUCAGGGUAAGCAACUAAAAUUUACAAGCGAGAACCUAAACACAAUUACGACCUCGUUCUCGAAGGGGGAGUCGAUCGAGGCCGAUUCCGAUCGCCGAAGGCCGCAGAAUCGCCGGAGCGGAGCGCCGCCGAGGAGGGGACGAGCGCCACGGCGCCGGAGUGCUCCGGCGAGGGGCGGAGGAGUACGCUUCGAGGAAGGGUACGAGAGCAAGGGGUUCAAUGAAGAUGAAGAAACAUGGCGAGGACGAGGAGGAGGAUUAGGGUUUAUGGGAAAGGAGGAUGAGGAGGAGGAGGAGGAGGGCGAAGGAGAAGGCCUCGUGAGAUAAACCCCCGCUCGCAUCGUGUUCUCGUUCCCUCCAAUCCUCGCGCAGCUAAGAUGAGAGUGUAAAUAUCGGAGGCGCGUAGCGGAGGGAGGUGCGCCUCUGCGGGGGAUACGAUGUACUCUACGGACUCUACUCGGGUAAGAUACGUACGGUAUUUGCUGACGUGGCAUUUUAUGCGGAGGAAGCAGGGCAUAAAUUUGUUCGGAGCCCAAUAGGAAAGCUAUUGAAUUCAGUGCAUUCUACCGACCAUUCGACCUGUAGCAAGUGACAAAGGGUCAGAUGGUUGAUAUCAGAAAUUUCAAAUUCGAAUCCUAAUUACUUCACAUUUUCAGCUAAAUUUAUUUUUAAAUGAAAUAAACGAAGCAGGUAGCGUGUGAUUUAUCUCUCAAAAAAAAUUUCAGUGCAUUCUCCACUACGUCUUCCUACUAACAUUCAUUUGAUAUUGCGAGAAAGACUGCAUUACAUACUAUAAAAAAAUAUAAUAAAAAAUAUUUUAUUUAUUUCCCUACGUAAUUAUUUUAUUCUAUAUUUUGUGAUGAAUCGGUUACAAUAUAUUUUCUAUGGUUCCAAUAGAGAACAUAGAAAUAUAUUCCUAUAUUGCUUUUACCCCAACUGCUGUCAGAUAGGUCUCAAUACCAAACUAAACCUUAAACGGGCCGGGCCCAAGGCCAAGAAGCUCAAACCCCAAGACCCGAGGUAAGCUCGUACCCAAAUAGGUAUUUACAUCUUAUUUAUUUCGACCAAUAAUCAAAUUUAAAUUUAAUUUCAAAUAUAUUUAUUUUUAAAUUUUAUUUAAUUUUAAAAUUUUAUUUUAUCUUAAAUUCAAAGUUAAAAUUUAACUAUAUAUUGAAUAUUUUUGUAUAUUUUUUGAAUUUCGACGAAUCCAAAAUUUUAGUAUAUGUUUUAAAUUAAAAGUAUCAAAUUUUAAUUUACCUUUAAUUCAAAAUUUAAAAAUUUAAUUUUGAUCCCCUUUAAUUAUUUUUUAAAAUGUUAAUUAAAAUUUGAUAUCUAAAAUUAAAUUUAAUUCAUGAUCUAAAGUUCUAAACUCAAAUAUCACAAAAUGAAAAUAGAACUAUAUAAUUAUUUUCGGCAACAACUAUUUAAAUAGGAGUUAGAAUAUGACAGAUAUUUUCUAAUAGUAUAUAGUAGAUGAAUUUCCUUUUUUAAAUUUAAAUUUCUAUUGUAACAUUUUGAGUAAAUAUGAUAUAUAAAUUUAUAUUAAUUUGAUAUAACUAUUAAAAUAAUUGUUACAUGCAUUUGCACGUACACUCAACUAGUGUGUGUAUAUGUGUCUAUAUAUGCUAUUAUCAAACGUUUUGUGCUAUUGAGUUUUCCGCCAUUAAAUCUAUCAUUUGACCAUUUUUACCGAUUAGAUCAUAUUAUUCAACUAACCAGCUACUCAACCUUAAGGGACCACUAUCAUAGCCGAAAAUCUAAUAACACUAAGGGCGUGUUUGGUUCGCCUCUUUUUCACCCUGGAAUUGGAAUUGGAAUGGAUAAAUCCGUUUGUGGGUGUUUGGUACGCGAGAGUUCCAUUCCGAUUCCGAUUCCCGAGUAGAAUGAGAAUUCCCCAAUCACCUCUUUUUUCAAUCCGGCCUAGGAGGCCGGAUUGAAAGUUAAAUCCGGACGGAAAUAAUAUUUAUUCGGAUUAAAUUUAUUUUUUCAACUUUUUAAUUAAAAUAUGAUUUAAAAUUUUAAAAUUAAAUAUAUAUAAUUUUAAAUUUUAAUUUAAACUUAAAUUAAAAAUUAAAAUUUAAUCAAGUAUUUCGAAUCUAACUUAUGAAUUUGAAUUUAAAUUAAAUUUUAAUUUAUAUAAAGUUUUAUUCAAAUUUUAUUUCAAACUUAAAUUAAAUUUAUGGAUUCAAAUUAAAAUUUAAAUUGUAAUUUUAAAUUUGAAUUUGAAUAAAUUAAAAUUUAGUUUCAUAUUUUGAAUUAUCCGCUCAACUUCAAAGUUUAAUUUUUUUUAAAAAAAAAUAGAUUUAAAAUUUUGAUAUUAUUUCAAAAUUUUGAUGUAAAUUUUUAAUAUUUAAUUUUUAAUUUGAAUUUAAAUUAAUAUAUUAUAAAGAUAAUGUUAAUAUAUUAAUUUGAUUACAUUUUUUAUAUCCACCUGAACCAAACACCGACAAUGGGAAUGAUUUAUUCUGAUUCCGAUUCAGGUGAUGAAUCAAACAGAAUUAGGUAAUGAGUCAUUCCGAUUCCGAUUCCAGCUUAUUUUGAUUCCGAUUCCGAUUUCGAUUCCGACUUCGAACCAAACGCGCCCUAAGUCCUUGUGUGUAUCAAACAAGACUACUGUACUGUUAAUAGCAUCAAAUUUUUUAUGUUAUUAGGUUUUCAGCCCUUAGAUAAAGGAAUGUGUGGUUAGGAUGAUAAUACUUUACCGGAAUUGAGUGAAUGGUUGAUUAAAUAAUAUGAUUAAACAGAUAAAAAUGAUCAAAGAGGUAAAUCUAAUGGCGAAAAACUUGUUAGUACUAAGCGCUUAGUACUAUUUAUAGCAUUGUAGCCGAACUACGUAACACC
rnacentral:lncRNA from 1 species